rnacentral:lncRNA from 1 species
CUGUCAGGGCAAUUGGGUCAGGGCAAUUAGGUCUGAGCAUAACUUCAUUAGGAAAAGAGGCUUCAGCUACGUUAAAUAUUACAGGAUGUACUGAGAUGGCUGAAGUUCUUGAGGUUUUAUGAGAAAGAUGAGUGUUUGUUUGAACAAAGUUGUUGCCAAUCUUGCAGAGUUCGAAAACAAAGAUCACGGAGCGAAUGCCACCAAUUUCUUCAUCAUUUUAGCCUCCAUAGCUGAAGUUUCCUCAUUUGAAGCUGUUUAUGCAUAUGCUUUUUCCCUUCUCAAGUACAGGAAAUUGAAGAAUUAACCAGAUGUGAUAUGCUGAAAGAGGGAAGUUUUCUUCCUUGAAUGUGGCCUUUGUGAUUUGUCUUGAUGGAAUAGGGUGAUCACUGGCGAGAACCCAAUCAAGGUAGAUUUUAUGAUGUUAACAUAUUAUUAAGCAUUUUGUUGCAUCAGCAAUGAUGCUUUCAUAGAAUGAAAGUGUUUAAAUUUAACUGAAUGAUCUUGAUUGAUCAAUUAUGAGUUUUAAUCGAGUAAAAACUAAAUACAAUGAUCGUUAACAAAUAUUGAAAUUGGGUAAAUAUGAUCUUGAUAUUGAAGAAUUUGAAAUCACAACCCACACAGGAAAUCACCCUUCGCGUGGGGAUGGUGAUGUUUACUGCAGCGAUAUUGAAUAUGUCCGCUGCUCUUUGGGUUAUGGUGCGACUUGCGAUUUCAAGGUUGCCAUGAAACAAUGGAAAAGAUUAACAUGCCCUCCAAUGAAUGAAACUAUUAUGUUAUUAACAAUGCACAGUCCGAGUACUUUUCCAGGAUCAGAUACGAGGUGGUCUAAUGUUGAUAAUAAUAGAUUAUCAAAUGACAAAUCGUUGUUCUUGGGUGGUGAUUUCAGAAAUAAAAUACAUUCUGAGAGAUGCUGGUUUACUAUUGCAAGCCCCCAGAUUUAAGAAUCUUUUGAUGAUAAUUUAUCACCUGCAGCUGUGCCGGAAGAUUCAAGUAGCACUGAAAAAGAUGAUAAUUUAAUUGAUAUGGACAGUUUCCAUAUCACUUUUAAAUCAUCUUAUGUAAUUGUAAUGUUAGGAAGCAUUAGUGAUCUAAAAGUGAACUAUUCUUGGUGUCAUUGGUGGUUUUAUCUUGUUAAAAUAUGGAUGACUUCCUGUUACUAUUUUAUUAUAGACAAUCUUAUUCAAUUAACAUAUGGUUUAAAACCAUUAUGUUUUAUGUAAAUCAAUCUAUUAAUUUUCAUGAUACUUAACUGAGUUAAAACCAAGUGCACUCAAUAAAUGUCUUUUCCUUUAAAAAACUGCUACGCUUUGAUUUUAGUGCUUAAUAUUUCGUAACUACAGAUUAUCUAAUUGCGAGUUGCUGUCCAUAGCUACUAAUUUGUAGUGAUUAUCUAAUUGACGGAGGUGACAAUAAUUCUUUUAUUUUCAAUAGCACAACGUGGAAUUCAAUAAUUAAAUUCUCCUGUUUAAUUUGUUUUAAGUUAAAUUAUUAAUUACUUAAACUCAGUUUUAAGUCUUUAAUUUUCUGUGUUUAUGCAGAAUUGGAUUCUUGAGCGUGUUGGACAUGACCAACAAUGAAAUUGACGUAAACAAACAUUACAAUGUGUGGACUCCGGUAGCUACCCCGCAAGUCUACAACUUUACAAAUAAUAAUUGAGUAAGCACCUUUGAUUUCUAGCCCCGUUGACUCCACCGACUAAAGUUUUGUAAAAUAAAAAAAAAAUACAUAGAAUUCCACCAAAUGCAAAACGCGUGGAAUUUAAUUUUCGGCCGUGUGGAUCAAAACAUAAUUUAAUGAAAAAGGAAAAAAAUGAUAAGAUUUUUAAAAUGUGUGGAAGGUGAUUCAUAUUUUACUGAAACAACUUGUUAAAUUUUUCAAGGAUUUAAAAUAUUUGGUCAUAAAUUACGUGCAUGUUAAUUUUUCUGCCAUUGACUAUCAUAUUCUAGACUUAAUGGUACCUUUCUUGAUGAAGGGUACUUAAUCUCUCUUCUCCUCUUAUAAAAAUUAUAUUAAUUGAUUUCUUAUUAUAGUUAAUAGUCUUCAAGAACGGAUAGAUUUAUUGUUUUCAUGACCAAAUUAUGCAUGCCUAACGUUGCAAAUAUUAAUAAAAUUAAUAAUUAAUGUUUAUGUUAAAAUAUAUAAGAUUUUAUGCAUUCAUUAAUUGUUAUUAGCUAAAGGAUGAAUUAUUUUUUCCCAAUCAGUUGAUGCAUCUGCAAGAGUUUUUUUUUUCUUUUAUUGACCAUAAUUAUAUUCCGGGUACAAUAAAUUGUCUUUGGUGCUUGGAAGAUAUGACAUCUCUCUGUCAACUUACUGGAAAUAUCUCCUCAUCUACUCUCAUUUAUCUAAUAUCAAUUGAAGAUCUCAUAUUUCCAAACUAUGACUUCCAAAUCUCAUUAUCAUUUGAGCAUUCAAAACUAAUCAAGUGUGGAAAUAAUCAAAUAUAUGCAAAAAUCGAGUCACAAUCUUUGGCCCCUCAAAAUUCUAAUUAUAUAACUUCAUAUCUCAUACAUUUUCCAAAUUCCUCUUCCAUCAACAUCACUAGGAGUAUGUUCAUCUCUCACACAUUAACUUGAGUGGAGAGUUUCCAAAUUGAUUGUCAGAAAACAAUACAAAAGCUAGACAAACUUGAUCUGUCUACUAAUUAUCUUUCGGUAAAAUUAAUUAAUUUUAGGGUAAUAUUCAGCCAACCUCUGUAAUUUUAGAGUGAUCAUUAAUUAAUUAAUUAAACGAUACAAUAUCUAAAGUGAUUAGAUGUUUGUGGACAAUACAAGUUCAUGGCUUGAAAUUUGAUCUCUAUCGAUUGGUUUACAGAUUGACGUACUUGUGCUUUUGUGGUGAUAAUUGAACCAGAGAUGUGAAGCUGUAAGGAUUUGGCAGUAGUAAAUUGUUAUAAAGGCAUAAAGACAACUAUUUUACAACAAAUUCAUCUCGCCAAAAAUUCUAUUUUGCUAACUAACAAUAAUUGAGCACUUGACCGCAUUGACUCCACGUCUCCAGCUACUUUCUAAGUAAAAACAUGGAAAUGUAAUCUCCACAAAAUGCCAAACGUGUGGAAUUUAAUUUUUGGCCUUGUGGACCAAAAUGCAAAUGAAAGAAAAAGAAGGAAAAAAACAAGGCCCAAAGACUUCUAAAAGAUGUAAAAGUCUUUGGGUUUUUUUAUAAUGGUGGAUUUUUUAAAAGAAAAAAAUAACAACAGUUCUAUGGUUUGUUUUGAUAAUCACAUUUACAUAUACUCUCUAAUUUUCAAAAUGGACACAUAAAUCUUUUUUUUUCUACAAAUGUAUAUUAUUCGUAUUGUUUAUUAUUUUUAAUAUCAUAUUGUUAUUUAUUAUAAAUGUUUAAAGUAAAUUUUUAGGUUGAAAUAUAAUAAACGGGUAUAAUCGUUCUCUUAUUAAACACCCAUACUUUUAGUUUCUAUCCAUUUGUCAUCUCAAUCUCUCUCAAUUAUUCUUUAUUGCUAGCUCAAAACGCAUUGCUGUUGCAAAUUAUAGCAAAAAGACAAAUAUGGAAAAGAAAAAAGGGUAGAAAAUUAAUGCAUGAAAGACUUGGAGAAAACAAUGAACUAAGUCAACUAUAAUCUAGCUGGGUGUAUAAAUUGUUUGAUGCUUUAUAAGCAAAUAACAUACAGAGACAGACAAUGUGUGUUCGUUUUUUCAUAGUUAAAGAUAUAGUUAGAAUGGGUGGUUCAAAAUCAAAAAUGGUGAUAAUGUUUGUUAUGUUAUUAAUAAUAUUUAAAAGUGGGUGGACUGAGGGAUGUUUGGAUCACGAGAGAUUUGCUCUUUUGCGACUCAAACAUUUCUUCAAUGAUCCUCAUAAUUCUCUUUACGACUGGGCCGAUGAUGAGGGAGCUAUUGAUUGUUGUCAGUGGGAAAGGGUUGAGUGCAGCAACACCACAGGCCGAGUGAUAGCGCUAGACCUUUUUGAAAUGUAUUCGGGAGAGUACAGCUGGUAUCUGAAUGCUUCUUUGUUUACUCCCUUCCAACAACUUGAGUCACUUGAUUUAACUUACAACAAUAUAGCCGGUUGUGUUGAGAAUGAAGGUGCUUCGUUUAAUUUAAUUAAUUUACUUUCUCCCCCCUAAUUUAAGUUGAAUAUCAAGACCGAGCAAUUAUAUGCAUAUUCAUUCAGUUGACAAUUUUGACUUAUUUUUUUUAAAUGAUUAAUUUUGAAAUUACACCAGUAUCUAUCAUCUUUUUUUUUAUUAUUAUUGCAGGUAUAGAGAGGCUAUCAAGAUUGAACAACUUGAAGAUGCUUAAUUUAAGUGAAAACUCAUUCAAUAAUACCAUUUUAUCAUCUCUAACUCAUCUUUCAUCAUUAAGAUCAUUAAAUUUAUAUGGGAAUAGUUUGGAAGGAAGUAUUGACGUUGAAGGUACAUAAUUAAAACUUCAUCCCUUCUCCAACCUCUUUCAUUAACUUGCUAAAAUAAGAUUCAAGGCUUUGAAUUCAAUUUUUUUAUGAUUAAUAUUAAAAAAACAGUUUUAAGCAAUUUAUAAAUACAAGUUUUAAUGUUUCUUGUAAUUUCAUCUUGUACUUUCAUAUGUCUUGAAUUUAAGAUUAAAAAAAAACUCUAAUAGCGAACCAAACACCUCCACAACUUCUUAUUAUUUGUGGUGAGGUUUGAAACAUUCAACUCAAUUUGUACUUAUUACAGAAUUUGAUUCUUUGAGAGAUUUAGAGGAGCUAGACAUUGGCGGGAACAAGAUUGACAAAUUUGUGGUCUCAAAAGGUACUACAAAUACCAUAAAAAAAAUAUGCUAACUUUUACAAAUUAGUUAGAUUCUUUGCCAUUUGGUUUAUUAUUUUACAGGUUUGAGUAAGUUGAAGUCUCUCGGUUUAAGUGGUAUCAAACUCAAUCGUAGCAUCUUAUCUUCUCUUUCUUCGUUAAGAGAAUUAGAUAUAAGUCGUACGGGAUUCAAAGGAACAUUUGAUGUUCGAGGUAAGCCUAAACCUUGCUUUCUCAUUUUAUAUAUGCCAACUAGAUUUGUGUAUCAUCGACAUAAUUUAAUAUUUAAUUUGAUAAGUCUGAAUGAAUUACAUGCUAAUUUAAACAUACUUUUAUUUACUCUAUCAAUCAAUUAAUUAAUUAAUUACUAUUUGGCUUGGUUUGGACGAAAUUCUCAUGAUGUUUUAAUUUCUUUAAAUUAAUUAAUUAAUUAACUCUGUUUUUAAGUCUUAAGUCUGGGCGUGUUUGCAGAAUUUGAUUCAUUCAACGACUUAGAAGUGUUGGACAUGAGCUACAAUGAAAUCGACAAUCUUGUGGUUCCUCAAGGUAAACAAUUAAAAUGUUAUUCAAUUACAUUAUUUUAAUUCAUUUGAUUAGGGAAGGCCAAAAAGGUCCAAAAAAAUAAUAAUAAUAAAGAAACAUAUAAUUUGUAUUAUUUAAAAAACAGAAUGUAAUAAAGAUUUGAUUCCAGUUCUUCAAUCUUUAAAGCGAUUGAAAAACAAUGUUGCUCUUUUCCCAAAGCAUAAAAUACGAAUUGAAUGCCAAUUAACUUAAUCAUUCAUUUCGUUUAGCUCUAAAUUUAGACAAUGAAUUUUUAUAUUAUUUCAAAAACAGGACGUAAUAGAAUUUAAAAAAAAAACAGAUUGUAAUGAAGAUUUGAUUCCAAUUUUUUAAUCUUUGCAGCGAUUGAAAAACCAUACCGCUCUUUUCCCAAAGCAUAAAAUACGAAUUGACUCCCAAUUAAAUUAAUCAUUUAUUUUGUUCAUCUCUGAAUUUAAAUAAUGAAUUUUGAUCUUCAAUCAUAUUCUAACUACUAUUAAAAAAAUAGGUUACAAAGGUUUGAGGAGGCUGAAAAGUCUUGAUCUAUCGGAAUUUGAAAUUAGAGAUGGAAGCAAGUUGUUACAGUCAAUGGGAUCAUUCCCAUCCCUCAACACACUUGUCCUGACGGAUAAUAAUUUUACCGAUAUAGCGACCGCUACUCAAGGUAAGUAAAAGGUACAGAUGUGGCCAAAUUUAUAAAUAAAUUGUUAAUUAAUUAAUUUUUCCGUAUUAUUAAUUAAGCUAAAUUUGUUGCUCCUUCCUUCUAAUUCUAAACAGAGUUGCACAAUUUCACCAACUUGGAAUAUUUGACAUUGGACGAAUCCUCUCUCCAUAUAAGCCUUCUGCAAAGCAUUGCAUCAUUAUUCCCUUCGUUAAAAACUCUGUCGAUGUUUGGUUGUGAAGUCAACGGUCUCGUACGCGGUCAAGGUAAAAGAAAAGCGUUGAUUGUGAACUCACUCAAUGGUGUCCUACGUGUUCAACAUUUUUGUUUAUUUAUUUAUUGUUUAAUGUUUCUGCUAGGUUUUCCCCAUUUCAAGAGUUUGGAACAUUUGGAUAUGGAUUACACGCGCAUUGCACUCAACACCAGCUUUCUUCAAAUCAUCGGUGAAUCGAUGCCUUCUCUUAAGUACUUAUCACUGUCAUAUUCUAAUCUUAGCACUAACAGCAGCAGGAUUCUUGAUCAAGGUUAAUGAGAUGCUGCCACCCUCCCCUCUUAAUCUGUAAUAUUAAUUUUCAAUUCAAUAUUUAAUUACACAAACCAAUCACUUCUAUAUAAAAGAAUACUAUGCUUUUGUUAAAUUUUUUUAUUGUACUGAUGGAUAAAUUAAUAAAUUUUCAGGCCUCUGUUCGUUGGUGCAUCUGCAAGUGUUGUACAUUUAUAAUAAUGAUCUGAGAGGCAGCUUGCCUUGGUGCUUGGCAAAUAUGACAUCCCUCCGAUUAUUAGAUGUUUCUUCCAAUCAACUUACUGGAAGCAUCUCCUCAUCUCCCCUCAUUCAUUUGACAUCCAUUGAAGAGCUGAUGCUUUCAAACAAUCACUUCCAGAUCCCAAUUUCACUUGAACCACUUUUCAAUCACUCAAGACUCAAGAUUUUCAAUGCUUAUAACAAUGAAAUAAAAGCUAAAAUAACUGAGUCACAUUCUUUGACCGCCCCAAACUUCCAAUUAUCACGUCUCUCAUUGUCUUCCAGUUACGGAGACGGUUUCAUAUUCCCCAAAUUCCUUUACCAUCAACAUGACCUGGAGUAUGUUGAUCUCUCACACAUAAAGAUGAAUGGAGAAUUUCCAACUUGGUUGUUGGAAAACAACACAAAAUUAGAAACUCUUUCUCUCGUCAAUGAUUCUCUUGGAGGACCUUUUCGGUUGCCAAUUCAUUCACACAAGCGGUUAGGAAUGUUGGAUAUAUCCAACAACAACUUCCGAGGCCACAUUCCAGUAGAAAUUGCAGAUGUUUUACCAAGUUUAUACGCUUUCAACAAUUCCAUGAAUGCUUUAGACGGUAGCAUUCCCUCUUCAUUUGGUAAUAUGAAAUUCCUCCAAUUUCUGGACUUAUCCAACAAUCACUUGACUGGUGAAAUUCCCGAGCACUUGGCCGUGGGUUGCGUCAACUUGAGGUUUCUUGCGUUAUCAAAUAACAACCUACAAGGUCACAUGUUCUCUAGAAAUUUUAACUUGACAAACUUGAAAUGGUUACAAUUGGAGGGCAAUCGCUUCGUAGGUGAGAUCCCACAAAGUUUGUCUAAAUGCUCCUCACUAGAAGGAUUGUAUCUUAACAAUAAUAGUCUUUCGGGUAAGAUUCCACGAUGGUUGGGUAAUCUCACAAGGUUACAAUGUAUUAUAAUGCCCAAUAAUCAUCUUGAAGGCCCUAUUCCAGUGGAGUUUUGUCAGCUUGAUUUGCUUCAGAUUUUGGACAUUUCAGACAACAACAUAUCUGGAAGUUUACCAUCUUGUUUCCAUCCUCUCUCUAUCAAACAAGUUCAUCUUUCAAAAAAUACGUUACAUGGACAACUAAAAAGAGGUACAUUCUUUAAUUGCUCUUCCCUUGUGACAUUAGAUCUUAGCUAUAACCGCUUGAAUGGCAGCAUUCCGGAUUAGGUUGAUGGGCUUUCUCAGUUAAGCCACCUUAUCUUAGGUCACAAUAAUCUUGAAGGUGAAGUGCCAAUUCAAUUGUGCGAAUUGAACCAACUACAAUUGUUAGAUCUUUCUAAUAAUAAUCUUCACGGUCCUAUUCCUUCUUGCUUUGAUAACACCACACUUCAUGAAAGUUACAGCAAUAGUUCUAGUCCUGAUGAGCAAUUUUAAAUAUCUUUUUUCAUCCAAGAAACUCAAGGAUAUGUAGAAAAGCAAAUCCAUGAAAUUUUUGAGUUCAUAUAUGUAGAAAAGCAAAUCCGUGAAAAAUUUGAGUUCACAACAAAGAACAUUGCGUACAUUUACCAAGGAAAAGUGCUUAGCCUCCUAUCAGGACUUGAUCUUUCUUGCAACAAGCUAAUCGGUCCUAUUCCUCUUCAAAUUGGAAAUUUGACAAGGAUUCAAACAUUGAAUCUAUCACACAACAACUUGACAGGAUCGAUCCCAUCAACAUUUUCAAACUUGAAGUAUGUCGAAAGUUUGGAUCUUUCCAACAACAAAUUGAAUGGGAAAAUCCCUCAUCAACUAGUGGAGUUAAAGACAUUGGAGGUUUUCAGUGUGGCAUACAAUAACUUAUCAGGCGAAAUUCCAGAAUGGACUGCACAAUUUGCAACCUUCAAUGAGAGUAGCUAUGAGGGAAAUACUUUUCUUUGUGGAUUGCCAUUGCCCAUUUGCAGAUCACCAGCAACUAUGUCGGAGGCUUCAAUUGGCAAUGAACGAGAUGAUAAUUUAAUUGACAUGAACAGUUUCUUUAUCACAUUUACAACAUCGUACGUAAUUGUGAUAUUCGCAACUGUUAUUAUUUUAUAUGUAAAUUCUUAUUGGCGACGUAGAUGGUUUUACUUUGUUGAAAUGUGGAUAACUUCAUCUUACUAUUUUGUUGUAGACAAUCUUAUUCCAACAAGAUUUUGUCAUUGAAAUUAAUUAGUAGCUUAAUUACGAUUCUUUAAGUACUAAUCAAGUUUGCUUAGGAAAUAUUUUUUUAUUAAAAUUGUAGUAGUAUUUAGCAUUAUAUAGCUUCCAACUUCCAAGCACUUCACAUUUGUCUCUACACUUAAAAAACUGAGUAAUCAUGUUUUGCAGAUCUGUCCACCAUAACUUAUAGCUUCCCUAUACUGUGCAGCAUACUUAAAUAAGAGAACCAUCUCCAAUGUUAAAAGCAUUCACUCUAUAACAUUCAUUUAGAAACUAUAUUCAGAAUAAUUUUAUAAUUAAACACGAGAAAUGAAACACAUAGAUACACUUGAUCGCCUAUUUUACUCUAAAAAAGAACGAUUAUUGUGCUAUCAUCAUCUUCUUCACUAGCAACAUUAACACCAAAUCGAUGGACCCAUACAUUUCAUCAAGAAAGGUAUAUAUCCAAUAAAGUUGAAGCCUAACAAAAAAUUCAAGAAGAUUAAUGCCUCGCCACAACAAGGGGCACAACAACAUCAAAGUAGAGAUUAAGCAGUAUUCUCAAAGCUAAAACUCUCAAAUCCACCCACCAGAAUUUCAUAUCUCCUCAACAAUUUUAAGAACUAAAGAUAAUUAGGAUUUAACAUUAGUUUUUUAUAUAUUAGUUUCAUAAUUUACAAAUCAAUGAAGAUGAAGAUUAUGCUAAUAAAUUCAAAUUAUACCAUACAUUCUCUAGAUGUUACCAAAAAUUUCUAAGUCAAUCCCACAUAUUUCAUAAUUUUAAGACUAGAAAAUUUCACUAGUUAGAAGUUUCAUUACCUUCAAGUGGAAGAUAAAGAACAUUAUACAAGUGAUUCAGAUUAUAUCAUACAUACUCCAAAUGCAACUAGAAAUUAACAAGUUCAUGCGCACAUAUUUCAUAACAUUAUGAUUGAAAAGUUUCACAAAGAGAAAUUCUAAAUUCAAUCUCUUGCAUGAAGGCAGUUUGAUUGAUUUGAGUUACUUUCUUAUCAAGCUACUAAUAUAACAUUCAAGUCAGGGAGAAAAUAAAUUAAAACUGGGAAGAAAUAAUAGUAAAAAUUUGUUGCUCAACAUGAUGUGUAUUUUUUUUCAAGGCAAUUUGGAAACACAAUUGUUACUACAGAUAUUCUUCUCAACUUGGAGAUAAAUACAAAUAUUAAAAUGCAUAUGAUCGCACAUAUUACUUCGAGUUUAGUAAGAUUUCAUUAAAAGAAGCAAUCAAACCACUUAUCAAUUGUCGCAGUCGUUCUAUAAACUAAAAUAGCAAUAUAAUACAAGAAAAAGAACAUAUAGAUACUUGGCAAGAGUUCAUUAAGAAGUCGCAUCACAUUCGGGUGAGGAGUUUGCUUCUGAUAUCUUGCUAGCUGGGGCUUUUUCUUGUCUUUCUACGUAUGCCGAGGGAAACCAACCAGCUUGGCCCUUGCAUUCACCUUCCGACCAUCCAAUAGGAGCCACCUUGAGAAGUUAUAACUAAAACGGUGAAUUAAACAAAAGUUGACCGUUCAAAGACCUAAGGGGAAAACUAAUUCUUUUACGUAGGAGGAGUGAAUUAGUUGUGAUCACUGAAAUAACAGCAUAACUAUGGAAGCAUAACAAGAUAUAAAUUCACACGUCUAUAAGGAUAAACUGGGUGGUUCAGAACUGAGCUAGCAACCCUACUAUAUUCUGAUUUGCACUUCAAUGUAAAAGGGAAUAUAUGGUAGGAAGAAAGAAAACCAACCAUCAUUUGUUAACUCAUUGCUUUUCAAUCAAAAUUUUAAGAACAAAAUGCCAUGUGCUUUGAACAUCAAAUAAGUAUAAGCAUUAGUUCUAAAUUCCACAUAUCAUAAGUUGUUAGAAGGAUAAGUUAAUAGCAGAGUAGAAAAAUCUAUGUGUUGGUAUUUAGAGGGGAAAGUACCUGGCGAAUCACAACAUAAUCAUCAAUUGAAAGACUUAGCUCUCCAUUUGCUUGAGCAUCAAAUGGAUGUAUAACCUGCAAGAUAAUGGGAUAAAUAGAACUUAAAAAAAGCAUAACAAAAGCAGCAACAGUAGCAGCAACGUUCAUUGUAACCACUAUGAUCAUGGCCAACAAAGAUAUAUUAGAAACAAAAUUCCAUUUUUACUACGACAUUAAUAUGUACUAUACAAAUUCUAAUAAGUUCUGUAUAACUUUAUGUAGUUAUUUAAAUUAUGGAUCAGAUUUUAAAUUUGAAAUUUUGACUGCUCUCCACAAAACAUGGCCUAUGCACAAGAAAGUCAUAGAUAAUGAGGAUUACAAGUGUCCGGCAUCUUUUGAGUGAUGGAUUUAACAUGAGAGCUUAUGGUCAGUCAAUUUCCUCUGCCUAGCAAUAUAAGCUUUCUCGGCCAGAUUUAUCAUCAAAUACAUAGAUUGCCCCCAAGUCACAUCCAUAUAAACAUAGUUUUUCUAGGUAAACCAAGUAAGGAGUAUCAUAAUUCAGACAUAAUCAUAAAAAGGCCCAUCUAAAUUAAGAGAAAAUCUCAAAAAGAGGGAUGCUGAGCUAUCAGUCUUGUAUCUAUAAGCAAUAUCAAGACUUUACAUCACCUGCUACAUCGUGAGUGGCUACACAACUUUCAGUGGUUUGUCUUUCUUUGGCACGCCUAACUCAGCUUUGAUGUUAGUGAGAUAUUGAUAGUAGAGACACAUGAUACUUCUAGCUCAUGCAUUCUAUCUAACCCAUCCAACAACUAUCUCUUUUUUAAUUCAUUAGUGUUUGCUAAACCUCAUGCUUAAAAGUCCUAUUCUCCUUAGCACCACAGUUGGACACUUGUAGAGCAAUUUUAUUUGGGGGAAAAGAAUUUUCAAGGUGUUAACUAAUAAAUUUUAAAAAAUAAUUACAAUUUGUCCUACGAUCAUAUGACAAUUUAUCUGGGAUGAAAGGAUACAGAUAGACAUCUUCCACUUUCAAGACUAAUCACUACUUCCAUAGAUGUUGUGCAAUAAUACAAAUACUUGACCAGAUGGUAGUGAUGGUAGAAAAAAAUUUUAUUGCUCCAAAAUUAAAAUAAGAAUGCAAUAUGUUAAGCAAAAGGCUGUGCAACAUCAAAUUAAUUGAUAAGUUUGUAAUUCAGUAAAUUAACAACUUUCGUGGUAAAAUACAACAAAUUUCUUUUGAAAAAAAUAAAAAAAAUAAAUCUUAAAAGACAGCAUUCAAUUUUGUGCGCAUCUUAUUUCUUAAGAUUUUUCAGGAGGAGGGCAAUAGAGGGACUUUCACCUAUGCAAGAGAGCAGAAGCCUUACUUUCCCUAUAAAGUAGACGUCAUUCUGAUUAAUAUGCGUUUGCAAAUCAGCUCCGUUUGAAUCAGUAUUCUGAUAGACACACGAGCCAUUUACAUCCAUUUCCAAAGUCACAUGUUGCGAGGAGGACUCAUUUGAUUGCUCCUAUACGAUCAUCUAAUUCAAGUAGCAAGGGUUGGAAGAGAAUAAAAAGUCACAAUUAUUCUUUUGCAUAAGUGAGACGAAAAUGAUAAAUGCAAUAUUAUCAGCAGUAAACAAGAAGAGAACGCUCCAAGAAAUAGAUAGAUGCAGACAAGCAAGUUAAAAUGCAUAGUCCCAAACCUCCGCAUACAACUUCUCUAAAAUAGCAAUAACGUGUUGAUGCUAUGUUUUCUCAGCAUCUACCUGCAAAGGCCCGAGACCAGGAAAACAACAAUAAAACCACUAGCUGAAGGAGAAAGCAAAGAAAGAAAUACACUUGACAUAAAUCUUGACAAGAAGCACAAUUUAAGACAUAACAAACCCCAAUCAUAUUGUUUAGAACUACCAUUCGUUAUUUCGUUAUUGUAACAUUUCGAACAAGUGUUGACUUAAUUCAACAUUGUUGGAAAGAUGGGCUUUUAGAAGCAGAAGAAAGCCUCUCAAACCAAAGUGCUUGUCCUUGUAUUGAUCAAGGGAUGUAAACAUAUUACAUUUGCAGGAUGAGAUUUAAUCACUCCCCUGAUUUAUUUGGGUUGCAGUAAAACUAAGCGAGCAACUGUUUGACUUCCAAGCAACAGCUAAAUCAGCUAUUAAAAUUCAAAUAAAAUCAUAAUAGAAUAAUAACAGGCCAUCUUGCAUCAAAAAUUAAGUUUAAUUUGUGAAUUGUUUUCUAUAGACAUGUCAGUUUCUGCUAUUGAAAUGUUAAAAGCAUUGAAAAAUUAUUCAAUAAAUUAUGCAAGCAUUAAAAUAGAGGACAUAUUAAAAAGUUUCUAAUUACAAUGUUAAUAUUUCCUAUAUUCUAGCAUUUGCAUAUUUUAAUUUAUUUAAAAGCUACGUCGAUCAACUUUGGGCAUGAAGAUUUUAGCUUCUACGAGACUUGCUUGGAAUAUGCACAAGAGUGUUAAAAUAUGAUGCAUCCAACGAAAGACAAACCACGUGUAGUCUUUUAAUUAAGCCAAAGUAGCAGCUCAAACAAAUGACACUUGGACCAACAUGCAAUCAUGAAGUGGCCGGAAAAAGGACAAAUGCUACUUUGGCUUAAAUAAAAAAUAACAUGUGACUUGACUUUUGCUGGACAUGCAUCAUGUUAUUACAAGACAACAGAAAUCAGUAUGAUAGUACUAAAAGUUGACAAUAACAUGAAGAUAAGAGGCAGACUGUCAACACAUGCAUAGGCACACACAAGAAAGUAUUAACUUCUAUACCAUAGCAAAAAGUCUUUGAUAUGUCAUCUGUUGCUGCUGUGAUUCAACUGACAGCAUGGCAGCUGUUGCUUCUCUACCAAGAGCCAUUAUUGUAGAUUUAAGCUCCGUCUAUCUUGCUUCUGCAUUUCGAAGCUUCACAGCACUCUCUGCUGAUAUAUCAGAUUCCCUAAUCUUUGAUCGGCGCCUAAAUACUUCAGCUGCCUGGUGAAAAUAUUCAAUAUAAAUCUAACAUAAUUCUAAUCUUGCCUUAUACAUGCAUAUGUUACCUCAAAGCUUACCUGGGCUUCAACUUCAUGUCGAAGUUUGUCAUAACGAUGAGUCAGGUGUCGAGCAUCUUCCAAAGGUGUUCCGUUGAUUAACGCCCGUAGUGGCUCAGGUACCUACAUGUCCAAAAACCUGUAACAUAGUUAGAAAAAUGAAAAGAAAGAGCGAAACCUCAAUUAAAAAGUUCCUCCAACAUAAUCAUGGAAUUUGGGCCUACUUCAAGGAUAUAUAUAAGGAUAAUUUAUGCAAUUUUGGGUCUGAGGAUGAUUCAUAUUAGGUUAGUGUUCUUCUCUUCUGUAUUUAAGGUUAAAAUAGAAAUAAACCUAUGAAAAUAUCUAAAUUAGGGCUGUAAGACUUCCACAUGCAUCCUUCAGUCUCAUGGAUUUGAUUUUACUAUAGAUGCAAGUGUCUUUAAAGAAAAUGCUUGGAGUCAAUUGAGAGAACUCACGGCCAAAAACUUGUCACACGCUAGUCUUUGCUAGUGAUGUAAGAAGUCACAGGGUCUCUUCAACAUUUGAACCAAUAAAAUUAUUAAGUCAUGGAUGUCACUAGCAAUGAUUUUAAUAUAAAACAUUAAAUAUUUCAGAGUUGUAACUUUAAAAUGGAUUCUUUUAUUCAAUAUCAUAGAACUAAGUUUCCUUAUGAGAAGAUAAUAGUUUCGAUAAUAAUUUUACAUAUAAUUUUCUAUAUUUGAAUUAUUUUCUAGUUAGGGAUGAACUAACCUGAUCACGAAGAAUCCCGAGCAAAGUUUCCCUCUCAUUUUCCAUCAAAUCAUGUGAAGUGCCAAAUUGAAGAGCAGCUCUUGCAACGCAAGAAUUGUCACUUUGAUUCUCUGCUCCAUACUUGCAACAAUCUUCAGCCAACUUUCUCGCUACAAUAUUUGAAUACAAAAAUAUUGUACACAAGAACUAUAAAAAACUAAUGAAAAAUGCCAAGAUGGAGCAGAUGCUUCAAUACUGCCCGUACAAACCAUAAAAAACUAAUGAAAAAUAAAUAAAAUCAAGAAAUUUUACUAAUUAAAAGUCUAAAUAUAAUUUUGAAAAAAGAAAAGAAACGGACUUGCUGCUGCUUGGCGACUUGUUCUCGGAGCUUGAUUGCUUGUUUCUUGAUAGCUUCCAUACUGUUUCUUUCAAAAAGCGACGACGGCUCAGCUCAUGGAAGUGGAAAAAAAAAGUGUGAUCGAGAAAAAUGAAAAGGCGUGAAUAAUUUUUGACAAAAAGCGAAAAUCAAGGAAAGCCGGCUCUUUCCAGAAAAUAAAAAAAGAAAAAAGAAAAUCAUAAGUUUGAAAGGAGAAGAUGAUAGUGGAAGUAUGCAGUGUGGCUGCCAGGUACUUGGAUUGUAUUGUCGGGUAAGGUAAAAGUGGAGAAUUAUAAGUUUGAACAGAGCAUGUUGGACUUUUGUUGACCAAAUUCAAAAGCCCAAUGGGACGGUCCAGAAGCUUUUGAAUAGAAAAACUUGCUAGAAAGCAUCAGUUUAAAUCACUACUUAAACGCUUGCUUUAACUGCACCGCUUUGUACUGUUUUAUGUAUGUAGCGGUUGUGCGGUUGUAAUUCACGGCUGACGCUACGUGUUUGUUUGUACUGUUCUAUUCGGUGACAGAGUAUUAUUAGUUAGGCCAAAACUAUGUUGCAACAGUGGUACAAUAGCACUGUUGUUUUCAGUCAUUAGAUCUAUAGUUGUACAGUUGCAUUAACAAGAUCCAAUGGUUGAAAACAACAGUGGUACCGAACUACUGUUGCAACAUAGCUGGACCCUAUUAGUUAUUUCAAAGGGAUAAAUAAGAUUGGUUACAACAAACCUACUAAUUUUAUAAAAUUCAAGUAAUAUAGAAUAAAAUAAAAAAAUAAAUACAAAAUUGACUUUUAUUUUUUAUGGUUGACUAUAUUUUGUGUUCUCUUCGGGCACUGCUACAAUUCUUCCCUAUAUAUCAAUUACACCACAUACUAUCGACACAAGAAAUGAAAUCUAAUAUCACCUAUUUAGUUAAAAAAUCACUCAUGAAAAAAUUUUACCAUUUUGAUUUGAGGAUCCAUAUUUUGAACUACAAGCUAAUGUUCAUCAAGAAUCACUGAUGGCCGUUGAGUAGAAAAAUUAUUUUUGGACAAAUUAUUUUUGUUGAUAGAAGAAUUUCUUUAGGGACUACUAAAUUAUUAAUAAAAAUAUCGAACACACCCAAAUAUCAUCGACACAAUUGAUUUUGAGGAUCCAUGCUUUGAACUGCCGCCUAAUGUUCAUCAAGAAUAGAGUAUGGCUUGUGAGUAUAAAAUUUUCUUAUUUUGGCCCGAAAUAAAAAAAAAUUAAAUUGGAUGAGAAUCUGCCACUUUCUCAUGAAGAAAGGCAUACGGAGCAUACCAUGGUACCAUACAAUAUAAGGAGCCUCCGUUCUUUGGUUUUUCAAACUCUGAAGGGGCCAAUAUUGCCAAAUUCCCCCUUGAAAAUUCUGAUUACGACAUUAUUCAUCGCUUGAUGCAAUCAAAGUAGUGACAAAGUAAUUGCUAGGCAAGGUUGCUGAGAGCAAAAUUGUCCUAAGCAUUAUAUGCAUACAUGGUGCGGUACAUAGAGCACGUUGAAUUCCCCACUAUAACACAAAUCCAGAAAGACAAGUAAUAACUCAACUGAUAUAAAGACAAAAAGAAGAUAAAAUGAUAUAGAACAAAGAAUUUCAAAGAGACAGCAACAUACGAUAGACUGAAGCCACUUGAUCUGCUCAUUGAUUGCAGCCUUAAACUUGCAAAUAGUUACUGUACGCUAGUGCUCUAAGAAGUGAAAAUGAUGCAAGCCCUGAUUCCCUUUUGACUUCCAUUUACUGUCAAACAUUCUAGUAAUACAAAAAAUUGUUUAGAUAUCUUGCUAUAAAUAUAGCCGUUUGACUGUCAUAAUAAAGUCACAAAUAACCAUUCAUAUUGAUCUACUAUCACACAGCAUGCUUUAUGCAUACAACAGCUGUAUGUAUACCAACUCCUAACCUUAUCAACACAUUUGGCAAAAACUUAGGAAGAAAACUAUUUCUCCAUCUCUUUUUUGAAAUUUCACAAUAACCAGCACAAUGUGAAAGCUAUGUUCUAACCUUAUGAUAAAUGCUCCAGACUCCAAAAGGAUUUUAUAUAUGAGAGUUUGUUGCAGCAGAUAUAUUGACUUAUCAAGUAUGAAUCAUUGUCUGGAUGAACUAUCUUUAGAUAAAAGAAUAUUAGAACCACUGUAGAAUAUCUUUACGCUGCUGGUUCUAACAGGAAUCUGCAUGUGGCAACAAUUGCUAGAUCCACAACUCCCCAACUUGAAAUACAUAGUUGCACACCAUGAGAUAGUGCUACAAUCUACUGAGAUCUAACUUAUAUGGUACUUUAAGCUACUAAUGUUUGCAUAUUUCUACAUGUUAAAUUAACACUAUUAUCUAUAAUCACUCCAAAACAACAAAUGAUAAGCAACUUUUGGCCACUUAUUACUAGCAUCCACAAUUAUAAAUAAGAGAUCAUGGGUUUACUUGUUGCACCUACUUAAUUAUCUGCAGUUGACAUCCUGACGCAAGGUUUAAAUAGUGACUGCUUAGAACCCUUGUAGUUGGAUCUUGACCUCUCCCAUUGUAGCCAAGAUUGGUUACUCUGGUAAUGAAUCAACACUCUCCUGCUCAGGGCCAUGAAGAUCUGAAAGCUCAGCACUAGUGGAGAACUUCAUCAAUCUCUUCUUCUCAGCAUACUUGAGACAAGGCUGCCUUACGAGACCAAUCACCAUAGCACCAACGCUUAAAACUGCAACUUUUAAAGAAGAAAGAGCCAACACAACACAACACAACACAAAUCAAUAUGGUUGGAGGAAUACACAUGAUAAUGGCUCCAACAGUGACAGUGGGUAUCUUGUAGGGACGAGAUGCAGCAGGAUAUUGCAUCCUUAACCAUACAAAUGCUAUGAACUCCAUAAUCAUUCCAAAACAGUACAGGAAGUUCUCUGCAGCUACAAUAUCUCAAAAGCUCAGCCAUGAUAGCAAAACCACACCGGAUGCUGAGAAUAUGAUUCCAAUCAAAGGAGUCCCAUAACAAGACCUCUUAGCAAAAAACUCAGGUAGCGUUCCACGCUCAGCCAUCCCCAAAAGUUGGAAAGAGUCGCUGCUCAUCUCAGCCACAAACAUGCCCAUAUUGGACAUUGCUGCAGCCCCCUGGAUGCACCAUCUCAACCAAACUCCUCCAAGCACUUUAGCGAUAUCUGAAAAGUAACCAUCGGUCCACAAGUCGCGAUCUAAUGGAAUAGCUCCAGUUCCAACUAGAAGGGGAAAGAAAUAUCCAAAAACGACCAAGAUCAAAGCAUAAAACAAAGCCUUUGGAAGAGUCUUCUUUGGGUUAUCCACCUCUCCAGCUAGUUUACUUAUUGAGUCCCAGUAGUUGGAGAUUCCAAAACAGGGUGUUCAAAUACAAAUUCCAGUCCACUUCACCUAAAUUUACUACAAGCCAUCUUGAAGGCUCUAACUUGGGAAGGGACACAAGUCCCAUAACCACAAAAGGAAGGAAUGAGAAAAUCUCUAAAAGAACAGCAGCCCAUCCCACAAUGGUUAGACCCCUAUAGUUCAUGAAAGUGAGAACAAAAGUCAAAGCUAACGCCGCAAAGGCUCUAGGUAACCCAUCGCCCAAAGCAGGGAUAUACCAGACUUCAAGUAGUCAAGAAACAGAACUGGGUAUAAAGCAUUAUCAAUAACCCCACUUAGCCAUUUCAUCCAAACUUGCUGAAAACCCCAAUAUGGGCCUAAGGCAGAUGAAACCCAAACCACAUAACCACAAUUUUCAGGAAACACGGUACCCAUCUCGGCAGUAAUUAAAGCUUCAGGGACACUCCAUAUAAUCGGAAACACCAAGAAACCAAGAAGUGCUAAAAGAGGACCAGCUGCCUUUACACUAUCCUCAACACCAAACGCCCCCCCAGAAACCUCAUAGAAUAUAAGGAAAAUAAGUGGCAAGAUUGAUACUUUUUUAGCGCCAUGGACUCUAGGAGAAGAUGGUUGGUCAUUGAUAUUAACAUAUUCAACAGCAUCAGACUGCCCCAUUUCUACUGAAAGUUGCCUAUUCACAGUGUUCCUCAAUUUCUGCAUCAAGUUUAAGCAUAACUAUCAAAAGGGUAUCGGCAUCUAAAUUAUGAAACAAAAUGAGCAUUUACUUAUUAAAAAAAUUCAAAAAAACAGAAAUGGAUUUCACAGAACACAUGAAUUUAAGUUCAACAUUAAACAGGCGCUUAAGAAAACAAAAGGGUCUGGUCGUAAAGCCAUCAGAUUGCAAGAUUGAACAACAUUAACGGAAUCAAUAGAAUCGAUGUAAAGAGAUCUGAAAAGAAAAUAAAAUAAAAGAUGAAGAGGGAUAAAACGACCCAUCAAAUAAGUGCAUGCAGAGCAGAGAGGCAGAUACUAGAGAAGCUCCGUCAUGUUAGAGAGAGCCUAAAUCAAUCAGAGCUCACUGAGUUUCUUUUCAACUGACCGGCAGAUUUGGAGUAGCAUAACAUAAUAUUUUUGCUUUUAAUUUUCGGAACACUUUUGAAUGGAAUUUUUUGUUUUUCAAAACUAACGAAAUCGUAAAAAUAAAUAAACACGUGUUUGGUUUUGGGCUUCUUCUUUUGUUCAUUUAAUAUCAUUUGGUUCCCUGAUUUUUGACUAAUUAUCAACGGUAUCCUGUUAGUUUCCAAAUUGAAAUAAUAUUAGGUCAUGAGAUUAUUUACUCCAUUUAGCAAUGUAGACUUAAUAGUGUAUUGAAAAAGCUUUGUCAAAUAGUAGUAAUAGGGGCAUAAGAAAUAAGUUCUUCAGAAUUUAGAUAAUAUACUUGGCUCUAGGAAGAUUCCCCUCUUAUCACUCAAGUUAGGCUUUUACCUUAGAGUUGAGUAAAUUAUUAAAAUAAAUUAUAGCUAUCACAAAUUCGUCAGGAGACUUUCAAUUUUUUUCCAUCAAAUGGCAAUGAGGCAAAAUUACCUCAACUUAUAUUUCAAAACUAAUACUUCAAAUUCUGACAAUAAAUUUGAUGACAGUCAAUUUUAUGUAUAGUAAUUUUGACUCUUUUGUUUGGUCUAAAAGUAAUUAUUUAAAAUGACAAUAUAACUUAUUUAGAAGAAAUGGUAAACUUAUAGUUCGUAAUAUUAUUUACACAAAUAAUAAAGACUAAUUUGAUAAUAAUCUUUCAAAUAAUAAUGAAGUGUUAAUUACUAUUUAACAUUUUUGAUUAAUUUCUAAAUUUAAAACAAAUAUGAAAGUUGAUUGCUUUGAAGGUUGGAUCGUGACAAAUUGACAAAUGAAAAGAGAAGUAGAGAAUAUAUAUUCUGAUGAAAGGGACAAGAUUCAGCAAGGGGACAAUAUUCUCUAUUGGACCGACAAAUGGGGGAAAAGAAUAUAUAUAUAUAUAUAAUUUCUUAUUUGUGGAUUGGCCAACACGUGUAACAAAUAUGAAAAGAUAAAAUUUGGCGUGGUUUUAACCGAUAUAAGACAAGAAGAACAAAGCAAAGCCCAUGAAAAUUCACCUUUCAUGUGGGUUGGAUCGGAUAAAAUCAAUAUCUUGAAUCAAACAAAAUGUUUGGUACAUAAAGUUUUUUUUUUUUACAUGAUAUUAGAUUUUUAUCCCUCGAAUUUUUACAUGAUAUUAGAUUUUUAACCCUCACUAAUAUUCGAGAGAUAUCUACUCCUCAUUUUUGGGUAAGGGAGAAGACUACCUUCACUCAAUUAUAAUUAAGGAAUGAAAUACCCCCACAUUACACUUGUAGGGGUUCAAACUGUUGCCCUCCAACUUGGAGUGCAGCAGCGCUGACCACUCGGCCAAAGUCCGAGUGGCUGGUACAUGAAGGUUUUGAGUGUGUGUAAUGAGCCAAAAUUUACAUAAGGAUAUUUUAGUAAAUAUAAGAAAAAAAGGCUCAGGGAAUGGCCUAUAGAUAGAAGCACGCAGCCCAUGAGUGAUGAGAAUACAAUUUAACUGUUCAAACUAAUUAGAAGCAAAUUCUUUCAUAUCUUUCUUUAAUUUUUCCGCUUAGUUCCUUAGCAUCCAAUCAAGUUCAAGUUAAAACACUGUUGAGACAACAAUAUGCAGGCAUCAAUAAGCAUAGUAGUUUUUUAUAUGUAUUCUAUACGACAAUUAUAGAACUUUUUGCAGCAACUUUUUUUCAUUAACUAAUGUUUGAAGAACUUGUUAAAAAAAAUGGUAAAUUUAUAAUUUUGAAAAAAAAGAAAGAAAGUGACGUUACCUCAUCGUCAUUAGAGACUUGUUGCAAUGAUAGCUCAAAAUUAAAAUUUUUGAAGAAUUAGUAGACGACGAUGAUGUAAUAUUUAUACAGUCACCAACAUGUUGAUUUUUGUUUAAUGUUUGAUCGAUAGAAACGCUUGUCGUCGUCGCUGUUGUUGAAUUCAUACAUAGAACACAGAAGAGAAGGAGGGAGGAAAGGGAAGAGAAGAAGAGAGAAGUGGCAUAUAGCAAAUAUGAUAUGCUAGCUGCAUACCAGCCUUAGAGAGAUUUUUUUUAAUAUUUAUUAUAUUUUUGUUUUUGUUAUUGGUUUGUCAUAUGCUUCCAGGGAAGCAAUACGUUACAUCAUAAAUUGCACCUUUUAGGGGAGGUGGUAAAAAACGUGAGAGCACUACGCUCCAGCGCAUACAUAUAGAAAGAGUUUUCGAAUUUUAAAAAGUUUCUUUAUUUCUUCCAUGUUUUUGUGCUUAAAAUAAAAUUUAAUUGUAUUUUGCAUUAACUUAGAAAAGAAAAGCCAGUUCUAUAUAUAAACUCAUGCAUUAAUUAGAAGAGUUGAACUAUUGGCACCCCUCUAUAAUCUUUAUAAAAUUCCUCUCCUAUUGUAAUUACAUUAAAGGACAAAAUAAAUCUAAUUAUAUCAUUAUAUUUCUCUUUUCAACUCUUUACACCCGUGCAACUACACCAAAGUCUUUUACAAUUUUUGUUUCCUCACAAACAACUUUUUCUUGAGAGAUUUACAAAACUUAUUUUUAAUUUUAAAAAAUAAAUAAUAGUUAUUUGAGUCCACUUUAAUUUACAAAACUUUCUAAUAAUAAGUUUUGUAGACUUAUUUUUCAUUUACAAAACUUUCUGAACUUAUUUUUAUUUUUAAAAAAUAAAUAAUAGCUAUUUGAGUCCACUUUAAUUCUACUUAAUUCAUACAUGUAUUUGAUUUUUUUGAGUAAAAUAUGUAUGAUUUAAUAAUUCAAAAAUUUAUAAAAACAAUAUUUGUAAUUGGAGUUAUUUGGAAGAAACUGAAUUGUUUUUCUUUUUGAAUAAAAAAAAGCUGAAAAAAGAAAAAGGAUAUUUUAGGAAUUAAAAUAGAUUUUGAUAGAAAAGGGGUUUGAACAGAAAAUUACAGGGUGCUAAUAGUCCCACUCUAAUUAAAAAAUGAGUUCAUGUGGAUGCAAAUGUACAAUAAAAGAGAUUCUCUUUUGUAUAUUGGAAGUAACAUAACUAGUGAGUAUAAUAUGUAAAUACAAGUUACCAAGAAUUUGCACUAGUGCUAAUUAAUGGCACAACUUUUGAGCUAUGAAUUUCUUCUUGAUAGUUUAAUUAUAUUUUUGAGUUUUCGGUAAACCUAUUUUAAUAAUUAUUAAAUUAUUUUCACUUCUUACGCCUUAAUAAAAAAAAAUCAAUAUUUUCUGGUCUAUUCUAUAUUUUGAAACUUAAUUUUUAAUUCUUUAUAUUGCAAACCAAACUAAGUCAAACAGAGUAUGCUCUUCAAAGAAUUUUUCCAUUGGCCAUUGCCUUCAAGAAGAUUUUAUUUUAUUUUUAUAUAUUAAUUUAACAUUUUUCCGUGCACUUGUAAACCGGGCCGUCGGAUUCCACAUAAAGCAAAUGAUCAAACCGUUACAAGACCGACCCGGACCCACUGACUCUCAUUUUCUUUCAUUUGACCAUUAAAAGCUUUUGACCACCCCCGCCAAAUAAAUAAAUAAGCUCUUGUUCUCUUUUGUUCCUUCUUAAAGGAAAAUAUAUCUGAUCACCAGAUAAUGAUUCCGGUGUCACAAAAUAUCAAGACAACCCCUAAAUUCCCUUAAAUUUACGAUAACACCCCACCAUGGAUGAUUCCGUUGAAAUGCCGCCUUACGAUGAAAGGCCUUAGAAGGGUUUUAACUUCACACCCAUGCGCUUGAUCUUAACCCUCAUUUUCCCAAUUUUAACUUUCUUUUCGUUGGCAUUUUUGAUCGAGAUCGUUACUGUUUUAUUCGGCGAAUCAUCAGUUUCGAGUUCCAUUUUUGUCCCUUCCCAGUGCAAGAUAGUGCCAGCAGUAAGCUUUUUUAAAAUUUUCAAUUUUUUUCCAUUUAUGAAGCUCAAAAAUUUUAUUAAUUUUUGAAUUUUUUUUGAAUGAUUUUGCAGGUGUUGAUAUAAGGUCAUCAAAGGUUUGUGAACUUGGAGUGUUGAAUUAUAAGGCGAAGCGUGUGUUUUAUCCAUUUGAAGCAAGUAAAUUUCGCCGUCGAUAUGAUUACUAUUGGGCUUCUAUCUUCAAGGUAUUCAUACAUUUUCUCAACUUUAAUUACUUACCUGUACUAUUAGCUUCUUAGUGGCGGUCUUGUUUUGUGUUUUUGAUGAAUGUGUUUAAGGGUCAGUUUGGGAAUGCUGGUAAUAGGAUGUUGUUAGUGUUUGGCAGUAAAUUUGCUAUGCAUAAUUCAGCAAUGUGCUUGAUUUUGGUUAUUGUCUUUAACAAUUUUUAGGUAGAGUACUUAGAUCAUUCACUGGGACAAACGCAGAGCUUGGUUGACCAAAGAUAAGUUCCAGGCUGGGGUCGGCAAUGCAGAGCUUCUGCGUGUAUUAAAAUUUGAAGCCUAGUAAAUGAAUUUCUAAUUUAUUUAUAGUGUUUGUUUUAUCUUGAUAGAAAUGAAUGCUAACUCAAGAUUUUCCCAACUUUGAUUACUUACCUGUACUAUAAGCUUCUUAGUGGCGGUCUUGUGAGCGGUGUGGCUGACAGCUUCUUGAAAAUUAUAAGUUUGAACAGAGCAUGCUAGACUUUUGUUGACCAAAUUCGAAAGCCAAAUGGCACAGCUCAGAACCUUUUGAAUUGAAUAACUUACUAGAAAGCUCCAAUUUUUUGUUGGCUACGGUAAAAGGAUGUUGUUUUAUUCUUCUUAUACUUUACGCUUGCAUCAGCUUAAAUCACUUCUUAAACGCUUUGCUUUAACUCCACCGCUUCAUACUGUUCUAUAUAUGUAUCGGGUAUGCGGUUGUAGUUCACUGCUGAGACUACGUGUUUGUUUGACGUGGUAAUUACGUUACGAGUCUGUUAAACAUUCGGUGAUUAAAGUAUUAUCAGUUAUUUCGAGGGGACAAAAAAGAUUAGUUACAACACACCCACUAGUUUUAUAAAAUUUGAAUAAGAUGGAAUAAAAUAAAAAAAUAAAUAAGUAAAUUGACUUUUAAUUUAGUGGUUGAAUAUAUUUUGUAUUCUCUCGGGGUACUGCUGUAAUUGUUCCUUAAAUGUCAGUCACACCCACAUGUUACAGACACAAGAAAUGGAAUCUAAGAUCACCUGUUUAAUUAAAGAAUCACUCAUGAAAAAAUUUUGCCAUUUUGAUUUGAGGAUCCACAUUUUGAACAACCAACUUAUCUUCAUCAAGAACAGAUCAUGGCCUGUGAGUAGAAAGAUUAUUUUUGGACAAAUUAUUUUUGUUAAUAGAAGAAUUUCUCAAGGGACUAUUAAAAUUACUAAUAAAAAUGUCAGACACACCCACGUACCAUCGACACAAUUGACUAUGAGGAUCCAUGUUUUGAACUGCCACUUAAUGUUCAUUAAGAACAGAGUAUGGCUUGUGAGAAGAAAAUUUUCUGAUUUUGGCCUGGAACAAAAAAAAAUUAAAUUGAAGGAGAAUCUGGUACUUUCUCAUUAAGAAAGGCAGACGGGGCAUACUAUGGUACCAUAAAAUACGAAAAGUCUCCAUUCUCUAGCUUUUUAAACUCUGAAGGGGGCAAUAUUCCCCAAUUACCCCGUGAAAAUUCUGAUUACGACAUUACUCAUCGGUUGAUACAUAAGUACAAGUACUGACAAAAUUAGGAAAAAUAUGACUCAUAAGUAAUUACUAGGCAGGGCUCUUGAGAGCAACAUUAUACUAGGCUUUAUAUGCAUACAUGGUGUGGUACAUAGAGCACGUUGAAUUCCACACUAUAACACAAACCCAGAAAGACAAGUAAUAUCUCAACUGAUAUAAAGACAAAAAGAAAAUAAAAUGAUAUAGAAAAAAGAAUUUCUAAGAGACAGCAACAUACAAUAGACUGAAGCCAGUUGAUCUGCUCAUUGAUUGCAGCCUUAAACUUGCAAAUGUUUACUGUAGCCUGGUGCUCUAAGAAGUGAAAAUGAUGCAAACCUUGAUUCCCUGUUUACUUCCAUUUACCAUCAAACAUUCUAUUCAUAAGAAAAAAAAUCUUUAGAUAUCUUGCCGUAAAUAUAGCCAUUUGAUUGUCUUAAUAAAGCCACACACAACCAUUCAUAUUGAUCCACAUUGCCACAUAGCCUGAUUUAAGCAUACAACAGCUGAAUGUAUACUGACUCCUAACCUUAUCAAUACAUUGGCGACAACUUAAGAAAAAAACUAUUUCUCCAUCUCUUUUUUGAAAUUUCACAAUAAAACAGCACAAUGUAAGAGCUGGAAUGAAAAUGGACCGUUUGGAACUAUGGCGGAAGCUUCAACUAGUGUAGUGAGUUGACCUUCUUAUUAACCUAGCGAGAUCAAACACUGCCCUUGAUCUUGAACAUAUCAAUACGAUACGCACAACUUAUGAUUGAAUCCAGAAACAAUCAAAUCUUUAGCAAGAAUAAUUAAUCAGAAUCAAGAAACAAGUUUAAUGAAUAUAAACCUAUAAUUGGAACAAACACAGCCAAAGAACCCAAGAAUGACACAACGAACACCAAGGGAGAAGCUUUCCAGUGAGAUUAUAUUAAUGAUCAAAGAAGAAUCUUUUUACAAAGAUAACAAAAGAGAUUUCAGAGAAUAAGCUAUGACCCUCUCUCUCUUCAAUCUCUGUCUAGUUUGUUAACAGUGAUGACCCCAAUCUGCUUCGUUAGCCAGCUUCAUAACUGCGUCAGUGACAAACUAGCAAACCCAGAUUGAGCAGACUAACGACACGUGCAUAACGGCUUUAACGAACUUGGUUAAAGAACUGCUCACAUGUUCGUCACGCGUGUUGCUUAAAUGAUAGCCAAAACGACUUCAACCAAAUGCCGUUUUGAAGCUUAUGAAUUAUAAGUGAAAACACGUGCUUGUCUCGUGACAUUUAAAUGCAACAACAAGCCCAAAACACUGCCGGUUCACUAUGUUGAGUUUGCCAUCUCUAAGCUUCACAACUAGCAGCGGACAAGAUGAUAAUUUAAUUGACAUGGAGAGCUUUUAUAUCACUUUUACAACAUUCUAUAUAAUUGUGAUAUUGGGAAUCGUCGGUGUUGUAUAUGUGAACCCUCGUUGGCGACACUGGUGGUUUUAUCUUUAUUGAAAUAUGGAUGACUUUUCGUUACUAUUUUGUUGUACAUAACAUUAUUCUCAGGAGAUUUAAUCAUUGAAAUUAACAUGUUAGUUUCAUUAGAAGGCUGAGUGGUUAGGGCUGCUACCCUCCAACUUGGAGGGCAAUAGUUUGAACCCACAAGCGCAGUGUGGGGGUAUUUCAUUCUUUAAUUACAUUGUAUAAUUGAAUAAAGAUAAUAUUCUCUCUUACCCAAGUGUGAGUGGAGUAGACAUCCUUCGAAUAUUAGCGAGGGUUAAAACUUGGGCAGAGCUCAAUAAGUAUUGAUGUAAGUUGGUCCUAAUAAUAGUCUGAUUUGUAAAUAUCAGUUAUAGUCUCAUGUUUCCUUCCUUAAUUAUAUUGUAUAAUUAAGUAAAUGUACUCUUUUCUCUUACCCAAGUGUGAGUGGAGUAAACAUCCCUCGAAUAUUAGUGAGGGUUAAAAUCUGGGUAGAGCUCCAUAAGUAUUGAUGUAAUUUGAUCCUAAUAAUAGUAUGAUUUGUAAAUAUCAGUUAUAUUAUCAUGUAAUAUGAGUUGUAAUUUGAGUAAUAAUUUCAUGUAAUUACAAAAAAAAUGUUACUUUCAUUACUUUUUUCUUCGUUAAAAUUCUCAAGUAUCAAUUAUGUUUGCUUAAGAAAUAAAAUUUCGUUAUGAAAAUUGUAGCAGUAUUUCCGAGCACCUCACAUUUUCAAUGAUUUUUCAUAAAUCAAUUAAUCUGCCAUACCAAUAUCAGGUUUAGUUUUUCAGACUAAAUGAUCAAGAAAGCAAACAUACAAAUUCACAUUUUAGAGGGGUAAACUAGCUUUUAGAUUUUAGAACUAGGCUAGCUACCUCACCAAAUUCCAAUCUGUACAGUGAACUACAAGAUUAAGAAAAUAAUGUAUUUAUAGUUUAAUUGAAUCAUGAGAAAACAAUGUAGUCAUAGCUCAAUCGGACAUGAUCACGGAGAGGCAUAUUCUUUUCAAGUUAAUUUGAUCCAUUUAUAAGAAAUGAAGUGGAUUGAAGUUAAAAGUUCAAAUAACAAAUCCUUGUUCUUGAGUUUUACGACGUCGUUACUCCUUCAAGAGGCUGAUUAUGCAAGUGAAUGCGGAAACAGAAUGCAUUAUCCACGGGGAUGAUAAAUCAAAAGGCGGGAUCAUAGUCUAUGCCCGCAGAUUAACAAUUUCACUCAUAUAGAAAAUUAAUUUUUUUAUAUAUACUAAUCAACACUAGAUUGAUUAUGUUUUGUAUGUUUAUAUGCUAAUCAACAAUAAAUUAUAUUAAAUGAAGAAAUGCUUCAAAUUUUUCUAAUUUAAUUUAGAAAAUCAAUUAUUAACAUUAAUAUUCCUAAUAAAAAUUAUUUUCCAUCGGUAUUCAAAAUUUUCACUUAUAGAAAAUGUGUUUUACGUGAAUACAAGUUAUUGUGUAAAUUUGAAUGAUAGCGAAAAAUAAUUUUUUUAAUUAUUGUAAAAAUAAUUAACCAUAACAAAUCCCUUGUGUAAAUAAUAAUCAUUAUUUAAAAGGUAGAAAGAUGGUUAGUGCACAAUCAAAUUUUAAGCCCCUACCUCCUCGGCCCAAGAUUCAAACUUAGAUGAUCAGCCAAAUAAAAUUAUUUGAAAAUCAUUCAAUCAGGUUCUCGGGGAAAAAAUACAAGAUCCGUAUUUGCAUGAUAUAUAUGAAUUAAUGUAAUUUAUUUGAAUUAUCCAAAUUCAUUAGAGAUAAAACUAUAAAAGAUACCAAAAAAGUUAGAAGGAAGGGUGUGCUGGGAUAUUUUACAAACUAUAGGAAUCUGGUGAGAUUUUGAGCCAAACUGUAGGGAGUUGAAGGCAUUUGCCCAAUAUGUUUAGACGUACACUAACCGUUAUUUGAUCUUGUUGUUGGUCAUGUGAACUAAGAUGUAAAUUAAAGAAAAAGUAUAAAAUUAAAAAAAGAUAAGAUUUCUAAAAUGUGUGGAAGGUGAUUCAUGAUUCACUAAAAUUACUUGCCCCACAUAUAAAGGUAAACAUGUCUAAUUUCAUUAAAAAUAGGUGGAAAAAAUUAACUAAUAGAAAGCUACGGAAAUUAACCCCCACAAAAAUGACUUUUUAUAGAAGAAUUUAUGUUUUUUAAAAUAUGUUAUCAAAGUGUAUUUGAUCAAAUCUCAAUUGCUUAGUAUGGUUAGGAUUUUGUGAACAUAACUAAAAAGUGAAAAAUAUGAAUGAUAGGGGUGAUGCUUGCAAUAUGAAUAAAUAAUGGACUGAUUCAAUUGAUGAUUAAAUUUAUAUAUUAUUGAUUAUUUAUGAAUUUUCAGACUUGUUAUGAUGUAUAACUAUGUGAUUUUGAAACUUGAAACCGUGGCAAACAUUGAAAGGAAUUAUAACUUGAAAUCAUGACUCACGGGGUAUGUCAUGAUUCACGUGCACAAAAAAGGUAGAAUUGUGGAAAUUUACAACCCAACGACAAGUACGGAAAGAAAGGAAGAAAAUUAAAAGACUUCGGGCCUAGCCUGCGUGUAUUAAUUAUUAGAUUACUUUUUUUUAUAAGGGUAAUCAUCAAUUUACUCCAUAACAAUCUUUAAUUCAUUUCUUAAAAAUAUCAAAACUUUAAUUUAUCUUUUAAACAUCGUUACCUCUCUAUUGGUUUUAACAGUUCAAAGGGUAAAAUUAUAUUUGCAUAUUUUCUUGACCGCCAACUAAAUGAUAAAACUCAAAAUUCAAUCUUGUUAUCUUGUUUCAAUCCUCUAUCAAUCAAAUAAGAUUUCUAAAAUAUGUGGAAGAUAUUGCAUGAUUUCCUCAACCUACCUGGCCCGAACAUCAAGGUAAAUAUCUCUAAAAUAGUUGAUUAAAUCUCAGUUGCUAAGUAUAGUUAGGAUUGUGUGAACAUCACUGAAAACUAUGAUUGAUAGAAGUGAUCUUUGCAAUAUGAAUAAAUAAUUAACUGAAUCAAUUGAUUUAUAUAUUAAAGUUUAUGAAUUUUCGGGCUUGUUGCGAUAUAAUAAUAGCAUAUGAUUUUGAAACUUGAAACAGUGGUAAAUAUUGAAAGGAAUUAAUUUGAAAGCAUGAUCCGUGGGGAAUGUGAUGAAUCGUGUUUACAAAAAAGGUAGAAUUGUGGAAAUUUAUAACAGAACGAUAAAUAUGGUAAAAAGGAAGAAAAUUGAAAGACUUGGGGCCUGGCCUGGGUGUAUUUUCUAACUAUCCAAUGGACAAAAUUAUAUUUCUAUACUUUCUCUUACCUAAGUUUCAUAGAAUAGCUCAUUUCAUUUUUAUUUUUUAAAUAAUAGCCCAAAAUAUCAUUAUGUUAACUCAUUAUUAGUUGAAUGGCGUUUGUUAGUAAUUCAUUAAGGGUAAAAAAUGAUUUUCUAUCAAAGAGAAAAUUAGAAAAAUAAAUAAAAAUUGAUAUAUAACUAAAAAUUAUUUUAUCUAAUCCCACUAAAUAAGAAAUGCCAAAAAAGAUGAAAAAAUUAUAUUUCAAGCAAUUCUUUUUUCACUUAUUUCUAUUUUGGCAACAUGAAAGCCCUAUAAACCCUAGAUCUAAGUACCAAAAAUAUCACAAUUUUCUUAUUCAUAUAAGUAUACUCUCUAAUUGCAUUGUAAAAUGGCUUGAAUUGAAUUGAAGAUAAAGAAGAUAUUCAGCACAUGCAAGCACAUAAAAAUUGGUGGCAUUUUUGAGUUUUUCUUCCAAUGAUUUAAAGAUAUUGUUUUAAUUACAGUUUGUUCCUUAUGACAAUUAUUCAAUGGCGAUAUCAAACUAUAUCAUCGUUGAUUUCAUUUAAGAAAAAAGUUAAUGAAUUUUGCAUACUUUGUAGUGUUAUUUAAUUGUGUAAAAAAAUUAUUUUAAUAUAGUUUGUAUCGCUUUAAUGAAAAAUCCUAUUUUGCCCUCAAUGAAUUACUGGUUAACGAUUUUACACUAAUGGUGAGUUAAUGGAAAGAUAUUUUAGGCUAUUGUUUGAAAAGUAGGGAUAAAAUGAGCUAUUGCAUUAAACUCUAAGGAUGAAAAAUGAUUUUUCCCUUUUAUUAUCAAUCAACUAUCUGAUAAAAGUCAAAACUCAUAUUUUUUUUUCCCUUGUUUCAAUCCCCUCUCAAUCAAAAAAGUUUCCUUGUCUAAGCAAUGAGGAAUAUGGCUAGAAAGAUUGUUAUUAGAAAGAUUUAUCAAUAGUAAUUAGUUCACAACUGAACAGUUUUAGAUUAUUGUGAGUCAAUAUAGGUCCUGUUUAGGAUUGAAGUGUUGCAGUUUUUAAGCUACAGCUGCUGUAGAAAAAAAAACUAUAAUUAUGAAAUAAGAGUUAAUAAUAUAUAAUAAAUAUAAAUUUUAAAUAAUAAUUUUGACAAAAUUAUUAAAAAUAUAAUAGAUUUUUCAUAAUACAAAUAAAAAAAUCAUAUCAACAUAGCUUGCAAGGUACAACAGUUAGUAUGAUGUUAGUUUAUUUUUGCGUCAAUAUAAGUAGUCAAAUUGAAUAAGUUAGUGAAAUGCUGCCUCACUGUCCCAUUGAAUAUGAUUCAGCUAACAGGGCUAGAGCUUGUGGAUGCCAAUGGCACUGAACAAAGUAUUGGGUGGUAAUUUUAAGACCACGCUAUGCCCAAAACCCAAGUUAGGCGAUUACAAAUACGGGAAUCAAUGUCACUUUGCUAGGAAUGGAGAGGAUAGAUUGCUUAGUGAAAUGCAACUUUGUAGAAUGCUGAGAGAUGUGCUGAGAGAUGAGGAUAGUUGUCGAUUUCUUCAUGUAAAUGCUGAGAGAUGUGCGGAAGUUUCUACUCAGUUUAGGCUUAGUUUAAGAAUAGCCUGGUGAUAAACAUUUUGAGUGGUGGAUCUUCUGUGGAUAACAAAAGUAGGUCUAUUCAAUGGGAACGCGACAAGGGGCUGGCUAACUCGCUCAGGUUGUGCAAAUGUUAAAAGCAGAAUGCCAGUUGUAUGAAGUUAUGUCAUUUUCUUUAUAGAACUAUGAAAGCUUGGAGUCCACGAUUCAAUGGAAUCUCGGGCUGUGCCAAUGAUUGUUUCAAGUACUUUUUCUACUUUCAAUGUCCAGACUAAGACUAUUUCUAAGCAGCAAGUGCAGGAUAUAAAGUGCAAAUCAAAAUAGACAGAAGUGAAGAGGAAGAUACGUGGUAUAUAUGUUGAUUGGAUUGAAGAUAUACCACUUUUGCCUAGUUCUUAGAACAAAGCAGAAAGCUGUAGUUAAAAAUAUACCUUCUGCUAAAGAUAAGUAGUCAAUAGUUCUAUUAGUGCAUAACUUUGCGAUUAAGGAUGAUCGCUGUCUAUUUUAAGAGCUUUUAAUAGAAUUUAGUAGCCCUGAUUUUCAAUCUCAGUGUUUUGCGGCUGUUAUCGACAUCCCUCUGUUACAUUUUUCAAGUUUCAUUGAUAAAUUAGUAGUUAGCCUUAUGAAGAAUGCACACACCAUAACCAUGUACGUUAAAUAGCAAACCUGCAUUUUAUUGAACUGUGAACUACUGAUUCAAUAAAGCUCAACAUAAGCUAACAAGUCUUUGUGAAAUUGCUUCAUGGUACAUUGUUUGAAGUAUUUAAGCUAAUAUAUGAUUAUUAAUGGGCUCGUGAGCCAACCCCAUUAAUUAUAUGUACAUAUAUAUAAUGUUACCAUCAAUAUGAUAUGUGACAUCCCAUAACAGCUAAUUAUAGAUCUUUAUCCAUUUUCAUAAUUUGCCUUCUGGCUUCCACUGCUCGUCACUAAAUUCAAAAUCCAUUGCACCUCAAAACAACAUGAGAAAUCUUAUAGGCAAAUCAUGACCAGUUCAAAGAUAAUAGCGAUUAUAGGGAAAGAAAAUUAAAAUCGAAGACGCAUAUAAAAUAAUCAAGCUACUGAUGAACAAAAUAACAUGAAAGUGUAAGUAUUUAUACUAACCUUCACUUAUUAGGAAGUUUGUUUCGCUAUUGGGUAAGAUCAAGCUCUCUGCAUAUCCUAUUGGCAAAAGGAAAUCACGCACGUGUGAUCUCUCUCUCUCUCUCUACACACGCACACAUAUACACACGCAUAUACAUAUACAUGCAUGGUCAUCAUCUUAGAAACCGAUUGAGAAAUUAUUGUCAGAGUUUGAAUUUGCGCAAUGACUAGUCAUGUUGCUAAAAAGAAAAAAGAUUGAGAUUGAAAGAAAUUCAUUAUCAUCAAAUUGGUCCAAUAUCCACUUCACUGUGUGGAUCAAAUACGUUUUCGAAUAGUGCACUGAUCUACAAUCUACUGCAAUAAUUUGUUAGGACCCUACAUCAACAAAUUAUGGGAUUAGUUGGUUUAUUAACCCUAAUACAUCCGGACAAGUCAAUCCUUUCAUGAGAAACAAAAUGAAUUUUGCAUCCCAUGAAACACAACAUACUCAGCUAGUUGAAAUUGUGGAUAUACGGGGGUAACGUAAGCAUGCUUUCACAAUUUGAAAGAUUUAUUUUUUAAGAUUUAGUAUUUCUGGGAUCCUAUUGAGAUAGAGGGGUGGUGAAGGUCUAUAGAUUUUAACUUGACAGCUUCCUAUAACCAAAGAUACAUAACUAUACUAAAUGAGCAUCAUUGAAUUUCAAAGUUAUUCAUUAUAAAUACUUAAAGAAAGAAAAAUAGAUAUUUUGGUAAUAGUAAUACAUUAUACCUUUUCUCUUUUCCAAAUUUGCUUAACCUUACUACAAGGCAAGCUGAGUCCAAUCAGGUUCUCCAAUUCAAAAUCUGAUGUCAGUAUUUUCAAAAGAUAUUUAUGCCAAUGGAGAUUUCUCAAUUCUAUAGGAAGGCAUUUUUUUUUUUUGAAACUGAUUAAGCAUCAGUUGGUUACUGUAUUACACAGAGAUAUAUACAACUGCUAUGACAGCAGGUCAUUACACUGAUAUUUACAAUCAGAUAUAUACAUGUGACUUAUAUUAUUACAUUUUUAUUCUAUGAAGUACAUGCCCAUCCAAAUACCCCUCACAGAGGAGGGAUGUCUCUACUCCACUCCCAUUGCGCAAGGGAGAAAGACGUUGUAAGAAGUCUCCAUACAAUUAUAUUUAAUUGAGGGAGGUUGAGUCCGUGGGGACUCGAACCAUUGCCCUCAUAGUCAUGCUUAACUUUGAGGGCAAUGAUUCACCACUGGGCUACAAGCCCAAGUGGCUAUAGGAAGGCAUUCUAAACCUCAGUGAAGUUACACCCUGGAGCUUAUAAUUAGAACACCAUCAUACUCGGAUAUAUAAAAUUUCAGCAAUCUAAAAUUUGACAUUGUUUUAAAUGCUCCAGAAUCUAAACGUAUGUCUCUUAUCCUGGAGAAUUCAAGAAUAUACUUUCGGUUGCAUGUGUCCCUUCAGAAAAGAAGCAAAUAAUGAGUUCGCAUAAAUUUUCUCAGGAAAAAAAUCCUAAAAUUUAUAAAGAGCUCCUUAAAUGAAGACAAAACCUGCACUCGCUCAACUCUUUUUUUUUUUUUUUAUGUUGUUCUAGUCUUCUUCAAUCCCCCCCUCUAAAACUUUAAUCCAAGCGUUAAGUGUAAGUAAACUAAAAUAUGAUUUUCGUAUGCAAGUACAACACAACAUACCCAUAAAAAUGAAGAGCGGAAGUUAGAAUCAAACCUCCAGCAAUUGAUAUUUUGCAAACUGAUAUUUGAUUCUUCUGAGACUUAUGUAAUCGUUUUGAUGGUGCAGUUUUUGAAUUAGAUUACAUAGCCUCAGGUACUAAUACCAUUUUCACCAUUUUGUUUUUAUUUCAUCUUUCCAUCAAAGAUGAAGGGGUGGGAAAUUAUCAAAGCAGCUGUUAGAUGACACCUGCUUCUAGACCUGCAAGUAAAACCAAAGAAUGAGCUCCAUUAGAUACAUUUGAGUUAAUAAAAUCCCUUGUUCCUCCUAAUGAUUAUAGACAUUAAUUAGGAGGGAGAAAUGAAGUAAAUUAAAUUAAAUGAAGGACCUUCAUUCUCCACGCAUGCAGCCGGCUAUUUUGUUACCAAGUUGUUGAAAGGAAGUAAAUAGAGAAGCAUUCAGAUACCACUCUCCCAGAUCGAUAUUCCUAGUAAGACCAAGGUGUAGUUGUACCACUCGGCCUGUGGAGUUGCUGCAGUCAACCCUUUCCCUUUGUUCAUCUACCCAGUUUUGAAGUCUAUAAGGGGAAUUGAAGAAAUGUUUAAGCCACAAAAGAUCAAAUUCCUCAUGCUCCAAACAUCCCUCACUCCACCCCCCCCACCCCCCGGCGCCCUCUUCUAAUAUUAUUAAUACGAGAACUAACAUUGUCACCAUUUUGAAUUUUGAACCACCCAUUCUAGCUAUAUCUCUAACUAUUAAAAAACACACAUUCUCUCUUUCUCUAUAACUAUAAAUAACAAAAGGGCUCUAUGUUAUUUAUAACAAACACAUCUAACAAUUUAUACACUCAGGCCCCAGCUAGCUUUCAGUUGUCUUCUUUGGUAGUCUUCAGCCUUCUCAAAGACUUUCGUCAUGCCUUACUUUCAGCCUUCCUUUCCAUAUUUGUCAUUUUGCUUUAAUUUUCCACAAUUCUACCUUGGAUGGUAAUAUUUAAUUCGCCACGAAUUGAGUGAAACGCUGGUCCGUUACCCAUCCCACUUCAAUAUUAACAAUAUUAAUAAUAAUAAAUAAAUUCUUCAAGCAAUUGAGAUUUGACACCCACCCCACUUCAAUAUUAAUAUUAAUGGGAAAUCAUAAAUUCUUCUACAAAUGAGUCAUUAUUUUAAAAUUGUUAUAAGCUUAUUUAUUUAAAAAAAAAAAAACGAGAAGGGGAACUUGUUAUCUUAAAAUUAAAAGAUUCUGGUGUGGCUACCCGAAUCCGCACGUUUUUUAAGAUUUUUUUUCCAAUCUUGUGUACCGUUCAACACCUAUAUAUGCUUUGCAAUUGAUUAGUUAACAAAAUAAAAUUCUUGAUCAGUUGUGCGGUAAAAAUAAUAUUAUUUUACAAAGCUUUACCUGGUGCAGUCAAUACGGCUAGAAAUUAAAGGAUCCCCAGCAUGAUAAUUAAGGAAUAAUUAUUAUUCUAGAUUUGUGCAGUGGCGAAGCUAAUAGCAUUUUUCGUUUUCGAGUGAGCUGAACUUUUUCCCCCCCCUAAUUCAAUACAUUUUUAUCGUACAAUAUAAUUUUGUAAAUAAGAAAUUAUAGAUGCACCUAAUAAUGCGCGACAAAAUAAGCUUUACCUCUCAAAAUAUUUGUUCUAAACAUUAUUUAAAAUAAUUUAGACACAUAUUUAUUCACAAAAUGAUGAACAGACAAGAAUUUGAUGAUAAUUGAAGAGGCAGCAUAACUAAUUAAUAUAAAAAUUUUUAUAUAGGUUUCAAUAAAGGAAAUUUUGUAACUAAAUAAUUUUUUUUCUGAGAAGCCCGGCCUUGCCCUCUCCAAAAUUCGCCACUGAAUUUGUGGGGUGGUUACUGGAGUUCACACGUUUUCAAAUUUUUUUUUCCCGAUCAUUCAAUAGUAAUUUUGCUUUUUAGUUUAUUAUUAUUGUUGUUAUUAUUAUUAACUCAGGCAUUUAUUAAAGCUCGAACACAUAAUCUAAACUUUGAUAUAUUUUUUGCUGAGAGGAGUCAAAAUUUGGGAAUUAUAUGCGCAUCAUAACAUAAUAAACAACCGCAAAGUAUCCUACGGAAACUUUCAGUGCACUCUGACAGCAGCUUUUGGUAGUCAAAUAGUCUUGGAAUCAUUUUUUAGCGCAUAUUCUUUUCGGUAAUGUGAUGAAUUCAUAUCUAAAGAAUCAAAACUAUGAUGUGAAUUUGCUGCAAAAACUGAUCCAAGACUAUUCAUUCAUUAUUAAACAUAUGAUAUCGUCCGUAAGACUGGAGAAAUAUGAAUGAAUUUGUUGAUGAUAACUCAGAAGACGGUUAACGGUUAAAUAUGCUAUGUUGAAAUGCACUGUACAGUCAAUUAAUUUAGUUAGGACUCUGUUUCUAGAAAACAGAGUAUAAAAGAUGACUAACUGUUUUGGGAGAUGCUUUUGGAGGGACUUCUAGAUGAAAUUGAGAGAGAGAGAGUGUGAGAGAAACUCUGUAAAGUCUUCUCCAAUUGGUAACCCCUUUUGUUGCGAAUAAUAAAGCUUCAAGGCUGUUCAUUUAUUUGUACAUAAGCAGGGGGAAAGCCUAUGUAUAGACAGCUUCAAAUGAGGAAACUGCACCUAACUACGCAGCAGCUGUAAUGAAGAAGACAUUGAUGCAUUAGCUUCCUGUUCCGUCUUCUUGGUCUUCGGGGAGGUUGGUAGCAGCAACUUUAAUUGUUCAAAGCAAACACUUAUCUUUCGUUUCUCAUAAAACCUCGUGAGGUAAUGCUUUAGAUGACUGGUAUGCAAUAUUGUCAAUGACAAAAUGUAAUGUUGUAUUCUGCUGAUCAACAUGUAAAAACUACAUAUUACUUGAAUUAGUUUUUUUUUUUUUUAAUUUACUAAAUUUCAGAAUUUGUUAACGAUGUUUGUACUUGGUUUUAACUCGAUUAAAGCUCAUGAAACUUAAUUGAUUAAUUAAUCAUUUAGUUAAAUUUAUUCGCUUUCAUGCUAUGGAUCUUUGCUAUAAUAACAAAUGCUUAAUUAUAUGCGUAUGUGUGAUAUAAUAGCUGCGUCUUACAUAGCAUAACACUACACCAAAUAUGCCCCCCUCAGAUACUAAUUAAUUACACAAAUGUACUUUUAUUCAAUUUAUUAUUUAAAAUAAUAUUUGAAAAAAAAUGGACUUGAGCAGAGCAAAGUAGAGAUAAUAAACAAGGGUAGAUUAUGCAUGCGUCAAAAGAUUUUAAAAAAGAAAAAGAGAAAAUAUACGGAAAACAAGAAAAUUGCGGGGAGCCACUCUUGUCUUUUACUUUGGACUUGAAGUCGUUCCAGGUGGAUAAUGUUUUCCUUUUAAAUAUUUAGAAUUAUAUUGUGGCGCUAUUUAAAAUAAGUUAUAAUUUUCUUAAAAUCAGACUAUGAUUACGGUACUCCAUGGUCAGAGUGUCGUUGAAUAAUGCUGAGUCUAUUGAGUCCUUUUCAAAUCGAAACCAGAACUAAAGAAAAAUCCAGAACUGAAACAAGGGCACGAACCAGCAAGAUUUGAAGGAAAAAUUUACUUCGUUAGUGAUCAACAACUAAUCAAACGUAAGUGGAUUUACAGAAGACUUUGUACAGAUCACAAUGAAACAGAUUCUAUGCAAAUUGACGAACAACUGAAGAAGAAAAAGGAUCGUACAACAGGCACUGCUCAUAAGCUUCUAUUUAUACUGAUGUUUCUGGAAACGUUGUAACAGAUUAUAACUAAUUCGUGCCACGUCAGCAUAAAAUAUCUACUAGACCCAUUUAACUGAAGUCAAUCUGCACAACGACUCUGAACCUCUUCAUAUUUUCCAUUUCAGUCCACAGACUCAACUACACACGUCUCCAAAAAUAAUAAGUUUUAUUUAUUUAUUUUUAUUAAUAAAAUAAAUUUUUAUUAACUUUCGUUGAUUUUGGUAGAUUUUGUUUUUGAGCUGUUACUACACUGUCGGCUGGUGUGUCAUCAUACGUAGUAGCGUCAUCAACCCUCUCAUGACUUUGACGGCCGAAACAUGUUUCAUGGCACAAAUAAUGACAGAUUUGUUUGAGGUACGGCGGAGAUGCCUAUUCAAAUAUUUGAAGCCAGCCCCUCCUUGUUUAACAUUUUUUUUUUUAAAAGGGGAACAACUGCUUUAGCUGUAUAUAUCAAGAAAAUUAGCUAACAGUUUAUGCACUUAAUUAUUUAUUUUGCCACACAUUUGUAAGUGGUCAAUGCUGCCGUAAAAUUAUUAGACCCAAAAUAAAGUGUGAUGAGGGACAGGAAUUAAUGUUCCCAUUAGCUGUAGCACCUAUCUUCCAUCUCUAAUUUUAACUUUCGAUUGAUGAAGUGUUUUCAAAUUUGUCAAAUGUCUGUAAACUGUUUAAUAAUUGAAGAAAGUUAAAAUUCAUUUUCUAAAAAUUAUUUUCAUUCAAAAUUGCGAUUGGAUGGUAAUCAGGGUUAAUAUCAGAGCUUAAGAUACUAUAACCGUGAGAACCUAUUGACUGCCAAUUAAAAUAUCCAUUAAAAUGUCUAGGGAGUUAUGAAGGUGGGGGUAACUUCCAAUUUCUAAGGCCACAGAGUAGACAUCAUCCAGGAUCCUAGGAAAGUCCAGUUAACCUCCUGCUCGAUGCAAUUAAUAAAUUUGGUCAAUGCCACUGAAACCUGCUAACUGACGUCACAAUGCGACAUGAGCACUUCAAAAUGGGACGGACAGUCAGUAGCACUGAAUUUUUCUUGCCUAAGAUUGAGCAAUUGGUCUAACUACUAAUCCCUAUUGUAGGUUGAUCAUUAUUUUUUCAAUUAUGUUCAGUUUGACCCAAAAAGUUGCAGAAUCUUGAGCUGAAUAUUGUCACGGAACACUGUCAAUGUCGCUUAGCAUAGCCAACAAACUUGAUGUUAAAACAAACACACAGUGUGUCUCAUGUCUCACAAAUCAAAUUAUCAUCUGUAAUGAUGGAGAAUUUUUCCAAUGUAUGAAGUAUGCUUUGAUACGUGGGUUACCUUGGAGAAGAUAUCUCAAAAUAAAGAAUAUGGGGAGAAAACAGUUCAGUAGUUUAUUAUUCUGUAGUCAAGUUUUGUCUCGAAAAUGGUCAAAAUUUAAAUGAUUAAGGACAGGGGAUCUUCAUUCUUUUUCCCCUUUUUUAUACCAAGAUAUCUCUCAACCUUUAUAUAAUCCCCACUGGAUAUCUGCUUCUCAUAAUUAAAAUAAAAAUUUCACCGCUCUAACAAUAAAAAGUAACAUCUUUAGUCAAAUAAUUUUGCGGUUCCUCAUCAUCUUAGUGUGAGACUAUCAGUACUUCCAAAAACAUAAUAAAACUGGUUUGAUCCUGUUUAUUAAUGUUUAAAUGUUGUUCAUUGUGACAUGUAGAAAUGAUGAGGCGAAGUUUAUUUGGGCAUCAAUUAGUAAGAUCUUGUUCGAAGUUGUUUUCUGAAAUGAACUGCCAAAUGGUAGUUUUUUGGGGGCAUUUGAUGGCUCUUUUUUUUUCCUCAUUUUCAACAUGUGCCUGCUUGGAACAGGAAGGAUUAGGCUUUAGAGUUGUUAUUUAUUUUGAGAUGCUCUGGUCAUUGCACAAUUUGUUCACACUGGAAAUUAGAAUGAGAAAUUUGUUGAUGCUGUUUUGAGAGAUCUGCAUUCUAUGCACAAUAACAUGAUUAAUGAAAAUGUAUUGUAGGACUGGAAAGAUCUGUGGCAGCCUGAGCUCGCAGGAAGAAUUUCAAUGGUUAAUUCUCCCCGAGAGGUUAUUGGUUCAGUUUUGAAGUAUAGGGGAGCAUCAUACAAUUCAAACGAUAUUGAUUCGCAAGUUGCUGGUGGGAAGAUUGCUGUUCAGCAGAAUCUGGCAUUACUGGCAAACCAGGUACUCUUACAGAAAUGAUAUCUGGUCAUUGCAUGUUAUUGCCUGACAACUGAUUUUGUUUGUAAAAGUCUACUUCUUCAUACAUAUGAAUGCAUAUGUUAGUGUUUUCUUCUCGUUUUCAUACAUAUAAAUGCAUAUGUUAGUGUUGUCUUUUCCUUUUCAUACAUAUUACUACAUAUGUUGGUGUUCUCUCCUGAGAUGGAUGCAAUAAAGGCUUUUGCUCCUAAAUUUAGCUGAAGAAAUGGCAAGGGAUGUGAGAUUCUGUCUCAUUAAAUUAACAAAAACCCAAAGCAAUGAAAAUCCAUAAUAAUGUGGUGUGGGUAAAUUGGCUCCAUUUGGUUCGUUUCCUUAAUGUGAAUGCGCGAGCAAUAGAGACUAACAAAAUGAAGUGACAACAAGAAGUCAGUGUCCUUUGAUGGAUGCAUUUUUAGGCAGAAAUAGGUUUGUAAUUGACCAAAUUUGUCUGGCAUGCCAAUUUCAAAAAAAUUAAAUUAUGUGGUUAUUAGCUGUAAUGAAGGGGGAUAGUAGGUGCAAUCAGGUGGAUCCUGGAAAGUUCAAUAAAGUUUUGGUAUGGCGUAGUGAAAUUGGUUUGUGCAACUCAGGAGUCUUUCAGGUGAACGAUGAUAGGUUUUGAUUUAUGAAUAUUAUAAAUCUACUGUGCAUAGUAUUCUAGUAGAAUCAUCUAUAAGUUCUAGUUAUUGAAAUUGUAUACUUUGCCCGGUUUGAGUUAAGGGCACAUGUAAUAUGAAAGAUAGUUGUCGCAUCUUUUAGGUUACCUAACAUUUGAUCAAUCCUAUUAUGGGGGCUUCAAGAUGUCUAACAAUAUGUAGAAUGCCCAUGCUCCUCCCCAUUGUUUAUCUUCUACAAUAAUUUGUUUUAGAUGCUAAUAUCUUUGUCGAUACCGGUAACAAUAUUACAAUAUCUGCGUUUAUUGGGUUUUACAUAGGUUCGACUGUUUGACAGUACACACUAUCUGAAGGCAUUUGCAAUUGGAGAUGUAUGGGUUGCUGUUGGGUGGAUUAGUGAUGUUCUUCCUGCUGUCAAACAUAUGUCUAAUGUUGCUGUUGUUGUUCCCAAGUCUGGUGCUAGCUGCCUGCCAUUCUACUUCGAUAUUCACAUUGUUAUCUCCUUCAUAUUAGCGAUCAGUAAACACGAUAAUGUGACUAAUAAGUUCGUAUUCUCUUUAUAGGCAAUCCCUGCUGCCUCAAGACUUGAAACAAAACAAAUUGGAGGGCGAGUCGGAGGUCCAUCUCCGUUAAUCCAUCAAUGGAUAGAAUUCUGCUUGCAAACAGCGAGAGCAUUACCUUUCAAGCAAGAGGUAAUCCCAGGUGCAUCUCCCUCUGCCCUUGAAAGUACUCUGGUUAAGUUGCCUGAAGAACUUCUGGAGGGUAAACCAAGUCUGGAUACUAACUUAAUUGCUGGAGUACUCCCGGCUGAAAUUCUGGCCAGAUGUGAGUUUUUGGAGCCAUUAUCUGAAGCUACUUUGUCAGAUUAUGAGUGGCUGGUUGUUAAUCUGCAAAAACCUGCUCCUGUCUUGAUGAAAAGGGUGCAACAUUACUUGUCAUCAUUAAUCCAAAGCUUUCUAGCAAGAGCUACAUUGAAAAGUUAAUGGCGCUGCAUGCCAGUCAUUAUAAUGCUGUCAGGACAAUUGGGUCAGGGCAAUUAGGUCAGAGCAUAACUUCAUUAGGAAAGGGGGCUUCAGCUACGUUAAAUAUUACAGGAUGUACUGAGAUGGCUGAAGUUCUUGAGGUUUUAUGAGAAACGAAAGAUGAGUGUUUGUUUGAACAAAGUUGUUGCCAAUCUUGCAGAGUUUGAAAACAAAGAUCACGGAGCGAAUGCCACCGAUUUCUUCAUCAUUUUAGCCUCCAUAAUUGAAGUUUCCUCAUUUGAAGCUGUUUAUGCAUACGAUUUUUCCCUGCUCUAGUACAGGAAAUUGAAGAAUUAACCAGAUGUGAUAUGCUGAAAGAGGGAAGUUUUCUUCCUUGAAUGUGGCCUUUGUGAUUUGUCUUGAAGGAAUAGGAUGAUCACUGGCAAGAACCCUAUCAAGGUAGAUUUUAUGGUGUUAACAUAUUAUUCAGCAUUUUGUUACAUUAGCAAUGAUGCUUUCAUAGCAUGAAAGUGUUUAAAUUUAACUGAAUGAUCUUGAUUGAUCAAUUAUGAGUUUUAAUCGAGUAAAAACUAAAUACAAUAAUCGUAACAAANNNNNNNNNNNNNNNNNNNNNNNNNNNNNNNNNNNNNNNNNNNNNNNNNNNNNNNNNNNNNNNNNNNNNNNNNNNNNNNNNNNNNNNNNNNNNNNNNNNNUGCUACCUUUUGAUUUUAGUGCUUAAUAUUUAUUGAACUAUGAUGCAGGGAAUUUGAAAUCAAACUCGUAAUACAGAUUAUCUAAUUGCGAGUUGCUGUCCAUAGCUGCUAAUUUGUAGUGAUUAUCUAAUUGACUGAGGUGACAAUAAUUCUUUUAUUUUCAAUAGCACAAUGUGGAAUUCAAUAAUUAAAUUCUCCUGUUUAAUUUGUUUCAAGUUAAAUUAUUAAUUACUUAAACUCGGUUUUAAGUCUUUAAUUUUAUGUGUUUAUGCAGAAUUGGAUUCUUGAGCGUGUUGGACACGACCAACAAUGAAAUUGACAGUAAACAAACAUUAGAACAUGUGGACUCCGGUAAGCACCAAUGAAUUUCUAGCCCCGUUGACUCCGCCAACUAAAGUUUUGUAAAAUAAAAAAAAAUACAUAGAAUUCCACCAAAUGCAAAACGCGUAAAAUUUAAUUUUCGGCCGUGUGGACCAAAACAUAAUUUAACAAAAAAGAAAAAAAUGAUAAGAUUUUUAAAAUGUGUGGAAGGUGAUCCAUAUUUUACUGAAACGACUUGUUAAAUUUUUCAAGGAUUUAGAAUAUUUGGUCAUAAAUUACGUGCAUGUUAAUUUUUCCGCCAUUGACUAUCAUAUUCUAGACUUAAUGGUACCUUUUUUGAUGAAGGGUACUUAGUCUCUCUUCUCCUCUUAUAAAAAUUAUAUUAAUUGAUUUCUUGUUAUAGUUAAUAGUCUUCAAGAACGGAUAGAUUUAUUGUUUUCAUGACCAAAUUAUGCAUGCCUAACGUUGCAACUAUUAAUAAAAUUAAUAUUUAAUAUUUAUGUUAAAAGAUAUAAGAUUUUAUGCAUUCAUUAAUUGUUAUUAGCUAAAGGAUGAAUUAUUUUUUCCCAAUCAGUUGAUGCAUCUGCAAGAGUUUUUUUUUCUUUUAUUGACCAUAAUUAUAUUCCGGGUACAAUAAAUUGUCUUUGGUGCUUGGAAGAUAUGACAUCUCUCUGUCAACUUACUGGAAAUAUCUCCUCAUCUACUCUCAUUUAUCUAAUAUCAAUUGAAGAUCUCAUAUUUCCAAACUAUGACUUCCAAAUCUCAUUAUCAUUUGAGCAUUCAAAACUAAUCAAGUGUGGAAAUAAUCAAAUAUAUGCAAAAAUCGAGUCACAAUCUUUGGCCCCUCAAAAUUCUAAUUAUAUAACUUCUAUAUAUCUCAUACAUUUUCCAAAUUCCUCUUCCAUCAACAUCAUUAGGAGUAUGUUCAUCUCUCACACAUUAACUUGAGUGGAGAGUUUCCAAAUUGAUUGUCAGAAAACAACAAAAGAACUAGACACGCUUGAUCUGUCUAAUAAUUCUCUUUCGGUAAAAUUAAUUAAUUUUAGGGGAAUUCAGCCAACCUCUGUAAUUUUAUAGUGAUCAUUAAUUAAUUAAACAAUACAAAUAUCUAAAGUGAUUAGAUGUUUACUGACAAUACAAGUUCAUGGCUUGAAAUUUGAUCUCUAUCGAUUGGUUUUGUAGUGCUUAAUAUUUACAGAACUCCGGGAAUUUGAAAUCAAACUCGUAACUACAGAUUAUCUAAUUGUAAGUUUUUGUCCAUAGCUGCUGAUUUGUAGUGAUUAUCUAAUUGACUGAGGUGACAACAAUUGUUCUUUUAAUUUUCAAUAGCAUAAUGUGGAAUUCAAUAAUUAAAUUCUCCUUUUUAAUUUGUUUCCAAUUAAAUUAUUAAUUACUUAAACUCUAUUUUAAGUCUUUAAUUUUAUGUGUUUAUGCAGAAUUGGAUUCUUGAGCGUGUUGGACACGACCAACAAUGAAAUUGACAGUAAACAAACAUUACAACGCGUUGAGUGUCGACUCCGGUAGCUGCCCUACAAGUCUACAACUUUACAAAAAAUAAUUGAGUACACACAUUCGAUUCUCGGGACCCUUCAAUGAAUUUCUAACCCCGUUGACUCCACCGACAAAAGUUUUGGAAAAUAAAAAAAAAAUUUAUAGAAUUCCACCAAAUGCAAAACGCGUGGAAUUUAAUUUUCGGCCGUGUGGACCAAAACAUAAUUUAAUGAAAAAAAAGAAGAUAAAAUUUCUAAAAUGUGUGGAAAUUGAUCCAUAUUUUACUGAAACAACUUGUUAAAUUUUUCAAGGAUUUAGAAUAUUUGGUCAUAAAUUAUGCUCAUGUUAAUUUUUCCGCUAUUGACUAUCAUAUUCUAGACACAAUGGUACCUUUCUUGAUGAAGGGUACUUAGUCUCUCUUCUCCUCUUAUAAAAAUUAUAUUAAUUGAUUUCUUAUUAUAAUAAAUAGUCUUUAAGAACGUAUAGAUUUAUUGUUUUCGUGACCAAAUUAUGCCUGCCUAAGGUUGUGACUAUUAAUAAAAUUAAUAUUUAAUGUUUAUGUUAAAAGAUAUAAGAUUUUAUGCAUUCAUUAAUUGUUAUUAGCUAAAGGAUUAAUUAUUUUUUCAACCCAAUCUGUUGAUGCAUCUGCAAGAGUUUUUUCUUUUAUUGACCAUAAUUAUAUUCCGGGUACAAUAAAUUGUCUUUGGUGCUUGGAAAAUAUGACUUCUUACUUCAAGUUUGAUAUGUCUCUCUCCAUAAGCUUACUGGAAAUAUAUCCUCAUUUACUGUCAUUUAUCUAAUAUCAAUUGAAGAGCUCACUUUUUCAAACUAUCACUUCCAAGUCUCAUUGUCACUUGCCAUUCUUGGACCAUUCAAAACCAAACAAGUGUUGNNNNNNNNNNNNNNNNNNNNNNNNNNNNNNNNNNNNNNNNNNNNNNNNNNNNNNNNNNNNNNNNNNNNNNNNNNNNNNNNNNNNNNNNNNNNNNNNNNNNNNNNNNNNNNNNNNNNNNNNNNNNNNNNNNNNNNNNNNNNNNNNNNNNNNNNNNNNNNNNNNNNNNNNNNNNNNNNNNNNNNNNNNNNNNNNNNNNNNNNNNNNNNNNNNNNNNNNNNNNNNNNNNNNNNNNNNNNNNNNNNNNNNNNNNNNNNNNNNNNNNNNNNNNNNNNNNNNNNNNNNNNNNNNNNNNNNNNNNNNNNNNNNNNNNNNNNNNNNNNNNNNNNNNNNNNNNNNNNNNNNNNNNNNNNNNNNNNNNNNNNNNNNNNNNNNNNNNNNNNNNNNNNNNNNNNNNNNNNNNNNNNNNNNNNNNNNNNNNNNNNNNNNNNNNNNNNNNNNNNNNNNNNNNNNNNNNNNNNNNNNNNNNNNNNNNNNNNNNNNNNNNNNNNNNNNNNNNNNNNNNNNNNNNNNNNNNNNNNNNNNNNNNNNNNNNNNNNNNNNNNNNNNNNNNNNNNNNNNNNNNNNNNNNNNNNNNNNNNNNNNNNNNNNNNNNNNNNNNNNNNNNNNNNNNNNNNNNNNNNNNNNNNNNNNNNNNNNNNNNNNNNNNNNNNNNNNNNNNNNNNNNNNNNNNNNNNNNNNNNNNNNNNNNNNNNNNNNNNNNNNNNNNNNNNNNNNNNNNNNNNNNNNNNNNNNNNNNNNNNNNNNNNNNNNNNNNNNNNNNNNNNNNNNNNNNNNNNNNNNNNNNNNNNNNNNNNGUAUUUUACUUGGAAGAUAUGACAUCUCUCUGUCAACUUACUGGAAAUAUCUCCUCAUCUACUCUCUUUUAUCUAAUAUCAAUUGAAGAUCUCAUAUUUCCAAACUAUGACUUCCAAAUCUCUCAUUAUCAUUGAGCAUUCAAAACUAAUCAAGUGUGGAAAUAAUCAAAUAUAUGCAAAAAUCGAGUCACAAUCUUUGGCCCCUCAAAAUUCUAAUUAUAUAACUUCUAUAUAUCUCAUACAUUUUCCAAAUUCCUCUUCCAUCAACAUCAUUAGGAGUAUGUUCAUCUCUCACACAUUAACUUGAGUGGAGAGUUUCCAAAUUGAUUGUCAGAAAACAACAAAAGAACUAGACACGCUUGAUCUGUCUAAUAAUUCUCUUUCGGUAAAAUUAAUUAAUUUUAGGGGAAUUCAGCCAACCUCUGUAAUUUUAUAGUGAUCAUUAAUUAAUUAAACAAUACAAAUAUCUAAAGUGAUUAGAUGUUUACUGACAAUACAAGUUCAUGGCUUGAAAUUUGAUCUCUAUCGAUUGGUUUUGUAGUGCUUAAUAUUUACAGAACUCCGGGAAUUUGAAAUCAAACUCGUAACUACAGAUUAUCUAAUUGUAAGUUUUUGUCCAUAGCUGCUGAUUUGUAGUGAUUAUCUAAUUGACUGAGGUGACAACAAUUGUUCUUUUAAUUUUCAAUAGCAUAAUGUGGAAUUCAAUAAUUAAAUUCUCCUUUUUAAUUUGUUUCCAAUUAAAUUAUUAAUUACUUAAACUCUAUUUUAAGUCUUUAAUUUUAUGUGUUUAUGCAGAAUUGGAUUCUUGAGCGUGUUGGACACGACCAACAAUGAAAUUGACAGUAAACAAACAUUACAACGCGUUGAGUGUCGACUCCGGUAGCUGCCCUACAAGUCUACAACUUUACAAAAAAUAAUUGAGUACACACAUUCGAUUCUCGGGACCCUUCAAUGAAUUUCUAGCCCCGUUGACUCCACUGACAAAAGUUUUGGAAAAUAAAAAAAAAAUUCAUAGAAUUCCACCAAAUGCAAAACGCAUGGAAUUUAAUUUUCGGCCGUGUGGACCAAAACAUAAUUUAAUGAAAAAAAAAAGAUAAAUUUUCUAAAAUGUGUGGAAGGUGAUCCAUAUUUUAUUGAAACAACUUGUUAAAUUUUUUAAGGAUUUAGAAUAUUUGGUCAUAAAUUACGCUCAUGUUAAUUUUUCCGCUAUUGACUAUCAUAUUCUAGACUCACUGGUACCUUUCUUGAUGAAGGGUACUUAGUCUCUCUUCUACUCUUAUAAAAAUUAUAUUAAUUGAUUUCUUAUUAUAAUAAAUUGUCUUUAAGAACGUAUAGAUUUAUUGUUUUCGUGACCAAAUUAUGCUAGAUUAAGGUUGCGACUAUUAAUAAAAUUAAUAUUUAAUGUUUAUGUUAAAAGAUAUAAGAUUUUAUGCAUUCAUUAAUUGUUAUUAGCUAAAGGAUUAAUUAUUUUUUCAACCCAAUCAGUUGAUGCAUCUGCAAGAAUGUUUUCUUUUAUUGACCAUAAUUAUAUUCCGGGUACAAUAAAUUAUCUUUGGUGCUUGGAAAAUAUGACUUCUUACUUCAAGUUUGAUAUGUCUCUCUCCAUAAACUUACUGGAAAUAUAUCCUCAUCUAUUAUCAUUUAUCUAAUAUCAAUUGGAAGAUCGCACUUUUUCAAACUAUCACUUCCAAGUCUCAUUGUCACUUGGCCAUUCUUGGACCAUUCAGAACCAAUCAAGUGUUGAAAUAAGUCGAGAGGGGGGGCAAAAUUAGAGUCACAAUUUUUGGUCCCCCAAAUUCUAAUUAUAUAACUUCUAUAUAUUUCAUUGCCAGGUCACGAACUUGUUGGCACAUUUUCCAAAUUCCUCUUCCAUCAACUCUCACACGUUAACUUAAGUGGAAAGUUUCCAAGUUGAUUGCUAGAAAGCAACGCAAAAUCAGACACGCUUGACCUGUCCCCUAAUUCUCUUUUCUACGUUGAAAAAGAAAAAAAAAAUAUAUAUAUAUAUCUAUGUAAAAAUAAAUAAUAAACUGAAUAAAAGUACAUUUGUUUAAUUAACAUCUGAUCGUGGCAUUUUUGGUGUAAUUUCGUGCUGUGUAAGCCACAACUAAAAUCAAACAGCCCCUUAGCAUACUUCUUCCAUUUUAUCUGGUACUUUUGUGGAUCUUAUAGGGUGGGCAUGUGGACAGAAUUUAAAAGUUUUAAUAGUCUCAAAGAAUAAGAUAUGUUAAAGCUAAAGUUGUUGCACCUUCUAAUUAAAUAAAGUUGUACAAUUUCACCAACUUGGAAGAAUUGACAUUAAUGGACUGGUCCCUUCUCCAUAUAUGAAGCCUUCUUAAAAGUUAAUUUUUAUUUCAGAAAAAAAAAGUUAAAGUUACAUAUAUUAUAGUAAGAUUUUUUGAGACCAAUUCCCUUCUUGAAAUAAUAAUGGAAAAGUAUUAAUUUAAUAAUAAAAUGAAUAUGUAUUGAUUAUAUCUUGAUUUUCAUCGAUUAUAGUGAGAGUUUCUCCAAAUCAAUUCCCUUAUUCAAAUAAUAUCGAAAAAAUAGUAAUUUAAUAGUAAAAUAAACAGGUGUUGAUUAUAUAUUCUAAGUUUCAUCGAUUAUGUGAUCAAAGUGGCAUUGUUGAUUUAUUUCUUGUUCAAUGUUAAUUUUUAGGUUAUCUAAAUUUCAAGGAUUUAAAAUCUUUGAUCAUGGAUUACACGCUUGUUAAUUUUUCUGCCAUUGACUAUCAUAUUCUAGACUUAAUGAUACCUUUCUUGAUCAAGGGUAAUUACUCUCUCUUCUCCUCUUAUAAAUUCCUCUUCCAUUAACAUCACUAGGAGUAUGUUGAUCUCUUACAAAACAACAAAAGAACUAGACACACUUGAUCUGUCUAAUAAUUCUCUUUCGGUAAAAUUAAUUAAUUUUAGGGGAAUAUUCGACCAACCUCUGUAAUUUUAGAGUGAUCAUUAAUUAAUUAAACGAUACAAAUAUCUAAAGUGAUUAGAUGUUUGCUGACAAUGCAAGUUCAUGACUUGAAAUUUGAUCUCUAUCGAUUGGUUUACAAAUGGACAUACUUGUGCCUUUGUGGCGAUAAUCGAACAAGUUCCAAUGAUUAUUAUUUUUUCCAAAAACUUUUUUACAACAAAUUCAUCUCGCCAAAAAUUCUAUGUUGCUAGCUAACAAUAAUUGAGCACUUGGCCGCAUUGACUCCACGUCUCCACCUCUUUCUAAAUUCUAAGUAAAAACAUGGAAAUGUAAUUUCCACAAAAUGCCAAACGUGUGGAAUUUAAUUUUUUGCCUUGUGGAUCAAAAUACAAAUGAAAGAAACAGGAAAAAAAAAAAAGGCCCAAAGACUUCUAAAAGAUGAAGAAGUCUUUGGGCCUUUUUAUAAUGGUGGAUUUUUUAAAAGAAAAAAAUAACAACACUUUUAUGGUUGGUUUUGAUAAUCAUAUGUGCGUAUAUACUCUCUAAUUUUCAAAAUGGACACAUAAAUCUUUUUUUUUCACAAAAUAUAUAUUAUUCAUAUUUUUUAUUUUUUAUUAUCAUAUUUUUAUUUAUUAUAAAUGUUUAGAGUAAAUUUUUAGGUUGAAAUAUAAUAAAAGGGUAUAAUCGUUCUCUUAUUAAACACACAUACUUUUAUUAGUUUCUAUGCAUUUGUCAUCUCAAUCUCUCUCAAUUAUUCUUUAUUGCUAGCUCAAAACACGUUGCUGUUGCAAAUUAUAGCAAAAUGACAAAUAUGGAAAAAAAGGGAAGAAAAUUAAUGCAUGAAAGACUUGGAGAAAACAACAAAAUAAGCCAACUAUGAGCUAGUUGGGUGUAUAAAUUGUUAGAUGUGUUAUAUACAAAUAGCAUAGAGCCCUCUAGUUGGUUCUAGAGACAGAAAGAGCGUGUGUGUUUUUUCACAGUUAGAGAUAUAGUUAGAAUGGGUGGCUCAAAAUCAAAAAUGAUGAUAAUGUUUAUUAUGUUAUUAAUAAUAUUUAAAAGUGGGUGGAGUGAGGGAUGUUUGGAUCACGAGAGAUUUGCUCUUUUGCGACUCAAACAUUUCUUCACUGGUCCUUGUAAUUAUCUUUACGACUGGGUAGAUGGUGAGGGAGCUACUGAUUGUUGUCAGUGGGAAAGGGUUGAGUGCAGCAACACCACAGGCCGAGUGAUAACGCUAGACCUUUUUGACACGUAUGGGGGAGAGCACAACUGGUAUCUGAAUGCUUCUUUGUUUACUCCCUUCCAACAACUUGAGUCACUUGAUUUAACUUACAACAAAAUAACCGGUUGUGUUGAGAAUGAAGGUGCUUCGUUUAAUUUAAUUAAUUUACUUUCUCCCCCCUAAUUUAAGUUGAAUAUCAAGACCGAGCAAUUAUAUGCAUAUUCAUUCAGUUGACAAUUUUGACUUUUUUUUUAAAGAUUAAUUUUGAAAUUACACUAGUAUCUAUGAUCCUUUUUUUUUUUAUUUUACUUGCAGGUAUAGAGAGGCUAUCAAGAUUGAACAACUUGAAGAUGCUUAAUUUAAGUGAUAACUCGUUCAACAAUAGCAUUUUAUCAUCACUAACUCAUCUUUCAUCAUUAAGAUCAUUAAAUUUAUAUGGGAAUAGAUUAGAAGGAAGUAUUGACGUUAAAGGUACAUAAUUAAAACUUCAUCCCUUCUCCAAGCUCUUUCAUUAACUUGCUAAAAUAAGAUUCAAGGCUUUGAAUUCAAUUUUUUUUAUGAUUAGUAUUAAAAAAAAACAGUUUUAAGCAAUUUAUAAAUACAAGUUUUAAUCUUUCUCAUAAUUUCAUCUUGUACUUUCAUGUGUCUUGAAUUUAAGAUUAAAAAGAAAUCUAAUAGCAAACCAAACACCUCCACAACUUAUUAUUAUUAUUAUUAUUAUUUGCGGUGAGGUUUGAAACAUUCAACUCAAUUUGUACUUAUUACAGAAUUUGAUUCUUUGAGAGAUUUAGAGGAGCUAGACAUUGGCGAGAACAAGAUUGACAAAUUUGUGGUCUCAAAAGGUACUACAAAUACCAUAAAAAAAAAUGCUAACUUAUACAAAUUAGUUGGAUUCUUGGCCAUUUGGUUUAUUAUUUUACAGGUUUGAGUAAGUUGAAGUCUCUCUGUUUAAGUGGUAUCAAACUCAAUCGUAGCAUCUUCGCUUCUCUUUCUUCGUUAAGAGAAUUAGAUAUAAGUUAUACGGGAUUCAAAGGAACAUUUGAUGUUCGAGGUAAGUCUAAGCCUUGCUUUCUCAUUUUAUAUAUGCGAACUAGAUUUGUGUAUCAUCGACAUAAUUUAAUAUUUAAUUUAAUAAGUCUGAAGGUAUUACAUGCUAAUUUAAACAUACUUUUAUUUACUUUGUCAAUUAAUUAAUUAAUUAAUUAAUUACUAUUUGGCUUGGUUUGGACGAAAUUCUCAUGAUGUUUUAAUUUCUUUAAAUUAAUUAAUUAAUUAACUCUGUUUUUAAGUCUUAAGUCUGGGCAUGUUUGCAGAAUUUGAUUCCUUCAAUAACUUAGAAGUGUUGGACAUGGGAUACAAUGAAAUCGACAAUCUUGUGGUUCCUCAAGGUAAACAAUUAAAAUAUUAUUCAAUUACAUUAUUUUAAUUCAUUUGAUUAGAGAAGGCCAAAAAGGUCCCAAAAAAAUUAAUAAUAAAGAAACAGAUAAUUUGUAUUAUUUAAAAAAAACAGAAUGUAAUAAAGAUUUGAUUCCAGUUCUUUAAUCUUUAAAGCGAUUGAAAAACAAUGUUGCUCUUUUCCCAAAGUAUAAAAUACGAAUUGAAUGCCAAUUAACUUAAUCAUUCAUUUCGUUUAGCUCUAAAUUUAGACAAUGAAUUUUUAUAUUAUUUCAAAAACAGGACGUAAUAGAAUUUUUUUAAAAACAGAUUGUAAUGAAGAUUUGAUUCCAAUUUUUUAAUCUUUGCAGCGAUUGAAAAACCAUACCGCUCUUUUCCCAAAGCAUAAAAUACGAAUUGACUCCCAAUUAAAUUAAUCAUUUAUUUUGUUCAUCUCUGAAUUUAAAUAAUGAAUUUUGAUCUUCAAUCAUAUUCUAACUACUAUUAAAAAACAAGUUACAAAGGUUUGAGGAAGCUGAAAAGCCUUGAUCUAUCGGAAGUUGAAAUUAGAGAUGGAAGCAAGUUGUUACAGUCGAUGGGAUCAUUCCCAUCCCUCAACACUCUUUACCUGAAGGAUAAUAAUUUUACCGAUAUAGCGACAACUACUACUCAAGGUAAGUAAAAGGUACAGAUGUGGCCAAAUUUAUAAAUAAAUUGUUAAUUAAUUAAUUUUUCCGUAUUAUUAAUUAAGCUAAAUUCGUUGCUCCUUCCUUCUAAAUCUAAACAGAGUUGCACAAUUUCACCAACUUGGAAUAUUUGACAUUGACCGGUUCCUCUCUCCAUAUAAGCCUUCUGCAAAGCAUUGCAUCAAUAUUCCCUUUGUUAAAAAUUUUGCCGAUGAUUGGUUGUGAAGUCAAUGGCAUCCUACGUGGUCAAGGUAAAAGAAAAGCGUUGAAUGUGCACUCACUGAGUGUUGUCCUACGUGUUCAAUAUUUUCAUUUAUUCAUUUUAUUGUUUAAUGUUUCUGCUAGGUUUUACUCAUUUCAAGAGUUUGGAACAUUUGGACAUGGAUUACGCGCUCAUUGCACUCAACACCAGCUUUCUUCAAAUCAUCAGUGAAUCGAUGCCUUCUCUUAAGUACUUAUCACUAUCAAAUUCUACUCUUGGCACUAACAGCAGCAGGAUUCUUGAUCAAGGUUAAUCAGAUGCUCCCACCCCCCUUCUUAAUCUAUAAUAUUAAUUUUCAAUUAAAUAUUUAAUUACACAAACGAAUCACUUAUUAUAAAAGAAUAAUACGCAUUCAUUAAUUUUUAUAUUGUAUUAAUUGAUGAAUUUAAUAAAUUUUCAGGCCUCUGUUCGUUGAUGCAUCUGCAAGAGUUGUACAUUGAUAAUAAUGAUUUAAGAGGUAGCUUGCCUUGGUGCAUGGCAAAUAUGACAUCCCUCCGAUUAUUAGAUGUUUCUUCCAAUCAACUUACGGGAAGCAUCUCCUCAUCUCCCCUCGUUCAUUUGACAUCCAUUGAAGAGUUGAUGCUUUCAAACAAUCACUUCCAGAUCCCAAUUUCACUUGAACCACUUUUCAAUCACUCAAGACUCAAGAUUUUCAAUGCUUAUAACAAUGAAAUAAAAGCUAAAAUAACUGAGUCACAUUCUUUGAUCGCCCCAAAAUUCCAAUUAAAUACACUCUUGUUGUCUUCCAGUUACGGAGACAGUUUCAUAUUCCCCAAAUUCAUUUACCAUCAACAUGACCUGGCGUAUGUUGAUCUCUCACACAUAAAGAUGAAUGGAGAAUUUCCAACUUGGUUGUUGGAAAACAACACAAAAUUGAGCCAACUUUCUGUCGUCAAUGAUUCUCUUGCAGGACCUUUUCGGUUGCCAAUUCAUUCACACAAGCAGUUAAGACUGUUGGAUAUAUCCACCAACAACAUCCGAGGCCACAUUCCAGUAGAAAUUGGAGAUGUUUUGCCACGUUUAUACGUUUUCAACAAUUCCAUGAAUGCUCUAGACGGUAGCAUUCCCUCUUCAUUUGGUAAUAUGAAAUUCCUCCAAAUUCUGGACUUAUCCAACAAUCACUUGACUGGUGAAAUCCCCGAGCACUUGGCCGUGGGUUGCGUCAACUUGCAGGCUCUUGCAUUAUCAAAUAACAACCUACAAGGUUACAUGUUCUCUAGAAAUUUUAACUUGACAAACUUGAGAUGGUUACAAUUGGAGGGCAAUCGAUUCGUAGGUGAGAUCCCACAAAGUUUGUCUAAAUGCUCCUCACUAGAAGGAUUGUAUAUUAACAAUAAUAGUCUUUCGGGUAAGAUUCCACGAUGGUUGGGUAAUCUCACAUGGUUACAAUAUAUUAUAAUGCCCAAUAAUCAUCUUGAAGGCCUUAUUCCAGUGGAGUUUUGUCAGCUUGAUUCGCUUCAGAUUUUGGACAUUUCAGACAACAACAUAUCUGGAAGUUUACCAUCUUGUUUCCAUCCUCUCUCUAUCAAACAAGUUCAUCUUUCAAAAAAUAUGUUACAUGGACAACUAAAAAGAGGUACAUUCUUUAAUUGCUCUUCCCUUGUGACAUUAGAUCUUAGCUAUAACCGCUUGAAUGGCAACAUUCUGGAUUGGGUUGAUGGGCUUUCUCGGUUAAGCCACCUGAUCUUAGGUCACAAUAAUCUUGAAGGUGAAGUGCCAGUUCAAUUGUGCGAAUUGAACCAACUACAAUUGUUAGAUCUUUCUAAUAAUAAUCUUCACGGUCCUAUUCCUCCUUGCUUUGAUAACACCACACUUCAUGAAAGUUACAGCAAUAGUUCUAGUCCUGAUGAGCAAUUUGAAAUAUUUUUUUCCAUCGAAAGCCCUGUGGGAGAUGUAAAAGAGCAAAUCCAUGAAAUUUUUGAGUUAACAACAAAGAACAUUGCGUACAUUUACCAAGGAAAAGUGUUUAGCCUCCUAUCAGGACUUGAUCUUUCUUGCAACAAGCUAAUCGGUCAUAUUCCUCCUCAAAUUGGAAAUUUGACAAGGAUUCAAACAUUGAAUCUAUCGCACCAUAACUUGACAGGAUCGAUCCCAUCAACAUUUUCAAACUUGAAGCAUGUCGAAAGUUUGGAUCUUUCCAACAACAAAUUGAAUGGAAAAAUCCCUUAUCAACUAGUGGAGUUAAAGACAUUGGAGGUUUUCAGUGUGGCAUACAAUAACUUAUCAGGCGAAAUUCCAGAAUGGAAAGCACAAUUUGCAACCUUCAACGAGAGUAGCUAUGAGGGAAAUACUUUUCUUUGUGGACUGCCAUUGCCCAUUUGCAGAUCACCAGCAACUACGCCGGAGGGUUCAAUCGGCAAUGAACGAGAUGAUAAUUUAAUUGACAUGGACAGUUUCUUUAUCACAUUUACAACAUCGUACGUAAUUGUGAUAUUCGGAAUUGUUAUUGUUUUAUAUGUAAAUUCUUAUUGGCGACGUAAAUGGUUUUACUUUGUUGAAAUGUGGAUAACUUCAUGUUAUUAUUUUAUUGUAGACAAUCUUAUUACAACAAGAUAUUGUCAUUGAAAUUAAUUAGCAGUUUAAUUACGAUUCUUUAAGUUCUAAUCAAGUUUGCACUUGAUCGCCUAUUUUACUUUAAAAAAUAAUGAUUAUGGUGCUAUCAUCAUCUUCUUCACUAGCAACAUUAACACCAAAUCCAGCGAUGGACCCAGACAUUUUAUCAAGAUAUCCACCAUAACUUAUACUUCCCUAUACUGUGCAGCCUACUUAAAUAAGAGAACCAUCUCCAAUGUUAAAACCAGCCACUCUAUAACAUUCAUUUAGAAACUAUAUUUAGAACUCUCCAAUCCACCCACCAGAAUUUCAUAUCUCCUCAACAAUUUUAAGAACUAAAGAUAAUUAGGAUAUAACAUUAGUUUUUUAUAUAUUAGUUUCAUAAUUUACAAAUCAAUGAAGAUGAAGAUUAUGUUAAUGAAUUCAAAUUAUACCAUACAUUCUCGAGAUGCUACCAAAAAUUUCUAAGUCAAUCCCACAUAUUUCAUAAUUUUAAGACUAGAAAAUUUCAUUAGGUAGAAGUUUCAUUACCUUCAAGUGGAAGAUGAAGAACAUUAUACAAUUGAUUCAGAUUAUAUCAUACAUACUCCAAAUGCAACUAGAAAUUAACAAGUUCAUGCGCACAGAUUUCAUAACAUUAUGAAUGGAAAGUUUCACAAAGAGAAAUUAUAAAUUCAAUCUCUUGCAUCAAGGUAGUUUGAUUGAUUUGAGUUACUUUCUGAUCAAGCUAUUAAUAUAACAUUCAAGUCAGGGAGAAAGUAAAUUAAAACUGGGAAGAAAUAACAGUAAAAAUUUGUUGCUAAACAUGAUGUGUAUUUUUUUUUUAAGGCAAUUUGGAAACACAGUUGUUACUACAGAUAUUCUCCUCAACUUAGAGAUAAUACAAAUAUUAAAAUGCAUAUGAUCGCACAUAUUACUUUGGAAGCUUAGUAAGAUUUCAUUAAGAGAAGCAAAUCAAACCACUUAUUUCAUUGUUGCAUCGUUCUAUAAGCUAAAAUAGCAAUAUAAUACAAGAAAAAGAACAUAUAGAUACUUGGCAAGAGUUCAUUAAGAAGUCGCAUCACAUUCGGGUGAGUUUGCUUCUGAUAUCUUGCUAGCUGGGGCUUUUUCUUGUCUUUCUAUGUAUGCCGAGGGAAACCAACCAGCUUGGCCCUUGCAUUCACCUUCCGACCAUCCAGUAGGAGCCACCUUGAGAAGUUAUAACUAAAACAGUGAAUUAAACAACAGUUGACCAUUCAAAGACCUAAGGGGAAAACUAAUUCUUUUACGUAGGAAGAGUGAAUUAAUUCUGAUCACUGAAAUAACAGCAUAACUAUGGAAGCCUAAAAAGAUAUAAAUUCACACGUCUAUAAGGGUAAACUGGGUGGUUUAGAACUGAGCUAGCAACCCUACCAUAUUCUGAUUUGCACUUCAAUGUAAAAGGGAAUAUAUGGUAUGAAGAAAGAAAACCAACCAUCAUUUGUUAACCCAUUGCUUUUCAAUCAAAAUUUUAAGAACAAAAUGCCAUGUGCUUUGAACAUCAAAUAAGUAUAAGCAUUAGUUCUAAAUUCCACAUAUCAUAAGUUAGAAGGAUAAGUUAAUAGCAUAGUAGAAAAAUCUGUGUUGUUAUUUAGAGGGGAAAGUACCUGGCGAACCACAACAUAAUCAUCAAUUGAAAGACUUAACUCUCCAUUUGCUUGAGCAUCAAAUGGAUGUAUAACCUGCAAGAUAAUGGGAUAAAUAGAACUUAAUCUCAAAAAAAGCAUAACAAAAGCAGCAACAGUAUCAGCAGCGUUCAUUGUAACCACUAUGAUCAUGGCCAACAAAGAUAUAUUAGAAACAAAAUUCCAUUUUUACUACGGCAUUAAUAUGCACUAUAUGAUAUCAUGACGAUUGGGUUACCAAGAGCUAUCAAAGUCCAAUAAAUUCUGUAUAACUUUAUGUAGUUAUUCAAAUUAUGGAUCAGAUUUUAAAUCUGAAAUUUUGACUGCUCUCCACAAAACAUGGCCUAUGCACAAGAAGGUCAUAGAUAAUGAGGAUUACAAGUGUUUGACAUCUUUAGAGUGAUGGAUUUAAGAUGACAGCUUAUGGUCAGUCAAUUUCCUCCGCCUAGCAAUAUAAGCUUUCUCGGCCGGAUUUAUCAUCAAAUAUAUAGAUUGCCCCCAAGUCACAUCCAUAUAAACAUAGUUUUUCUAGGUAAACCAAGUAAGGAGAAUCAUAAUUCAGACAUAAUCAUAAAAAGGCCCAUCUAACUUAAGAGAAAAUCUCAAAAAGAGGAAUGUUGAGCUAUCAUUCUUGUAUCUAUAAGCAAUAUCAAGACUUUACAUCACCUGCUACAUCGUGAGUGGCUACACAACUUUCAGUGGUUUGUCUUUCUUUGGCAUGCCUAACUCAGCUUUGAUGUUGCUGAGAUAUUGAUGGUAGAGACACAUGAUACUUCUAGCUCAUGCAUUCUAUCUAGCUCAUUCGACAGCUAUCUCUUUUUUAAUUCAUUAGUGUUUGCUAAACCUCAUGCUUAAAAAUCAUGCUGUUCUAAACAAAGUUUCCUAAGAAUGACUUCCUCAGCACCACACUUAGACACUUUUAGAGCAAUUUUAUUUGGGGGAAAAGAAUUUUCAAGGUGUUAACUAAUAAAUUUUAAAAAAUAAUUACAAUUUGUCCUACGAUUAUAUGACAAUUUAUCUAGGAUGAAAGGAUACAGACAGACAUCUUCCACUUUCAAGACUAAUCACUACUUCCGUAGAUGUUUUGCAAUAACACAAAUACUUGACCAGAUGGUAGUGAUGGUAGAAAAUAUUUUAUUGCUCCAAAAUUAAAAUAAGAAUGCAAUAUGUUAAGCAAAAGACUGUGCAACAUCAAAUUAAUUGAUAAGUUUGUAAUUCAGUAAAUUAACAACUUUCAUGGUAAAAUACAACAAAUUUCUUUUCAAAAAAUUUUUUUAAAAGACAGCAUUCAAUUUUGUGCGCAUCUUAUUUCUUAAGAUUUUCCAGGAGGGCAAUAGAGGGACUUUCACCUAUGCAAGAGAGCAGAAGCCUUACUUUCGCUAUAAAGUAGACGUCAUUCUGAUUAAUAUGCGUUUGCAAAUCAACUCCAUUUGAAUCAGUAUUCUGAUAGACACAUGAGGCAUUUACAUCCAUUUCCAAAGUCACAUGUUGCGAGGAGGACUCAUUUGAUUGCUCCUCUAGGAUCAUCUAAUUCAAGUAGCAAGGGUUGGAAGAGAAUAAAAAGUCACAAUUAUUCUUUUGCAUAAGUGAGACGAAAAUGAUAAAUGCACUAUUAUCAGCAGUAAACAAGAAGAGAACACUCCAAGGAAUAGAUAGAUGCGGACAAGCAAGUUAAAAUGCACAGUUCCAAACCUCCGCAUACAACUUCUCUGAAAUAGCAAUAACGUGUUGAUGAUAUGUUUUCUCAGCAUCUACCUUUAAAGGCCCGAGACCAGGAAAACAACAAUAAAACCACUAGCUAAAGGAGAAAGUAAAGAAAGAAAUACACUUGACAUAAAUCUUGACAAGAAGCACAAUUUAAGACAUAACAAACCCCAAUCAUAUUGUUUAGGACUACCAUUCGUUAUUUCGUUAUUGUAGCAUUUAGAACAAGUGUUGACUUAAUUCAACAUUGUUGGAAAGAUAGGCUUUUAGAAGCGGAAGAAAGCCACUCAAACCAAAGUGAUUGCCCUUGAAUUGAUCAAGGGAUGUAAACAUAUUACAUUUCCAGGAUGAGUUUUAAUCACUCCCCUGAUUUAUUUGGGUUGCAGUAAAACUAAGCGAGCAACUGUUUGACUUUCAAGCAACAUCUAAAUCAGCUAUUAAAAUUCAAAUAAAAUCAUAAUAGAAUAAUAACAGGCCAUCUUGCAUCAAAAAUUAAGUUUAAUUUGUGAAUUGUUUUCUAUAGACAUGUUAGUUCCUGCUAUUGAAAUGUUAAAAGCAUUGAAAAAUGAUUCAAUAAAUUAUGCAAACAUUAAAAUAGAGGACAUAUUAAAAAGUUUCUAAUUACAAUGUUAAGAUUUCCUAUAUUUUAGCAUUUGCAUAUUUUAAUUUAUGUAAAAGCUACGUCGAUCAACUUUGGGCGUGAAGAUUUUAGCUUCUACGAGACUUGAUUGGAAUAUGCAUAAGGAAGAGUGUUAAAAUAUGAUGCAUCCAACGAAAGACAAACCACGUGUAGUCUUUUAAUUAAGCCAAAGUAGCAGCUCAAACAAAUGACACUUGGACCAACAUGCAAUCAUGAAGGGGCCGGAAAAAGGACAAAUGCAACUUUGGCUUAAAUAAAAAAUAACAUGUGACUUGACUUUUGCUGGACAUGCAUCAUGUUAUUACAAGACAACAGAAAUCAGUAUGAUAGUACUAAAAGUUGACAAUAACAUGAAGAUAAGAGGCAGAAUAUCAACACAUGCAUAGGCACACACAAGGAAGUAUUAACUUAUAUACCAUAGCAAAAAGUCUUUGAAAUAUCAAUAAAAAAAAAACAAUUAAUUAAAGGUCGAAGAUGGGUCCUUUACAUAUGUUUUUGUUUUCGUAUUAGGUAGGAGGUUAUUAUAUUAUAUCAUGUAAUUAAUUUAUAUUAUAUCAUAUUAUAUCAUAUAUAUAUGAAAAAAAAAAAGAAUUUCAAAGAGAUAGCAACAUACAAUAGACUGAAGCCAUUUGAUCUACUCAUUGAUUUCAGCCUUAAACUUGUAAAUACUUACUGUACGCUAGUGCUCUAAGAAGUGAAAAUGAUGCAAACCCUGAUCCCCUUUUGACUUCCAUUUACUGUCAAAUAUUCUAUUCAUACGAAAAAAAUGUUUAGAUAUCUUACUAUAAAUAUAGCCGUUUGACUGUCUUAAUAAAGUCACACACAACCAUUCUUAUUAAAUUAGCAAGAUCAAACACUGCCCUGGAUCUUGAACAGAUCCACGCAAGUUGCACAACUUACGAUUGAAUCCGGCCAGAAAAAAUCAACUCUUUAGCAAGAAAAAUUAAUCAGAGUCAAGAAACAAGUUUAAUGAAUAUAAACCUAUAAUUGAAACAAACAUAGCCAAGAAACAAAUAGAGAUUUUACAUGUUUCAGUUGUACCAAGGAUGGCACAACCUACACCACGGGAGAAGCUUUCUGGUGACCCCAAUCUGCUUAGUUAAUAAUAGAGAUUUCAGAGAAUAAGCUAUAACCCUCUCUCCCUCUUCAGUCUCUCUCUAUUUUGUUCCCAUUGAUGACCCCAAUCUGCUUAGUUAUCCAGCUUUAUAGCUGCAUCAGUAACAAACCAGCAAACCCAGAUUGAGCAGAUUGACGACACGUGGAUAACGGCUUUAACGAACCUGGUUAAGAACUGCUCACAUGUUCGUCACGCGUGCUGCUUAAAUGAUGGCCAAAACGACUUCAAACAAAUGUCGUUUUGAGGCUUAUGAAUUACAAGUGAUAACACGAGCUUGUCUCAUGACUUUUAAAUGCAACAACGUGCCCACAACGCCGUCGUUUUACUCUGUUGAGUUUGAUUCAUUACUAAGCUUUACGACUGGCAAUGGAGAAGAUGAUAAUUUAAUUGAUACGGACAGUUUUUAUAUCACUUUUACAACAUCCUAUGCAAUUGUAAUAUUGAGAAUUAUUGAUGUUUUAUAUCCUCAUUGGCAAAAACUAGUGGUUUUAUCUUUGUUGAAAUAUAGAUGACCUCUCGUUACUGUUUUAUUAUAAACAUAUAGUUUCAUAAGUGAAACUAUAUGUUUAUAAUAAAAUUAACAUAUAGUUUCGUUACAUUUCUGCCUCAUUAAGAUUCUCAAAUACCAGUCAGGUUUGCUUAAGAAAUAAAAAUUUUCCAUUAAAAUUGCAGUAGUAUUUCCAAGCAUAUCGCAUUUUCUAUGAUUUUUCAUAAAUUAAUUAAUCUGCGGUGCCAAUAUCAGAUUUAGUUUUUCAAACUAAAUAAUCAAGAAAGCAAACAUACAAAUAUACAUACAAAUAUACUAAGCCAGCUACCUCACUAAAUUCCGAUUCGUACAGUGAACUGCAAGAAAUUGAGAAAACAAUGUAUUUAUAAUUUAAUAGAAUCAUAAGAAAACAAUGUAGUCAUUGCUUAAUAUAAGAUGAUUUCGGAGAGCCACAUUGUUUUCAAGUUAAUUUGAACCGUUUAUAAGAGAUGAAGUGGAAUCAAGUUGAAAGUUUAAAUAACAAAUCCCUGUUCUUGAGUUUUACGACGUCGUUACUCCUUCAAGUGGCAGAUUAUGCAAGUGAAUGCAGAAACAUGUGCAGAGCAUGUCAACAUGGCACAUUUAACCAUCAUUCAAGUGAUGAUGGGUUUUAUAAGACUGCUUAUGGGUUUUAUCAAGUUCCUCUGCCUCUAAGCAAAAAAUUAAAUUCGUAAUUUGUAAACGAAUUUUCCUGACAUGUAUAGUAAAUGAAGUUGUUGAUCCUUUCUUUGGAUUAUUGCAGCUCUGGUUGUGGGUCACCGAUGAGCCAAAGUCUUAUGGGUUUUAUCAAGUUCCUCUGCCUCUAAGCAGAAUUACUAUUGAAGGGCCAAAAAGAAAAUGAAAACGUGUGAACUCCAACAACCACCCCACAAAUUCAAUGACGAUGCUCAGAGACGGUUACGUUGGGCCUCUGAGAAAAAAAAUUUAUUUAGUUAAAAAAUUACCCAUAUUGAAACAUGUAUAAAAAUUUUAUAUUAAUUAGUUAUGUUUCCUCUUCAACUAUGAUCAAAUUCUUAUUCGAGCUCAUUAUUUAAUGAAUAAACGCGUAUUUUAAUUAUCUCAAUUAAUAUUUAGAACAAAUAUUUUAAGAAAUAAAGCUCAUUACAUCUCCCAUCAUUAGGUAUCUCUUUAAUUUCUUAUUUACAAAAUUAUAUUGUACAUUAAAAAUGUAUUGAAUUAGAAGAAAAUAAAUUCAACUCACUCCAAAAAUAAAUAAAAAAUGCUGGUAGCUUCGUAAUAAUUACUGUAUUGACUGCACCAGAUAAAGUUUUGUAAAAUAAUAAGUUCCCAUUAGAGGUUUUUAAAUUUUUUUUUCCGGCACACCUGAUCAAGAAUUCUAUUUUGUUAACUAAUCAAUUGCAAAGCAUAAGUGUUGAACGGUACAAAAAAUUUGAAAAAAACACUUAAAACGUGGGGUGGGUAACGGUUCACUCAAUUCGUUAGGUAGAAUUUUGGAAAACUAAAGCGAAAUGAGAAAUAUAGAAAGAAAGGAAGAAAGUUAAGAUAUGAAAGAUCAGCAGUGAAAUUGAUAGUCAUGUUUGAUUCAUCCUUCUAUGAAUUUCUAGCUGUAUUGACCCCAACUGCUAAAGUUUUGUAAAAUAAAAAAAAAAAAAAACUGGAAUUUCAACAAAAUUCAAAACGUGUGAAAUUUAAUUUUUGGCCAUGUGGAACAAAAUGUAAAUUAAGGAAAAAAAGUAUAAAUCUGAAUUGCUUAGUAUGGUUAGGAUUUUGUGAGCAUCACUAAAAAGUGAAAACUAUGAAUGAUAGAGGUGAUGUUUGCAACAUGAAUAAAUGAUGAACUGAAUCAAUUGAUGAUCGUAAUUAUAUAAAAUUUUACAAAAUCAACAAAAGUUAAUAAAAUUUUAUUUAAAUAAUAAAAAAUCAAUAAAAACUUAUUAUUUUACGACGCUCUAACCAUGGAGUACCAUAAUCAUAUUCUUCUUUUAAGAAAAUUAUUCUAGAUAUUUAAAAGAAAACAUUAUCCACCUGGAAUGACUUGAAGUCUAAAGAAAAAGAGAGAAUGGCUCCCCGCAAUUUUCUUGUCUUCAGUAUAUUUUCUUUUUUUUUUCUUUUUUAAAAUCUUUUGCCGCAUACUUAAUCUACCCUUGUUUAUUAUCUCUACUUUGCUCUGUUCAAGUCCUUUUUUUUUUCAAAUCUUAUUUUAAAUAAGAAAAUUGAAUAAAAGUACAUUUGUGUAAUUAAUUAGUAUCUGGGGGGGGGGGGGGGGGAUAUUUGGUGUAAUGUUUUGCUAUGUAAGACUCAGCUAUUAUUAAACAGUUCCUUAACCUGUUUCGCAGUUUAUUUGCUAUCUUUGUGGAUCUCAUAGGCGUUGCAGAAUUUAAUAAUUUUAUUCGUCAGAAGAAUAGGAUAUUGGCUUCAAUAAAUUUAAUUUAAACCAACUUUUAUUUACUCCAUCAAUUAAUUAAUAUUAUGCAUUUAUUAAUUGUUAUAAUCUAAAAAAAAUUAAUUAGUUCAGGUCAAUCUGAGUUGAUGCAUCUGCAGGAGAUUUUUUUUAAAUUUUUUUUUCCCCUUAUUGACCAUAAUGAUCUAAGGGGUAUAAUUCGACCUUGGUUCUUGGGAAAAAUGACAUCUCCUUCAACAUGACUAUUGACUAGGAGCAUGUAAAAACAUGGAAACAGAAUUUCCACAAAAUGCCAAACGUGUGGAACUUAAGUUUUGGCCAUGUGGACCAAAUGCAAAUGAAGGAAAAAUGAUUUCCCCUGCUUAUGUACAAAUAAAGGAACAACCUCGAAGAAAAAGGGGUUACCAAUUGGAGAAGACUUUACAGAGUUUCUCUCACACUCUCUCUGUCAAUUUCAUCUAGAAGUCCCUCUGAAAGCAUCUCCCAAAACAGUUAGUCAUCUUUUAUGCUCUGUUUUCUAGAAACAGAGUCCUAACUAAAUUGAUUGACUGUACAGUGCAUUUCAACAUAGCAUAUUUAACCGUUUUAACUGUUAUUUGAACCGUCUUCAGAGUUAACAUCAACAAACUCAUUCACAUUGGUCCAAUCUUACGGACGAUAUCAUAUGCUUAAUAAUGAACGAAUUGGAUCAGUGUUUUGCGGCAAGAGCAACUCGACACAAUCUGGAUUCAACCUCCUCCUAUCUAACAAGGGAUUUCGAUUUGAGUUACUUUGUGCUCAAGCAAAUUCACAUCAUAGUUUUGAUUCUUUAGAUAUGAAUUCAUCACUUUACAUAUAUCAGAUUAAUGUGUAACAAAAUUUUUAAUUUACUGCGAAAAGAAUAUGCACUAAAAAAUGAUUUCAAGACUAUUUGACUACCAAAAGCAGCUGUCAGAGUGCACUAAAAAUUUCUGUAGGAUAUUUUGUAGCUGUUUAAUAUGUUAUGAUGGGCAUAUAAUUCUCAAAUUUUGAUGCCUCUCAGCGAAAAUCUAUCAAAGUUACAGAUGAUAUCACGUAAAACAUGCAUGGCUCAGGCUCAGGCUCAGGUAAGAAGCCACGGAAAAGGAAAAUCUCACUGUCACGACUCACGUCACGCAUCAUUCAAGUGAUGGAUUUAACAAGACUGCUUAUGUUCUAUCAAAUUCCUCUGCCUCUCAGAAGAUAACUUUUCUGGGCCAAAUUUCUCAUCUAAAGCAUAUUAUGCCCCAAAGUCACAGAUAACAAAAUGGGGCACUACCGAUUAUGAAAGAGAACUAGUAGUUGUCAGAAGCCUAAGUCAAAUUCCGGUAGUAAGAAGAGGCCUUUCUUGAGUUUAGAUUAUGUGUUCGAGUUUUAAUAAAUGCCUGAGUUAAUAAUAAUAACAACAGUAAUAAUAAACUAAAAAGCAUAAUUACUAUUGAAUGGUAAAAAAAAAAAAAUUGUGUGAACUCCAAUAACACCCCAGUGGCGAAUUUUGGAGAGGGCUAGGCCGGGCUUCUUAGAAAAAAAAAAUAUUUAAUUACAAAAUUACCUUUAUUGAAACCUAUAUAAAAAAUUUAUAUUAAUUAGUUAUGAUGCCUCUUCAAUUAUCAUUAAAUUCUUGUCUGUUCAUCAUUUGAUGGAUAAAUGUGUAUUUAAAUAAUCUUAAAUAAUGUCUAGAACAAAUAUUUUGAAUGGUAAAACUCAUUAUGUCUUGCAUUACUAGAUGUAUCUAUAAUUUAUUAUUUACAAAUUAUAUUGUAUGAUAAAAAUGUAUUGAAUUUUUUUUUUAAAGUUCGGCUCACUCAGAAAAAAAAAUGUUAUUAGACUCGCCACUGCACAAACCUAGAAUAAUAAUUAUUCCUUAUUAUAUUGACUGCACCAGGCAAUAAACUAAUAAGUUCUCAUCAGUGGUUUUUAAUCUUUUUAAUUCUUUUUACCGCACACCUGAUCAAGAAUUCUAUUUUGUUAACUAAUCAAUUGCAAAGCAUAUAUUAGUGUUGAACGGUGCACAAAAUUGAAAAAACAAAAUCUUAAAAAACGUGCGGACUCGGAUAGCCAGACCAGAAAUCUAUGACAAUAAUUAGAUUUGAUGCUGGGAAUCUAUUAAUUUCUGGCCGUAUUGACUCCACCAGUGAAGUUUUUAAAAUAACAAGUUCCCAUUCUCGGCUUAUAAUAAUUUUAGAAUAAUGACUUAUUUGUAGAAGAAUUUAUGAUUUCCCAUUAAUAUCAAUAUUGAAGUGGCAUGGGUCAAAUCUCAAUUGCUUGAAGAAUCUAUUUAUUAUUAUUAUUAAUAUUGAAAUGGGGUGGGUAACGGUUCACUCAAUUAAUAUGUGGGGAAUUAAAUAUUACCACCCAAGGUAGAAUUGUGGAAAAUUAAAGCAAAAUGAGAAAUAUGGAAAGGAAGGCUGAAAGUAAGGCAUGAUGAAAGGCUUUGAGAAGGCUGAAGACCACCAAAUAAGUCAACUGAAAGCUAGUUGGGGCCUGGUAUAUAUGUUAGAUGUGUUUGUUAUAAAUAACAUAGAGCCCUUUUGUUAGCUAUAGCUAUGGAGACAGAGAGAGUUUGUGUUUUUUAGUAGUUAAAGAUAUAGCUAGAAUGGGUGGUUCAAAAUCCAAAAUGGUGACAACGUUAGUUUUGUUAUUAAUAAUAUUAGAAGGGGGUGAAGUGAGGAAUGUUUGGAGCUUGAGAGAUUUGCUCUUUUGCGGCUUAAGCAUUUCUUCAAUUCUCCUUAUAGACUUUAAAACUAGGUAGACGAGCAAAGAGAUUGUUGUCAGUGGGAAACCGUUGAGUGCAGGAAAGUGAUACGACUACAUCUUAGUCUUACCAGGAAUAUCGAUCUGGGAGAGUGGUCUCUGAAUGCUUCUCUAUUUACUCUCUUUCAACAACUUGGCAACAAAAUAGCCGGUUGGGUUAAGAACGAAGGUCCUUCAUUUAAUUUAAUUUACUUAAUUUCUCCCUCUUAAUUAAUGUCUAUAACCAUUAGGAGAAAUAAGGGAUUUUAUUAACUCAAAUAUGUCUAAUGGAGCUCAUUCUUUGGUUUUACUUGCAGGUCUAGAAGCAGGUGUGUCAUCUAACAGCUGCUUUGAUAAUUUCCCACACCUUCAUCUUUGAUGGAAAUAUGAAAUAAAAACAAAUUGGUGAAAAUGGUAUUGGUACCUGAGGCCAUGUAAUCUAUUUCAAAAACUACACCAUCAAAACGAUUACAUAAGUCUCAGAAGAAUCAAACAUCAGUUUUGCAAAAUACCAAUUGCUGGAGGCUAGAUUCUAACUUCCCCUCUUGAUUUUUAUGGGCAUGUUGUGUCGUACAUGCAGACAAAAAUCAUAUUUUACUUUACUUAUUUCUUACUUUCACUUGCAACCCAAAGUGGCAAGAAAUAAAUAACAUGCUCCGAUUAGCUGGACAAAAGGAUGAUGACAAUCGAGUCGAUAUUAUAUGCAGAGUUUUCGAGAUAAAAUUAUUCCAACUAAUGCAAGAUCUGAAAAAAGAUCAACCAUUUGGAAAAAUAAUUGCAUGUAAGUUCACUUCAAAUUCGUAUACAUAACAAAUUCAACUCAUUUGUUAUUGAAAAGUGCAGGGAAGAACAAUAAUUUCACAAUUGAAAUCAAUGUUUCUAACUUUUAAAUUUUACUCCAUUUUGUGGCAGGUCUAUAGACAAUUGAGUUUCAAAAAAGAGGCUUGCUGUUGUGCAAAUUUUAAUGUACUCGCAAGCGCACGAAUCUAUUGUAGUAUAGAUCAAUGGUGACGAGUGUCGAUCCCACGAGGAGGUGGAUUUUAAUUGUGUAGAAUUAAUUUUGUGAAUGGGUGAUUGGAUUUUGUGGUGAAGGUGACUUAGAUUAUCCUAAAAUUGGAAUUGAAAUGGCGAGAAUAACUUGAAGAGAAUUCUAUUGAAAUGACGUACUUGGGUAUCUGGAUCCGUAUCAACAUGCAUCAUGGGCUAAAUAAUCUGUAUUAAUGCCAAUUAAAUCAUGAGGGGGGAAUCCACACUUCAUGAACCACGCUCUAAUCAAUAUGGUGCUAAGGGCUUAUCGUGCCAAAUAAUAAUAACCUUGUACUAGAGGGCCGGUGAAACCAAGGCGGUACUAGACAAGAUUAGUAUUAUUUAUCGACGAGAAGUCAAAACAUCCACAAAAACUAGAGGGGAAGAGAAAAUAAAUUUACCAAAUUAAGCCCAUGACACAUGUUGAGACUUCACCUUCAACCCAAGCUUGAAAGAAAAUUAGCCACUCAUAAUUGAACUAGGGGUAAAAUGGGAAUUUAUUACAAUACGAAGAAAAUACAAGAUGGAGAGGGAAUUACAGAAAACAGAGUCCAAAAAUGGAUUCAGAGGUAUCAAAUUAGGGGGGGGGAGGCCCCCUUUUUAUAGAUACAUGGAGUAAAUCAUGGCCAUCGGAUUAAAAACAGUUUGGACGCUCAGGAUUGCGCCACGUCAUCAGUCAACAGUCCACGGUUUGACCACGCGGAUGAACAGUAAUACGGUUUGACUCGGAUGAACAGUAACGUGGUUUGACUCGGAUGAACAGUAACGCAGUUUGGUUGAAAAUAAUCCUGUGUGAUGCAUGUACCGUACGCGAGAUUUUUCAUCCACUGAUAUGCUGCCACGUCACCAUCAACAGUACAUAAGAAUUUUAGCCCAACAGGAUCGUGACACCUCAUCAGUCAAUGCCACAUCAUCGGUCAAUGCCAUGUCAUCGAUCCGUCUAUGUGAACAGUGUUGUGAACAGUAACGUAGAUAGUACCGUACACGUGAAUAGUACCGUACAUAUGAAUAGUGCCAUUUUUCCUUUUAUGCUUCUCCUAAGGUUUUCGACCGUCCUGAGUUCAAAAGUGAUGUUCGUUUUGCCGUCUGAUCUCUCCUUUAUUGUGAAAUGACUAUAAUGCCCCUAAAAUACAUAAAAUACUUAAUUAAAAUAAAACACAUGUAAUUAAAUCACAAGAAGGUUAAAUACAUAAAAGUAAGGGUUGUUAGUAAGACUUGAAAUGUAAAAUGACGGUUUUCUCCUUUAUAAAUAUGCAUUUUCUAACACUCAACACACCCCCCAACCAGCUUAUUGCUAGUCCCUAGCAAAUAAAGCGAAAACAAAAUUUAAUUCAAAAUAUUUUUUUUUUUUAAUAAAAACACUCGUAUUUAUUCCAUCAGAUUAAUGAUAGCAAUCAAAUAAAAGUAUAAGCAUUAUCUCCAGUCUAAAGCAACAUCACACCCACAUCAACCAUCCACAUGAAUCAGCCCAGUAGACUUUUUUAUAGCUACUUUCAAGAAUGACAUGUCAAACCCCAAAAUCUCACUGGAAGUAGUGACACUCUCACAAAGAAAUUAAAACCAAUAAAAAUAGUCACUCCAAUGAAUGGUAAUUGAGAGAGAAAAUAAUAAAGAAGUGAUAUCACAUGCUCUCACCAAGAUGAAAUAAAUAUGCCCUUAGCUUAUAAAUAAUACGAUCUCAAGUCAAACAAAAAUGGUAGUCAACCCAAUUUAUUUAUCUUUUAUUUAUUUAUUUUUAUUAUGCACCACUACAUCUUUUUAGCCCAUAUAACUAGCUUCUACUUCAAACUAUAGUUCCCUAAAAUCAAGAAGGACUUUUAUUAGGACGUAACGUAGGCUAGGGAUAUGGCUAACAAAGAAAGGAAAUAAGGAAAACAAAGUGUAUGUUUGAGAAAAAUGCAGAGAAUUUUUUUUUUUUUUUGGAAGUUGCAAGGUGGAUUUCACCUAUUUUUAUUCUUUUGAAACAACAACUUUUGUUUUUGUUUUUUUUUUUGCUUUUAUUUGGCAUAACUUCACUGAACAAAAUAAUUAUUUACAUUUUCUCAAACAUAAAUAGGUGAUGGAACUUAUAAGAUAUCGGGUAACACUCCAAAUCGGAGUGGGUCAAGAUGAUAAGUUGACAAAGAAAAUGAUUUUUUUUUUAAAGGCUCAAAAUGGUUAACUAUGGAUAUUUAAUAAAAGGGAUGGCUAGAAAGGCUCAAACGGAUCAAAGAUGGCCUUUCCAUCGUCUUUUAGGGCUCUAAAUAAUCAUCCAUAUCUACUAGUUAGAUGGGCCUCCCAAUGUAGCAACACACAUUUUUUUUUCUUUUUUUUUAUUUUACCAUUUUUUUUUAAGGGUUAACGCAAAAGAAAUCUAGAGAUCGUGUAUAAAAUAAUAAACUGUUAAGCUGUAUAAAGAAUGGGCAAAAGGGUUACUCUCCAAGAAAAAUGAUAGGCUCAAAAACUCACUUAGUACUUAUUAUGACAUGUUCAUUCCUUCAAGCAACUCAUAUAUGUCUCCGACAUCAACAUGUAGAGUAGCAAACAUAAUGUAACAUCACUUAAGACCAAAGAUAAUACAAAUACUAAAAUUUGAAAUUAAUCAUGUCAUCCAAUGUUAAAACAAAUCACACAAUUUUUAUUUUUUUAAACAACAUUCUACCCCCCAACCUAUUCUAAACAUGAAAGGAAAAAUAUGCAUGCAGGAAUGUGAAAAUGAUGCAUAAAAACUAAUUAAAAAAAGUUACACUUAAAAUGAUAGAAAACGAAAAUGGGUUUUUUUUUUUUAACUUAGAAGAUGCGUUUCUAGAGGCACUACUCUCCAUAUUCAGCCAUCUUCGACUCAAAAUUUUGAAAAUAUAUAUUUAUAAGGAGAAAUUAAAAAGAAGAAGAAAAAUAAACAUCAAAACAUAAUAAAGAAAAAAAAAAUGUCUGAAUUUUUUUUUUUAGUUUUUUUUUUAAUUUUUUUUUUAAAACGAUGAAGAUGCGUUUCUAGAGUCACUACACUCCAUAUUCAGCCAUCUUCAACACAAAAAGUUAGCAACAGUUAGUUUCUACAACAAAAAAUUAGUAAAAACCUAACCAAAAUUCCACAAUUGUCGACUAUUCCCUCCCCCCAACCAGAAUGAAACAUUGUCCUCAAUGUUUGAAAGGAAAGAAGUAGAGUUUAGAAGACAUCACCUGGGUGGUGCAACACAGAAGAAAAUAUUUACAGGCGGAGAGUUAAAUCUAAUUUGUACUUCUUACUGCUGCUACUGUUACCAUCAUUAUUUGGACGCUCCAACACAAAGGUCCAGGGGUCUGGCUCCGGUCUAUAAGCUUGUAACAGAUCAAGUAGCUCAUUAGCAGUGUGAGCACAAAUAAAGAGUUUUUUCACAUUAGCGGGAAUGAAAUAGUUUUUUAUUGCAUGGUUAAGAAAUGCGAUAAAGCCAUCAUAAAAGUUAUUGACAUUUAACAAACCGAUGGGUUUCUGGUGGAUGUGGAGAUGGGCCCAAGAUGCUAGUGUGAUAAGUGCCUCUAGUGUUGCAAGAUCUCCUGGAAGGAAAAUAAAAGCAUCAGCAUGAUUAAGCAUUUCAGUUAUUCUUUCUUGCAUACCUGAGACAACUAACUCUUCUCCAGUUGAUGAGUCAGACGAACUGCCCAACGGUUUUAGGACUCUUGGGAUGAUGCCUAACACUUGGCUGCCUCUGAUUAAAGCUGCUUCUGAGACCAUUUUUGAUAACCCUCGAUUACCUCCUCCAUACACCAAGUGUAAUUUUCUCUCUGCUAUACUUCGACCAAGAUCUAUGGCUGCCUCAACGAACUCUUUAUGUUUGCCAUAGGUAAAUCCGGAAAGCACACAAAUGUUCUUGAAUUGUCUAUUGGGAGUAGCUACCAUUGCGAUACUUCUCAAAAACAAUUUGUGAGUGCUUGACAAAAGAUAUCACAUUUAAGAGUCUUGGUGAUAGUGGGUCAUGGUUGUGUAUGAGGUAAUAUGUCAGUGUCAAAUAACGCUUAAAGCACGUGGCUCGCAAGUAAAAAAGGAAACAGUAAAAAUGAAAAAGUAAACAGUAAUAAGAAAAAAGCAAACAGUAAUAAAAUUAUUAAGGACAAUAAUACACACAAUAAACAAUAGUGAAAUAAAAUAACAGUAAAGUGAAAGGAUAUUUACAGGUAGUUGCGACUGUGGCUCACAUCUUCCUCUGGUUUUAUGUCCAGAAAUGGCUUGAACGCCCUCUAUGGGUCGAGGAUAGGCUUCCUAUCCAGUUUUCUUAUAAACUGGCAAACAAGGUCGUUUAUAGUCAGAUUCCCAAGACUAUAUCGUGCAUGCUCUUUCUGGAAUAAUGGCCAUAACUGGAGAAUCGCUCCUUGCACAUAUCCACUGGGAUGCGUUUCAAGAGACAAAAGGAUAUCAUCCAAUGACUCCUUAUUCAAGCCAUCCCUAAUGAAUUGAAUCUUAUCUUCCCUGUUAUCAGACAUCAUUCCUAAAGAACAUGGGUUUUUAUUGCAACUCAUUCUGGCACACUUAUGACAAGCAACAGAAAUUCUUCGAGCUCGUCGUUUUCUUGCAUAAUUUCCUUUACCACAACCAGGCAUGUAUGUAAUAAAUUUUGGAGGUAACUCACCUGCCGAUCGUACUUUAGCCUCAAUUAACCAACGGAUGUCAGCAGGUAUGUUAUUCCUCAUAAGUAAUCGCAUGCGUUCGGACCGAGCUUUAUAGACCGUAAGGAGGGCAUUCUGAGGAAGUGAAGGGAAUCGCUUGUGAAGCUUCGCUAGAGUCUCGUUUCUGUCCAUACUUUCGCCUCAGAAUAUCAGUUAUUAUGGGAAACUGAAGUAACCGACUUGAUUGUCACGGAGUACCGUUAUCCGCCACUUCACCGGGGUAACAAACUAAAGCACACAAAUAGAAAAAAAAAAUUAAAACACACAAAGAAAAUUAAAAUCGUCCUCUUAUUGAAUAUACCUCAAGCUCCAACUGGAUGUCGUAAACACUUCUCUCAAUGUCUCUGAGUUGGAGUUCUAAACCCUCAACAUAGGCUACUAACUCUGGUGGUUGUAGAGCCCAAAUGCGUUGUGUUUUACAAAAUUGAAUCUGCCUUUUGAGAUGAGUUUUGACACGUUGAAGUGGUUUAAGAAUGUUCAGGAGGAACGGUCUAAGUAAUGUACUCAUGAUUAAAAAUGAUAAAAGAAAACAUACUAGUUAAACAAAUACACUUAUACAAAAAUAAUUUCAAUUAGCAAAAGAAUAAUAUAAAGAAAGAAAGAAAAAUCAAAUCAACGAAAAGAAAAAUCAAUUCAAAUCUGGUGGGUCACUCAAAUUUAUUUCGGUGUCUUCUCCAUGUGAUUGGUAUUCUAGAUAUGGCUUUAAUCUUUGACCAUUAACUUUAAACGUGACACCGUUCUUUGGGUCCUUAAUUUCAAUUGCCCCAUGUGGAAAAACAGUAUGAACAAUAAAUGGGCCAGACCAACGAGAGCGUAACUUACCUGGGAAUAGGUGCAAGCGAGAAUUGAAUAAAAGCACUUUCUGACCUGGAGUGAAAGAUUUUCUCAUAAUUUGCUUGUCAUGGAAGACUUUCAUUCGUUGCUUGUAAAUCUUGGCAUUUUCGUAUGCAUCAUUGCGAAUUUCUUCAAGUUCUGCCAACUGUAAUCUUCUUUCUGAGCUGGCUUGCUGCAUGUCAAAAUUGAAUUUCUUGAUGGCCCAAUAUGCACGAUGCUCGAGUUCCACAGGUAGGUGGCAAGCUUUUCCAUACACUAGCCUGUAGGGUGACAUCCCAAUCGGGGUCUUGAAAGCCGUUCUAUAUGCCCAUAAGGCAUCAUCAAGUCUUAAUGACCAAUCUUUUCUGUCUGGCCUCACCGUCUUUUCUAAUAUGUGCUUUAUUUCUCGAUUGGAGAUCUCAACUUGGCCACUGGUUUGCGGAUGAUACGGAGUCGCCACUUUGUGUGUGAUUGAAUACUUUGUCAAAAGAGAUUUGAAUGCUUUGUUACAAAAGUGGGCACCACCAUCACUAAUUAUUGCUCGAGGGAAUCCAAAGCGCGAGACAAUGUUGCUUUUCAAAAAUCCUAUCACCACCUUGUGAUCAUUAGUACUGCAUGGAAUUGCUUCUACCCAUUUGGAUACAUAGUCAACAGCAACCAAUAUGUAUUGAUGGCCAAAAGAAGGGGGAAAGGGUCCCAUGAAGUCGAUACCCCAUACGUCAAAAAUUUCAACCACUAAAAUUGGAUUUAAUGGCAUCAUGUUCCUUCGUGUAAUGCUCCCCAUUCGUUGACACCUAUCACAUGAAGAACAAAAAGUGUAAGCAUCUCGAAAUAUAGUUGGCCAAUAGAAACCACAUUGCAAAACUUUAGUAGCUGUUUUCUUAGCACUGAAAUGGCCUCCACAAGCUUGUUCAUGGCAGAAUGAAAGGAUAUUCUGAAUUUCAUUUUCUGGGACACAUCGUCUAACAAUUUGAUCAACACAAUACUUGAACAAAUACGGGUCAUCCCAAAAGAAAUUCUUUAUCUCUGCAAAGAAUUUAGCCUUAUCUUGCUUGGUCCAAUGCUUUGGAAGUUGACCUGUAACAAGAUAAUUCACGAUGUCAGCAUACCACGGUAAUACUUCCACAUUCAUCAAUUGUUCAUCAGGGAAUGACUCAUUUAAUGGUAAUGGCUCUGUAGUUGUGUCAAAAUGGAGACGAGAGAGGUGGUCCGCCACAACAUUUUCUGUCCCUUUCUUAUCUUUGAAUUCCAAGUCAAAUUCCUGCAAAAGUAACACCCAACGAAUUAGUCUAGCUUUUGCAUCUUUCUUUGUGAGAAGAUAUUUAAGAGCAGCAUGAUCCGUGAAUAUAAUUAUUUUACAACCAAUGAGAUAAGAUCGAAAUUUUUCUAAUGCAAACACUACUGCUAGCAUUUCUUUUUCAGUAGUUGAAUAGUUCAACUGUGCAUCAUUCAAUGUCAUACUAGCAUAGUAAAUAACGUGGGGAAUUCGAUCAACUCUUUGUCCUAAUACUGCUCCUACUGCAUAAUCAGAUGCAUCACACAUGAGCUCAAAUGGUAAGUUCCAGUUCGGGGGCUGAAUGAUGGGUGAUGAUGUCAACAAAUGCUUUAAUUUUUCAAACGCAACAAGACAUGAAUCAUAAAAAACAAAAGGUACAUCUUUAGCAAGUAGAUUGCAUAAGGGUCUAGAAACUUUGCUAAAAUCUUUAAUGAAACGUCUAUAAAAACCAGCAUGCCCAAUGAAAGAUCUUACUUCUCUGACUGUUUUGGGUGAAGGAAGAUUAGAAAUGAGAUCCACCUUAGCUUUGUCAACCUCAAUACCUUUGCUCGAAAUGAUGUGACCGAGAACAAUACCUUGUUUUACCAUAAAAUGACACUUCUCCCAAUUUAAGACCAAGUUCUUCUCGAUACAUCUCUGCAGAACUAGUGUUAGAUGAUGUAAACAUUGAUCAAACGAAUCACCAAAGACAGAAAAGUCAUCCAUAAAGACUUCAAGGAAUCGUUCAACCAUAUCAGAAAAAAUGCUCAACAUGCAUCGUUGAAAUGUAGCAGGUGCAUUACAUAAUCCAAAUGGCAUCCUCCUAUAUGCAAAAGUGCUAAAGGGCAAGUGAAAGUAGUUUUCUCUUGAUCUUUUGGUGCUAUGGGAAUCUGAUUAUAUCCUGAGUAGCCAUCUAGAAAGCAAUAAAAUUCAUGGCCUGCCAAUCUAUCAAGCAUUUGAUCGAUAAAUGGUAAAGGAAAAUGGUCUUUACGUGUGACAGAAUUCAACUUUCUAUAAUCAAUGCAUACACGCCAUCCUGUAGUCACUCUAGUGGGUAUCAAUUCAUUAUCAGCAUUGGUAACUACUGUGACUCCUGACUUUUUGGGGAUGACUUGUACAGGACUGACCCAUGAACUAUCAGAAAUUGGGUAAAUGAUACCUGCAUCUAAUAGCUUAAGGACUUCUGUUCUAACAACUUCUUUCAUAUUAGGAUUUAACCGACGUUGCAUUUCCCUAGUAGAUUUAGCAUUUUCAUCGAGGUGAAUGUAAUGCAUGCAGUCUACUGGAUUUAUACCUUUUAUAUCUGCUAUGGUCCAUCCUUAUGCUCCUUUGUGCUCUUUUAAAACAUCCAACAACUUACCUUUUUGUUCGUCAUUUAGGGAUGAUGAGAUGAUUACCGGCAGAGUACUUUCUUCUCCCAAAAACGCAUAUUCCAAAGUGUUGGGCAAUGGUUUGAGCUCGAGUUUCGGUGGUGAUUCUGAUGAUGGGAUGAGUUUCUUCUCUGAUGGUGCUACUCUUGACUUCCAUUUAUUAGUGUCCAUGGAUGGUGCUGAGUCAAGUAGGGCGUUGACCUCAUCGACCGAUCUGUCAAUAUCAAUAUCAAAAUCCAAACCAAAGUGAGUUAAACAUGUUUGUAAAGGAUCACCACUAAGGUUUGAAAGAAAAGUGUCAUCAACUAAUGAUUCAAUUAAAUCCACAUCAACAAUUCCAUCAUCUACACUGUGAGGUUGUUUGGCAAUGUUGAAAAUGUUUAGCUCCAUAGUCAUGUUGCCGAAGGACAACUGCAUAUUUCCAGUCCUGCAUUGAAUGUGAGCAUCCGCAGUUGCCAAGAAAGGUCGGCCUAGGAUAAUGGGGAUGUGCUUCCUUGAAUCCUGUAUUGGUUGAGUGUCAAUUACAAUGAAAUCAACAGGAAAAUAAAACUUGUCUACCUGGAUAAGCACGUCCUCCACAAUACCACGAGGUAUUUUCGUGGACCGAUCUGCGAGUUGUAACACCACUAGAGUUGGGUGCAAUUCUCCAAGUCCAAGUUUCACAAACACAGAGUAAGGCAAUAAAUUUACACUAGCUCCUAAAUCCAACAAAACAUUCUCAAUUGUGUGGUUCCCUAUACUACAUGAGAUAGUGGGGGAGCCUGGGUCUUUGCAUUUUAAAGGAAUUUUAUGUUGGAGUAUAGAACUAACGUUUUCUGUUAAAAAUGCCUUCUUUUGAACAUGCAUAUUUCUCUUUUUAGUACAAAGGUCUUUAAGAAACUUGGCAUAAGAUGGAACUUGCUUAAUAGCAUCAAGCAAAGGGAUGUUAACACUUACCUGUUUGAAGAUUUCAAGAAUCUCACUUGUGGAUUUUCCCUUUUUUCCUUUAGCUAACCUCUGAGGAAAUGGAGCUUUGGGAACAUAUUCCCGUGGGUUGGUUUCUUCUUUCUCCUCCGGUGAUGAGUCUUCAACAUUCACAGGUACAAUUUGAUUUUCUUUUGUCACCGGCAUCUCCACUUUGUUGUCGACUUCUUUUCCUUUUCAUAAGGUCAUGACUGCUUUGACCUCUCCAUGCUGCUGUGAUGAACUGGUACUUGCUUCAUGUACUCCUUUAGGAUUAGGCACUGGUUGACUUGGAAAUUUGCCUUUCUCAACAGUCAUUGCCAAUGUCUGAACUGAAGAAGCAAGUUGUCCCACCAUCUUCUCGAGGCUUGAAACUGAUUGAGCUUGUGAGUUGAAGCCUUCUCUCAACUCAUUUCGUAGUCCAUCAAUGGUGCGGUUCUGUUGCUCAAUCGUGGAGUGAGUAACAUUCCUGAAAUUCUGGAAUUCAUCCUCCCAUGGUCUAGGUUGAGAGUGGUUCUGGUUCUGAUUGUAUGGUCUAAAUGGUGGCUGAGAGGCUUGAGGAACUUGAGGAAUUUGUUGCAUUGGUGGAGCUGGAGCUGCUGGUCCAUUCUGUUGGAAUCCUUGAGACCAUGAAAAAUUGGGGUGGUCUCUCCAUCCAGGAUUAUAUGUGUUGGAGUAUGGGUUGUAAUUUGAUGGUUUUUUCAUUAUACCUAUGGCAUUGGCUUGAUCUGAGUAUGAGUCAAGGUCAUGUGGUUCAGUUGAUUUAGCAGUCGAUAACGAUGCUAUUUGUCGAGCAAGACCUUCAACCAUCUCCUUGACUUCUUUGAUUCCUGAAGUUGAUUCGCCAAUUUAAACCUCAUUCACUCCUUUAAUUCUUCUAGUAGUCCUGAGUGAUCGACUCCGUUGUUGGGAAUUAUCUGCUUGUCGUUGGAAGAAUUCCCAAAUUUCUGAUGCACUUUUUGACAUUAGCUCUCCUCCACUUGUUGCCAUUAGCCAUUCUUGCACAUUUGGUAGUAAUCCCUCCAAAAAGUAUUGGCAUUGGUGCCAUUUCUCGUACCCAUGAUGUGGACACUUCAAGAGUAGCCCAUUAAAUCGCUCCCAUGUUUCGAAAAAUUGUUCGUCCUCUCUCUGGGUAAACUCCGAGAUUUCCCUGCGAAUAGCAUUGGUUUUAUGCACUGGGAAAUAUUUAUUCAAAAAUUUAGUUACCAUUUGUUCCCAUGAUGAAAUGCUAUUAGCAGGUAAAGUAUUUAACCAUGAACGAGCUCUAUCUUUUAAAGAAAAUGGGAAUAGUCUAAGUUUAACAUUAUCGUCUGAAAAAUUUUCAUAUUUAAAAGUUUGACAAAUGGCAUGAAAAUCAUUCAGAUGAUUAUAUGGAUCCUCAUUUUCUAGGCCAUAAAAUGUUGGGAGACAAUUUAGCACACUGGGUUUUAAUUCAAAACUCCUAGCAGCUACAUUUGGGUAUCUUAUGCAUGAUGUGCUCAAAUUAGCUAAGGGACUGAAGUAGUCCUUAAAUGGCCUCUCCUGUGGUUGCAAAUCCAUUUUAUUUUUAAUUUGUUUGUGUGUGCGAAGUGUUCUUUCUAGUUCAAGGUCCAUAGGUUCAAGAUUAGGUAAUAAUGACCUACGACCAUGCAUGCAAAACAAAUAAAAAAAAUAAAGAUGGGAACAAAAAAAUAAAAUAAAAAUAAAGAAGAGGGAGAAAUUACGAUACUAACCUUAUUGCGCUAUUACAAUCUUUCUAUAAAAAUACACAAAAAUAAAUACGUGAAAUAAAUUAACUAAAAAUAAAUUAAUAAGAUAAACAAAAAAAAAUUACAAAGAAAAAUAAGUUGAAAAUGAAAUAAUAGAAUUUUAAAGAAGAGAAAAAGAAAAAAAAAUACUAACCUUUAAAUGUAGGUUCACUUUUUUUUCUUUUUUUUUUAAGAAAAAAAUAUAUAAGAAAACAAAUAAAAGAUAUUAUUCACACAAAUUAAUUCUAUGAAUUAAAAUUACUUACCUCCCCGGCAACGGCGCCAAAAACUUGUUGUGCAAAUUUUAAUGUACUCGCAAGCGCACGAAUCUAUUGUAGUAUAGAUCAAUGGUGACGAGUGUCGAUCCCACGAGGAGGUGGAUUUUAAUUGUGUAGAAUUAAUUUUGUGAAUGGGUGAUUGGAUUUUGUGGUGAAGGUGACUUAGAUUAUCCUAAAAUUGGAAUUGAAAUGGCGAGAAUAAAUUGAAGAGAAUUCUAUUAAAAUGACGUACUUGGGUAUCUGGAUCCGUAUCAACAUGCAUCAUGGGCUAAAUAAUCCGUAUUAAUGCCAAUUAAAUCAUGAGGGGGGAAUCCACACUUCAUGAACCACACUCUAAUCAAUAUGGUGCUAAGGGCUUAUCGUGCCAAAUAAUAAUAACCUUGUACUAGAGGGCCGGUGAAACCAAGGCGGUACUAGACAAGAUUAGUAUUAUUUGUCGAUGAGAAGUCAAAACAUCCACAAAAACUAGAGGGGAAGAGAAAAUAAAUUUACCAAAUUAAGCCCAUGACACAUGUUGAGACUUCACCUUCAACCCAAGCUUGAAAGAAAAUUAGCCACUCAUAAUUGAACUAGGGGCAAAAUGGGAAUUUAUUACAAUACGAAGAAAAUACAAGAUGGAGAGGGAAUUACAGAAAACAGAGUCCAAAAAUGGAUUCAGAGGUAUCAAAUUAGGGGGGGAGGCCCCCUUUUUAUAGAUACAUGGAGUAAAUCAUGGCCAUCGGAUUAAAAACAGUUUGGACGCUCAGGAUUGCGCCACGUCAUCAGCCAACAGUCCACGGUUUGACCACGCGGAUGAACAGUAACACGAUUUGACUCGGAUGAACAGUAACGUGGUUUGACUCGGAUGAACAGUAACGCAGUUUGACUCGGAUGAACAGUAACGCGGUUUGGUUGAAAAUAAUCUUGUGUGAUGCAUGUACCGUACGCGAGAUUUUUCAUCCACUGAUAUGCUGCCACGUCACCAUCAACAGUACAUAAGAAUUUUAGCCCAACAGGAUCGUGACACCUCAUCAGUCAAUGCCACAUCAUCGGUCAAUGCCACGUCAUCGAUCCGUCUAUGUGAACAGUGUUGUGAACAGUAACGUAGAUAGUACCGCACACGUGAAUAGUAAUGUACAUAUGAAUAGUGCCAUUUUUCCUUUUAUGCUCCUCCUAAGGUUUUCGACCGUCCUGAGUUCAAAAGUGAUGUCCGUUUUGCCGUCUGAUCUCUCCUUUAUUGUGAAAUGACUAUAAUGCCCCUAAAAUACAUAAAAUACUUAAUUAAAAUAAAACACAUGUAAUUAAAUCACAAGAAGGUUAAAUACAUAAAAGUAAGGGUUGUUAGUAAGACUUGAAAUGUAAAAUGACGGUUUUCUCCUUUAUAAAUAUGCAUUUUCUAACACUCAACACUUGCCCCAUGCACACAUACUGCUUUUUUUGCAUCCAACAAUGAAAAAUCCUUCUGCAAACCAUAUUGAUAAAAUAAUAAUUGCAGAAAUCCCUAACUUAAAUGUUGAUCCUGAUGGUUAUAAUGCAGUUAACAAAUUUAUGAUUCAUGGACCGUGUGGAAAACACAAUUCUCACUCUCCAUGCAUGAUGCAAGACAAGUGCACAAAACAUUUUCCAAAAAAAUUCAAUGAUCAAACAAUAGUGGAUACAUAUGGCUUUCCAGUCUUUAAAAGGAGAAAUACAGGUAUUCAUGUCGAAAAGAAAGGUGUCUUCUUGGAUAAUCGAUAUGUGGUCCCUUAUCACAGGAAUUUAAUUGUCAAAUUUGAUGCACAUAUUAAUGUUGAGAUUUGUAAUUACUCGAGACCAGUUAAAUAUUUUUUCAAGUAUGUCCAUAAAGGGUCUGAGAGAACAACUGCAACAAUAGAAUCUAUUGACACUACCCAAGAAAUGGACGAGUGAUGGGUGUUGAAGCCAACAAAAAUAAAUUCCUACUCUAAAUAAAUUGUGUAUAGUGAUUGAGCAGGGUCGUGUCCACAGAGAUCGGUAAUUAUUUAAAUCCUUUUGAAACGUAAAACGUAAAAUGGGGGAAUUGUUGACAAUAAUAAAAAUCAAAUUAAAAAUAACAAGAAUGCAAAUUAAAGUUGUAAUUCAAAUUGGAGAAAGCUCUGGUUGAAGGAAUUAACUCAGCUUGAUUCGACUACUGAUCAUUGAUUCAAAUAUAGAUGAUUAUUACUCAUGAAUAGACUGGUUAUAGCUACUGAGACCCUCUAAUAGCCAAUCUCUCCUUAACUAGUCGAUAACCAAGGUACGACCAUUGGUUAUUUCCCUAAUCAAUAGACAACCCUAGAUACGAUCAUAGAAUUUAAUCAAUUGACAGCCUGAAAAACCAGAGAGACCCAAAUCCUAAUCAACACAUAUGAUGAUUCAUUUAAAUUAGAUUGUUUAUUCUCACAACACAACUCUCUGCUAUGUUAUUUGUCACAAGCAUUAAAUUCUUCAUACGAUGAAUCCUUUAAUUGACAAUAGAUUAAGUUGAUAAUUAAAUAGUGGCCAAUUACCUAAUUAACAAACAUAAUCAUGAAAAUAAUUUAGAGAAUAAACAAAUACCCAAAAAGCAAUAAAACAAUUAAAGCACAAGAAAGAUCUCACAGUAGUGAUGAAUCAAAGCUUCGUUAUCCUUCAACUAGAAAAAUAGGUUUAGUUCUUCAUAGAGAGAAGAGAAAAAUUAAAUCUAGGGUUUCUUUCUUUUUCUCCAAUCCAAAAAAUCCCCCCUUUUUCACAAUUGAUUCCUCCCUUAAAUACUCUCUCUCUCUUCUCUUUUAGAGUUCUAUUUAAAAUAAAAUACUAAUAUCUAAAAUAUUAAAUUCGUAAUUACAAAAAUAGCCAAAAAUAUAAAACACGUUAAACUAAAAACUGCAGGUCCGCAAUUGACAGCACGCGCCCACGCCUUAUCAACAAAGUUCUUCUGCCGCUCAUAAUUUCUCCAAGGGAACAAUCAUCCCUAAACAUCAUCUUGUAGCUCAAUUUUAUCACCAAUCAAUAGAAUUGCACCUACAAAAGUAAAUCACAGGUAAAUCACUAUUAUUAAAUGCAAAACAUCGAUAUUAAGGGAAGUAAACAAUGCAAAACUAGUGCAUAAAUUGCACUCUAACAAAUUCCCCCACACCAAGAUGAUGCUUGUCCUCAAGCAUAUAACUCAAGAUUAAUCUCAAAUUUCCACUCAAUUCUCAUCUCAACUCAUCCAAAAACAAUUUUAAGCAAGCAUACCUCAAGAAAUUAAGUCGUUCAACGUUCGAGAGACAAGGAUUUUAAAGCAUAGAAUUUCGUAAGAUAGAAUAAGAACAUUCAACCACCAAGAAGAUCCAUUCAAAACUCAAGUGCAGCAAGAUUUAAUAGCCCUCUCAAUAACUUCACUCCAUGCACUCAAAGUGUUUAGGGUGUCAUUUAUCCACUCAAAUCAAAUCAAAGAAUGCUAUUACCAUAAGCUUGCUCAUAUAUCACAUCUCAAUCCACAAAACAUGAAUAAAAUGCAAAAAUCUAAGGGUCUUAAAAGGGUUGUAAUGGGGUUAAAUUGGAGAAAUGAAAAAGAAAGGUUUAUGAAAGAAAAAGAGAUCAAAAUGAGAAGAAUGAACUCAUUGAAUGAACUUAUGAUAUCAAAAUGCUUAUUUCUACUCAAGUCACCAAGAAUGUAAAAUUUUUUUUUUCGAUUUUUCUUUUUCUUUUUUUUUCUUUUUUUUCUUUUUUUUUCUUCUUUUUUUUUCUUUUUUUUUUGUUUUUGAUUUUUUUUUUGAAUCAAACAAAAGAAACGAACCUUGCACAAUUUAAUUCAAGCAUAAUGCUUGUUGAUCUAAUUGAGAAACUUUAAUACAAGGUAGAAAAAGCAACAAAAUAUAUCCACACAAUGAGUCCAAAAAUCUCCUUAAAUUGAGGCUCAAAAAGAAGAAAAAUGGUUAAGUCGACGGAGAGAAUUAGAUGGGUAAUGGUUAAGGCUCAAACAAAGGUAGCAAAUAAAGGUCUUCGGGUAGAGAAGGAAAAAAAAAUGCGAGAAUAGAAAAAUGGAAUAUGGUUUGCCCUUAUCAUUUUAAUGCAUAAAAUCCCGUAAUGUGGCUUCAACAUGCAUAAUAAAGCAAGUUCUAGAAUAAACAAAGUAGGAUUGAUAUUCACAUAACAAAAAUAAUUAGAGCAAAGUGGUUGCUCAUAGGCUCAAAUCCUCACAAAGUUGGUAAAUUUGCCAUCAAAUCAUGUACACUCUUCAAAUGAAUCAACCAUCAAUAGUGGUGUAGAAUGAGAAGAAGGUAUGAGUGAGAUGUAAAAGGAAAGGUAAAAAUGAUAAGAAGUGAGAAAGAUGUAUGUAGUAAUAUGAAAAGUGAAAGAUAAAAUGUGAGUGAUGAAAGAGUAUGAUAGAAUAAAAAUAGAUGUAAAUAAUUUGAGAUAGAUGGGAAAAGAGUAGUGAGAGAGAGAGGAAAAGAAAAUUAAUAAUAUAUGAAGCAUACUGCAAAAAUCAUUUAAGGAUGAGUAGAGUGAAAACAAUAAUUUCAGACAUCAAUAAUGCAAAAAUCCCUCCCCCACACUAAGAACUGACAUUGUCCCCAAUGUAAGAUAAUCAAAGCUCACAUAAAAAUUAAAGCGUAAGGAUAAAAGAUUAAGGGCAAAAACUUCCUUGAAUUGUGAGCUUUGAUCCUCAUAACGUCUAUGGGCUUGGCGGGAAUGGUGGGAUAAAUCCCACACUCUUGAAGUAUGCGGCCAAAUUCUGCUCCAUCUUGUCACGGAUUUCGAUUCACGGACCUGGAAUGCAGGUCGUAGGCUGGUUGCGUUGCGAUUGCUGCUCGGCUGGAGCUUGCUUGAUGGACGCGGGAUGGCACUGAUUGUGUUGCGCGCGCGCGCUGGGGCUGCUGGAUCUGCGCGUUGCGUGGGCUGUGUUGUGCGCGAGAGCUGGGCUGACGCUGGUGCUGCGUUGCGUUGCGCGCGCGGGACUGAUGCGCUGCGUGAUGGUGAUGGCUGGAGCUUGCUGCGUUGCGCGUGGCUGGUUUCGCUGGUGGGACUUCGUUGCGCGCUGCUGGGCUGCGAGACACGGGAUGCUGGUGCUUGCGCUCACGGGAUGGUGCGUUUUCCGGCGGGUUGGUUUGCUGCUGGUGUGCUGCAAGCGGCUGGAGAAGAAAACAAGUUCUGGAAAAUUAGGGAUUUUGUGAACAGUGAAUAGUGAACAGUGAUUUUCGAUUUUUGGUUUUUUUUUUAAUAAAUAAAUAAAUAAAAAGAAAGAAAGGAACGAAAAAAGAAAAAGAAAAAAAAAUAAUAAAUAAUUUUUUUUUUUUUAUAGUGAUGAAUCACUUUGAGACACUAAAAAUUUCAGAAGUACUUUUCUAAUAAGUACAUGGGCACGCCUUAUAAAAAAUUUUCUUCUGACCAAAAUAAGCAAACACAUUAAAUUUCAGAAGUACUUUUCUAUUAAGUACGUGGGCACGCCUUAAAACUAUGUUACUUUAAAAAUUACAGAAGUACUUAUUAGCUAAGACGUGGGCACGCCUUAUCAAAAAUUUUCUUCUGACCAAAAUAAGCAAAAUUUUUCUUUUUUUUUUUUGAAUUAAAAUUAAAAGAAGAUAUAACAAAAACCAAAACAAACAAAUCAUUUGGGUUGCCUCCCAAAAAAGCGCCUUUGUUUUAUGUCUUUGGCUAGACACAUUUAUGCAUCAAUCUCCAUAAUUGGGACUCUCGAGAGCCACAUCCUCCACAAUAUUCACCGAAAAACCUUCAUAAAAAGGUUUUAAGCGAUGACCAUUAACCUUAAAAACUUUGUCAGAGGUCGGGCUCCGAAUCUCAACUGCACCAUAAGGAAAAACAUUAGUAACAAUAAAAGGUCCAACCCAACAAGAACGUAAUUUACCCGGAAAAAGUUUAAGCUUAGGAUGAAAAAGAAGAACUUUUUGACCAACAGAGAACUCCUUUCUCAAAAUCAUUCUAUCAUGAAAUGUCUUCGUCUUUUCCUUGUAAAAAAUUUCCUGCGCUAUAGGGUUAAUAACAUCCACAGAAAAUACCGAAUGUUCCUCACUAGGAUAUUUCAUGGCAUCAUUCAUAUUGAAUUCUAUAACCUCUCCAUCAAACUCCAUAGUGAGAGUCCCUUUAUGUAUAUCCAUUUUAGUCCUAGCAGUCUUAAGAAAAGGUCUUCCUAGCAAAAUUGGGAUAGAAUUAGAGGAGUUAUCAUCUUCCAUAUCAAGUACAUAAAAAUCAGCAGGAAAAACCAACUCAUUAACUUGUACUAAGACAUCUUCUAAUACCCCAUCAGGAUAUGCAUUAGACCUAUCAGCUAGUUGAAUUAUCACACAAGUUUCUUUUAAUGGACCAAUAUUCAAAGAUGAAUAAAUGGAACGAGGCAUGACAUUAAUAGAAGCUCCUAGAUCUAACAAAGCCUUUUCAACUCUAACACUACCAAUUUUACAAGGGAUAGUAAACAUACCUGGAUCCUUGCACUUAGGAGGUAGUUUCUUUUGAAGAACUGCUGAAACAUUCUCCCCCAUGUGAACUUUUUCAUCUCCUCUUAAUUUUCUCUUGGAGGUGCACAGUUCCUUAAGGACUUUAGCAUAUCGAGGUAUUUGUUUUAUAGCAUCUAAUAAAGGAAUAUUUACCUCAACCUUGCGAAAUGUCUCAAGGAUGUCUUUCUCUUGUUCCUCCUUCUUGGAUUUUACAAAUCGGCUUGGAAAAGGAGGAGGUAUCACAAUAGGUAGGGGUUUCGCUUUGGUGGGUUGCGCAUCUUGAGAUUUAGGUAUCAAUUCAUUCUUCUCAAGCUCAUCUUCUACAUGCUUUGUCACUUUCUUACUAGGCUCUUGCAACUCCUUCCCACUUCUAAGGAUGACAGCACUAACGUUUUGCUUUGGAUUCACCUCAGAUUGUGAAGGCAAUCUUCCUAAUACUUGAGACUCCAGACGGCUUACUGUAGUCGCCAAUUGACUCAUUUGGUUCUCCAAGUUCUGAAUGCUUGUUGUAGUUGCCUGCUGAAAUUGUUGAGUGUUAGUCGCAAGUGAUUUAACAAUUUCUUCAAGAGAUAUACCUGACUUGGAGUUUGACUGUGGAGGUGUUGGUUGUCUUGGUGGAUACUGUUGUGGGAAUCCUGACGGCCUAAUGCCAUAGCUGAAGUUUGGAUGAUCCUUCCAUCCCGGAUUGUAUGUUUGUGCAUAAGGAUCAUACCUCCUCUGAGGCAUGCCUGGAAAUCCUCCAACUGCAUUGGCUUGUUCAACGGGUUCUUCUUGAAGUGUAGGACACAUAUCAGUUGAAUGACCCAUAUUGUAACAAAUACCACAAGUCUUCACCUGUUGCACAUUACCUACAACAAACUUUUCCACAAGAGAAGUGAGUUUAUCUAAACGUUGUUCAACAGAAGAAAUAUUUACCUCAUUCACAUUCCUUAAGGUGGCAUCUUGUCUGCUGCCAAAUUGUUGUGCAUUGGCAGCCAUAUUUGAUAUCAACUCCCUUGCUUGAGUAGGAGUCUUGUUCACCAACACACCUCCACUAGCAGCAUCUAUCAUACUCCUAUCCAUCAAUGAUAGUCCUUCGUAAAAAUAUUGAAUAAGAAGUUGAUCAGAAAUCUGAUGCUGAGGACAACUGGCACACAAUUGUUUGAAUCGCUCCCAAUACUCAUACAAAGUCUCCCCAGGAAGUUGUCUGAUCCCACAAAUAUCUUUUCUGAUGUUGGCAGCUCUUGAAGCAGGAAAGUACUUCUCGAGGAACUGCUUCUUCAAACCAUUCCACGUUGUAAUCGAUUCAGGAGGCAAGUAGUACAACCAAUCUUUAGCUAGCCCAUCUACAGAGAACGGAAAAGCACGCAGCUUAAUCUGCUCUUCAGUCACGCCUUGUGGCCUCAUACUUGAGCACACAACAUGAAACUCCUUGAGAUGUUUAUGAGGAUCUUCACCUGCAAAACCAUGAAACUUGGGUAAUAAGUGAAUAAGACCAGACUUUAAUUCAAAAUUUACCUCCAAGUCUACAUAUUGAAUGCAGAGUGGUUGUUGAUUCAAGUCUGGGUCAGCUAACUCUCUAAGAGUUCUUUCUACAGGUGCAGGUCUAUCCAUCACUUGUUCUUCUGAAUCGCUAGAUGAUUCAACUAAAUCAGGCACCGUAUCUGUUUCAGAAAGCAAAGGCGACGAGGAUCGUUGCUUAGCUCGUUUUGUCUGCUGUCUCAGCUGGCGAGCUGUCUUCUCAAUUUCAGGAUCAAACGAAAGUGUACCUGUACGAGAAGAACGAACCAUACACCAAGUAAAACGUAAAAAGGAUUAAAUAAAUGACACCAAUCCCCGGCAACGGCGCCAAAAUUUGAUGGGUGUCGAAGCCAACAAAAAUAAAUUCCUACUCUAAAUAAAUUGUGUAUAGUGAUUGAGCAGGGUCGUGUCCACAGAGAUCGGUAAUUAUUUAAAUCCUUUUGAAACGUAAAACGUAAAAUGGGGGAAUUGUUGACAAUAAUAAAAAUCAAAUUAAAAAUAACAAGAAUGCAAAUUAAAGUUGUAAUUCAAAUUGGAGAAAGCUCUGGUUGAAGGAAUUAACUCAGCUUGAUUCGACUACUGAUCAUUGAUUCAAAUAUAGAUGAUUAUUACUCAUGAAUAGACUGGUUAUAGCUACUGAGACCCUCUAAUAGCCAAUCUCUCCUUAACUAGUCGAUAACCAAGGUACGACCAUUGGUUAUUUCCCUAAUCAAUAGACAACCCUAGAUACGAUCAUAGAAUUUAAUCAAUUGACAGCCUGAAAAACCAGAGAGACCCAAAUCCUAAUCAACACAUAUGAUGAUUCAUUUAAAUUAGAUUGUUUAUUCUCACAACACAACUCUCUGCUAUGUUAUUUGUCACAAGCAUUAAAUUCUUCAUACGAUGAAUCCUUUAAUUGACAAUAGAUUAAGUUGAUAAUUAAAUAGUGGCCAAUUACCUAAUUAACAAACAUAAUCAUGAAAAUAAUUUAGAGAAUAAACAAAUACCCAAAAAGCAAUAAAACAAUUAAAGCACAAGAAAGAUCUCACAGUAGUGAUGAAUCAAAGCUUCAUUAUCCUUCAACUAGAAAAAUAGGUUUAGUUCUUCAUAGAGAGAAGAGAAAAAUUAAAUCUAGGGUUUCUUUCUUUUUCUCCAAUCCAAAAAAUCCCCCCUUUUUCACAAUUGAUUCCUCCCUUAAAUACUCUCUCUCUCUUCUCUUUUAGAGUUCUAUUUAAAAUAAAAUACUAAUAUCUAAAAUAUUAAAUUCGUAAUUACAAAAAUAGCCAAAAAUAUAAAACACGUUAAACUAAAAACUGCAGGUCCGCAAUUGACAGCACGCGCCCACGCCUUAUCAACAAAGUUCUUCUGCCGCUCAUAAUUUCUCCAAGGGAACAAUCAUCCCUAAACAUCAUCUUGUAGCUCAAUUUUAUCACCAAUCAAUAGAAUUGCACCUACAAAAGUAAAUCACAGGUAAAUCACUAUUAUUAAAUGCAAAACAUCGAUAUUAAGGGAAGUAAACAAUGCAAAACUAGUGCAUAAAUUGCACUCUAACAACGAGAUCAAAACAUAUUUGGAGUGCAGAUAUAUAUCAGCAACCGAAGCUUGCUAACGAAUCUUCUAAUUUGACAUACAUUAAAGAAAGCCGGCAGUUGAAAGAUUGCCGUUCCAUUUACCGGGAGAGCAUACAGUAAUAUUCGAAGAAUCCAAGUGCUUAGAAAAUGUGCUUACCAUACCUGGAAUAGAAAAAACAAAGUUCACAGAAUGGUUGCAGGCAAACAAGAAUUAUGAUGAUGCACGAGAGCUAACUUAUUCUAAUUUCCCUACAUGUUGGGUAUGGAAUUCAAAAGACAAAACUUGGACUAGGAGAAAAAAUGGCUUAGCAAUUAGAAGAAUUUACUUUGCACAUCCUUCAAGUGGAGAACGAUUUUAUAUGAGAAUGUUGCUCAAUUUUGUAAAAGGAAGCACUUCAUUUGAAAGUACUAGAACAGUAAAUGGAGUGACAUAUCCAACUUUUAAAGCUGCGUGCUAUGCUUUGGGAUUAUUAGACGAUGAUAAAGAAUGGAUCGACUGCUUGACUGAAGCUGCAAUAUGGGCGACUGGAAAUGAAUUAAGACAUCUUUUUGUCACGAUACUCAUUCAUUGUCAGGUUUCUGAUGCAUCCCAACUUUGGAAAUCUAAUUAUACUAGUUUAUCAUAAGGCAUAACUUCAUUGCAAAGGAAAAGAUUCAGAUUGAAAGAUCUUCAGUUAACCGAGCAACAAGUUGAAGCAUACACAUUGUUGGAGAUUGAAACUAUCAUGUUGAAAAUGGGAAAAAGUUUAAGAGACAUAGAUGGAAUGCCACUUCCUAAUUCUUCUUUGAUAAGAGAUUCAGGUAACCGAUUGGUCAAUGAAGAGCUUGAUUAUGAUCGUGAUCAAUUAAAGAAGUUGCAUGAGAAAUCAUUUACUGCUCUAAAUGCUUGCAAAAAAUCAGCCUAUGAAGCAAUAAUGCAUUCUGUUGAGAAUGAAGAAGGGUGUUUAUUUUUUAUCAAUGGACAUGGUGGUACUGGUAAAAUAUUUUUGUGGAAUACAAUUAUUGCAAAGCUCAUAUCACAUUCUAAAAUAGUCUUGCCUGUUGCAACUUCAGGUAUAGCAGCUUUGUUAUUGCCUAAUGGUAGGACAGCUCAUUCGCGAUUUCAUAUUCCUUUGGAUGUGAUAGCAGAGUGCACUUGUGAAAUCCGACAAGGCACCUUAUUAGCUGGACUUCUUAUGAAAACUUCUUUGAUCAUUUGGGAUGAAGCGCCUAUGGCACAUAAGUUCUGCUUUGAAGCUUUGGAUAAGACCUUGAGAGAUAUUCUAAGAACAAGGUAUGAAAAUACUUCUAUCAAACCUUUUUGAGGACUUACAAUAGUAUGUGGUGGUGAUUUCCGUCAAAUAUUGCCAGUUGUGCCAAAGGGGACAAGAGCAGACAUUGUUGACGCUUCACUUAACUCAUCCUACUUAUGGCCAUUUUUCAAAAUUUAUGAGCUCAAACAAAAUAUGAGGCUCUAUAAUGGAAGCAUGAGUGGCUCUGAGGCUGCUAAAAUAGCUUCUUUUGACAAAUGGUUGUUACAGAUUGGAGAUGGUUCAUUAUAUGAUGACAUUGAUAGAGAGUUAGUUAAACUACCUUCUGAUAUCUGUAAGAAACCAUAAAAAAAUCUAAUGAAAUCAAUAGUCGACACUAUCUACCCAUCAAUUCUACAUAAUUACAGUGAUCCAACAUAUUUGAAAGAAAGAGCAAUAUUAACGCCAAAAAAUGAAAUGGUGCAUGAAUUGAACGAGAUGAUUAUGAAUAUAAUACCUGGUCAAGGGAGAACCUAUUUUAGCUCAGACAGUAUAUGCAAAGCAAGCGCAAACACAAAUGAUGAAGAUGUUCUGUAUCCAACUGAAUUUUUGAAUAGUUUGAAAUUCAAUGGCAUCCCUAAUCAUGACAUACGACUUAAGGAAGGUGCUCCCGUAAUGCUUCUCAGAAAUCUAAAUCAAAUAGAAGGCCUAUGUAACGGCACAAGAUUGAUUGUAACUCGUCUUAGUAAAUGGUCCAUUAGAGGUGACAUCAUUUCUGGAACAAAUAUUGGACAAAAUGUCACAAUUCCAAGAAUUGUUAUGUCUCCUAAUGAAUCAAGAUGGCCAUUCAAGCUUAACAGACGGCAACUUCCUUUGGCACCAUGUUUUGCCAUGACGAUCAACAAAAGCCAAGGACAAUCUCUUAAACAUGUUGGCUUGUAUCUCCCUAAGCAAGUAUUCACACAUGGUCAAUUAUAUGUCGCCGUAUCUCGAGUUACCACAAGAGAAUGAUUGACCAUACUAAAUGCUGAUCAAGAGGUAGAAGACCGAACCUUCAUAAAAAAACAUUGUCUACAAAGAAGUAUUUCAAAAUAUUCACACAUUAGCUCACAAAAUCAAGGUAUCACAUUUUUAGAUUAUAUUUUAAAAUUUAAUUUAUACAUUGCAAGCUCUUACUUCACCCUAUAAUAAUGAUUUUUAUUAUGUGUUUUAAUUAUUCAGUAGACAAAUGAAUAAAUCAAAGGAACUAUCGAGACAGCAAAAUGGUAGUUUGGUUGAGUUUUCCAAGCUAUUAUGGAGAAUUUAAUCGCCAAAGAACAUAGUACGUGAAGAAGCAUUCCUUUUUACAUCAACUAUUUCUCCUUUCAUUCUCUCUAAUCCAUGGAGACAUGGUUUAUAUACAGAUAAAGAACAUUUUGGCACUAGGUGUUGCUGAUCCCCAUUGGAACUUGCCAUAGCUGCAAGCUUGAUAUAAACAACUGCUCACCUACGCAGCUACAAACGAUGCAAAAUAACUUACAGAAGUCUUUACAUGUAUUUUACUUAUUUCUUUUAUAAUUCAACGCAUUGCUAAGGAUCCUCAAUUACAAAAUUUAAUUUGGAACUUAUCAACUACAAAAGGUAUAAGGUCUGUACACCUAGACUAUACACGUUAAUAUAUAUAUUUAAAGUUAACAAAAAAAUAGUUAACUUUCAUAAAUAACAUUAGUUUUAUAAGGCUACCUCAUUUUAAAAAAAAUCAAUUUAUAUUUUUUAUCAGUUUUAUUGAGUAUAAAGAAAGAAAAAUUGAUAAUACUAAAUUCAUUUUCUAAAGCCGCGCGAAGCGCGGUUUUAUUUCCUAGUAUAUAUAUAAAGCUGGGACUAUAAGAGGUGAUGUGACAUCACCAUUUCUCAUCUUUGUAUAUUUUCUAUUAUCUAAUAAAUAGAGAAUUUUUCUUUCAAAUUUGGCUUUUCAUCUUCUCAUAAUUAAUUUGAUUGUUAUUACAAUUAUGUAAAUGUUUUAAUGAGGCAUAUUCUUUAUAAUGAACAUCCAAUGGGGAGUGUUAUAAAUUUAUUAAAAUAAAUGUGGAUGUUCAUAACAUAUAUCUCUUAGUCUCUCCACUAUCUCUCAUUAGCAACCUUUAGCUUCUCUGUAACUCCCACAAUCUCACAAGGAAUUAUGAUCCAUAAUUUUUCAUUAAUUUCAUGGAGUGAUUAUGUAACUACAAAAGGAGAGCUCAUCUUUUUGUUUUGUAUACACAAUUGGAAUGAAUAAAAUCACUCUAAAAUAUAUUCUCUCAUUUUAUUCUUUAUCUUGCGUUGCUUCUUUAUUUGUGUUGUUGGCUAAUAGUUUUUUUUUUAUUUAAACCACCCGGUUUCCGACGACCGCAUUGGAUACUUCUACUGCAUUCAACAUUUCUAAUUUUUAUUGGUUGAUAUACGUGUGAAUGACAACACAAUCCUCUGAGGUAUUUUUUUAAUUAUUAAUGUUUGUUAAUCUUUAAGUGUAUAUUAGAAAUUAUUGAUCCUUAUGUUUUAACAUAUUUAUGUUAUUUUCCCAUAAUAUUACAGAUGUUGUCGGAAGUUUAUGUGGUGUGGGUGAUAUUGAGAUUGUUGGAGCUGGUUGGAAAAAAAGACAUAUAAAAGUUCUAAAAGAUUAGCAAGUUGAAUAUAAUUUGGAACUUAUCAACAACUACAAAAGGUAUAAGGUUUGUACACUUACUAUACACAUUAAUAUAUAUAUAUUUAAAGUUAACAAACAAAUAAUUAACUUUAAUAAAUAACAUUAAUUUUAUAAGGUUGCCUCAUCUUUAAAAAAAAUCAAUUCAUAUUUUUUAUCAGUUUCAUCAAGUGUAAAGUAAGAAAAAAUGAUAAUACUAAAUUAUUUUUUUAAAGCCGCGUGAAAUGCGGUUCUAUUUUCUAGUAAUUUAUAAACCGAGGCCGGGCCCCAAGUCUUUUAAUUUUCUUCCUUUCUUUCCAUAUUUGUCGUUGGGUUAUAAACUUCCCCAAUUCUACCUUUUAUGUGCACGUGAAUCAUGACAUACCCCUUGAGUCAUGCUUUCAAGUUAUAAUUCCUUUCAAUCUUUGCCACGGCUUCAAGUCUCAAAAUCACACAGCAAUACAUCAUAACCCGAAAAUUUAUAAAUAAUCAAUAAUAUAUAAAUGUAAUCAUCUAUUGAAUCAGUUCAUUAUUUAUUCGUAUUGCAAGCAUCACCCCUAUCAUUCAUAGUUUUCACUUUUUAGUGAUGUUCACAAAAUCCUAACCAUACUAUGCAAUUGAGAUAUGAUCAAUAACACUUUGAUAACAUAUUUUAAAAAACAUAAAUUCUUCUAUAAAAAGUCAUUAUUCUGGGGGUUAAUUUCCAUAGGUUUCUAUUAGUUAAUUUUUUCCAACUAUUUUUGAUGAAAUUAGAUAGAUUUGCCUUCAUAUUUGGGGCAAAUAGUUUCAGCGAAUCAUGAAUAAGCUUCCACACAUUUUAGAAAUCUUAUCUUUUUUAAUUUUAUACUUUUUCUUUAAUUUGCAUUUUGGUUCACAUGACCAAAAAUUAAGUUCCAUGCGUUUUUCAAUUUGUGGAAAUUCAGUUUUUUUUUUUUGUGGAAAUUUCGGUGGAGUCAAUAUGGCUAGAAAUUCGUAGAAGGAUGAAUCAAAAUACUCAAUUAUUGUUGUAGACUUGUAAGGCAGCUAACGGAGUCCACACGUUUCAAUGUUUGUUUACAGUUCAGCUUUCCCUUUGAUUAGUUAUCAAAAUAGAAACAUGAUUAUCAAUUUCAACUGUAUGUCUUUCAUGCCUUAACUUUCUUCCUUUCUUUCCAAAUUUCUCAUUUUGCUUUAAUUUUCCACAAUUUACCUCCACGAAUUGAUUGACCUGUUACCCACCACACUUCAAUACUAAUAAUAAUAAAUAAAUUCUUCAAGCAAUUGACAUUUGACCCACCCCACUUCAAUAAUAAUGCUAAUGGGACAUCAUAAAUUCUUCUAUUCAAAUAUAAUACUCAUGACUUUGACGGCCGAAACAUGUUUCAUGGCACAAAUAAUGACGGUUUUGUUUGAGGUACGGUGGAGGUGUCUAUUCAAAUAUUUGAAGCCAGCCCCUCGUUUUAUCUAAACCACAAGCAGGCUCAGCCGAAAUUGUUUAAUAUUUUUAUUUUUUCAAGAAACUCUCACUAUAAGGCUUAUGUGAAAAUUUGGUUGACAGUUUAUGUAUUUAAUUAUUUAUUUUACCACACAUGUCAUGUGUAGGUUUUAUUUACCUUGAGCAGUGGUCAAUGCAUUAGACCCAAGAUAAAGUGUGUUGAGGUAGGGGAAUUAAUGAUCGCAUUAGCUGUAGCACCUAUCUUCAAUCUCUAAUUUUAACUUUCUAUAGAUGAAGUGUUUUCAAAUUCCUCAAAUGUCUGUAAUCUGUUUAAUAAUUGAAGAAAGUUAAAAUUCAUUUUCUAAAUUUAAGGUUAAACUCCCAAUAAAAAAUUUUAUUUUCAUUCAAUAUUGUCAUUAGAUGGUAAUCACUUUGUACGAGAGAUUCCAAAAAAUUUGUCUCAUUGCUCCUCACUAGAAAGAUUGUAUCUUAGUGAUAAUAAUCUCUUGGUAGGAUUUCACAAUGGUUGGAUAAUCUUUCAACAUUACAACAUUUUAUAAUGCUCAAGAAACACAUUCUUGAAGGUCUUAUUUCAAUGGAGUUUUAUCAGCUUGAUUCUCUUCAAAUUUUGGACAUUUCAAACAAUAAUGUAUUUAAGAGUUUAUUAUCUUGUUUACAUAAAAAUAUAUGCCUAUAGGCAGGUAAAAGAAGGUACAUUUUUUAAUUACUCUUCCUUAGGGACAUCAUAUCUUAGCUAUAGCCACUUGAAUGAGAUCAUUUCAAGUUGGGUUGAUAGGCUUUCUCAAGCAAGCCACUUCAUACUGACCCACAAUAAUCUUAAAGAUGAAGUAUCUGCUCAGUUGUGCCGAUUGAACCAAUUGCUAUUGAUAAAUCAUGCUGAUAACAGUCUUUCCAGCCAUAUUCUUCAUUGCUUAAACAAGUGAACUUGUUUCAUUGAGAGAGUAGUGAAACAAGGAAAAAAAAAAGUUUUGACUUUUAUCAGUUAGUUGACUGUUAAGUAAAAAGUAUGCAAAUAUCAUUUUAUACUUUAGAUUGUUAAAAACUAAUGGAAAAAUAACGUCAUUUGAGGAUAAAUUGAAAUUUUCAUACUUUUAAAAAGUAAAGUGAAAAUUAUCAUUCUAAGUGUGGAUAAAUUAAAGUUACACUCAUAAAAAACACAUCUAAUAAUUUAUACACCAAGGCAGGCCCAAGUCUUUCAAUUUUCUUCCUUUCUUACCAUACUUAUCGUCCUGUAAUAAAUUUCCACAGUUCUACCUUUUUUGUACACAUGAUUCAUGACAUACUCCAUGAGUCAUGCUUUCAAGUUAUAAUUCCUUUCAAUAUUUGCCACGUUUGCAAGUUUCAAAAUCACAUAGUAAUAUGUCAUAACAAGUCCGAAAAUUCAUAAAUAAUCAAUAAUAUAUAAAAGGAAAUUAUCCACCGUCUAUCCGUUUUUUCAACUUUUUCAAAAAUACACAAUUUUUUUUUUUUUUGCUGGAAUCCACCUGAAGUUACAUUUCUUUUCACUUUUCCACUUCCGUUUGGAAUCCGUUAAGGAAAUUAAGGGAAUAUUGUUAAAUGACUUUUUUACCCUCAAAUGUAAAAGAUAAUUUAUCCAUCGACCACUUGUUUUUUCGUAUUUUUUCAGAAAUACACAAUUCUUAAUUUUUUUUUUGCUGACCUCCACUCGAAGUUGUAUUGUUUUACACCUAUCCACCACUGUGUCGUUGUAAAAUGAUGAUUUACCCUUAUAAUGUUAGCAAAGUUAUAACGGUCUCCAAACGGAAGUGGAAAAGUGAAAAGAAAUGUAAUUUCAGGUGGAUUCCAGCAAAAAAAAAAAAGAAUUGUGUAUUUUUGAAAAGCAGUGAAAAACGGGUGGAUGGUGGAUAAUUUCCCAUAUAUAAAUAUGAUCAUCAAUUGAAUUUGAAUCAGUUCGUUAUUUGUUCAUAUUGCAAACAUCACCUCUAUCAUUCAUAGUUUUCACUUUUUAGUGAUGUUCACAAAAUCCUAACCACACUAAGCAAUUGAUAUUCAAUCAAAGACACUUUGAUAACAUAUUUUAAAAAACAUAAAUUCUUCUAUAAAAAGUCAUUAUUCUAGGGGUUAAUUUCUGUAGGUUUCUAUUAUUUAAUUUUUUUCCAAUUAUGUUUUAUGAAAUUAGAAGAUUUGUCUUCAUAUCUAGGGUACUUAGUUUUAGUAAAUUAUGCAUCACCUUCCACACAUUUUAGAAAGAUGAUCUUUUUUUUAAUUUUAUACUUUUCUUUCAUUUACUUUUUGGUUCAUAGGGCCAAAAUUUAAGUUCCAUGCAUAUGCAUUUUGUGGAAAUUCAGUUUUUAUUUUUUUAUUUUGUGGAAAUUUCGGUGGACUCAAUACGGCUAGAAAUUCUUAGAAGGAUGAAUCUAGGGCAGCUAGCAGAGUCUACGAGUUUUAAUGUUUGUUUACAGUUCAAUUUUCCAUUUGAUUAGUUAACAAAAUAGAAACAUGAUUAUCAAUUUCAACUAUAGUUCUUUCAUGCCCUUAACUUUCUUCCUUCCUUUCCAUAAAUUCUCAUUUUGCUUUAAUUUUUCACAAUUCUACCUUGGAUGGUGUUGAUUCAAAUUUUUUCUCAAUGUACAAUGAUUGAUUUGUGUUUCGGACAUUCUUCUAAAUCGAGUUCUGUGGCAUAUUUUUUUCCUUGAGGCGAGUGUCUCAAAUCAUAUGUCUCCUUGUGGUUAAUUAUUUUGUAAAAAGAAACAAUUAUCAAAGGGUGCCGACAUGCCGGCAAUAACCCUCCGACACUCAAGUUAGUUCUUUUUACUCAAGUUUUAAAGAGAGAGAAUCUAGAGCAAGAUGGGCAGAGUUUUGCUCGCAUUUUAUGCCUUUUUUCCUCUUACUUUCAAAUGCCGGUCUUGGCCUUUAUAUAGACAACUUAGAGUCAAUUGGAGAGAUUAUGUGGCACUUUUCUUGUGACAAGUGUCAGCCAAAGUCCAUGCAUGGCGACAUAUAUUCAUAUGUGUCAAUACUUGCUCAUGACAAAUAAUCUUUGGACAUUUGUCAUGUUUUUGGGCUAUUAACCUUUAAUGGACUUUAGCUUAAAUUCGGCACUUAUAUUGGUUUCUUACAAAGAGGAUUGAUUUUGCAACAUUUUGCCCAUAAGCACAUUCCGCAAAAUGUUUGUUAGCCAGUAGGUGUUGAGUGUUAGAAAAUGUAUAUUUAUAAAGGAGAAAAUCAUCAUUUUACAUUUCAAGUUUUACUAACAAUCCUUACUUUUAUGUAUUUAAGCUUCUUGCAAUUUAAUUAUGUGUGUUUGAUUUUAAUUAAGUAUUUUAUGUAUUUUAGGGGCAUCAUGGUUAUUUCACAAUAAACGAGAGAUCAGACGGCAAAACGAAUAUCACUUUUGAACUUAGGACGGUCGAAAACCUUAGGAGGAGCAUAAAAGAAAAAAUGGCACUAUUCACAUGUACGGUAUUAUUCACGUGUACGGUACUGUUUACGUUACUGUUCAUAAUACUGUUCACAUAGACGGAUUGAUGACGUGGCAUUGACUGAUGAGGUGUCACGAUCCUGUUGGGCUAAAAUUCUUAUGUACUGUUGAUGGUGACGUGGCAGCAUAUCAGUAGACGAAAAAAUCUCGCGUACGGUACAUGCAUCACACAGGAUUAUUUUCAACCAAACCGCGUCACUGUUCAACCCAGGUCAAACCGUGUUACUGUUCAUCCACGUGGUCAAACCGCGUACUGUUGACUGAUGACGUGGCGCAAUCCUGAGCGUCCAAACUGUUUUUAAUCCGAUAGCCAUGAUUUACUUCAUGUAUCUAUAAAAAGGGGGCCUCUCCCCCCUAAUUGGAUAGCUCUGAAUCCAUUUUUGGGAUCCAUUUUUUGUAAUUCCUUCUCCAUUUUGUAUUUUCUACAUAUUUUAAUAAUUCCCAUUUUGCCCCUAGUUCAAUUAUGAGUGGCUAAUUUUCUUUCAAGCUUGGGUUGAAGGUGAAGUCUCAACAUGUGUCAUGGGCUUAAUUUGGUAGAUUUACUUUCUCUUCCCAUCUAAUUUUUGUGGAUGUUUUGACUUCUCGUCGACAAAUAAUACUAAUCUUGUCUAGUACCGCCUUGGUUUCACCGGCUCCGUAGUACAAGGUUAUUAUUAUUUGGCACGAUAAGCCCUUAGCACCAUAUUGAUUAGAGUGUGGUUUAUGAGGUGUGGAUUUCCCCCUUAUGAUUUAAUUGAUAUUAAUAAGGAAUAUUUAGCCCAUGGUACAUGUUGAUACGGAUUCAGAUACCCAAGUACGUCAUUUCAAUAGAAUUCUCUUCAAUUUAUUCUCGCCAUUUCAAUUCCAAUUUUAGAAUUUAUUCUCGCCAUUUUAAUUUAAAUUUUAGCAUAUUCCAAAUCAUUUCCACCACAAAUCCAAUCACCCAUUUACAAAAUUAAUUCUACACACAAUUAAAAUCCACCUCCUCGUGGGAUCGACACUCGUCACCAUUAGUCUAUACUACAAUAGAUUCGUGCGUUUGCGAGUACAUUAAAAUUUGCACAGCAGUAGGCUCGCUCCGUGGAAUGUUUGUUGGCCCGUUGGCACAUUCCAUAAAAUGCAUAUAUUUGCCCGUAUGCACAUAUUGUAGAAUGUAUAUUUCUUCGUAGGCGCAAUCUGCCCGUAGCCGCCAUCCGUAGAAUGUGUAUUUGUCCAUAGGCCUAUUGCAUAGAAUGUGUGUUUGCCUGUAGACCCAUUCCGUAGAAUGUGCAUUUGCCCGUACGCCCAUUUCGUAGAAUGUGUAUUUGCCCGUAGGCUCAUUCUAUAGAAUGUAUAUUUGCCCGUAGGUGCACUCCGAGUAGCUCAUGUGCUCUUAGAAAUAUUUUUGAAGUGUCUAGAUCAUGAACGGACCUAGGUCAUUUUUUGUGAGGAAUGGACCUAGGUCGUUCUUUGUAAAAAAUAGACCUAGGUCCUUCUUUGUUGAAUCAUGCCUUUGGCACUUUGUGAAGACUCGUAAGGAAUGGACUUAGGUCAUUCUUUGUAAGCAAUGAACGUAGAUCAUUCUUUAAGACUUAGGUUUUUCUAUGAUAAAUCACGCUUUUGGCUUUUUGUCGUGUCUUGCAUUUAGACACUUUAGUUAGAAUUGUAAAUACCUUGGCCAUUCUUAUAGAGAACACACAUGGGUUAUUUUAUAUAAAAUAAUUUUAUUGGGCCUAUAUUUUUUGUGGGUUUUGGACCUUUCAUAAUUUGGGCUAACAGAGGCCCCCGAAGUCUUACUUUUCAAUUUUGAGAAGUGAGACUUUUUUUGUACUUUUUUUUAGGCUUUUCUUUGGCUUUUCUUAUUACAAAUUAAAUUUUAAGGCUUGAAAUUUCUCUAAGGCACCUAUCCUAUUAAAAUUAGUCUACAACCAAUCUCACAUACUUCAUUUAAUGAUUUGUAGCUCUCUACAAUCUAUCUUAAUUUAACAAUUAUUGAAAAGUAUAAAAAUAAGGAGUUAGUAAAAGUAUCAUUUAAAAAGAGAUACUUGACUUUUUCUAAAUAGUAUGUGAGAAUUUUCUGACAAUUCUUUGGCGAGCUACUGUUGAAGCUCUUCGAGUGCUCAUCGAUCUAAGAAGCAAUGCCAAAUCUUUUCCUGAAAGGUCAUCUUUGAAACUGAAUUGCUUCAAUGGUAAACAUUUUUGUAGAUAGCGAUCCCAGUCAAUUCUCAUAUAUACUUACCCUUAGGCAUUUUGGUUGAGAUCAACCAAAGCUGUAGUCAACAUCCGCCCUUGGAAGAUUUAGUCAAUAGUUGCCCCUAAGCUUUUUGACAUUGGCUUUAAGGUGUUUCUCGUCAACACUAACUCUCGGACGUUUUUAUCUAAAACAUGUCAUUAGGUGUUUCAGACAAUCAUUUGCCUUUUAAUGUUUCACUUAGAAUAUUUUCCCUCAGGUCUAUUAUUAUAAUUCGCUUGUGGACGGUUUCCUUCAAAAAUUAAUUUGAAGUAAUUGGACCUAGGUCAUCCUUUAAAAGAAAGGACCUAGGCCCUUUUAUCAUAAUUUACUCGUGGGCAGUUUCGUAGAACUUAGCCCGUAAGCAUUCUCUUUAGAAUGAUUUUUCUAAGAAUUGGACCUAGGUCAUUUUUUACAAGAAUGGACCUAGGUCUUUUUAUUAUAAUUCGCAUGUGGGCACUUUUUAUAGAAUACUAAUUCUAAGUGAUUGGACCUAGAUCAUUCUUUGAAAGAAAGGACCUAUAUCUUUUUAUCAUAAUUCAGCCAUAUAUGGUUUCCUUAGAAGAUUAAUUCUAAGUAAUUUGACGUAGGUCUCUUUAUUAUAAUCCGCCCGUAGGCACUUUCCUUAGAAAAUUGAUUUUAAGUAAUUGGGCUUAAGUCUCUUUUUAAAGGAAAUGACGUAGGUCUCUUUUUAAAUUGAUUCUAACUUUGUCACUACUUUGAUUGCAUCAAGUGAUGAAUAAUGUCGUAAUCAGAAUUUUCAAGGGGGUAUUUGGGAAUAUUGCCCCCUUCAGAGUUUUAAAAGCCAGAGAAAGAAGACUUUUUGUAUUGUAUGGUACCAUGGUAUGCCCCGUAUGCCUUUCUUAAUGAUAAAGUAGCAGAUUCUCCUUCAAUUUAAUUUCUUUUUGUUCCAAGCCAAAAUAAAAAAAUUUCUGCUCACUAGCCGUACUCUGUUCUUGAUGAACAUUAGGAGGCAGUUCAAGACAUGGAUUCUCAAAGUCAAUUGUAUCGAUGAUACUUGGGUGUGUAUGACAUUUUUAUUAAUAAUUUUAAUCAUUCAUUGAUAAAUUCUUCUAUUAACAAAAAUAAUUUCUCCAAAAUUAAUUUUUCUACUCGCAGACCAUACUUUGUUCUUGAUGAACAUUAGUUGGUACUUCAAAACGUGGAUCCUCAAGUCAAAACGGUAAAUUUUUUUCAUCAGUGAAUCAUUAACUAAACAAGUGAUCUUAGAUUUCAUUCUUGUGUCUAUGAUAUGUGGGUGUGACUGACAUUUGAGGAACAAUUACAAGAGUGAAAAAGGAGAAUACAUAAUAUAUUCAACCACUAAAAAUAAAAGUCAUUUUUAUUUUAUUCCAUCUUACUCGAAUUUGAUACAACUAGUGGGUGUGUUGUAACUAAUCUUAUUUGUCCCUUUGAAAUAACCGAUAAUAAUCUUAUCACCGAAUGUUUAACAGACUCGUAACGUCAUAACGUAACUACCACGUCAAGCAAACACGUGGACUCAGCCGUGAACUACAACCGCAUAACCGUUACAUAUAUAGACUAGUAUGAAGCGGUGGAGUUAAAGCAAGCGUUUAAGAAGUGAUUUAAGCUGAUGCAAGCGUAAAGUAUGAGACGAAUAAAACAACAUACAAUUCAACAAAAGUCUAACAUGCCCUGUUCAAACUUAUAAUUUUCUACUAUUACCUUACCCGACAAUACAAUCCAAGUAGCUGGCAGCCACACCGCAAACUUCCACUAUCAUCUUCUCCUUUCAAACUUAUAAUUUUCUUUUUUCUUUUUUAUUUUCUGGAAAGAGCUGGCUUUCCUUGAUUUUUGCUUUUUGUCAACAAUUAUUCAUGCCUUUUUAUUUUUCUCCAUCACACUUUUUUUCUUUCCCAACUUCCACGAGCUGAGCCGUCGUCGCUUUUUGAAAGAAACAGUAUGGAAGCUAUCAAGAAACAGGCAAUCAAGCUCCGAGAACAAGUCGCCAAGCAGCAGCAAGUCCGUUUCUUUUCUUUUUUUGUUUUUAAAUUAUUUAGACUUUUAAUUAGUGAAAUUUCUCGAUUUUAUUUAUUUUUCAUUAGUUUUUUAUGGUUUGUACAGGCAGUAUUGAAGCAUCUGCUCCAUCUUGGCAUUGAAAAUGUUGCGGUUGAUAAAGCUGACAUUGAGUGUCACCAACAACUUCAAAAUCUAUACAAUUCCACCAGGGCAGCUAAGGCACCAUCCUCCUUUAGCUAAUAAUAAGACUCUGUUUGAUAUUGAUUUAUUGUGGCUUUUGGUAAUUAGAUAUGAUUUUUAAAUAAUAAUUUUGUCAAAUAUGGUACAAACAACUGUAUUUUCUAGACUGAAGUUGCAAGUAUUUACCAACGGAGCUUAAUGUAUGUUGAACAAUUAUGAUGGUUUGUAUGGUUUUAUCUGAACAAUAAUUUGGAAUAUAUGCUCUGUAGCGCAGCAUUUUCAGAGGAAUAUUGUCCGUGGCGUUGAAGGGUUUGUUGCAGUAAGCUUGAAACAAAUGGAAAUAUGUUGUUUGUUUGCUCUUGCUCUUGUUAUAAUAUUUGAUUUUUUUUUAUUUAUUUUCUUGACUAGUUCUUGUGUACAAUAUUUUUGUAUUCAAAUAUUGUAGCGAGAAAGUUGGCCGAAGAUUGUUGCAAGUAUGGAGCGGAGAAUCAAAGUGACAAUUCUUGCGUUGCAAGAGCUGCUCUUCAAUUUGGCACUUCACAUGAUUUGAUGGAAAAUGAGAGGGAAACUUUGCUUGGGAUUCUUCAUGAUCAGGUUAGUUCAUCCCUAACUAGAAAAUAAUUCAAAUAUAGAAAAUUAUAUGUAAAUUACUACGGAAACUAUUAUCUUCUCAUAAGGAAAUUUAGUUCUAAGAUAUUGAAUAAAAGAAUCCAUUUUAAAGUUACAACUCUGAAAUAUUUAAUGUUUUAUAUUAAAAUCAUUGCUAGUGACAUCCAUGACUUGAUAGUUUUAUUGGUUCAAAUGUUGAAGAGACCUUGUACUUCUUACAUCACUAGCGAAGACUGGCGUGGGACAAGUUAUUGGCCGUGAGUUCUCUCAAUUGACUCCAAGCAUUUUGGAUAAAGACAUUUGCAUCUGUAGUAAAAUCAAAUCCAUGAGACUGAAGGAUGCAUGGGGAAGUCUUACAACCUUUAUUUGCAUAGGUAGAUGCUGAGAAAACAUAUCAUCAACACGUUAUUGAUAUUUUAGAGAAGUUGUAUGCGGAGGUUUGGGACUAUGCAUUUUAACUUGCUUGUCCCCAUCUAUCUAUUCCUUGGAGCGUUCUCUUCUUGCUAUUUUCGUCUCACUUAUGCAAAAGAAUAAUUGUGACUUUUUAGUCCCUUCCAACCCUUGCUACUUGAAUUAGAUGAUCCUAUAGGAGCAAUCAAAUGAGUCCUCCUCGCAACAUGUGACUUUCGAAAUGGAUGUACAUGCCUCAUGUGUCUAUCAGAGUACUGAUUCAAAUGGAGCUGAUUUGCAAACGCAUAUUAAUCAGAAUGACGUCUACUUUAUAGCAAAAGUAAGGCUCCUGCUCUCUUGCAUAGGUGAAAGUCCCUCUAUUGCCCUCCUCCUGGAAAAUCUUAAGAAAUAAGAUGCGCACAAAAUUGAAUGCUGUCUUUUAAGAUUUUUUUUUUUAAAAAAAAAGAAUUUUGUUGUAUUUUACCAUGAAAGUUGUUAAUUUACUGAAUUACAAACUUAUCAAUUAAUUUGAUGUUGCACAGUCUUUUUCUUAACAUAUUGCAUUCAUAUUUUAAUUUUGGAGCAAUAAAAUUUUUUUUCUACUAUCACUACCAUCUGGGCAGGUAUUUGUAUUAUUGCACAACAUCUACGGAAGUAGUGAUUAGUCUUAAAAGUUGAAGAUGUCUGUCUGUAUCCUUUCAUCCUAGAUAAAUUGUCAUAUGAUCGUAGGACAAAUUGUAAUUAUUUUUUAAAAUUUAUUAGUUAACACCUUGAAAAUUCUUUUCCCCCAAAUAAAAUUACUCUAAAAGUGUCCAAAUGUGGUGCUGAGGAAGCCAUUCUUAGGAAACUUUAUUUAGGAGAACAGGACUUUUAAGCAUGAGGUUUAGCAAACACCAAUGAAUUAAAAAAGCGAUAGAUGUCGGAUGAGCUAGAUAGAAUGCAUGGGCUAGAAAUAUCAUGUGUCUCUACUAUCAAUAUCUUAGCAACAUCAAAGCUGAGUUAGGCAUGCCAAAGAAAGGCAAACCACUGAAAGUUGUGUAGCCACUCACGACGUAGCAGGUGAUGUAAAGUCUUGAUAUUGCUUAUAGAUACAAGACUGAUAGCUCAACAUCCCUCUUUUUGAGAUUUUCUCUUAAGUUAGAUGGGCCUUUUUAUGAUUAUGUCUGAAUUAUGAUUCUCCUUACUUGGUUUACCUAGAAAAACUAUGUUUAUAUGGAUGUGACUUGGGGGCAAUCUAUGUAUUUGAUGAUAAAUCUGGCCGAGAAAACUUAAAUUAUUAGGCAGAGGAAAUUGACUGACCAUAAGCUGUCAUGUUAAAUCCAUCACUUAAAAGAUGUCGGUCACUUGGAAUCCCCAUUAUCUAUGACUUUCUUGUGCAUAGGCCAUGUUUUGUGGAGAGCAGUCAAAAUUUCAGAUUUAAAAUCUUAUCCAUAAUUUAAAAAUGGAAUUUUGUUUCUAAUAUAUCUUUGUUGGCCAUAAUCAUUGUAGUUACAAUGAACGCUGCUGCUACUGCUGCUGCUUUUGUUAUGCUUUUUUAAAGAUUAAGUUCUAUUUAUCCUAGUAUCUUAUAGGUUAUACAUCCAUUUGACGCUCAAGCAAAUGGGGAGCUAAGUCUUUCAAUUGAUGAUUAUGUUGUGGUUCGCCAGGUACUUUCCCCUCUAAAUAACAACACAGAGAUUUUUCUACUAUGCUAUUAACUUAUCCUUCUAACAACUUAUGAUAUGUGGAAUUUAGAACUAAUGCUUAUACUAAUUUGAUGUUCAAAGCACAUGGCAUUUUGUUCUUAAAAUUUUGAUUGAAAAGCAAUGAGUUAACAUAUGAUGGUUGGUUUUCUUUCUUCCUACCAUAUAUUCCCUUUUAUAUUGAAGUGCAAAUCAGAAUAUAGUAGGGUUGCUAGCUCAGUUCUAAACCACCCAGUUUACCCUUAUAGAUAUGUGAAUUUAUAUCUUGUUAUGCUUCCAUGGUUAAUGUUGUUAUUUCAGUGAUCACAACUAAUUCACUCCUCCUACGUAAAAGAAUUAGUUUUCCCCUUAGGUCUUUGAACGGUCAACUUUUGUUUAAUUCACUGUUUUAGUUAUAACUUCUCAAGGUGGCUCUUAUGGAUGGUCGGAAGGUGAAUGCAAGGGCCAAGUUGGUUGGUUUCCCUCGGCAUACAUAGAAAGACAAGAAAAAGCCCCAGCUAGAAGGAUAUCAGAAACAAACUCCUCACCCAAAUGUGAUGCGACUUCUUAAUAAACUCUUGCCAAGUAUCUAUAUGUUCUUUUUCCUGUAUUAUAUUGCCAUUUUAGUUUAUAGAACGACUGCGACAAUUGAUAAGUGGUUUGAUUGCUUCUCUUAAUGAAAUCUUACUAAGCUCCAAGUAAUAUGUGCGAUCAUAUGCAUUUUAAUAUUUGUAUUUAUCUCCUAGUUGAGGAGAAUAUUUGUAGUAACAACUGUGUUUCCAAAUUGCCAAAAAAAAAAAAAUACACAUCAUGUUUAGCAACAAAUUUUUACUAUUAUUUCUUCCCAGUUUUAAUUUACUUUCUCCGUGAAUUGAAUGUUAUAUUAGUAGCUUGAUCAGAAAGUAACUCAUAUCAAUCAAACUACCUUGAUGCAAGAGAUUGAAUUUAGAAUUUCUCUAUCUUUGUGAAACUUUCCAAUCAUAAUGUUAUGAAAUAUGUGGGCAUGAACUUUUUAAUUUCUAGUUGCAUUUGGAGUAUGUAUGAUAUAAUCUGAAUCACUUGCAUAAUGUUCUUCAUCUUCCANNNNNNNNNNNNNNNNNNNNNNNNNNNNNNNNNNNNNNNNNNNNNNNNNNNNNNNNNNNNNNNNNNNNNNNNNNNNNNNNNNNNNNNNNNNNNNNNNNNNUUCUAACUAAUGAAAUUUUCUAGUCUAAAUUAUGAAAUAUGUGGGAUUGACUUAGAAAUUUUGGUAACAUGUCGAGAAUGUAUGGUAUAAUUUGAAUUCAUUAGCAUAAUCUUCAUCUUCAUUGAUUUGUAAAUUAUGAAACUAAUAUAUAAAAAACUAAUGUUAGAUCCUAAUUAUCUUUAGUUCUUAAAAUUGUUGAGGAGAUAUGAAAUUCUGGUGGGUGGAUUUGAGAGUUUUAGCUUUGAGAAUAUUGCUUCAUCUCUACUUUGAUGUUGUUGUGCCCCUUGUUGUGGCGAGGCAUUAAUCUUCCUAAAUUUUUUGUCAAGCUUCAACUUUAUUAUAUAUAUACCUUUCUUGAUAAAAUGUCUGGGUCCAUCGCUGGAUUUGGUGUUAAUGACACUAGUGAAGAAGAUGAUGAUAGCACCAUAAUCAUUAUUUUUUAAAGUAAAAUAGGCGAUCAAGUGCAUCUAGGUGUUUCAUUUCUUGUGUAUGAUUAUAAAACUAUUCUGAAUAUAGUUUCUAAAUGAAUGUUAUAGAGUGGCUGCUUUUAACAUUGGAGAUGGUUCUCUUAUUUAAGUAUGCUGCACAGUAUAGGGAAGUAUAAGUUAUGGUGGAUAGAUAUGAGUUUGGAAGUGUGGAGACAAAUGUGAAGUGCUUGGAAGUUGGAAGCUAUAUAACGCUAAAUACUUCUACAAUUUUAAUAAAAAAUAAAAAUAAAUUUAUUUCCUAAGCAAACUUGAUUAGUACUUAAAGAAUCAUAAUUAAGCUACUAAUUAAUUUCAAUGACAAAAUCUUGUUGGAAUAAGAUUGUCUACAACAAAAUAAUAACAUGAAGUUAUCCACAUUUCAACAAAGUAAAACAAUUUACGUCGCCAAUAAGAAUUUACAUAUAAAACAAUAACAAUUCCAAAUAUCACUAUUACGUACGAUGUUGUAAAUGUGAUAAAGAAACUGUCCGUGUCAAUUAAAAUGUCUGGGUCCAUCGCUGGAUUUGGUGUUAAUGUUUCUAGUGAAGAAGAUGAUGAUAGCACCAUAAUCAUUCUUUUUAAAAGUAAAAUAGGCGAUCAAGUGCAUCUAGGUGUUUCAUUUCCUGUGUAUGAUUAUAAAACUAUUCUGAAUAUAGUUGGCGAUCAAGUGCAUCUAGGUGUUUCAUUUCUUGUGUAUGAUUAUAAAACUAUUCUGAAUAUAGUUUCUAAAUGAAUGUUAUAGAGUGGCUGCUUUUAACAUUGGAGAUGGUUCUCUUAAAUAAAGUUUGCUGCACAGUAUAGCGAAGUAUAAGUUAUGGUGGAUAGAUAUGGGUUUGGAAGUGUAGAGACAAAUGUGAAGUGCUUGGAAGUUGGAAGCUAUAUAACACUAAAUACUACUACAAUUUUAAUAAAAAAUAAAAAUAAAUUUAUUUCCUAAGCAAACUUGAUUAGAACUUAAAGAAUCGUAAUUAAACUGCUAAUUAAUUUCAAUGACAAUAUCUUGUUGCAAUAAGAUUGUUUACAACAAAAUAGGAACAUGAAGUUAUCCACAUUUCAACAAAGUAAAACCAUCUACGUCGCCAAUAAGAAUUUACAUAUAAAACAAUAACAAUUCCGAAUAUCACAAUUAUGUACGAUGUUGUAAAUGUGAUAAAGAAACUGUCCAUGUCAAUUAAAUUAUCAUUUUUUGUUGGGGGGGGGAAAAAAGGGGCCCCCAAAAAAAAAAAAAAAAAAACUUUUUUUUUUUAAAAAAAAAAAAAUUUUUAAAAAUUUUUGGAAGGCGUUAAAUGUUGCAAAUUGUNNNNNNNNNNNNNNNNNNNNNNNNNNNNNNNNNNNNNNNNNNNNNNNNNNNNNNNNNNNNNNNNNNNNNNNNNNNNNNNNNNNNNNNNNNNNNNNNNNNNNNNNNNNNNNNNNNNNNNNNNNNNNNNNNNNNNNNNNNNNNNNNNNNNNNNNNNNNNNNNNNNNNNNNNNNNNNNNNNNNNNNNNNNNNNNNNNNNNNNNNNNNNNNNNNNNNNNNNNNNNNNNNNNNNNNNNNNNNNNNAUCAGCUUGUUGCAAGAAAGAUCAAGUCCUGAUAGGAGGCUAAGCACUUUUCCUUGGUAAAUGUACGCAAUGUUCUUUGUUGUGAACUCAAAAUUUUCACGGAUUUGCUUUUCUACAUCUCCGUCAGGGCCGUCGAUGGAAAAAGAUAUUUCAAAUUGCUCAUCAAGACUAGAACUAUUGCUGUAACUGUCAUGAAGUGUGGUGUUAUCAAAGCAAGGAGGAAUAGGACCGUGAAGAUUAUUAUUAGAAAGAUCUAACAAUUGUAGUUGGUUCAAUUCGCACAAUUGAACUGGCACUUUACCUUCAAGAUUAUUGUGACCUAAGAUAAGGUGACUUAACUGAGAAAGCCCAUCAACCCAAUCCGGAAUGCUGCCAUUCAAGCGGUUAUAGCUAAGAUCUAAUGUCACAAGGGAAGAGCAAUUAAAGAAUGUACCUCUUUUUAGUUGUCCAUGUAACAUAUUUUUUGAAAGAUGAACUUGUUUGAUAUUGAGAGGAUGGAAACAAGAUGGUAGACUUCCAGAUAUGUUGUUGUCUGAAAUGUCCAAAAUCUGAAGCAAAUCCAGUUGACAAAACUCCAUUGGAAUAGAACCUUUAAGAUGAUUCUUGUGCAUUGUAAUAUGUUGUAAACUUGUGAGACUGCCUAACCAUCGUGGAACCUUACCCGAAAGACUGUUAUUAUUAAGGUACAAUCCUUCUAGUGAGGAGCAUUUAUAUAAACUUUGUGGGAUCUCUCUUAUGAAGUGAUUGUCCUCCAAUUGUAACCAUAUUAAAUUUGCCAGGUUAAAAUUUCUACAGAACAUGUGACCUUUUAGGUUGUUGUUUGAUAACGCUAGAAACUCCAAGUUAACGCAACCGACGGCCAAGCGCUCAGGGAUUUCACCAGUCAAUUGAUUGCUGGAUAAGUCCAAAAUUCUGAGGAAGUUCAUUUUACCAAAUGAAGAGGGAAUGCUACCAUGCAAGGCAUUCGUGGAAAUGUUAAAAGAAAAUAAACUUGGUAAAAUAUCUCUAAUUUCUACUGGAAUAUGGCCUUGGAAGUUGUUGUUGGAGACACCCAAGAAUCUUAACCGCCUGUGUGGAUGAAUUGGCAAUUAAAAAGGUCCUCCAAUAGAAUCAUUGAUGAGAAAAAGAGUUUCUAAUUUUGUGUUGUUUUCCAACAACCAAUUUGGAAAUUCUCCAUUCAUCUUUAUAUGUGAGAGAUGAACAUCCUCCAGGUCAUGUUGAUGGUAAAGGAAUUUGGGGAAUGUGACACCAUCUCCACAACCGGAAGACAACAAGAGAGAUUGUAAUUGGAAGUUUGGGGCGGUCAAAGAAUGUGACUCAGUUAUUUCAGCUUUUAUUUCAUUGUUGUAAGCCCAUAAGCUCUUGAGUCUUGAGUGAUUGAAAAGUGGUUUAAGUGAAAUUGGGAUGCAGAAGUGAUUCUUUGAAAGUAUUAGCUCUUCAAUGGAUGUCAAAUGAACGAGGGGAGUGAUAACUCUAGGAAAUGAGAGUUAUUACAUCAAUUCUAAACUUGAAUCAGGAUCUUUUAGAGAACAAAUAAGGUGUUUUUAUUACAUUUUGCUUAAACAUUCAUUUUAGUUGAGUAUUAAUAAGUUUUGCUUGAAUUAUAGUAAUUUGUGCUAAAAACAUAUGCAUAAUUGUAGGUUCUUGGAAAGUCUUAAUUCAUGAGGGGAUGUUGAGGCAUUAGAUGAGCAAGAGGAGGAAAUAAGCCAGUCAUAAAAGAACAAAAGCACAAUCGGGAGUAAUGCAGUGCUGUUACGGAUGUUAGAGCAACCCGUUCUGUAGCAAUCUGGAAGUAAAUGCGAGAGAAAACUUGGGCGCGGGUCAGCACAUGUUUCUUAAUUUAACGCAUGCACACUCAUAGGCUUGUGUUUACCCUAAUUUGCAAUAUAAAAGGGAGGCAAUACCACAAAGAAAGGCGGCAAGGAAAUUAUCACUAGAAUAAUCACAAAGGAACGAAGAAGAAGAAGAUCAGAAUUAAAGAGUUUUGUUUUGGAAACAUUGGAGAAUCGUGCAGAAUUACUUGGCUUUGAUUUUCGCCGUGCUCAACUUAUAUUUAUCUUCUUCCUUUAAUUAUUUUGAUGUAUUCCGGGAUCAAUAUAUUUAUGAUUAUUUUUGUCAUCCAGAUUAUGAACUAAAUUUACUUGUAGUUGAGUGACAAAUAAUCCAAUGGGUUCUUGAUUGUUCUUAUAUGUUGUUAUGGUAAUGCUGUAGCAUUUUACUCUAGUAGUUUUUAUGAGUAUAACUGUUAUUUCGGUUGACCACCCAUUUAAUAGUUUCAGUUAAGAGCAGCAAAGGGGCAUGUCUUAGCGGACAUUAUUAGAGUAUUACUUGUUCUUAAAUUGAGUUUCCUGGAUUAGGUUAUCUUGAAUCCCAUAAGGGCAAUACUUGAAGUUAAGAUUUGUGACACUCUGGACAUAGGUGUUCACCUUGUAGGGUAGAGAGAUUAAAGGAUAUAAUGACGUACCAUAAAUAUAUGAGCAACUGGUCAUUGUUAGUAGAUUUAAAGGUAUGAGAUUUCUAACAUGCGAUAGCUGAGGAUGCAGAUUUAUUCUGCCCAGUGCUGCAGCACUUAUUGUAACAACUGGUGCUAAUUUGGUAAACACCAAUCACCCCAUUAGGAGAGUUUGAUUAUUCAACUACUAUAUUCUCAAUUGAAUCUUAGACACAGUUAACUUAGUUUAUUUCAUUACAGUAUUGUUUUAUUUCCAUCUCUCGCAAUUAUUAAUUACGAUAGAAUUAUUUAACAAUUGUUUGUUUCGGUUUUAGUUAAUUUGCACUAUUGUGAUUGCUUUAGCAUUUUGAGUAACAUCAAUCCCUGUGGAGACGAUCUUGAAUACUCAUCACUUUAUUACUUGUUGUGUAUAUGAUGAAGAGUAGGAAUCCAUAUUAUACUAGGAUUAGUUUCCUUAUUAACUAAAGUUUAAGACUUUUAAAUUCCUUUCUAAUUUAGAAUUUUGUUUCCCUUUCAAUUUAGGAUUUUGUUUUUACUUCAUGAAUUAGGAUAAUUACUACUACUAUAAAUAGCUUCCUCUUGUAACCUUUGAAUGCAUAAUUUUGAGUUCAAUAAUAUUUCAAUUUUCAAAUCUCUUUGUGAGUAUUUGAACAGUUAACUCUCGGUAUUCUGCGGAAUCAACGAGUCUUAAUCCCUAAAUUCACGGUAUUCUUUUGAAUCAACGUGAAUUUAAUUAUUAUUUUGUUCCGGUAUUCUCUAGAAUCAACGGAAUAUUUUGAACAUUAAACUUCCGCUGCAUCAGUAUAUUUGCACAUCGGCAUUGGUAGUAAUUGAUUAUAAAAAUAAAUCAAUAAGUGUUUGGGGUCGUUGCCGGGGAUUGAUUGUUUAUUUUUAAAGUGUAAAGUAAAUCUUGAUAGCGCCAAAUUUGAUUUGAUUUAUUCUAUUUAUUAGGAGAUCGGUACAUGCAUGCGCAAAGACAGGUCUGUGGUAUUCUAAUUCGAUCCUGAGAUUGAAAGGACUGUCAGGAGAUUGCGAAGAGAACAAAGGAAUUCAGAAAUUGAUUCAAGCAUGAAUAAUUUGCAGGAUGCGGGAAAUUUGAAUCCUCACGGGCCCUUACAACCAGUAAACAUUCAAGGAGAGCAGAAUGAACAUGUUAACGGGAGACAGCCAGGCAAUAACAAUAUUAUUUACAUGGCUGAUGACAGAGACAGAGCUAUAAGAGAUUAUGCUGUGCUAACUCCUCAAGUUGUACAUCCUGACAUCAUCAGACCUGAAGUAGACGUUGCAAAUUUUGAGUUAAAGCCAGUGAUGUUUCAAAUGUUGCAAACAGUUGGUCAAUUCAAUGGAUUGCCAGAUGAAGAUCCUCAUCUCCAUCUUAAAUUGUUCUUGGAAGUAAGUGAUACUUUCAAGAUUGCUGGAGCAAUACAAGAUGCUUUAAGGCUGAGACUCUUUCCUUAUUCCUUAAGAGAUCAAGCAAGAGUAUGGUUAAAUUCGUUACCAUCUGAUUCCAUCACUACAUGGAAUGAAUUGGCUGAUAAAUUCCUAAUGAAAUAUUUCCCACCAACAAAAAAUGCAAAGUUGCGGAAUGAGAUUACUUUCUUCCAUCAACUUGAAGAUGAAAUGCAAAAAAUGCAAAAAAUGCAAUGUUAGUUAAUGAGUGACCUCAUUAACUAACAUAGUAAAGGCCUUGACAUCUGCUCCAGCAACAGUAAAGCAAGUUACUGAACUUUCUUGUGUAUACUGUGGUGAAGAGCAUAACUUUGAUAAUUGUCCUGGAAACCCAGCUUCAGUAAACUAUGUGGGUAAUUUCAGUUGAUAACCUCAGAACAACCCAUAUUCAAAUACUUACAACCCUGGCUAGAAGCAACACCCAAAUUUUGCAUGGAGCAGUCAGAAUCGAAAUGCUCCAGCAUUAAAUAGACAAAAUAAAAACACACAACCACUUGGUUUUCAUCAGCAGAGUCAAGGGCAAAAGCAUAACAGUCAGGAUCCAAUCACUUCACUGGAAGCACUGAUUAAAGAGUACAUUGUAAAGAAUGAAGCAAUUGUGCAGAGUCAAGCUGUAUCCUUGAGAAACCUGGAAAACCAAAUGGGACAACUAGCCACAGUAAUAAGCAGCAGAACUCAAGGAAGCCUACCUACCAACACAAAAGACCCUAGGAGGGAGGGCAAAGAACACUGCAAAGUAAUUAAUUUGAGGUCUGGAAAGAAUGUUGAUAUCCCAGCUGAUGUAACAAAAAAUGGGAUGGAAUUCAAUUCAGCACAAAAAUUACCUCAAAAGGGAAGCAUGUUACAACAACCUCCUCUUCAAGACACUGGUUACAUGGGCCAAGUUACAGCAACUACAGAGGAAAUUCAACCAAAACAUGUUGAAAAAGAAAUUGCAACACCAGUAGUCACAACCUGCACCAAACCAAACAAACAGAGUUUGAUAUCUCCUGAAGCUACCUAGCAGUUUAGACAUCCACCACCUUUCCCACAAAGGAUCCAGAAGCAAUAACAAGACAAGCAGUUUAGCAAAUUCCUGGAAGGGCUGAAACAACUGCACAUAAAUAUACCUUUUGUGGAAGUUUUGGAGCAAAUGCCAAAUUAUGUGAAAUUUUUAAAAGAUAUCUUAGCAUGAAAAAGAAAGCUGAGAGAGUUUGAAACUGUUGCUUUAACACAGAAGAGCAGCCAUAUGCUCAAGAGUAAAAUUCUCACAAAAGUAAAAGAUCCAGGGAGUUUUACAAUACCCUGCGCUAUAGGAACUAGGUAUGCUGGCAAAGCACUUUGUGACUUGGGAGCUAAUAUUAAUUUGAUGCCAUUAUCUGUAUUUAAGCAGCUGGGAGUAGGGGAGUGCAGACCAACAACAGUCACUCUGCAAUUAGCUGAUAGAUCUCAUGCAUACCCUGAAGGAAAAAUAGAGGAUGUAUUGGUGAAGGUUGACAAAUUCAUUUUUCCAGUGGAUUUCAUUGUACUGGACUUUGAAGUUAAUAAAGAGGUACCCAUUGUAUUGGGAAGACCUUUUCUAGCAACUGGAAAGACUUUGAUAGAUGUGCAGAAAAGAGAGCUCACCAUGAGAGUGAAUGAUCAGCAAGUCACAUUUAAUGUCCUAGAGGCUAUGAGAAACCCCGAUGAAGUAGAAGAUUGCAAUUUCCUAAGUGCAGUGGAUUUUGUUGUAGCAAACAAAAUGGACAGAUGCUACAAUAAUGCACUUGACAAAGUCACCACCUUUGAAGAUGUUGCAGCAAUCCAAACAUAUUAGAUGGACAAACAGCAAUCUAAUAGGCACAACAUGUUUAUUGAACACCUGAAUGUUUCAGACAGGGAAGUAAAAACAACUUUACCAUCUAUUGAAUCACCUCCUAGUUUUGAAUUAAAACUGUUACCUUCACAUUUGAAGUAUGCAUAUCUUGGUCAAAACAACACACUCCCUGUAAUCAUUUCUUCUACUGUGGAUGCAGGUCAAGAACAGAGUCUAGUAGAUUUACUGGGAAAAUACAGAAGAGCAAUUGGAUGGACCAUGGCAGAUAUAAAGGGGAUAAGUCCAUCAAUAUGCAUGCAUAAAAUCCUGUUAGAAGAUUGUUCCAACAAUUCGGUGGAGCACUAGAGAAGGAUGAAUCCUAUUAUGAAAGAAGUGGUGAAGAAGGAAAUCAUCAAAUGGUUGGAUGCUGGAAUCAUAUACCCAAUAUCGGACAGUUCAUGGGUAAGCCCAGUUCAAUGUGUUCCAAAGAAAGGAGGGAUAACAGUAAUGGCUAAUGAAAAGAAUGAACUUAUUCCUACAAGGAUAGUGACUAGAUGGAGAGUGUGUAUGGAUUACAGGAAACUCAACAAAGCCACAAGGAAAGACCAUUUCCCACUUUCAUUCAUAAAUCAGAUGUUGGACAGACUUGCUGGAAAACAAUACUAUUGUUUCUUAGAUGGGUACUCAAGUUACAACCAUAUUGCUAUAGCUCUAGAAGAUCAAGAGAAUACUACAUUUACUUGUCCCUAUGGAACAUUUGCCUUCAGAAGAAUGUCAUUUGGGCUAUGCAAUGCUCUAGCAACUUUUCAGAGAUGCAUGAUGUCUAUAUUUUCUGAUAUGGUAGAGCAGACUUUGGAAGUUUUCAUGGAUGACUUCUCAGUUUUUGGAGAAACAUACAAUGAUUGUUUACACAACUUGGAAGAAGUUCUUAAAAGAUGUGAGAUGACCAACUUAGUACUCAAUUCGGAAAAGUGUCAUUUCAUGGUGCAAGAAGGAAUAGUGUUGGGUCACAAGAUAUCCAAGGAUGGUAUUGAGGUAGACAAAGCUAAGAUAGAGGUAAUAGAUAAACUGCCACCUCCAACUUCAGUAAAGGGAAUUAGGAGUUUUUUGGGCCGUGCUGGAUUCUACAGAAGAUUCAUUAAGCAUUUUUCCAAAGUAGCUAAACCACUGUGUUCAUUGCUGGAGCAUGACAAACCGUUUCACUUUGACAAAGAUUGCCUUCAAGCAUUUGGAGAAUUAAAGAAAGCUUUGAUCACUGCUCCAGUAGUUAUAUCUCCAGACUGGACUUUACCAUUUGAAUUGAUGUGUGAUACUAGUGAUCACUCUGUGGGGGCAGUAUUAGGGCAAAGAAAGGAUAAAGUUUUUCACUUCAUCUACUAUGCAAGAAAACUCUCACUCAAACUCAAAUCAAUUACACCACUACAGAGAAAGAGUUGCUAGUAGUAGUAUUUGCUUUUGACAAAUUCAGAGCCUACUUAGUAGGCACUAGAGUGACUGUAUAUACAGACCAUGCAGCAAUCAAAUACUUAAUUUCAAAGAAGGAUGCCAAGCCAAGAUUAAUUAGAUGGAUUUUAUUGCUUUAAGAAUUUGAUCUGGAAAUUAAAGAUAGAAAGGGGACUGAGAAUCAAGUAGCAGACCACCUGUCACGGCUGGAUGCAGACACAAGCACAUUGACCAGAAACGACAUCACUGAAACUUUUCCUGAUGAACAGCUGUUGGUAGUACAAUAAGCACAGAUGCUGCAGCAGUCAGAAUCUCCAUAGUAUGCAGAUUUUGCUAACUAUUUAGUAAGUGGGUUGCUACCACCUGAGCUAAAGUUUUAAGAGAAAAAGAAAUUUCUUCAUGAUGUUAGAAGUUAUCAGUGGGAUGACCCACAUUUAUAUAAGCUAUGCUCAGAUCAAGUAAUAAGAAGAUGUGUUGCAGCAGAAGAGAUACCCCAUAUACUGGAGUCAUGUCAUGCUGCAGCAUAUGGAGGACAUUUUGGUGGUCACAGAACAGCUGUCAAAGUUCUGCAAUUAGGUUAUUAUUGGCCCACUAUUUUUAAAGAUACUUAUGAAUUUGUUAAAUGUUGUGACAGGUGUCGAAGGACAGGGAACAUAAGUAGAAGACAUGAAAUGCCACUGACCAACAUCCUGGAAGUGGAAGUUUUUUAUGUCUGGAGAAUAGAUUUUAUGGGACCCUUCCCGCCAUCUUUUGGGAACUUAUAUAUCCUUGUUGCUGUGGAUUAUGUCUCCAAGUGGGUAGAAGCUGCAGCAUUACCUACCAAUGAUGCUAAAACAGUUGUGGCUUUUCUUCAGAAAAAUGUUUUCUCUAGGUUUGGCACUCCUAGAGCAAUUAUUAGUGAUGAGGGCACACAUUUUACAACAAAAUCUUUGCUGCAGCAAUGAUGAAAUAUGGAGUCAGGCUGAAGUGUCCAACAGAGAAAUUAAAAAGAUCUUAGAAAAAGUGGUGAAUCCAAUAAGGAAGGAUUGGUCUUUACACUUGCAUGACUCUCUAUGGGCCUACAGAACAGCAUACAAAACUCCACUCGGAAUGUCUCACUACCGAAUUGUUUAUGGCAAAGCUUGUCAUUUGCCACUAGAGCUAGAGCAUAAAGCACAUUGGGCACUGAAGAAAUUAAAUUGGGAUAUGCAUGCUGCAACAGAGCAAAGGAAACUUCAACUUUGUGAGCUUGAUUAAUUACAACUAUUUUCAUAUGAAAAUGCAAGAAUCUAUAAAGAGAGGACAAAACACUGGCACGACAAGCAUAUUCAGCACAGGAAAUUCAACCCUAGUCAAUUAGUGUUGCUCCACAAUACAAGACUAAGAUUAUUUUUGGGAAAGCUCAAGUUACGAUGGUCUAGCCCGUUUAAGUUGUUAAAAUCUUAUUCUCAUGGAGUUGUUGAUCUUCUAGAUGAACAAACAGGCCACGAAUUCAAAGUUAAUGGACACAGGGUUAAGCAUUACAUACAUCCAGCAGUAGAAUGUUCAAAGGAGAUGUUACUCCUUAAAGAACCCAGCUAUUGAACAAUGAAGGAAGGUCAGGCUGAAGGACCUUAAAUCAAGCGCUCCAUGGGAAGCAGCCCAUUUGGGAGACAACCACUUCAAACCAAUUUUGAUCUCCUUUGGUUUAGUUGACAGCUCUCCCUCCUUACCAUUUUAUUUAAUUUUGUUCUUUCAUUCUAGCUAUUUAAUUUUAUCUUUUCAAAUUAUUGCAUUCUUUAAUUUUGCUAUCAUUUAAUCUAUUUAUUUUUAAAUGUUAGAAUUAAUUUGAAUUUGUGGGAAGUAUGUGUAACAAUUGAAUUCCAUACUGACAAGUGAGGUUGUAUGGUGGCAGAGUAUAGAGGUGAGCCACGUGUCAGAGGCUUUAGUGUGGAGUAUGUACCGUUGCUAGAGUAAGCGAAUGGGUGCUGCAGCAACCAAUUUUACCGUUGCAAUAAAUUGAAAGAUGAAGCCUCUCACUUACCGUUGGAGAUAAAUCAUGACAGAUGGAGGCUUGGAUGUGGAUAGAAAUUGCAAAUAAAUCUCUGAAAUUAAUGCCUUAAAUUACCUAGCCGAUGUUUUUGGGAUACGCGCUUUAAAUUAAAAAAUAUUUUCUUCCCUCAUUUAUCUUUAGUUACCGUAUUUAUCUCCAAUUAAAAGUCCACUAUAAAAAAGUCAUUGUACUUAGUGCUCUACACCACUAUUCCCCAUCUCCUUCGCAAAUCCAACUCUCCUAAUUCUUAGCCUCUUCUUCUCUUUUUACUCUCAGGAACAGUAGACUAAAUUUGUUACUGCUACAGUAAUGCCGAGAUAUAAGAAAACAGCAAGCCGCCUCAAAGAUCCGUCACGAUUCUAAAGUUACCACGCCGAAAAAAAAUAUGAAGAAUUCAUAGAGCCGCGUAGGAUUCUGGAAGAAAAAAGGUUUCAAUUUCCAGACCAACUCACGGGAAUUGUGCAAACAAUUCAUAAUGCUGCAGCAAAGCGAGGAUGGCUAGAGUUUUACAAACACCCUCGGGAUCCUGUGCUGCCUGUAGUAAAAGAAUUUUACGCCAAUUUGGUAAGCCCUGAUCAGCACAACAUUUGGAUAAGAAAUACACUUGUCCCAUUAGACUCUCGUGUUAUCAAUGCUUUUUAUAACUUACCUGCUGAAAUUACUUGUGAGUAUGCUAAGUUGCGUGAUAAGUUAACCCCGAAAAAGUGGAACACCAUUUUUACAACUCUUACAAUCGAAAGAGCAUCAUGGGCUAACAAGGAAGGGCGUGUAGUUAAUAGGAUAGAUUUGAAACCUAUUGCUAAGAUGUGGGUGAAAUUUCUGAAAUCUAGGCUUAUGCCCACCACUCACACUACUACAGUUUUGCAAGAAAGGUUGGUCUUGUUAUAUGUCAUAGUUCGCGGGCUUCCCAUAGAUGUGGGUAGCAUCAUCGCAAAAGAAAUCCGAGAUUGUGCAGUCAAGACUCACCGAACUGCUGCUUUGCUAUUUCCAUCACUCGUUACUAGCAUUUGUGUAGUUUCAGGUGUUCAUCUUGACGCCAGAGAUGACCAUGUCAAUAAUGAUGGUGCCUUUACGGCAUGAACCAUUGAGAGAGUUGCUGGUGAGAGUGCUGGAACAACCACUGAACCAGCUGCUGAGACAGGAGCAAGAUGAGCUAUUGGCUUAGAAAAGACCAUCCAGGCACUCAGCACAAGUAUAACUCAAUGUACGGAACCACAGCAGUGGGAAAACGAUCGAUUUUGGAGCUAUCUCCAGCACCUGGACAACCAACUACACCAAUUUUCUCUGUACAUGAAACGCACUCACCGGAACUUCCUUGAUGCACUGCUCCAGCAGUACAAUUUUGACACCAACACCACAAAUGCAUCAACAGAGGCUAGUGCAGAAGCCACUGCCACAGAGGAACCAGCAGAAGAUGCUACAGCCGAACCUCAAGCAGAGGAAGAAUCAGAAGAUGCUGAACCAUCUGAUUAGCCUGAGGAAGAAGGUGACAAGUCUGAGAUUGAUAGCUCACCUACAGAGGAAGAAGACAACUCGGAGAAAGACCGUGAGGAACCAACCAUCCUAACCCAGCCCAAAACCAGAAAAAAAAAAAGCACGUUAUUCAAGAAAAUGAGGAGGAAGACCUUGAAGAGGAGCCGUAUAUUCCAGUCCUUGCAGGCAAGAGAAAGGACAAGGGUAAAGCAAAAAUGGCAACAACUCCAGCCUCUGAAGAUGAGAUGGAGCAAGUCGAUGCUAAGCUGGCUGCUGCAGCAGCCAGAGCUAUGCCUACACCUAAGCAAGCUAAGCAACUACUUGCGGUUAUUGCUGCCAUCACAACUGAGGGCCAGGCAGCUGAUGCAUUAACUCAACAACCUCCACAGCAAACUCCUAGCCAGCCUAUUCGCACAAGUCCAAGACAAUCCAGCAAACAAAAAGGCAGUACGUCUACAAGUACUUCUACAGCAACCCCAGCCACAACUCCUCUCACCAGCCGCGCAGUGAAAAAGACAAAGACAUUGCCAGCUACUUCCCCAAAAGCUUCACCAAAGGAUGAGCUGCGCAGUGCAUCCAAGAAGUGCUGAUAGCAUCCCGUCAUGCACUCCAGUCCCCACCACAGGGGAGUACUCUAUCCUUACUAGUUCAUAUUUAAAAAAAAAAAAUUAUGUUUGUCAAUUUGUAUGCCUUUGUUAUGUAUGCUUGUGAGGACACAGCAUCUCUCAAGUUUGGGGGGAUUGUGUCCGAAUGCAUGUGUUUAUGUAUGUGUUUAUGUUUGUGUUGUGUGAAGCUCUGUUAUCUGUUAUUUGUGUAUGGAUUUGAAAACCUAAUAAAGAUAAAUUGAGUGUUAUUCAGUAUUUAUGAGAAUGCCAAGUAGAGAUAGUUAUAGAUAGAAGUGAAAUUAUGUCCCAACACUUAGACUUUGGUUGAAUUGUAUGAGACUGUUAGAGCAAAGCCAAAAGAAUAGAAAAUAUCUUAAGUUUGAAGGGAGAAGCAAGUUGAUUGACUGUGAUAUUUAUGAGAUAAAACUCUACUCCAAUGGCUCAAGUUGCUGAGUAACCAAAUCUGAGUAUGUACCCCAUAUGCAGAAUUGUGUAAAAGGUAGCAAGAGUUAUGAGCAAUGCUGUAGCAAAUAAAAAAAAAAGUCCUAUGUCUAAGGCAUUGAGUAGUCAGGUCUGUUCAUGAACCCCAUGUUCAGCCUUGAGUAAAAGAUACCUUUAGAUGAGAUUAUACCGCAAAUAUUGCUGCAGCAACUCUGAUCUGGGCAUGGUUUAAGUAAUUGGGUGUCAUCAUUACAAGUGAUUGACAUUCACAUGAAAGAUAAAUGUUACAGUAAGGAGGUUGAUUACUCCCCAGUUUAUCAAUGUAAAACAAUCACAGUUUGAAUAUGUGAAAUUUAUGCUACCCCAUUUAUGAAUGAAGUAUAUCACUGCUGAAAUUUAUGCAGUCCUUUGGUGAUGUUACAGCAUAUCUGGAAUUCAAUCAAAGGAAGCACACACACACAAUGGACAGAAAGAAGCUUAAGUCUAGAACUGAUUUACUAUGGCAUUUUGUAUGAUUGGGAUUGUGAUCUGAAGGUGGAAGAAUCCUUGCAAAUUUGAUAAAAGAGCUAAAGUUGUGUGCAUGUUUGUUUGCGGAAAAUGUUAGUAUGUGUCAUUACUUGAAGGCAAGUAAUGGUUUAAGUUUGGGGGUGUGAUAACUCUAAGAAAUGAGAGUUAUUACAUCAAUUCUAGACUUGAAUCAGGAUCAUUUAGAGAACAAAUAAGGUGUUUUUAUUACAUUUUGCUUAAACAUUCAUUUUAGUUGAGUAUUAAUAAGUUUUGCUUGAAUUAUAGUAAUUUGUACUAAAAACAUAUGCAUAAUUGUAGGUUCUUGGAAAGUCUUAAUUCAUGAGGGGAUGUCGAGGCAUUAGAUGAGCAAGAGGAGGAAAGAAGACGGUCAUAAAAGAAGAAAAGCACAAUCGGGAGUAAUGCAGUGCUGUUGUGGAUGUUAGAGCAACCCGUGCUAUAGCAAUCUAGAAGUAAAUGUCGGAGAAAACUUAGGCUCAGGUCAGCACAUGUUUCCUAAUUUAACGCACGCACGCUCAUGGGCUUGUGUUUACCCUAAUUUGCAAUAUAAAAUGGAGGCAAUACCACAAAGAAAUGCGGCAAGGAAAUUAUCAUUAGAAUAAUCACAAAGGAACGAAGAAGGAGAAGAUCAGAAUUGAAGAGUGUUGUUUUGGUAACAUUGGAGAAUCGUGCAGAAUUACUUGGCUUUGAUUUUCACCGUGCUCAACUUAUAUUUAUCUUCUUCUUUUAAUUGUUUUGAUGUAUUCCGAGAUCAAUAUAUUUAUGAUUAUUUUUGUCAUCCAGAUUAUGAACUAAAUUUACUUGUAGUUGAGUGACAAAUAAUCCAAUGGGUUCUUGACUGUUCUUAUAUGUUGUUAUGUUAAUGCUGUAGCAUUUUACUCUAGUAGUUUUUAUGAGUAUAACUGUUAUUUAGGUUGACCACCCAUUUAAUAGUUUCAGUUAAGAUAGAGCAGCAAAAGGGCAUGUCUUAGCGGACAUUAUUAGAGUAUUACUUGUUCUUAAGUCGAGUUUCCUGGAUUAGGUUAUCUUGAAUCCCAUAAGGGCAGUACUUGAAGUUAAGAUUUGUGACACUCUAGACAUAGGUGUUCACCUUGUAGGGUAGAGAGAUUAAAGGAUAUAAUGACGUACCAUAAAUAUAUGAGCAACUGGUCAUUGUUAGUAGAUUUAAAGGUAUGAGAUUUCUAACAUGCGAUAGCUGAGGAUGCAGAUUUAUUCUGCCCAGUGCUGCAGCACUUAUUGUAACAACUGGUGCUAAUUUGGUAAACAACAAUCACCCCAUUAGGAGAGUUUGAUCAUUCAACUACUAUAUUCUCAAUUGAAUCUUAGACACAGUUAACUUAGUUUAUUUCAUUACAGUAUUGUUUUAUUUCUAUCUCUCGCAAUUAUUAACUACGAUAGAAUUAUUUGACAAUUGUUUGUUUCGGUUUUAGUUAAUUUGCACUAUUGUGAUUGCUUUAGCAUUUUGAGUAACAUCAAUCCCUGUGAAGACGAUCUUGAAUAUUCAUCACUUUAUUACUUAUUGUGUAUACUUGCACAUUGGCAUUGGUAGUAAUUGAUUAUAAAAAUAAAUCAACAGGGAGAUAAGGAGAUGCUUCCAGUAAGUUGAUUGUAAGAAACAUCUAAUAUUCGGAGGGAUGUCAUAUUUGCCAAGCACCAAGGCAAGCUACCUCUUAAAUCAUUGCUUGCAAUGUACAACUCUUGUAGAUGCACCAACGAACAGAGGCCUGAAAAUUUAUUAAUUCAACCAUUGGUACAAUAAAACAAUUAACAAAUGCAUAACAUUCUUUUAUAAGUGAUUGGUUUGUGUAAUUAUAUUUUUAAUUGAAAAUUAAAAUUAUAGAUCAAGAGGGGAGGGUGGGAGCAUCUGAUUAACCUUGAUCAAGAAUCAUGCUGCUGUUAAUGCCAAUAGUAGAACCUGACAGUGAUAAGUACUUGAGAGAAGACAUCGAUUCACCGAUGCUUUGAAGAAAGCUGGUGUUGAGUGCACUGCGCAUGAAUUCCAUGUCCAAAUGUUCCAAACUCUUGAAAUGAGGAAAGCCUAGCAAAAACAAUAAAAUAAAUAAAUAAAAAUGUUGAACACUUAAGACGACAUUGAGUUCACAAUCAACACUUUUCUUUUACCUUGACCACGUACGACACCAUUGACUUCACAACCAAUCACCGACAGAUUUUUUAACGAAGGGAAUAUUGAUGCAAUGCUUUACAGAAGGCUUAUAUGGAGAGGGGAAUCGUUCAAUUUCAAAUAUUCCAAGUUGGUGAAAUUGUGCAACUCUGUUUCGAAGCAAUAAUUUUAGCUUUAUUAACAAUACGGAAAAAUAAUUAAUUAUUUAACAGUUUAUUUAUAAAUUUGGCCACAUAUGUACCGUUUAUUAAUAAUAUGGAUAAUUAAUUAAUUAAUUAGCUGCUUAUUUAUAAAUUUGGCCACAUUUGUACCUUUUACUUACCUUGAGUAGUAAUUGUCACUGUUUCCGUAAAAUUAUUAGACGAAAGGUAAAGAUUGUUGAGGGAUGGGAAUGAUCCCAUUGACUGUAACAACUUGCUUCCAUCUCUAACUCCAACUCUCGAUAGAUCAAGGCUUUUCAACUUCCUCAAACCGCUGUAACCUAUUUAAUAACAAUAAUUAGGAUAGGAUUUAAGAAAAUCAAAAUUCAUUGUCUAAAUUUAGAGCUAAACGAAAUAACUGAUUAAUUUAAUUAGGAGUCAAUUUGUAUUUUAUGCUUUGGGCAAAGAUCAGUAUCAUUUUUCAAUCGCUGCAAAGAUUAAAAAAUUAAAAUGAAAUCUUUAUUACAUUUUGUUUUUGAAAUAAUAAUAUUACGUCCUAUUUUUGAAAUAAUAUAAAUUCUAUGUUUCUUUAUUUUUAUUUUUAUUUUUUUGUACCUUUUGGGCCUUCCCUAAUCAAAUGAAUAAAAUUUAUGUAAUUGAAUAAUAUUUUAAAUGUUUACCUUGAGGAACCACAAGAUUGUUGAUUUCAUUGAAGCUCAUGUCCAACAAUUCUAAGUUGUUGAAGGAAUUGAAUUCUGCAAACAUAAACAGACUUAAGACUUAAAACAGAGUAAAUUAAUUAAUAAAUUUAAAGAAAUUAAAACGUCAUUAGAAUUUCGUCUAAACCAAACCAAAUAGUAUUUAAUUAAUUGAUUGAAAAAGUAUGCUUACUUUGUAUGUAAUUCCUUCAGGCUAAUCAAAUUAAAUAUUAAAUUAUGUCGAUAAUACAGAAGUCUAGCUGGCAUAUAUAAAAUGAGAAAGCAGGGCUUAGACUUACCUCGAACAUUGAAUGUUCCUUUGAAUCUCGUACCACUUAAACUAAGAGACUUCAAUUUACUCAAACCUGUAAAAUAAUAAACCAAAUGGCAAAGAAUCCAGCUAAUUUGUAUAAGUUAGCAUUUUUUAUGGUAUUUGUAGUACCUUUUGAGACCACAAAUUUGUCAAUCUUGUUCCCGCCAAUGUCUAGCUCCUCUAAAUCUCUCAAAGAAUCUAAUUCUGUAAUAAGUACAAAUUGAGUUGAAUGUUUCAAACCUCACCAAAUAAUAAUAAUAAUAAUAAUAAUAAGUUGUGGAGGUGUUUGGUUCACUAUUGGAGUUUUUUUUUAAUCUUAAAUUCAAGACAUAUGAAAGUACAAGAUGAAAUUACGAGAAACAUAAAAACUUGUAUUUAUAAAUUGCUUAAAACUGUUUUUUUUAAUAUUAAUCAUAAAAAAAUUGAAUUCAAAGCCUUGAAUCUUAUUUUAGCAAGUUAAUGAAAGAACUUGAAGUUUUAAUUAUGUACCUUUAACGUCAAUACUUCCUUCCAAUCUAUUCCAAAAUAAAUUUAAUGAUCUUAAUGGUGAAAGAUGAGUUAGAGAUGAUAAAAUGCUAUUAUUGAAUGAGUUUCCACUUAAAUUAAGCAUCUUCAAGUUGUUCAAUCUUGAUAGCCUCUCUAUACCUGCAAGUAAAAUAAAAAAAAGAUCAUAGAUACUGGUGUAAUUUCAAAAUUAAUCAUUUAAAAAAAAAGUCAAAAUUGUCGACUAAAUGAAUAUGCAUAUAAUUGCUCGGUCUUGAUAUUCAACUUAAAUUAGGGGGGAGAAAGUAAAUUAAUUAAAUUAAACGAAGCACCUUCAUUCUCAACACAACUGGCUAUUUUGUUGUCAGUUAAAUCAAGUGACUCAAGUUGUUGGAAGGGAGUAAACAAAGAAGCAUUCAGAUACCAGUACUCUCCCCCAUACGUGUCAGAAAGGUCUAGCGCUAUCACUCGGCUCAUGGUGUUGCUGCACUCAACCCUUUCCCACUGACAACAAUCAGUAGCUCCCUCACCAUCUCCCCAGUCGUAAAGAAAAUUAUAAGGAUCAUUGAGGAAAUGUUUGAGUCGCAAAAGAGCAAAUCUCUCAUGAUCCAAACAUCCCUCACUUCACCCACCUUCAAAUAUUAUUAAUAACAAAACAAACAUUAUCACCAUUUUUUUAUUUUGAACCACCCAUUCUAACUAUAUCUUUAAGUUUUAAAAAACACACACACUCUUUCUAUCUUUGUAACCAACCAGAGGACUAUACGCCAUUUGCUUAUAACGCAUGUAACUAUUUAUACACCCAACUAGCUUAUAGUUGACUUUUUUAGUUGUUUCUCCAAGUCCUUCAUGCAUUAAUUUUCUUCCCUUUUUUUUUCAUCUUUGUCAUUUUGCUAUAAUUUGCAACAGCAACGCGUUUUGAGCUAGCAAUAAAUAAUAAUUGAGAGAGAUUGAGAUGACAAAUGGAUAGAAACUAAAAGUAUGGGUGUUUAAUACGAGAACGAUUAUACCCGUUUAUUAUAUUUCAACCUAAAAAUUUACUCUAAGCAUUUAUAAUAAAUAAAAAUAUGAUAAUAAAAAUAAUAAAAAAAUAUGAAUAAUAUAUAUUUGUAAAAAAAAAAGAUUUAUGUGUCCAUUUUGAAAAUUAGCGAGUAUAUGUAAAUAUAAUUAUCAAAACAAACCAUAGAAGUGUUGUUAUUUUUUCCUUUCAAAAAAUCCACCAUUAUAAAAAAAGCCCAAAGACUUUGACAUCUUUUAGGAGUCUUUGGGCCUUGUUUUUUUCCCUCUUUUUCUUUCAUUUGCAUUUUGAUCCACAAGGCCAAAAAUUAAAUUCCACACCUUUGGCAUUUUGUGGAGAUUACAUUUCCAUGUUUUUACUUAGAAAGUAGGUGGAGACGUGGAGUCAAUGCGGCCAAGUGCUCAAUUAUUGUUAGUUAGCAAAAUAGAAUUUUUGGCGAGAUGAAUUUGUUGUAAAAAAGUUUUUGGAAAAAAUAAUAAUCAUCGGAACUUGUCUUGUGUCUUUAUAACAAUUUACUACUGCGAAAUCUUUACAACUUCACAUCUUUGAUUCAAUUAUCGCCACAAAGGCACAAGUACGUCCAUUUGUAAACCAAUCGAUAGAGAUCAAAUUUCAAGCCAUGAACUUGUAUUGUCAGCAAACACCUAAUCACUUUAGAUAUUUGUAUCGUUUAAUUAAUUAAUGAUCACUCUGAAAUUACAGAGGUUGGCCGAAUAUUCCCCUAAAAUUAAUUAAUUUUACCGAAAGGGAAUUAUUAGACAGAUCAAGUGUGUCUAGUUUUUUUGUUGUUUUGUAACAAUCAAUUUGGAAACUCUUCACUCAAGUUAGCAUCUUAGAGAUCAAGAUAAACAAACUCCUAGUGAUGCUAAUGGAAGAGGAAUUUAUAAGAGGAGAAGAGAGAGUAAUUAUGCUUGAUCAAGAAAGGUACCAUUAAAUCUAGAAUAUGACAAUUAAUGGUAGAAAAAUUAACAAGCAUGUAAUCCACGAUCAAAGAUUUUAAAUCCUUGAAAUUUAGAUAACCUAAAAAUUAACAUUGAACAAGAAAUAAAUCAACACUGCCACUUUGAUCACAUAAUCGAUGAAACUUAGGAUAUAUAAUCAACACCUGUUUAUUUUACUAUUGAAUUACUAUUUUUUCUGUAUUAUUUGAAUAAGGGAAUUGAUUUGGAGAAACUCUCACUAUAAUUGAUGAAAAUCAAGAUAUAAUCAAUACAUAUUCAUUUUAUUUUUAAAUUAAUACUUUUCCAUUAUUAUUUGAAGAAGGGAAUUGGUCUCAAAAAAUCUUAUUGUAAUAUAUGUAACUUAAACUUUUUUUUUCUGAAAUAAAAAUUAACUUUUAAGAAGGCUUCAAAUAUGGAGAGGGGACCAGUCCAUUAAUGUCAAUUCUUCCAAGUUAGUGACAUUGUGCAGCUUUAUUUGAUUAGAAGGUGCAACAUCUUUAGCUUUAACAUAUCUUAUUCUUUAAGACUAUUAAAACUUUUAAAUUAUGUCCACAUGCCCACCCUAUAAGAUCCACAAAAGUAGCAGAUAAAAUGGAAGAAGUACGCUAAGGGGCUGUUUGAUUUUAGUUGUGGCUUACACAGCACGAAAUUACACCAAAAAUGCCCCGACCAGAUUUAAUAAAACAAAUGUACUCUUACUCAGUUUAUUAUUUAUUUUUACAUAGAUAUAUUUUCUUUUUUUUCUUUUUUUUUCUUUUUCAACUUAGAAAAGAGAAUUAGGGGACAGAUCAAGUGUGUCUGAUUUUGCGUUGCUUUCUAGCAAUCAACUUGGAAACUUUCCACUCAAGUUAACAUGUGAGAGCUGAUGGAAGAGGAAUUUGAAAAAUCGUGACUCUAAUUUUGCAUAUAUUUGAUUAUUUCAACACUUGAUUGGUUUUGAAUGGUCCAAGAAUGGGCAAGUGACAAUGAGACUUGGAAGUGAUAGUUUGAAAAAGUGAGAUCUUCAAUUGAUAUUAGAUAAAUGAGAGUAGACUAGGAUAUAUUUCCAGUAAGCUUAUGGAGAGAGACAUAUCAAACUUGAAGUAAGAAGUCAUAUUUUCCAAGCACCAAAGACAAUUUAUUGUACCCGGAAUAUAAUUAUGGUCAAUAAAACAAAAAACUCUUGCAGAUUCAUCAACUGAUUGGGUUGAAAACAUAAUUCAUCCUUUAGCUAAUAACAAUUAAUGAACGCAUAAAAUCUUAUAUCUUUUAACAUAAAUGUUAAAUAUUAAUUUUAUUAAUAGUCGCAACCUUAUGCAGGCAUAAUUUGGUCAUGAAAACAAUAAAUCUAUCCGUUCUUAAAGGCUAUUAACUAUAACAAAAAAUCAAUUAAUAUAAUUUUUAUAAGAGGAGAAGAGAGACUAAGUAUCCUUCAUCAAGAAAUGUACCAUUAAGUCUAGAAUAUGAUAGUCAAUGGCGGAAAAAUUAACAUGCGCAUAAUUUAUGAUCAAAUAUUAUAAAUCCUUGAAAUUUAACAAGUCAUUUCAUUAAAAUAUGGAUCACCUUCCACACAUUUUAGAAAUCUUAUCAUUUUUUUUCUUUUUUCAUUAAAUUAUGUUUUGGUCCACACAACCGAAAAUUAAAUUCCACGCAUUUUGCAUUUAGUGGAAUUCUAUGUAUUUUUUAAUUUUACAAAACUUUAGUCGGUGGAGUCAAUGGGGCUAGAAAUUCAUUGAAGGGUCCCGAGAAUCAAAGGUGCUUACUCAAUUAUUAUUUGUAAAGUUGUAGACUUGUAGGGCAGCUACCGGAGUCCACACGUUGUAAUGUUUUGUUCACUAUCAAUCUCAUUGUUGGUCGUUUCCAACACGCUCAAGAAUCCAAUUCUGCAUAAACACAUAAAAUUAAAGACUUAAAACAGAGUUUAAGUAAUUAAUAAUUUAACUGGAAACAAAUUAAAAAGGAGAAUUUAAUUAUUGAAUUCCACAUUGUGCUAUUGAAAAUUAAAAAAAAAAAUUGUUGUCACCUCAGUCAAUUAGAUAAUCACUACAAAUAGUUCUUUAUGUAGAUGAUAUUCUUCUAAUUGGAAAUGAUAUAGGAAUAUUGACUACAAUAAAGAGUUGGUUAGCAAAACAAUUUGAUAUGAAAGAAAGACAUGAGAGAAGCAAGUUAUAUUCUUGGUAUCAAAUUACUACGAGACCGGAAGAAUAAAACUUUAGCCUUGGCUCAAGUGGUCUAUAUCGACAAGAUAUUGGUUAGAUUUAGCAUAGAAAAUUCCAAGACUGGUUUAUUACCAUUUAGACAUGGAAUUGUAUUCUCUAAGGACCAAUCACCUAAAACAUCUAAAGAGAUGGAGAAAAUGAGACGAGUUCCCUAUGCAGAAGUUGUGGGAAGUCCCAUGUAUGUCAUGCUUUGCACUAGGCUAGACAUCUGUUUUGUGGUAGGAAUGGUUAGCAGAUAUCAAAUCCUGGACCUGAACACUAGACUGUAAUCAAGCAUAUAAUGAAGUAUCUUAAAAAAACUAAAACUUAUAUGCUUGUGUAUUCUAGUGAUGAACUCAUUCCAGUGGAUUCUAGAAAAUCAACUUUCGGCUAUAUGUUUACAUUAGGAAGUGGAGCUAUUAAUUGGAGGAGUGUGAAACAAUUUGUAUCACAGACUCCACAACUGAAGCUGAAUAUGUGGAUGCAUCUGAAGCUGCAAAAGAAGUUGUAUGGCUUUGCAAGUUCCUACAAAAUCUUAAGGUGGUACCUGUUGUAACUGCACCCCUUAAACUAUUUUGUGAUUAUGGUGGUGCAGUAGCUCAAUCUAAGGAACCACAAGAAACAAAAACAUAUUGAGAGGAAACAUCAUCUUAUAAGGGAAUAGUAUAGAAAGACUAUAUGACAGUACCCCAAAUGACAUUAGAUGCUUUAUGGUAGAUUUUAUUACAAUGGCCAUUAGUGGGAAACCUUUAUAACCUGCACUUAGAGCCCCUAGAGCAUGUGCAAUAUGCCAGAUAUGCUUUAAAGAGCUAGUGGGAGAUUGUUGGGAUUAUGUGCUCUUUUAAAAGUAUUAUUAAUUUAUUUUCUGAUUAAUAAAAUAUUUGAGAUAUUUCAAUUGCAUAAAUAUAUUGAAUAAGGUCCGUUUAAUCAUAUUAUAUUUUCUCUUGCUAGUUGCUUUUAGUAGUGAUAAAAGCACCCACACGUCAAGUGCAGAUCAAACUUGAGUCAUAACCCAGAAGAUUAUUUGGUGACAGAUCGUGAUCUAACAAGCGUGGUGGUGACAGAUCGUGAUCUAACAGGCGUGAUGGUGACGGAUCAUGAUCUGGGAAGCCUGGAUUAAUUUCAAUUGUUCAUCUUCUCAGUUGCACUCAAUGUGUAUUAGAAUCCACGAAGGUCCGAUCCNNNNNNNNNNNNNNNNNNNNNNNNNNNNNNNNNNNNNNNNNNNNNNNNNNNNNNNNNNNNNNNNNNNNNNNNNNNNNNNNNNNNNNNNNNNNNNNNNNNNAACGUAGAACCCUGUAGUUGGUUGCAGAGAUAGAAAGAGUGAGUGUGUUUUCCAUAGUUAAAGAUAUAGUUAGAAUGGAUAGUUCAAAAUCAAAAAUGGUGAUAAUGUUUGUUCUGUUAUUAAUUAAAUUUGAAGGUGGGUGGAGUGAGGGAUGUUUGGAUCAUGAGAUAUUUGCUCUUUUUCGACUCAAAUAUUUCUUCAAUGAUCUUCAUGAUUGGGUAGAUGAUGAGGGAGCUACUGAUUGUUGUCAAUGGGUAAGGGUUGAAUGCAACAACACCACAGAUCGAGUGAUAGCACUAGACCUUUCUGAUACUAGGAAUUGGGAUUUGGGAGAGUGGUAUCUGAAUGCUUCUUUGUUUACUCCCUUUCAACAACUUGAGUCACUUGAUUUAAGUUGGAACAAAAUAGCCGGUUGUGUUGAGAAUGAAGGUGAAUUUACUUCUCCCUCCUAAUUUAAGUGGAAUAUCAAGACUGAGCAACUAUAUGCAUAUCGAUUCAGUUGACAAUUCUGACAUUUUUUUUAAGUGAAUAAUUAAUUUUGAAAUCACACAAGUAUCUAUAAUCCUUUUUUAUUUUACUUGCAGGUCUAGAGAGGCUAUCAAAAUUGAACAAUUUGAAGAUGCUUGAUUUAAGUGAAAACUUGUUCGACAAUAGCAUCUUAUCAUUUGUAGGUCGUCUUUCAUCAUUACGAUCAUUAAAAUUAUCUUACAAUAGAUUGGAAGGAAGUAUUGAUGUUAAAGGUACAUAAUUAAAACUUUAUCUCUUCUCCAAGCUCUUUCAUUAACUUGCUAAAAUAAGAUUCAAGGUUUUGAAUUCAAUUUUUUAAUGAUUAAUAUUUUAAAAAAAUAGUUUUUAGCAAUUCAUAAAUACAAGUUCUAGUGUUUCUCAUAAUUUCAUCUUGUACUUUCAUAUGUAUUGUAUUUAAGAUGAAAAAAAAAUUCUAAUUGCGAACCGCACACCCCCACAACUUAUUUUUUUGUGAGGUUUGAAACAUUCAACUCAAUUUGUACUCUUUACAGAAUUAGAUUCUUUGAGAGAUUUAGAGGAGCUAGAUAUUGGCUGGAACAAGAUUGACAAAUUUGUGGUCUCAAAAGGUACUACAAAUACCAUAAAAAAUAUAAACUUUUACAAAUUAGCUGGAUUCUUUGCCAUUUGUUUUAUUAUUUCGUAGGUUUGAGGAAGUUGAAGUAUCUCGGUUUAAGUGGCAACAAACUCAAUCAUAGCAUCUUAUCUUCUCUGACUAUCUUUUCUUUGUUAAGAGAAUUAUAUCUACGUGAUACGGGAUUCAAAGGAACAUUUGAUGUUCGAGGUAAGCCUAAGCCUUGCUUUCUCAUUUUAUAUAUGUCAGCUAGACUUGUGUAUCAUCGACAUAAUUUAAUAUUUAAUUUGAUUAGUCUGAAGGAAUUACAUGCUAAUUUAAACAAACUUUUAUUUACCCUGUCAAUCAUUAAUUAAACACUAUUUGGUUUGGUUUAAACCUACUUUUUUAUUUUAUAUGCUAGCUAGACUUAGAUACUAACUAUUUUGAUGAGUCUGAAGGAAUUAGAUACUAACUAAACAUACUUUUAUGUACUCCCUCAAUUAAUUAAUUAAUUAUUUCACUUGGUUUGGACGAAAUUCUCAUGAUGCUUUAAUUUCUUUAAAGUUAUUAAUUAAUUAAUUCUGUUUUUAAGUCUUAAGUCUGGGUAUGUUUGUAGAAUUCAAUUCCUUCAAUAACUUAGAAGCGUUGGACAUGAGCAACAACGAAAUCGACAAUCUUGUGGUUCCUCAAGGUAAACAAUUAAAAUAUUAUUCAAUUACAUAAAUUUAAUUCAUUUGAUCAGGGAAGACGCAAAAGGUACAAAAAUAAUAAUAAUAAAAUAAAGAAACAGAGAAUUUAUAUUAUUUCAAAAACAGGACGUACUAGUUAUUUCAAAAACAGAAUGUAAUAAAGAUUUGAUUCCAGUACUUUAAUCUUUACAGUGAUUGAAAAACGAUACUAAUCCUUUCCCAAAGUAUAAAAUACGAAUUGACUCCCAAUUAAAUUAAUCAUUUAUUUAGUUCAUCUCUAAAUUUAAACAAUGAAUUUUGAUCUUCAAUCCUAUUCUAAUUACAAUUAAAAAACAGGUUAUAGAGGUUUAAGGAAUUUGAAAAGCCUUGAUCUAUCAGAAGUCGGAAUUAGAGAUGGAAGUAAUUUGUUACGGUCAAUGGGAUCAUUCCCAUCCCUCAACACUCUUUACUUGACUUCUAAUAAUUUUAUCGAUACAACGUCAGGUACAGAUGUGUCCAAAUUUAUAAAUAGGCUGUUAAUUAAUUAAUUAAUUUUCUGUAUUGUUGAAAAAGCUAAAUUUGUUGCUUCGAAACAGAGUUGCACAAUUUCACCAACUUGGAAUAUUUGGCAUUGGACUCUUCCUCUCUCCAUAUAAGCCUUUUACAAAGCAUUGCAUCAUUCACUUCGUUAAAAAUAUUGACGAUGACUAAUUGCGAAGUCAAUGGCGUCCUAAGUGGUCAAGGUAAAAGAAAAGUGUUGAUUAUAAAUAAACUAUUAAUUAAUUAAUUAAUUUUCCGUAUUAUUGAUAAAGCUAAAUUUGUUGAUCCUUCCUUUUAAUUCUAAACAGAGUUGCACAAUUUCGCCAACUUGGAAUAUCUGGCAUUGGACUUUUCCUCCCUCCAUACAAGCCUUCUGCAAAGCAUUGCAUCAUUCACUUCGUUAAAAAAAUUGUCGAUGACUAAUUGUGAAGUCAAUGGUGUUCUAAGUGGUCAAGGUAAAAGAAAAGUGUUGAUUAUGAAUAAGCUGUUAAUUAAUUAAUGUUGUUGCUCCUUGCUUCUAAAAUGAGUUGCGCAAUUUCACCAACUUGGAAUAUUUGAAUUGGACUCUUCCUCGCUCCAUAUAAGCCUUCUGCAUCUGCAAUUGCUUGAAGAAUUUAUUUAUUUAUUUAUUAUUGUUGUUGUUGUUGUUGAAAUGGGGUGGGCAAGCGUUCACUCAGUUAAUAUGUGGUGAAUUAAAUAUUACAAUCCAAGUUAGAAUUGUGGAAAAUUAAAGCAAAAUGAGAAAUAUGGACAGAAAGGAAGAAAGUUAAGGGCAUGAAAGACUAGGAGAAGACUGAAGACCACCAAAUAAGUCAAUUGAAAACUAGCUGGGGCUUGGGUGUACAAAUUGUUAGAAGUGUUUGUUAUAAAUCACAUAGAGCCCUCUUGUUGGUUGCAGAGCCAAAGAGACAAAGAGUGUGCAUUUUAUUAAUUAAAAAAAUAUAUAGAAUGGGUGGUUUAAAAUCCAAAUGGUGAUAAUGUUAGUUUUGUUAGUAUUAAUAAUAUUAGAAGGGGGUAGCGUGAGGGAUGUUUGGUGCAUGAGAGAUUUGCUCUUUCGAGACUUAAAAAAUUUCUUCAAUUCUCCUUAUAAUUUUUGUCACGACUGACCAUUGUCAAUGGGAUGGGGCUGGGUGCAGCAACACCACAGGGCGAGUGGUAUCUGAAUGUUUCUUAGUUUACUCUUUUUCAACAAAUUGAGUGGGUUAAUUUAAGUUGGAACAAUAUAGUUGGUAGUGUUGAGAAUGAAGGUGUUUCGUUUAAUUUAAUACUUUCUCCCUCCUAAUUUAAGUCGAAUAUCAGGAUUGAGCAACUAUAUGUAUCUUUAUUCAGUUGACAAUUUUGACAUAUUUUUUUAAAUGAUUAAUUUUGAAAUUACAUCAAACUGAUGUGAUCUCUGUUUUGAUUUUACUUGCAGCACUAGAGACGCUCUCAAGAUUAACCAACUUGAAGAUGCUUGAUUUAAGAGGAAACUUGUUCAAUAAUAGCAUUUUAUCAUCUCUAGCUCAUCUUUCAUCAUUAACAUCAUUAGAUUUAUCUGAGAAUAAAUUGGAAGGAAGUAUUAAUGUUAAAGGUACGUAAUUAAAAUGUCAUCGCUUCUCCCAACUCUUUCAUUAACAUGCUAAAAUAAGAUUCAAGGCUUUGAAUUCAAUUUUUUUUAAUGAGUAAUAUUAGAAAAAUAGUUUUAAGCAAUUCAUAAAUACAAGUUUCAAUGUUUCUCAUAAUUUCAUCUUGUACUUUUGUAUGUCUUGACUUUAAGAUUAAAAAAAAAAAUUAUUCUAACUGUGAAGCAAAUACCCCACGACUAAUUUAUUAUUUUGUCUAGUUAAAAAUGAUAAAAUUUAUUAUUUGCUUAUAUUGAUUAAUUAACUCUAUUUUUAAGUCUUAAGUCUUGGCGUCUUGGCAUGUUUGCAGAAUUUGAUUCCUUGAGCAACUUAGAGGAGUUGGACAUGAGCGGCAAUGAAAUAGACAAUUUUCAGGUUCCUCAAGGUAAACUAUUAAAAUAUUAUUCAAUUACAUUAAUUUAAUUCGUUUGAUUAGGGAAGGCCAAAAGGUACAAAAACAUAAUAAAAAACUAAAGAAACAAAGAAUUUAUAUUAUUUCAAAAAAUAAAAUGUAAUACUAUUAUUUCAAAAAUAGAAUGUAAUAAAGAUUUGAUUCCGGUUCUUUAAUCUUUACAGCAAUUGAAAAACAAUGUUGCUCUUUUUCUAAAGCAUAAAAUAUGAAAUGAGUCAUAAUUGAAUUAGUCAUUUAUUUUGUUUAGCUCUAAAUUUAGAUAAUAAAUUUUGAUUUUUUUCAAUCCCAUCCUUAUUAUUAUUAUUAUUAUUAUUAUUAUUAUUAUUAUUAUUAUUAUUAAACAGGUUACGGAGGUUUGAGGAAGCUGAAAAGCCUGCAUCUAUCGAGAGUUGGAAUUAGAGAUGGAAGCAAGUUGUUACGGUCAAUGGGAUCAUUCCCAUCCCUCAACACUCUUUACCUUUGGGGUAAUAAUUUUACGGAAACAAUGACAACUACAACUCAAGGUAAGUAAAAGGUAUAGGUUUGGCCAAAUUUAUAAAUAAAUUGUUAAUUAAUUAAUUUUCCACAUUAUUAAUGAAGCUAAAUUCCUUGCUCCUUCUUUGUAAUUCUAAACAGAGUUGCACAAUUUCACCAACUUGGAAUAUUUGACAUUGGACCAUUCCUCUCUCCAUAUAAGCCUUCUGCAAAGCAUUGCAUCAAUAUCCCCUUCAUUAAAAAAUUUGUCGAUGUGUGGUUGUGAAAUCAAUGGUGUCGUACGUGGUCAAGGUGAAAGAAAAGGGUUGAAUAUGAACUCACUCAAUGGUGUCCUAUGUGUUCAACUUAUUUAUUUUUUUAUUAAUUUUAUUUUUUAAUGUUUCUACUAGGUUUUCCUCAUUUCAAGAGUUUGGAACAUUUGGAGAUGGAUGACGCGCGCAUUGCACUCAACACCAGCUUUCUUCAAAUCAUCGGUGAAUUGAUGCCCUCUCUUAAGUACUUAUCACUAUCAUAUUCUACUCCUGGCACUAACAGCAUCGAGAUUCUUGAUCAAGGUUAAUGAGAUGCUCCACUCUCCCCGCUUAAUCUAUAAUAUUAAUUUUUGAUUAAAUGUUUAAUUACACAAACGAAUCACUUAUUUUAAAAGAAUAAUACGUAUUCAUUAAUUUUUAUAUUGUAUUAAUUGAUGAAUUUAAUAAAUUUUCAGGCCUCUGUUCGUUGAUGCAUAUGCAAGAGUUACACAUUGCUCAUAACGAUUUAAGAGGUAGCUUGCCUUGGUGCUUGGCAAAUAUGACAUCCCUCAGGAUAUUAGAUGUUUCUUCCAAUCAACUUACUGGAAGCAUCUCUUCAUCUCCCCUCAUUCAUUUGACAUCCAUUGAAGAGCUGAGGCUUUCAGACAAUCAUUUUCGGAUUCCAAUUUCACUUGAACCACUUUUUAAUCACUCAAGACUCCAGAUUUUCGAUGCUUACAACAACGAAAUAAAUGCAGAAAUAACUCAAUCACCUUCUUUGACCCCAAACUUCCAAUUAUCACAUCUCUCAUUGUCUUUCGGUUAUGGAGAUGGUGUCACAUUCCCCAAAUUCCUUUACCAUCAACAUGACCUUGUGAAUGUUGAUCUCUCACACAUAAAGAUGAAUGGAGGAUUUCCAAAUUGGUUGUUGGAAAACAACACAAGAUUAGAAACUCUUUCUUUGGUCAAUGAUUCUCUUGCAGGACCUUUCCGAUUGCCAAUUCAUUCACACAAGCAGUUAAGACUGUUGGAUGUCUCCAACAACAACUUCCAAGGCCACAUUCCAGUAGAAAUUGGAGAUAUUUUACCAAGUUUAAUAUCCUUUAACAUUUCAAUGAAUGCUUUAAACGGUAGCAUUCCCUCUUCAUUUGGUAAUAUAAACUCCCUUCAAAUUCUGGACUUAUCCAACAAUCAAUUGAUUGGUGAAAUACCCGAGCACUUGGCUGUGGGUUGCGUCAACUUGGAGUAUCUUACAUUAUCAAACAACAACCUAGAAGGUCAUAUGUUCACUAGAAAUUUUAACCUGACAAACUUGAGAUGGUUACAAUUGGAAAGCAAUCACUUCGUAGGAGAGAUCCCACAAAGCUUGUCUAAAUGCUCUUCACUAGAAGGAUUGUAUCUUAAUAAUAACAGUCUCUCGGGUAAGAUUCCACGAUGGUUAGGUAAUCUCAAAGGGUUAAAACAUAUUAUAAUGCCCGAGAAUCAUCUUGAAGGUCCUAUUCCAAUGGAGUUUUGUCAACUUUAUUCGCUUCAGCUUUUGGACAUUUCAGACAACAACAUAUCUGGAAGUUUACCAUCUUGUUUCCAUCUUCUCUCUAUCGAACAAGUUCAUCUUUCAAAAAAUAUGUUACGUGGACAGCUAAAAAGAGGUACAUUCUUUAAUUGCUCUUCCCUUGUGACAUUAGAUCUUAGCUAUAAUCGUUUGAAUGGCAGCAUUCCGAAUUGGGUUGAUGGGCUUUCUCAACUAAGGCACCUUAUCUUAGGUCACAAUAAUCUUGAAGGUGAAGUGCCAGUUCAAUUGUGCGGAUUAAACCAACUGCAAUUGUUAGAUCUUUCUAAUAAUAAUCUUCAUGGCCAUAUUCCUCCUUGCUUUGAUAACACCACACUUCAUGAAAGUUAUAGCAAUAGUUCUAGUCUUAAGCCAUUUGAAAUAUCUCUUGUCAUGGAAAGCGGGAUGAUCUAUGCAGAAAAGCAAAUCCAUGAAAUUUUUGAGUUCACAACAAAGAACAUUGCGCACAUUUACCAAGGAAAAGUGCUUAGCCUCCUAUCAGGACUUGAUCUUUCUUGCAACAAGCUAAUCGGUCAUAUUCCUCCUCAAAUUGGAAAUUUGACAAGGAUUCAAACAUUGAAUCUAUCACACAACAACUUGAUAGGAUCGAUCCCAUCAACAUUUUCAAACUUGAAGCAAAUCGAAAGUUUGGAUCUUUCUUACAACAAAUUGAAUGGGAAAAUCCCUCAUCAACUUAUGGAGUUAAACGCAUUGGCUGUUUUCAGUGUGGCAUACAAUAACUUAUCAGGCGAAAUUCCAGAAUGUAAAGCACAAUUUGCAACCUUCAACGAGAGGAGCUAUGAGGGAAAUACUUUUCUUUGUGGACUGCCAUUGCCCAUUUGCAGAUCACCAGCAACUAUGCCAGAGGCUUCAAUUGGCAAUGAACGAGAUGAUAAUUUAAUUGACAUUGACAGUUUCUUUAUCACAUUUACAACAUCAUACAUAAUUGUGAUAUUUGGAAUUGUUAUUGUUUUAUAUGUAAAUUCUUAUUGGCGACAUAGAUGGUUUUACUUUGUUGAAAUGUGGAUAACUUCAUGUUACUAUUUUGUUGUAGACAAUCUUAUUCCAACAAGAUUUUGUCAUUGAAAUUAAUUAGUAGUUUAAUUACGAUUCUUUAAGUACUAAUCAGGUUUUCUUGGGAAAUAAAUUUUUUUAUUUUUUAUUAAAAUUGUAGUAGUAUUUAGCAUUAUAUAGCUUCCAACUUCCAAGCACUUCACAUUUGUCUCUACACUUAAAAAGCGAGUGAUCAUGUUUUGUAGAUCUGGAUUUGGAGCAGGAUGGAUCCAAACCCAUAUCUAUCCAUCAUAGCUUAUAGCUUCCCUAUACUGUGCAGCAUACUUAAAUAAGAGAACCAUCUCCAAUGUUAAAAGUAGCCACUCUAUAACAAUCAUUUAGAAACUAUAUUCAGAAUAGUUUUAUAAUCAUACACAAGAAAUGAAACACCUAGAUGCACUUGAUCGCCUAUUUUACUUUGAAAAAGAACAGUUAUGGUGCUUUCAUCAUCUUCUUCACUAGCAACAUUAACACUAAAUCCACCGAUGGACCCAGACAUUUCAUCAAGAAAGGUAUAUAUCUAAUAAAGUUAAAGCUUGACAAAAAAUUCAGGAAGAUUAAUGCCUCGCCACAACAAGGGCCACAACAACAUCAAAGUAGAGAUGAAGCAGUAUUCUCAAAGCUAAAACUCUCAAAUCCACCUAGGGGUGUUUAGAAUCCAAUUUGAUCCGCUCAAUCCGUCUAAUCCAUAGAAAUCCAAUUUGUAAAAAUCUGAUCCGUGGAUUGGUGGAUUAGAUUAGAUUGAAAAUUUGAUAAUCCGCAAUCGGUGGAUUAGAUACGGAUCUACUUCUGUAAAUCUAUAAAAAUCUGUGAAUCCGCAAAAAAAUAAAAAGUAUUUAUUUAAUUAAAAAAUAAAACUUGUAAAUAUGGUAUUAGUACUUACUAGUACAUAAAUAAGUUAAAAUAUAGUUAUAUUAACAGUAUGUUAUAUCUUAUCCGAUAAUAAUAAAAAAUAAAAAAAUAAUUAAAUAAACAAAUAUAGCUUUCUAAAUAGUUAAUUUCUAUGUACUGAUCUAAACGAAUGAGAUUUUUUUCGUUUUGAUGUGUUAUAUUUCGAAACUUUAAAUGAAUUUUUUAAGCUUUAUUUAAACAAUUAAUUUAUUUAAAUCUUAUUUAAUUUUAAAUUUGAAGUCCGUAAACCAAUCCGCAAAAUAUUAGAUUUGGUCAAAUCUGCAUCCGAUCCGUAGAUGUAUGGAUUGGAUUUGGAUUGAAUUUUACCAAUCCGUGGAUUGAAUUGAAUUGAAGAUUUAUAAUCCGCAAAAUCGUAGAUCGGAUAUGGAUUGAGGUCUAAUCCAUAAAAUCCGAUCCACGAACACCCUUAGUUGGAUUCUUGAGUGAGAACAAUUCCUAGGCCAAAUCCAAAUUGUCUACAAGAAAUCCAACGUCCUCAAGAGAUCAUAUAUAGUUUUCAAAUUGCGGGAAAGCUCUAAAACUUGUGAAUUGAGAAAUUGUACAUGCAUGUCAAGCUUUAACCAAUGAAUUUGCUUUAAUUUAUCAACAAUAAGAAUAUAAGAUGAGAUUUGACCUAGUUGUUACUCUUGUGAAUAAAAAAAUUGUGUGCCUGAACAUGAUUUAACUAAUGAAAUGAAUUUUCUUUAAUUUUUUUUAAUAAUAGGAUGAGACUUUCCUGAAACGAAAAGUACGGAUAUAUAAUUUGUUGGCUUUAGUUACCUUACAUAAUAAUGUAUGGUACAUAACCGUUUGAUGAAAAUCCAACAGUCGUGGAAAUAAUAAAAUUUUAUUAUCUUAUAUUUUCACAACUGUUGGAUUUUCAUCAAACGGUUGUGGAAAAUCAAAUGGUUGUGGAAGAGUCAUUUACCUUACAUUAUUAUGUAAGGUAACAAGCUCCUAAUUUAUUUAGUAUGAUUGAAAAUUAUGAAUGAAAAUAGUUUUGCCAAAAUUGACAAAAUCAAAAUCUUUAAAUUAGUGAAAAGUCUUCAAGUCCUAUGUGAUAUAAACACGUAUUUGGCCUACUUCUUAGAACUCUUAUGGCUAUAGUCAAGCUAGAUGAAAAAGAGAUUUACUAAUUCUGAGUUAGAGAUCAUGAUGGUAACAUCUACACCUUACUCAAUAAAAUUCUUUGCUUAUUUUUUUAUUACUUAUGGUUGAAUUAGAAAUUCAAUUAUUCUUUUAUAACGUGGUUUAAAAUAUUUAAUAAAAGGAAAUUCUUAAAUACUUUGGAGAUUUCAGAGCUUUUUUUUUAAUUUUUAAAAAAGAUAGAGAUGUGACAAAACUAAAAAAAAAAAAUUAAACUCAGAUGACCAACUAAAAGUUAUCUGAUCACUUUAUUUGAACGAAAACUUUAAUGCUGUUAUGAAAAUGUGUAGAUCAAGCAAUGAAAAAUUCCAAAAUAUUGGUAAUAACUUCAAAUUACAACGACGGAGGUAGGUUGACGGCGACCUUAUGUAGCGGAGGCAGCCAUAAAUUUUAAAUUUUGUUUGCGUUGAAGUCAAAAUUCAACUGUCGCCGACCCAUUUGGUUUGAACUCUAUGUCAAUCGGGUCUGCCCAAAACCAAACACAACCCAAACCAUAGCCAGCAUAGGUGCUAAGAAGAUUCUUUUACUUUGUCACUUGUCGCCUACAAUGAAAUUGACAUUAAACAAACAUUAAAACGUGUGGACUCCGAUAGCUGCCCCACAACUGUACAAUAAUAAUUGAGUAUGCACUUUUGAUUCUCGGGACCUUUCAAUGAGUUUCUGCCCCGCUGAUUCUAUCAACUAAAGUUUUGUAAAAUGAAAAAAAAAAAGUACAUAGAAUUCCACAAAAUGCAAAACGUGUGGAAUUUAAUUUUUGGCCGUGUGGACCAAAAUAUAAUUUAACGAAAAAGGGCAAAAAUGGUAAGAUAUUUAAAAUGUAUGGAAGAUGAUCCAUAUUUUACUGAAACGACUUAUCUCGAACAUUAAGAUGAUUGAUUUUUUCUUUUUGAAUAAUAUCAACUUCCAUAUCUUUCUACCGGAGAACAUGCUCACAUUAAAGUCUAUCUUACUAAUUUGAAAAAGAAAAUCAAAUCAACACCAAAGCAAUGAAAAGUAAAGCUUUUGAAUUUUAACUCCGGCUGGCAAACGUAUUCAGGAAUUCUUCCCAUUGCAUAUCUUAUUCCUCCAUCAAUGCAAUAUUAAGUAAUUUUUCUUUAUCAUAUUCUUUUCUUUGCAUUUCUUCUUCCUCUAUCAAUGCAAUAUUUGAACAAUUAAGAAAGAGUUUAAGAACAUAAAAGAUCUCCUAGAUUUAUACGGUAUAACAAAUUUAAAUUCUCAAUUAUAAUGGAUAAUAAUUAAACUAAUAAUUAUUUAUUUACUUAUUUUAAUAGUUUCACCUAAGAAUAAUAUUGUAAUUAGAAAAAAUCUAAAAAGCGGGGUGGUUUUAUACAAAAUCAAUUGCAUACACAUAUCCAGAAGCAUAUGCGGAUGCAAAUAAUAUUUUUUAUUCUUUUUUUAUAAGAAAAUUGUGUAUUGAGAUGAAUAAAAUGUUUAAUUUAAUUAAUUUCCUUACUUUCAUAUACAUUGUCUUUCUAUCUAAAGAAAGCUCAUGUUUGUUAGUAUUCAUUCUUAGAGAGGUGAAAAAAUUACAAAUCUUGAACAACAAGGAGUAGUUUAAUUGCCACUAACUUUACUUGGCCUUCUUUAGUUGGAGCUGUGUUUUCUGAUAAGCCAAAGAAUUAGUAGCUGUUAGAAAGCUGAAAUGAGAUUGUAAACUUUGUUUGGAAGCUAAGAAAAUGAAAAGAAAAUGUUCUGGAAAUUUCUUGAUUUUAUUCAAUUUUUCUCAUUACAUAACAAAUACAAUCACGAUAGUAUUUAUACUAAAUCAAGUCUCUAAAACAAAAAUAAUAGUUUGCUUAACAGCUGACGAACAGGACGUAAUGCAUGCUUAACGGAAUUGCUGAGCUGGCUUCUUUUCUUAACUAACUGCUGACGUGUCAUUGGCACACACGUGUUGAAUAUGCAGCUCCCUUUUGUACAAUGUGUGCUUCCUUAACAGCCCCCCUCAAACUCAAGGGGCAGGGAUGCACAUUGAGUUUGCUUCUAAAGUAGUUAAAGUGAAUGAAUGUGAGAGGCUUGGUCAAGAUGUCUGCAAUCUGCUCUUCACUGGGAAUGUAAUUGAUCUCCAGCUCUCUUGCCAACACUUUAUCUCUUAUGAAGUGCAUGUCUAGUUCAAUAUGUUUAGUUCUCGAGUGGUAGACAUGAUUUUUGGCUAGCUCAGUUGCACUUAUAUUAUAGCACUAUUUUGUAGGCACUGAAACACAUUCUAUCUUGAUCGUCUUGAAUAAUGACUGCAACCAUGUAAUUUCUGCACUUGCAAAAGCAAGAGCUCUGCACUCACUCUCUGCACUUGAUCUUGUGACUAUUGAUUGCUUCUUGGAUGACCAAGAUAUCAAAUUAUGCCCCAAGUAAAUGCAGUAUGCCCCUAUUGAUUUUUCUAUCAUCAACAUCAUAUGCCCAAUCUGCAUCUGCAUAUUCUAUUAGCUUUAUUUCUCCACCAGCUGUACACUUUAAUCCAUAGUCUUCUGUUUCUUUCAAAUAUCUAAGUAUCCUCUUACAAGCCAUGAUAUGUUGAAGUGUUAGUGUAGACACAUAUUGACUUAAUUUGUGCACUGCAAAAGCAAUUUCUAGCCUAGUCAGGACUAAAUACUGUAACUCUCCAAUCAAGCUUCUAUAACUAGUUGCAUCUUCAACAUACUGACCCAAAGAUCCCUUAACUUCUUUAUGAAGUUUUGUUCUUGUAACCAUUGGAGUAUCACACCCUUUGCAGUCAAGCAUAUCAACUUUUCUCAGCAAGUCUUUAAUAUAUUUUUUUUUGGGACAGAUAUAUAUCAUUCUCAGUAUAAGAGACUUCUAUACCAAGAAAAUAUGAAAGCUUUCCUAAAUCUUUUAAUGCAAACAUUUUGCUCAAACCUGAGAUAAAUUUUUCAAGUUCAUCACUAUUAGGUCAUGUUAUCAAUAUGUCAUCAACGUAAAUCAGGAUUAGUAUCAUUGAAUUCUGUUCUCCCUUGAAAAAUAGUGAAGUGUCGGCUCUGGAAUUUUGAAAACCCCAAUUUGUAACCAAACAACUCUUCAGUUUGUCAAACCAUACUCUAGGAGAUUGUUUCAACCCAUAUAAGGCCUUCUUCAACUUGCAUACAUAAUCAGGUCUUAUCUCAUCAACAAAUCCUUCAGGUUGGCACAUGUAAACAUCCUCUGUCAAGUCUCCAUUUAGGAAAGCAUUACUAACAUCUACUUGUCUGAUCAUCCACCUAUGCAUUACAGCCAAGCUCAAUAUAACUCUCACUGUAGAAGCCUUUAUAACAGGGCUAAAUCUUUCAAAAUAAUUGAUUCCUUUAGUUUGUUGGAACCCUUUUGCAACCAACCUAGCUUUAUAUUUGGCAAUACUGCCAUCACUAUUUUGUUUGACUCUAAACACCCAUUUGUUUCCAACAAUUUUGUAUUCAGCUGGAGGUGGUAUAAGAGACCAAGUCUCAUUUCUGAUCAAGGCUUCAUAUUCCUCUUUCACGGCCUUAUACCAGUGUUUAUCAUUAAGAGCUUCUCGAACUGUGUUAGGUUCUUUGUUGAUCAAGGUGGUUGUGUACAACUUAGGCUUGAAUAUUCCAGACUUCGAUCUAAUGGUCAUUUUGUGUGUGGGUUGUGAAGUCAGAAUUCUGUUUGGACUGAGUUCAGUUUGUUGUUGACUGGUUACAUGUGGUUCAAAUUGUGUUUGAGUUGGUUCAGGAAUAUGACGGAUAGUUUGUGAUGUUGAUGAUUUUGAUAUGAAUGACUAGAUGAUUCUUGUUGAUGCUGAUUAUUUGUAUGCUCAGGUAAUACAGGUGUUUGUUCAUUACUCGGUACUCUUGCUGAGUAAGUAUCUUCAAAGCUGCUGUUGAGUAAGGGUAAUGUUGAGAGAUGAUAGAUUUGUUGUUUAGAGAAAUUUGACACUGGAGUUUCUGAUUGGAUGACAUUUUCAGAAGAAGAAGUGGCAAAGAUUGUUGCAUAUGGAAAUACAGUCUCAUCAAAGACAUCAUGCCUAAGAAUAUGAACUUGACCUGAGCUUGUAAGACAUUUGCAUCCUUUAUGAGAUGAGCUAUAUCCAAUAAAGAUGCAUUUGCUAGUAUGAAAAUCAAACUCAUGUCUGUUAAAGUCUCUCAUGUAUGGAUAACAAAGACAACCAAAUCAUUUAAGGAAAUUGUAAUCAGGUUUAUGCUUGAAAAGUUUCUGAUGUGGGGAUAAGAGUCUCAAUACAGGUGUUGGCAACCUGUUUAUGUGAUAUACUGCUAUAUGAACAGUUUCCCACCAGAAUUUGAAAGGAAGAUCAGCUUGAGUUAAAAGAGUCAAGGCCAAUUCAAUUAUAUGCCUAUGUUUUCUUUCUACCAGUCCAUUCUGGUGAUGAGUGUAAGGGCAUGAGUGUUUGAAAAUGAUCCCAUUUUGGUUCAAAAAAUCAGUGAAUACUCAAUAUUCUCCCCCUAGUCAGAUUACAUCAUCUUAAUUGUUGUAUUGAACUGAUUCUAUAAUUCUGUCUUUAGAAAUGCAACUAAAUUUUUAAUCUCUUACUCUACAUAAAAUUGAAAUUCGAGUGGCUUAUCAAAUAAAAUUAAAACUAUUAAUUAACCAAAUAAAAUUAUUUAAAACCAUUGGGUAUGGUAGCAGGAGUUCUUGAAACUAUCGAUGCCAUGAAAUUUACUGGCGAAAAGGGUUUUAGAUGUCUAUUUUAUAAAUCUUUUAAUAAUUUUUUUAUUUACCAUUUUACUAUCCAUGGUAAAAGUGUCGCAUCGACAUUGAACAGUUCAACAUAUCAGUCAUUUCUCAUUCAGUCAUUAAGAAUUUACGUUUGGGGUAUUUUUGUAAUUAUGAGAAGGUAAACUAAUCGCAAAAUUCAUUUGGCUUGCACUUGCUCGCCUUUGCUGUGUGUUUGGUUAUGGCGUUAUCAUUAUCAUCUUCUCCACUCCUGCUGACACCAGACCUUAACCGUUCAGAUUCCCUUUCUCGACUGUCAUACCCUACGCCCCGUCUCCGUGUCUCCGAUAAACAGUGCUCAAUUAAGACCAUCAGAUUAUCCCGGACCCACAUUAAUCCAACGGCUCACAAUGACCGACAACCUCUCCAUCUCCAUUACAAGCUCCCUCUUCAGCUGGCUUCUUCUUCCGUCCUACUCUUUCUCGGAUUCGGAGCCCGUAUAUGCUCGGCUGGUCCCACGCAGCUCCCUCUCACUCCAGCUGUCAACCAACAAGACCAAUUGCUUGAUCAAGACACAGAACAAAAAGAGGAUGAGAAAUUGAAUCAAGAAUUUGAGAAUUGGAAAUGGAAGACGUACGCAUUGACCGUGCCUUUGAGAGUCGUUUCUCUUCAGAAUUCAGUGCCUCAAUCUUGGGUUAAGGAUUUUAUGCGAAGUCAAGGAAAGAGAUUGAAGUUUCAGAUGAAUUUGUGUGCUAGCAUUGAUGGGAUCGUUAACAAUUUAUCUACGCCCUUUAACAAAGUUAAGGCUAAGUCAGCUUCGUAUAUGGCUGCUGAUUUGGUUAGUGUUGGUGAUUCAUGGCUCAGUUUUGCGAUUAAAAAGAGAUUGAUCGAGCUAAUAGCUGAAGCUGAAGAUCAAGAUUGGUUCAAAUGCUUAAGUCACAAAUGGAAGGUAACAUCUUUAUCUUUUACCCGAUAAUUUUUAUUGUCUUACCUUGAAAUUUGGUAAUGUAAUUUGUUCUCUAUCUGUGUUACCCUUUAUAGUCAUUUUAUUUAUUUGUUUAUUGCUUUUAUUUGCACUAACGAAAUCUCAGGUAUAUCUACGCAGCAAUGAUGCAGGAGAAAUUGAUCCUCGAGGUCAAAUAUGGGCGGCACCAUACAGGUGGGGCACAAUGGCGAUAGGCUACAAGAAAAGUAAAUUUCAAAACCAUAAUUUGGCUCCGAUUGAGGUAAUAAUUGUACUUAAACUCAUUUAGUUUAAUAUCAAGCAAAAUCAAGACUGCCUUUCUCUUCAAUAUUUUCAAUGAUAAUAUCUUUAGAAGCAUCUCAUUGACGGGUAACAAUGGUAUCCCUGAAAGAGUCUAUAAACUCAAUGAUAUUAUCUUCUACAAUGGCUCAUUAAACUUUGUCGUUGCAGUCAAAUGUACACUCAGAGCAAUGAAAAGCUAUGCCACUGUAGCAUGUAGUGAUGGCACUUAAUAAGUGAAUUGCUAGGAUGUGAACUAGAAAAAUUAAAUAUUGUCUCCUUGGGUAUGCUAGCUCGUAAGUCAGGGUUACUAUUAGAGCUUAAGAUACUAUAACCAUGAGAAGCUAUUGACUGCCAAUUAAAAUAUCCAUUAAAAUGUCUAGGGAGUUAUGAAGGUGGAGGUAGCUUCCAAUAACUAACUUGAGUUUGGUAAAACAAACAGACAGUGUGUCUCAUGUCUCACAAUUCAAAUUAUCAUCUGUAAUGAUGGAGAAUUUUUCUAAUGUAUGAAGUAUGCUUUCAUACGUGGAUUAGCUUGGAGAAGAUAUCUCAAAAUAAAGAAUAUGGGGAGCGAAUGGGAAAAAAACAGUUCAGUAGUUUAUUAUUCUGUAGUCAAGUUUUGUCUUGAAAAUGGUCAAAAUUUAAAUGAAUAAGGACAGGGGAUCUUCAUUCUUUUUUCCCUUUUUUAUACCAAGAUAUCUUUCAACCUUUAUAUAAUCCCCACUGGAUAUCUGCUUCUAAUAAUUAAAAUAAAAAUUUCACCCACACAAAUAAAUACUGACCAAGCUCUAACAAUAAAAACUAACAUCUUUAGUCAAGUAACAUCUUUAGUCACGUAAUUUACAGUUCCUCAUCAUCUUAGUGUGAGCUAUCAGUACGAUCUAAAAACAUAAUAAAACUGGUUUGAUCCUGUUUAUUGAUGUUUAAAUGUUGUUUAUUGUGACAAGUAAAUUAGUAAGAUCUUGUUUGAAGUUGUUUUCCGAAAUGAACUGCCAAAUGGUAGUUUUUUUGGGGCAUCUGAUGGCUCUUUUUUCCUCAUUUUAAACAUGUGCCUGCUUGGAAUGGGAAGGAUUAGGCUGCAGAGUUGUUAUAUAUUUUGACAUGCUCUGGUAAUUACACAAUUUGUUCACACUGGAAAUUAGAAUGAGAAAUUUGUUGAUGCUGUUUUGAUAGAUCUGCAUUCUAUGCACAAUAACAUGAUUAAUGAAAAUGGAUUGUAGGACUGGAAAGAUCCGUGGUGGCCUGAGCUCGCAGGAAGAAUUUCAAUGGUUAAUUCUCCCCGAGAGGUUAUUGGUUCAGUUUUGAAGUAUAUGGGAGCAUCAUAAAAUUCAAACAAUAUUGAUUUGCAAGUUGCUGGUGGGAAGAUUGCUGUUCAGCAGAAUCUGGCAUUACUGGCAAACCAGGUACUCUUAAAGAAAUGAUAUCUGAUCAUUGCAUGUUAUUGCCUGACAACUGAUUUUGUUUGUAGAAGUCUGCUUCUUCAUACAUAUGAAUGCAUAUGCUAGUGUUUUCUUCUCCUUUUCAUACAUAUGAAUGCGUAUGUUGGUGUUGUCUUUUCCUUUUCAUACGUAUUAAUAAUACAUAUGUUGGUGUUCUCUCCUGAGAUGGAUGCAAUAAAGGCUUUUGCUCCUAAAUUUAGCUGAAGAAAUGGCAAGGGAUGUGAGAUUCUGUCUCAUUAAAUUAACAAAAACCCAAAACAAUGAAAAACCAUAAUAAUGUGGUGUGGGUAAACUGGCUCCAUUUGGUUCGUUUCCUUAAUGUGAAUACGCAAACAAUGGAGACUAACAAAAUGAAGUGACAACAACAAGUCAGUGUCCUUUGAUGGAUGCAUUUUUAAGCAGAAAUAGGUUUGUAAUUGACCAAAUUUGUCUGGCAUGCCAAUUUCGAAAAAAUUAAAUUAUGUGAUUAUUACCUGUAAUGAAGGGGGAUAGUAGGUGCAAUCAGGUGGAUCCCGGAAAGUUCAACAAAGUUCUGGUAUGGUGUAUUGAAAUUGGUUUGUGCAACUCAAGAGUCUUUCAGGUGAACGAUGAUGGGUUUUGAUUUAUGAAUGUUAUAAAUCUACUGUGCAUAGUAUUCUAGUAGAAUCAUUUAUAAGUUCUAGUUAUUGAAAUUGUCUACUUUGUCCGGUUUGAGUUAAGGGCACAUGUAAUAUGAAAAAUAGUUGUCGCAUCUUUUAGGUUACCUAACAUUUGAUCAAUCCUAUUAUGAGGGCUUCAAGAUGUCUAACAAUAUGUAGAAUGCCCAUGCUCCUCCCCAUUGUUUAUCUUAUACAAUAAUUUGUUUUAGAUGCUAAUAUCUUUGUCGAUACUGGUAACAUUAUUACAAUCUCUGCUUUUAUUGGGUUCUACAUAGGUUCGACUGUUUGACAGUACACACUAUCUGAAGGCAUUUGGAAUUGGAGAUGUAUGGGUUGCUGUUGGGUGGAGUAGUGAUGUUCUUCCUGCUGUCAAACGUAUGUCUAAUGUUGCUGUUGUUGUUCCCAAGUCUGGUGCAAGCUUAUGGGCCGAUCUUUGGGUAUUCCCAUGCCUGCCAUUCUACUUCGAUAUUCACUUUGUUAUCACCUUCAUAUUAGUGAUCAGUAAACACGAUAAUGUGACUAAUAAGUUUGUAUUCUCUUUAUAGGCGAUCCCUGCUGCCUCAAGACUUGAAACAAAACAAAUUGGAGGGCAAGUCAGAGGUCCGUCUCCAUUAAUCCAUCAAUGGAUAGAGUUCUGCUUGCAAACAGCAAGAGCAUUGCCUUUCAAGCAAGAGGUUAUCCCAGGCGCAUCUCCCUCUGCCCUUGAAAGUACUCUGGUUAAGUUGCCUGAAGAACUUCUGAAGGGUAAACCAAGUGUGGAUACUAACUUAAUUGCUGGAGUACCCCCCCGCUGAAAUUCUGGCCAGAUGUGAGUUUUUGGAGCCAUUAUCUGAAGCUACAUUGUCAGAUUAUGAGUGGCUGGUUGCUAAUCUGCAAAACCUGCUCCUGUCUUGAUGAAAAGGGUGCAGCAUUACUUGUCAUCAUUAAUCCAAAGCUUUCUAGCAAAGCUACAUUGAAAAGUUAAUGGCACUGCAUACAAUCAUGAGUUUUAAUGGAGCAAGAACUAAAUACAAUUAUCGCUAACAAAUACUGAAAACACAACCCACACAGGAAAUCACCCUUCGCGUGGGGAUGGAGAUGUUUACUGGAGCGAUAUUGAAUAUGUGCAAGGUGUUGUCCACUGCUCUUUGGGUUAUGGUGUGACUUGCGAUUUCAAGAUUGCCCAGAAACAAUGGAAAAGAUUAACAUAUCCUCCCAUGAGUGAAAACGGCUUGACUAAUUCUAAUUACCGAAUUGACUCAGGAUCAGGUAGCAAUAAUAACAGUUAACUAACAUUGCACAGUCCCGAGUACUUUUCCAGGAUCAGAUACAACGUGGUCUAAUGUUGAUAAUAAUACCUUAUUAAAGGACAAAUCAUUGUUCUUGGGUGUUGAUAGUAAUAGCUUAUUAAAGUAGAAGAUGAAGGUUGUGCAGGUGAUUUCAGAAAUAAAAUACAUUCUGAGAGAUGAUGGUCUACUAUUGCAAGCCCCCAGAUUUCAGAAUCUUUUGAUUGCGGCAUUUGGCAACGAUUCCACAAAUUCUAGAUUCCAACUGAGUUAUCAAUUGAAAAUGAAGUUGAAUUGAAAAAGAACAACAAAUACACAGUGAAGUUGAAUUGAAAAUGAAGUUGCAAGUUGCGCCCAUAGCUGCUGACUAAUAAUAAAACGAGACAAAUUAAUUAAACUCAGAUCUCUAUGUACAUGUCAACCUAACUUUACUUUUCCUUGUUUGUUAUAUUCACUUAACACUUGAUGCCUAAACCAUUAAAACCAAAUGACCAUAGAGGUAUUUGUAAUAUGUAAAAACAAACAAAAACACGUAAAAAAUUUUAAAAACAAUUAAUAAUCACACUCUAAAUUUACCACUCAACUCUAAAUAAUAACCAUACUCAAACAAUUUACAACUUUUGACGGGAGUAGCUAUGAGGAAAAUCCUUUCUCAAUGGAUUGCCAUUGCCCAAGAGUUGCAAUGAAAACGUACCACCUGCAGCUGUGCCGGAAGAUUCAACUAGGUCUGAAAAAGAUGAUAAUUUAAUUGAUAUGGACAGUAAUUGUGAUAUCGGAAAGCAUUAGUAUUCUAUAUGUGAACCAUUAUUGGCGACAUCGAUAGUUUUAUAUUAUUAAAAUGUGGAUGACUUCCAUUUACUAUUUUGUUAUAGACAAUCUUAUUCAAUUAACAUAUAGUUUUAAACUAUUAUGUAAAUCAAUCUAUUAAUUUUCAUGAUAUUUAACUGAGUUAAAACUAAGUGCAAUCAAUAAAUCUCUUUUCCUUUAAAAAACCGCUACGUUUUAAUUUUAGUGCUUAAUAUUUAUUGAACUCUGAUACAGGAAAUUUGAAAUCAAACUCGUAACUACAAAUUAUUUAAUUGCGAGUUGCUGUCCAUAGCUGCUGAUCUGUAGUAAUUAUCUAAUUGACUGAGGUGACAACAAUUUUUUUUUUUUUCGGAAAAAUGUCAAUAGCACAAAUUCAAUAAUUAAAUUCUCAUGUUUAAUUUGUUUCAAGUUAAAUUAUUAAUUACUAAAACUCUGUUUUAAGUCUUUAAUUUUAUAUCUUGGCGUAUAUGCAGAGUUGGAUUCUUGAGUGAGUUGGGCAUUAAAAUGUGUGGACUCCGGUAGCUGUCCCACAAGUGUACAACUCUACAAUAAUAAUUGAGUACACACUUUUAAUUCUGGGGACCCUUCAAUGAAUUUCUAGCCCCGUUGACUCCACUGACUAGAGUUUUGUAAAAUAAUAAAAAAAAAGUACAUAGAAUUCCACCAAAUGCAAAAGCAAAAUGUGUGGAAUUUAAUUUUUGGCCGUGUGGACCAAAAUACAAUUUAACGAAAAAAGAAAAAAAAAAUUGUAAGAUUUCUAAAAUAUGUGGAAAGUGAUUCAUGUUUUACUGAAAUGACUUGUCUCAUGAUUGAUUUUUUUUUUUUUUUGAAAAAUAUCAACGUCCAUAUCUUUCUACCCUAGAACAUGCUCACAUUCAAGUCUAUCUUUGCUAAUUUGAGAAAGAAAAUCAAAUCAAAUCAAUACCAAAGCAAUGAAAAGUUAAGCUUUUGAAUUUUAACUUCAGCUAGCAAACGUAUUCAGCGUUUUCAAAUUCUUCCCAUUGCAUAUCUUCUUCCUCCAUCAAUGCAAUAUUAAGUACUUUUUCUUCAUUAUAUUCUUUUCUUUGCAUUUCUUCUUCCUCCAUCAAUGCAAUAUUUGAACAAUUAAGAAAGAGUUUAAGAACAUAAAAAAUCUUCUAGGUUUAUACGGUACAACAAAUUUAAAUUCUCAAUUAUAAUAGAUAAUAAUUAAACUAAUAAUUAUUUAUUUACUUAUUUUGGUAAUUUCACCUAAGAAUAAUAUUGCAUUAGAAAAAAUCUAAUAAGUGGGGUGGUUUUAUACAAAAUCAACUACAUACAGUAAUAAGUGAGUACGCACCUUUGAUUCUCGGGACCCUUCAAUGAAUUUCUAGCCCCGUUGACUCCACGGGCUACGGCUAAAGAUCUGUAAAACAAGUAAAUAGAAUUUCCACAAAAUGCAAAACUUGUCGAAUUUAAUUUUUGACCAUGUGGAUCAAAAUGUAAAUUAAAGAAAAAGACAAAACAAAAAGAGGUAAAAUUUCCAAAACGUGUGAAAGAUGACUCAUGAUUUAUUAAAACGACCUGCCUCGAAUAUCAAGACGAUUAAUCUUUUUAAAUUUUUUUUUUUGAAAUAAUAUCAACUCUCAUAUUUUUCCACUCGCAGAACAAGUUCACAUUCAAGUCUAACUUGCUAAUUUGGAAAACGAAAUCAAAUCAAAUCAAUAUCAAAGCAAUGAAAAGUAAAACUUUUGGAUUCUAACUCCAGCUAGCAAACGUUGGAAUGCAAUAAUUAAAUUCUUCUGUUUAAUUUGUUUUAAGUUAAAUUACUAAUUACUUAAACUCUGUUUUAAGUAUUUAAUUUUAUGUGUUGGUGGGUAUGCAGAAUUGGAUUCUUGAGUGACUUGGACAUGACCACAAUGAAAUUGAUGGCAAACAAACAUUAAAAUGUGUGGACUCCGGUACCUGCCGCACAAUUCUACAAUAAUAAGUGAGUACGCACCUUUGAUUCUCGGGACCCCUUCAAAAAAUUUCCAGCCUUGUUGACUCCACUGGCUAAGGCUAAAAUUUUGUAAUAGAAAAAAGGUCAAUUCUUGUGGAAUUUAAUUUUUGGCCUUGUAGACCAAAAUGUAAAUUAAAGAAAAAGACAAAAAAGAAAAGGGGCAAGAUUUAUAAAACGUGUAGAAGGUGGUCCAUGAUUUAUUCGAAUAACCUGCCUCGACUCGAAUAUUGUAAUGAUUGAUUUUUUUUAUUUUUUUAAAAUAAUAUCAAUUCUCAUAUCUUCCCACUCCUUGAAAAUGCUCACAUUCAAGUCAAAUUAAAUGGACACCAAAACAAUGAAAAUUGAAAAGUAAAACUUUUGAAUUCUAACUCUAGCUGGCAAACGUAUUCAGUAUUUUUAAAUUCUUCGAAUCGCUUAUCUUCUUCCUCCAUCAAUGCAAUAUCAAGUAUUUUUUUCUUUUUCGUAAUCUUUUCUUUGCAUUUCUUUUUGCUCCAUUAAUGUAAUUUAACUUCUUUUUUUAUUUGAACGGCUCGGAAAGAGUUGAAGAACAUAAAAAAGCUCUUGGUUUUAUACGGUAAAACAAAUUUAACUUAUAAUUAUUCAACUAACAAUUAUUUAUUUACCUAUUUUAGUAAUUUCACCGAAGAAUAAUAAUCUAAUUACAAAAAAUCUAGUCAGUUGGGUGGUUUUAUACAAAGAGUAAUGAUAUAGCCACAAACUCUUGUACAAACUUAUUUUGUACAAACUGAUGUGGCGUUAAUUCAUUGGUUGAAUUAAAUAUCUCUUGGCCCACAUGAUUUGUUUAUAUUAUUUUAUAUUUCUAUUCAACCAAUGAAUUAAUGCCACAUCAGUUUGUAUAAUAUAAAUUUAUACAAGAGUUUGUGGCUGUAUCAUUACUCUUAUACAAAAUCAACUACAUACCCAUAUACAGAUGCAAAUGCAAAUAAUAUUUUUAAAUAAGAAAAUUGUAUAUUGAGAUGAAUAAGAUGUUUCUAUGAUUCUAUCUUAGGAAAGCUCGGUGGUGGUAACGACAUGAAGUUGCGAGUUGCCGCACACAGUUGCUAGUAAUAUAAUAAAACAAGACAAAUUAAUUAAACUCAGGCCUUUACGUAUAUGUUAUCUUAACUUUACUUGCCCUUGUUUGAUGAUAUUCAUUCUUGGAGCUAAGGGCGCAUGUAAUAUUUGUAAUUGUAUUAAGUAUAUAUUAAUGUGAUUUUCAAAAUCAGGUUUUAAAAUCUGUAGGAUAGGCUGAUUUUGGUAGUUUUGGGUCGGCCGUUGCAGUCAUUGGGACUGACUUAUUAUUAUUAUUAUUAUUAUUAUUAUUAUUAUUAUUAUUAUUAUUAUUAUUAUCAUCAUUAUUAUUAUUAUUAUAAUUAUAAUAUCAACUUCCAUAUCUUUCUAAACCCGGAAUAUGCUCACGUCACGUUCAAGUCUAUCUUGCUAACCUGAAAAAGAAAAUCAAAUCCAAUCAACACCAAAACAAUGAAAAUUAAAGCUUUUGAAUUUCAACUCCAGCUAGCAAACAUAUUCAGCGUUCCCAAUUUCUUCCCAUUGCAUAUCUUCUUCCUCCAUCAAUGCAAUAUUAAGUACUUUUUCUUGAUCAUAUUCUUUUCUUUGCAUUUCUUCUUCCUCCAUCAAUGCAAUAUUUGAUCGAUUAGGAAAGAGUUUAAGAACAUAAAAAAUCUCCUAGGUUUAUACGGUAUAGCAAAUUUAAAUUCUCAAUUAUAAUAGAUAAUAAUUAAACUAAUAAUUAUUUAUUUACUUAUUUUAGUAAUUUCACCUAAGGAUAAUAUUGUAAUUAGAAAAAACUAAUUAGAACAAUUUAAUUUUUGGCCGUGUAGACCAAAAUAUAAUUUAACGAAAAAGGAAAAAAAAAAGGGUAAAGAUUUUUAAAAUGUGUGGAAAGUGAUCCAUAUUUUGUUCGACUUGUCCCGAACAUCACGACGAUUGAUUUUUUUAUUUUUUUUUUAAUAACAUCAACUUCCAUAUCUUUCUACCCUCAGAACAUGCUCACAUCCAUAUUUUUUAUGUACUUAUUUUAGUAAUUUCACCUAAGAAUAAUAUUGUAAUUAGAAAAAAAUCAAAUAAGUAGGGUGGUCUUAUACAAAAUCAACUGCAUACAUAUAUGCAGAUGCAGAUAAUAAUUUUUAAUUCCUUUUUUUAAUAAGAAAAUUGUGUAUUGAGAUGAAUAAGAUGUUUAAUUUAAUUAAUUUCCUUACUUUCAUAUACAUUGUCUUUCUAUCUAGAGAAAGCUUGGUGCUCAGAACGACAUGAAGUUGCGAGUUGUCGCCCAUGGCUGCUGAUUAAUAAUAAAACGACACAAAUUAAUUGAACUCUGGCCUCCAAGUAUAUGUUAUCCUAACUUUACUUGCUCUUGUUUGUUAAUAUUCAUUCUUAGAGAGGUGAAAAAAAUUACAAGUCUUGAAUAACGAGGAGUUUAAUUGCCUCUAACUUUACUUGGCCUUCUAUAAUCUCAUUAAUAAUACAGAGAAUUAAUUAUCUUUUUAUUAUUAAACCAAAGAAUUAGUAGCAGUUAAUAUUAAUAUUGCCCACCCAAGAAAUAUGAGUGAAUUAAAGUAUUGGCAAGAGUUCGCUCAGAGGAGCAUUUAAACCACUUCCUUAUCAAUUGCGGCAGCCGUCUAUUAACUAAAACGCCAAUCUAAUACACGAAGAAAGAACAUUUACAGACUUGGCAAUUGAGUUCAUUAAGAAGUAGCAUCGCAUUCGGGUGAUGAGUUUCCUUUUGUUAAUAAUUUUAGUCUAAUUUCCAUUGUACUGAGAUCGCUUCUCGAGGUAAGUGAAAGUUACAGAUGUGGCAAAAUAAAUAAUUAAAUUAACAAAAUGCUAACUAAUUUUCCUAAAUACCUAGGGUUGUACAAUUUCAUCAACCUGGAAGAAUUGACAUUAAUGGACUGGUCUCCUCCCCAUAUAAUUAUAAUCCUUCUAGAAAGCUAAUUUUUAUUAAAUAUUUUCUUUUAAGUUAAUUUCAAUUAAAAUUUUUUUUAAGUUAUAUAUACUCUAAUGAGAUUCUGAAUUCCUUUCUUCCAAUAAUAAUGAAAACGUAUUAAAUUAGAAAUGAAAAAAUUGGUGUUGAUGAUUCAACCUGUUUGGAUAGAUUACGCGAAUAAAAUUGAAAUUUUGAUUUAAUUUUUGUUUAUUGUUAAUUCUCAGGCUAUCUUAAUUUCAAGAAUUUAGAAUGUUAAUUUGGUCAUGGAUUUCAACCCAUGAGUGUCAUAUUCUAGACUUAAUGGUACCAUUCUUUGAUUGAGGGCAAUGACUCUCACUCCUCUUGUAAAAAACUAUUUUCAACUAUUUUGAUGACUUAAAAAUUGAUAGAUUUAUUGUUGUCAUGACCAAAUUAUUCAUUUUAAUUAAACAUAAUUAAUGCAUCAAAGUUACCAGGUUUAUGUUCUAUCUUAAUGCGCUUUUUUUUUUUUUUCAGUUAUCAGCUAUGCCCCUGAGGCAUUUUGUAGAGUAUAGCUUCUGCUUACCUCUGUUUCAUUUUUUUUAAUAAAAAAAACAAGGGAAGGUUUUUCCGAGUCGUCCAUUAUUUGAUUACCGUCAAUCAAGAAAACGACCAAAUUAAUUUCUCUCCAAAAUUUCCAAAAGCUAGAAAAUUUUGUUAUUUGAAAAUAACAUCAUUAAUUAUAGAGUGGAUCAAACCGCGUUAUUGUCUUUUAUAAAAUUGAUGUCUUUUUAAGAGUCAAUGCAUUUUAUUUACACAAACCAGUCGACAUCAACUUGAACUUCCAUAUUUUUAUUAUUAUGUUAUUUAUUUUAAUCCCCGAUUAUUUGAUUAGCCACUAUAUAUAUCAAGAAAGCGACAAAAUUUAUUUCUCAUGACUUCCAAAAACUAGAAAACAACAUCAUUUAUUAUUUUUUUGCAACCCUAAUUGACAUCAACUUUAACUUUAUUAUGUUAUUAUUUCAAUCCCCCAUUAUGACCUUUCUAAUCCUCCAUUAUGCAUCUUUUAUAGUGCAAAUUUAAUUGCACAUCUAAAUAAAUUGAUUAUUGUCACUCCACCACCAAUAUUUCAAAUAGUCACUAGACCAUUUCUGCCUUUAAUUUUCCCUUAACUAUUGACUGUUUUUAGCAUCUUAAAAUAUACAUUUAUUCCUUGAUUAUGUGAUAAAAUUAUGAAAAUAUCCAUUUUAGCUUAAAUUAAUUGAAAUAACCAUAAGCGUAACUUAAAUUAAUAGAACAAAAUUAUCAAGUGUAUGUUCUAUGUUACAUUUUGAAGAAUUUAACAUAUACAAUGCUAUACUAUUAAUUCAUUUAUCAUUUAAUAUAUAUGUUCAAAUAUUUUAUAUAUUUAUUAAUUGUUAUAUAGUCAAAGGAUGAAUGAUUUUUCAGGUCUACAUGAGUUGGUGCAUCUGCAAGACUCAAUUUUGACAACAAUGAUCUAAGGGGUAAUUUACCUUGGCGUUUGACAAAUUUAACCUCUCUUCAAGAUUUACUUCCAAUCUACUUACUGUAAAUAUCUCCUCAUCUCCUCUCAUUUAUAUGAUAACCCUUGAAGAUCUCACAUUUUCAAACAAUCAUAUUAGGGUUUUUAUUAUUAGCAUCAUCGUGUCAAUAAUAUAUGUUGCAGUAAGAUUUUUUCAGACCAAUUCCCUUCUUCAAAUAAUAAUGGAAAAGUAUUAAUUUAAAAAUAAAAUGAAUAUUGUAAAAUAAAGAACAGAGUUUAUGAAUAAAACUCUUGUAUUCCUUGCAUUAACGUUGCUACAUAUAUAUAUAGAUGUACAACCCUAAAGAAUAGAAUCCCAGGUAGAAAAGCAUUACAGAUUCAUAAUAUAUAUACAAAUCUAAUUGCUUUAAAUAUGAAACCGAAUUCUAUACGACUUCUAUAUACAAAACCGAAUGCUAUACGAAUUCUAUACGUUAAUAAAUAUGCAUUGAUUAUAUCCUAAUUUUCAUCAAUUAUAGCGAGAGUUUCUCCAAAUCAACUCCCUUAUUCAAAUAAUACAGAAAAAAUAGUAAUUUAAUAGUAAAAUUAACAAGUGUUGAUUAUAUAUCCUAAGUUUCAUCGAUUAUGUGAUCAAAGUGGCAUUGUUGAUUUAUUUCUUGUUCAAUGUAAAUUUUUAGGUUAUCUAAAUUUCAAGGAUUUAAAAUCUUUGUUCAUGGAUUACACGCUUAUUAAUUUUUCUGCCAUUGACUGUCAUAUUCUAGACUUAAUGGUACCUUCCUUGAUCGAGGAUAAUUACUCUAUGUUCUCCUCUUAUAAAUUCUUCUUCCAUUAACAUCACUAGGAGUAUGUUGAUCUCUCAGACGUUAACUUCAGUGGAGAGUUUCCAAAUUGAUUGUCACAAAACAACACAAAAACUAGACACACUUGAUCUGUCUAAUAAUUCUCUUUCGGUAAAAUUAAUUAAUUUUAGGGGAAUAUUCGACCAACCUAUAUAAUUUUAGAUUGAUCAUUAAUUAAUUGGACGAAAAAAGUACUUGUGCUUUUGUGGCGACAAUUGAACCAGAGAAGUGAAGCUGUAAAGAUUUGGCAGUAGUAAAUUGUUAGAAAGACAUAAAGACAAGUUCCCAUUAUUAUAAUUUUUUCAAAAAACUUUUUUACAACACAUGCACCUGGCCAAAAAUUUUAUUUUGCUAACUAACAAUAAUUGAUUAGCUGACCGAAUUGACUCCACCUACUUGCUAAAGUAAAAAAAUAGAAAUAGAAUUUCCACAAAAUGGCAAACAUGUAAAAUCUAAUAUUUGGCCGUGUGGAACAAAAUACAAAUGAAAAAAAAAAUAGAAAAAAGGCCUAAAGACUUUUAAAAUGUGUGGAAGUCUUUCUGCCCUUUUAUAAUGGUGUGUUUUUCAAAGGAACAAAUAAUAAUAAUGACACUUCAACGGUUUGUUUUGAUAAUCACACCUAUACUCUUUAAUUUGAUAAAUGGUUACACAAAUUUUGUUUACAAAAAUAUAUUAUUCAUGUUCUGUAUUAUUUUUUAACAUCAUAUUUUUAUUUAUUAUAAUUGUUUAAAGUUAAUUGUUGGGUUGAUAUAUAAUAAAAAUGUAUAAUCGUUCUCUUACUAAACACACAUACUCAUAGUUUCUGUUCAUUUGUCAUCUCAAUCUAUCUCAUUUAUCCUUUGUUGAUAGCUCAAAACGCGUCACUGUAGAAAAUUAUAGCAAAACGACAAAUAUGGAAAAAAUGGGAAGAAAAUUAAUGCAUGAAAGAGUUGCAGAAGACAACCAAAUAAGUCAACUAUACGCUAGUUGGGUGUAUAAAUUGUUAGAUGUGUUAUAAACAAAUAGCAUAGAGCCUUGGUUGGUUACAGAGAUAGAAAAAGUGUGUGUUUUUUAGAACUUAAAGAUAUAGUUAGAAUGGGUGGUUCAAAAUCAAAAAUGGUGAUAAUGUUUGUUCUGUUAUUAAUAAUAUUAGAAGGUGGGUGGAGUGAAGGAUGUUUGGAUCACGAGAGAUUUGCUCUUUUGCGACUGCAACAUUUCUUCAAUGAUCCUUAUAAUUAUCUUCCCAACCGGGUAGAUGAUGAGGGAGCUACUGAUUGUUGUCAGUGGGAAAGGGUUGAGUGCAGCAACACCACAGGCCGACUGAUAGCGCUAGACCUUUUUGGCACGUAUUGGCGAGAGUACAGCUGGUAUCUGAAUGCUUCUUUGUUUACUCCCUUCCAACAACUUGAGUCACUUGAUUUACAUGGCAACAACAUAGCCGGUUUUGUUGAGAAUGAAGGUGCUUCGUCUAAUUCAAUUAAAUUACAUUUCGCUCUCCUAAUUUAAGUCGAAUAUCAAGACUGAGCAGCUAUAUGCAUAUUCAUUCAAUUGACAAUUUUUACAUAUUUUUUAAAAUGUUUAAUUUUGAAAUUACACCAAACAUCAUAUGUGAUCUUUGUUUUGAUUUUACUUGCAGGUCUAGAAAGAUUGAGCAACUUGAAGAGGCUUGAUUUAAGUUAUAACUUGUUCAACAAUAGCAUCUUAUCAUCUGUGGCUCGUCUUUCAUCAUUAGCAUUAUUAUAUUUAAGUGGUAAUAGGUUGGAGGGAAGUAUUGAUGUUAAAGGUACAUAAUAAAAACGUCAUCUCUUCUCCCAACUCUUUCAUUAACAUGCUAAAAUAAGAUUCAAGGCUUUGAAUUCAAUUUUUUUUAUGAGUAAAUAUUAGAAAAAUAGUUUUAAGCAAUUCAUAAAUACAAUUUUCAAUGUUUCUCAUAAUUUCAUCUUGUACUUUUGUAUGUCUUGACUUUAAGAUUAAAAAAAAAAUUACUCUAACUGUGAAGCAAAUACCCCAUGACUAAUUUACAAUUUUGUCCAGUUAAAAAUGAUAAAAUUUAUCAUUUGUUCAUAUUGAUUUAUUAACUCUAUUUUAAGUCUUAAGUCUUGGCGUCUUGGCAUGUUUGCAGAAUUUGAUUCCUUGAGCAACUUAGAGGAGUUGGACAUGAGCUACAAUGAAAUAGACAAUUUCGAGGUUCCUCAAGGUACACAAUUAAAAUAUUAUUUAAUUACAUUAAUUUAUUUCGUUUGAUUAGGGAAGGCCCAAAAUGUACAAAAACAUAAUUAAAAAAAAUAAAGAAACAGAGAAUUCAUAUUAUUUCAAAAAACAAAACGUAAUACUAUUAUUUCAAAAAAAGAAUGUAAUAAAGAUUUGAUUUCGGUUCUUUAAUCUUUACAGCAAUUGAAAAACGAUGUUGCUCUUUUCCUAAAGCAUAAAAUAUGAAAUGAGUCAUAAUUGAAUUAGUCAUUUAUUUUGUUUAGAUCUAAAUUUAGACAAUAAAUUUUGAUUUUUUUUUCAAUCAUUUCCUAAUUAUUAUUAUUAAACAGGUUACAGAGGUUUGAGGAAGCUGAAAAGCCUGCAUCUAUCGGGAGUUGGAAUUAGAGAUGGAAGCAAGUUGUUACAGUCAAUGGGAUCAUUCCCAUCCCUCAACACUCUUCACCUUUCGUUUACUAGUUUUACGAAAACAGUGACAACUACUCGAGGUAAGUAAAAGGUACGGAUGUAGCCAAAUUUAUAAAUUAAUUGUUAAUUAAUUAAUUUUUCCGUAUUAUUAAUUAAGCUAAAUUUGUUGCUCCUUCCUUCUAAAUCUAAACAGAGUUGCACAGUUUCACCAACUUGGAAUAUUUGAGAUUGGACGACUCCUCUCUCCAUAUAAGCCUUCUGCAAAGCAUUGCAUCAAUAUUCCCUUCAUUAAAAAAUCUGUCGAUGUUGGGUGGUAAAGUCAACGGUCUCCUACGCGGUCAAGGUAAAAGAAAAGCUUUGAUUGUGAACUCACUCAAUGGUGUCCUACGUGUUCAACAUUUUUAUUUAUUUAUUUUAUUGUUUAAUGUUUCUGCUAGGUUUUCCUCAUUUCAAGAGUUUGGAAUAUUUGAAUAUGGAUUUCACGCGCAUUGCACUCAACACCAACUUUCUUCAAAUCAUCAGUGAAUCGAUGCCUUCUCUUAAGUACUUAUCACUGUCAGAUUCAUAACAGUAAAAAUUUGUUGCUCAACAUGAUGUGUAUUUUUUUUCAAGGCACUUUGGAAACACAAUUGUUACUACAGAUAUUCUUCUCAACUUGGAGAUAAAUACAAAUAUUAAAAUGCAUAUGAUCACACAUAUUACUUCGAGUUUAGUAAGAUUUCAUUAAAAGAAGCAAUCAAACCACUUAUCAAUUGUCGCAGUCGUUCUAUAAACUAAAAUAGCAAUAUAAUACAAGAAAAAGAACAUAUAGAUACUUGGCAAGAGUUCAUUAAGAAGUCGCAUCACAUUCGGGUGAGGAGUUUGCUUCUGAUAUCUUGCUAGCUGGGGCUUUUUCUUGUCUUUCUACGUAUGCCGAGGGAAACCAACCAGCUUGGCCCUUGCAUUCACCUUCCGACCAUCCAAUAGGAGCAACCUUGAGAAGUUAUAACUAAAACGGUGAAUUAAACAAAAGUUGACCGUUCAAAGACCUAAGGGGAAAACUAAUUCUUUUACGUAGAAUGAGUGAACUAGUUGUGAUCACUGAAAUAACAACAUAACUAUGGAAGCAUAACUAGAUAUAAAUUCACAUGGCUAUAAGGGUAAACUGAGUGGUUUAGAACUGAGCUAGCAACCCUACUAUAUUCUGAUUUGCACUUCAAUGUAAAAGGGAAUAUAUGGUAGGAAGAAAGAAAACCAACCAUCAUUUGUUAACUCAUUGCUUUUCAAUCAAAAUUUUAAGAACAAAAUGCCAUGUGCUUUGAACAUCAAAUAAGUAUAAGCAUUAGUUCUAAAUUCCACAUAUCAUAAGUUGUUAGAAGGAUAAGUUAAUAGCAGAGUAGAAAAAUCUAUGUGUUGGUAUUUAGAGGGGAAAGUACCUGGCGAACCACAAUAUAAUCAUCAAUUGAAAGACUUAGCUUUCCAUUUGCUUGAGCAUCAAAUGGAUGUAUAACCUGCAAGAUAAUGGGAUAAAUAGAACUUUAAAAAAGCAUAACAAAAGCAGCAACAGUAGCAGCAACGUUCAUUGUAACCACUAUGAUCAUGGCCAACAAAGAUAUAUUAGAAACAAAAUUCCAUUUUUACUACGACAUUAAUAUGUACUAUACGAUAUCAUGACGAUUGGGUUACUAAGAGCUAUCAAAGUCUAAUAAGUUCUGUAUAACUUUAUGUAGUUAUUUAAAUUAUGGAUCAGAUUUUAAAUUUGAAAUUUUGACUGCUCUCCACAAAACAUGGCCUAUGCACAAGAAAGUCAUAGAUAAUGAGGAUUACAAGUGUCCGACAUCUUUUGAGUGAUGGAUUUAACAUGAGAGCUUAUGGUCAGUCAAUUUCCUCUGCCUAGCAAUAUAAGCUUUCUCGGCCAGAUUUAUCAUCAAAUACAUAGAUUGCCCCCAAGUCACAUCCAUAUAAACAUAGUUUUUCUAGGUAAACCAAGUAAGGAGUAUCAUAAUUCAGACAUAAUCAUAAAAAGGCCCAUCUAACUUAAGAGAAAAUCUCAAAAAUGGCUACAUCGUCUUGUAUCUAUAAGCAAUAUCAAGACUUUACAUCACCUGCUACAUCGUGAGUGGCUACACAACUUUCAAUGGUUUGUCUUUCUUUGGCAUGCCUAACUCAGCUUUGAUGUUGCUGAGAUAUUGAUAGUAGAGACACAUGAUACUUCUAGCUCAUGCAUUCUAUCUAACUCAUCCAACAACUAUCUCUUUUUUAAUUCAUUAGUGUUUGCUAAACCUCAUGCUUAAAAGUCCUGUUCUCCUAAACAAAGUUUCCUAAGAAUGACUUCCUUAGCACCACAUUUGGACACUUUUAGAGCAAUUUUAUUUUGGGGAAAAGAAUUUUCAAGGUGUUAACUAAUAAAUUUUAAAAAAUAAUUACAAUUUUUCCUACGAUCAUAUGACAAUUUAUCUGGGAUGAAAGGAUACAGAUAGACAUCUUCCACUUUCAAGACUAAUCACUACUUCCGUAGAUGUUGUGCAAUAAUACAAAUACUUGAUCAGAUGGUAGUGAUGGUAGAAAAAAAUUUUAUUGCUCCAAAAUUAAAAUAAGAAUGCAAUAUGUUAAGCAAAAGGCUGUGCAACAUCAAAUUAAUUGAUAAGUUUGUAAUUCAGUAAAUUAACAACUUUCAUGGUAAAAUACAACAAAUUUCUUUUGAAAAAAAUAAAUCUUAAAAGACAGCAUUCAAUUUUGUGCGCAUCUUAUUUCUUAAGAUUUUUCAGGAGGAGGGCAAUAGAGGGACUUUCACCUAUGCAAGAGAGCAGAAGCCUUACUUUCCCUAUAAAGUAGACGUCAUUCUGAUUAAUAUGCGUUUGCAAAUCAGCUCCGUUUGAAUCAGUAUUCUGAUAGACACACGAGGCAUUGACAUCCAUUUCCAAAGUCACAUGUUGCGAGGAGGACUCAUUUGAUUGCUCCUAUACGAUCAUCUAAUUCAAGUAGCAAGGGUUGGAAGAGAAUAAAAAGUCACAAUUAUUCUUUUGCAUAAGUGAGACGAAAAUGAUAAAUGCAAUAUUAUCAACAGUAAACAAGAAGAAGAUGAUAGUGGAAGUAUGCGGUGUGGCUGCCAGGUACUUGGAUUGUAUUGUCGGGUAAGGUAAUAGUAGAGAAUUAUAAGUUUGAACAGAGCAUGUUGGACUUUUGUUGACCAAAUUCAAAAGCCCAAUGGCACGGCCCGGAAGCUUUUGAAUAGAAAAACUUGCUAGAAAGCAUCAGUUUAAAUCACUACUUAAACGCUUGCUUUAACUGCACCACUUUGUACUGUUUUAUGUGUGUAGCGGUUGUGCGGUUGUAAUUCACGGCUGACGCUACGUGUUUGUUAGGUCAAAACUAUGAUACAAUAGUGGUACGGUACCAUUGUUACUUUCAAUCAUUGGAUCUAUAGUUGUACAGUUGCAUUAAUAAGAUCUAAUGGCUGAAAACAACAGUGGUACCAUACCACUGUUGCAACAUAACAGGACCCUAUUAGUUAUUUCAAAGGGAUAAAUAAGAUUGCUUACAACAAACCUACUAAUUUUAUAAAAUUCAAGUAAUAUAGAAUAAAAUAAAAAAAUAAAUACAAAAUUGACUUUUAUUUUUUAUGGUUGACUAUAUUUUGUGUUCUCUUCGGGCACUACUACAAUUCUUCCCUAUAUAUCAAUUACACCACAUACUAUCGACACAAGAAAUGAAAUCUAAUAUCACCCGUUUAGUUAAAAAAUCACUCAUGAAAAAAUUUUACCAUUUUGAUUUGAGGAUCCAUAUUUUAAACUGCAAGCUAAUGUUCAUCAAGAAUUACUGAUGGCCGUUGAGUAGAAAAAUUAUUUUUGGACAAAUUAUUUUUGUUGAUAGAAGAAUUUCUUUAGGGACUACUAAAUUAUUAAUAAAAAUGUCGAACACACCCACAUAUCAUCGACACAAUUGAUUUUGAGGAUCCAUGCUUUGAACUGCAGCCUAAUGUUCAUCAAGAAUAGAGUAUGGCUUGUGAGUAGAAAAUUUUCUUAUUUUGGCCCGAAAUAAAAAGAAAUUAAAUUGGAUGAGAAUCUGCCACUUUCUCAUGAAGAAAGGCAUACGGAGCAUACCAUGGUACCAUACAAAAUAAGGAGCCUCUAUUCUUUGGUUUUUCAAACUCUAAAGGGGCCAAUAUUGCCAAAUUCCCCCUUGAAAAUUCUGAUUACGACAUUAUUCAUCGCUUGAUGCAAUCAAAGUAGUGACAAAGUUAGGAAAAAUAUGAGUCCUAAGUAAUUGCUAGGCAGGGUUCCUGAGAGCAAAAUUGUCCUAAGCAUUAUAUGCAUACAUGGUGCGGUACAUAGAGCACGUUGAAUUCCCCACUAUAACACAAACCCAGAAAGACAAGUAAUAACUCAACUGAUAUAAAGACAAAAAGAAGAUAAAAUGAUAUAGAAAAAAGAAUUCAAAGAGACAGCAACAUACGAUAGACUGAAGCCACUUGAUCUGCUCAUUGAUUGCAGCCUUAAACUUGCAAAUAGUUACUGUACGCUAGUGCUCUAAGAAGUGAAAAUGAUGCCAGCCCUGAUUCCCUUUUGACUUCCAUUUACUGUCAAACAUUCUAGUAAUACAAAAAAUUGUUUAGAUAUCUUGCUAUAAAUAUAGCCGUUUGACUGUCAUAAUAAAGUCACAAAUAACCAUUCAUAUUGAUCUACUGUCACACAGCAUGCUUUAUGCAUACAACAGCUGUAUGUAUACCAACUCCUAACCUUAUCAAUACAUUUGGCAAAAACUUAAGAAGAAAGCUAUUUCUCCAUCUCUUUUUUGAAAUUUCACAAUAACCAGCACAAUGUGAAAGCUAUGUUCUAACCUUAUGAUAAAUGCUCCAGACUCCAAAAGGAUUUUAUAUAUGAGAGUUUGUUGCAGCAGAUAUAUUGACUUAUCAAGUAUGAAUCAUUGUCUGGAUGAACUAUCUUUAGAUAAAAGAAUAUUAGAACCACUGUAGAAUAUCUUUACGCUGCUGGUUCUAACAGGAAUCUGCAUGUGGCAACAAUUGCUAGAUCCACAAUUCCCCAACUUGAAAUACAUAGUUGCACACCAUGAGAUAGUGCUACAAUCUACUGAGAUCUAACUUAUAUGGUACUUUAAGCUACUAAUGUUUGCAUAUUUCUACAUGUUAAAUUAACACUAUCAUCUAUAAUCACUCCAAAACAACAAAUGAUAAGCAGCUUUUGGCCACUUAUUACUAGCAUCCACAAUUAUAAAUAAGAGAUCAUGGGUUUACUUGUUGCACCUACUUAAUUAUCUGCAGUUGACAUCCUGAAGCAAGGUUUAAAUAGUGACUGCUUAGAACCCUUGUAGUUGGAUCUUGACCUCUCCCAUUGUAGCCAAGAUUGGUUACUCUGGUAAUGAAUCAACACUCUCCUGCUCAGGGCCAUGAAGAUCUGAAAGCUCAGCACUAGUGGAGAACUUCAUCAAUCUCUUCUUCUCAGCACACUUGAGACAAGGCUGCAUUACGAGACCAAUCACCACAGCACCAACGCUUAAAACUGCAACUUUUAAAGAAGAAAGAGCCAACACAACACAACACAACACAACACAAAUCAAUAUGGUUGGAGGAAUACACAUGAUAAUGGCUCCAACAGUGCCAGUGGGUAUCUUGUAGGGACGAGAUGCAGCAGGAUAUUGUAUCCUUAACCAUACAAAUGCUAUGAACUCCAUAACCAUUCCAAAACAGUACAGGAAGUUCUCUGCAGCUACAAUAUCUCGAAAGCUCAGCCAUGAUAGCAAAACCACACCAGAUGCUGAGAAUAUGAUUCCAAUCAAAGGAGUCCCAUAACAAGACCUCUUAGCAAAAAACUCAGGUAGCAUUCCACACUCAGCCAUCCCCAAAAGUUGGAAAGAGUUGCUGCUCAUCUCAGCCACAAACAUGCCCAUAUUGGACAUUGCUGCAGCCCCCUGGAUGCAUUAUCUCAACCAAACUCCUCCAAGCACUUUAGCGAUAUCUGAAAAGUAACCAUCGGUCCACAAGUCGCGAUCUAAUGGAAUAGCUCCAGUUCCAACUAGAAGGGGAAAGAAAUACCCAAAAAUGACCAAGAUCAAAGCAUAAAACAAAGCCUUUGGAAGAGUCUUCUUGGGGUUAUCCACCUCUCCAGCUAGUGUACUUAUUGAGUCCCAGUAGUUGAGAUUCCAAAACAGGGUGUUCAAAUACAAAUUCCAAUCCACUUCACCUAAAUUUACUACAAGCCAUCUUGAAGGCUCUAACUUGGGAAGGGACACAAGUCCCAUAACCACAAAAGGAAGGAGUGAGAAAAUCCCUAAAAGAACAGCAGCCCAUCCCACAAUGGUUAGACCCCUAUAGUUCAUGAAAGUGAGAACAAAAGUCAAAGCUAACGCCGCAAAGGCUCUAGGUAACCCAUUGCCCAACGCAGGGAUACCAGACUUCAAGUAGUCAAGAAACAGAACUGGGUAUAAAGCAUUAUCAAUAACCCCACUUAGCCAUUUCAUCCAACCUUGCUGAAAACCCCAAUAUGGGCCUAAGGCAGAUGAAACCCAAACCACAUAACCACAAUUUUCAGAAAACACGGUACCCAUCUCGGCAGUAAUUAAAGCUUCAGGGACACUCCAUAUAAUCGGAAACACCAAGAAACCAAGAAGUGCUAAAAGAGGACCAGCUGCCUUUACACUAUCCUCAACACCAAACGGCCCCCCAGAAACCUCAUAGAAUAUAAGGAAAAUAAGUGGCAAGAUUGAUACUUUUUUAGUGCCAUGGACUCUAGGAGAAGAUGGUUGGUCAUUGAUAUUAACAUAUUCAACAGCAUCAGACUGCCCCAUUUCUACUGAAACUUGCCUAUUUACAGUGUUCCUCAAUUUCUGCAUCAAGUUUUAGCAUAACUAUCAAAAGGGUAUCCGCAUGUAAAUUAUGAAACAAAAUGAGCAUUUACUUUUUAAAAAAAAAUCAAAAAACAGAAAUGGAUUUCGCAGAGCACAUGAAUUUAAGUUCAACAUUAAACAGGCGCUUAAGAAAACAAAAGGGUCUGUUCGUAAAGCCAUCAGAUUGCAAGAUUGAACAACAUUAACGGAAUCAAUAGAAUAGAUGUAAAGAGAUCUGAAAAGAAAAUAAAAUAAAAGAUGAAGAGAGAUAAAACGAACCAUCAAAUAAGUGCAUGCAGAGCAGAGAGGCAGAUACUAGAGAAGCUCCGUCAUGUUAGAGAGAGCCUAAAUCAAUCAGAGCUCACUGAGUUUCUUUUCAACCGACCGGCAAAUUUGGAGUGGCACAAAAUAAUAUUUUUGCUUUUAAUUUUUGGAACACUUUUGAAUGGAAUUUUUUGUUUUUAAAAAAGGUAAGGGAGAUUAGGGCAUCAUAAAAAGAUUUUUUAAAUAAAAUUUUAUUAAUUAUUUAAAAAAUUAUUUUAAUAUUUAAUAUUUUAAAAAAUAUUUUAAUUAAAAUUUUUUAAAUAAAAAAUAAUUUUUUUUAAAUUUAGAGAAUUAAUUUUUUUUAUAAUUUUUUUUAUUAUUUUUUAUUGAAAAAAAAGAGAUAAAUACUUUAAUUGUUAUUAUUUUUUUUAAAUAAUUAUUUGAUUAAAAUAAUAUUAAAUUAUUUUUAUUUGAAGAGUUUUUUAAAAAAUAUCAUAUUUUUUUAUCCUUCUAUUUGCCACAUGAGUAAACAAAUAGAUAUUUAAAGAAUAAAAUUUAUAUAAUCUUUUGGAAAUGCUCUUAAUAUUUAUUUAGUCUUAUAUUUUUUAAAAUAUUUUUAAAAUAUUUUUGUCGUUAAAAUAUUGAUAUUAUUAUUAUUUUUUUAUAUUUUUUAAUUUAUUUUUAUAAUAUUAUUUUUAUAAUAAUUUUUUAUUUAGAUAUUAAUAAAAAAAUAAUUUAAUUAAUAAUUUAAUCCUAAAAUAAAUAAACACGUGUUUGGUUUUGGGCCUUUUCUUUUGUUCGUUUAAUAUCAUCUGGCUCGCUGAUUUGUGACUAAUUAUCAACGGAAUCCCGUUGGUUUCUAAAUUGAAAUAAUAGAAGGUCAUGAGACUAUUUACUCCAUUUAGCACUGCAGACUUAGAGUAUAUUGAAAAAGCUUUGUCAAAUAGUAGUAAUAGGGGCAUAAGAAAUAAAUUAUAGCUAUCACAAAUUCGUUAGGAGAAUUUCAAUUUUUUCCGUCAAUAAUGGCUAUGAAGCAAAAUUACCUUAGGUUAUAUUGCAACACUAAUACUUCAAAUCCUGAUAAGGGGUGAUAAAAUUAAGGUUGUUCAAAUCCCUUAAAAUGCUCCUUUGUUUAGUUUAAAAGUUGUUCUUAAAAUGGAAACGAUGACUUAUUUAGAAGAAAUGGUAAAUUUAUAAUUUGUAAUAUUAUUUGCACAAACAAUAAUAAUGAAGUGUUAAUUACCACUUAACAUUUUUAAUUAAUUUCUAAAUUUAAAACAAAUAUGAAAGUUGAUUGCUUCGAAGGUUGGAUCGACAAAUUGACAUUUGAAAAGAGAAGUAGGGAAUGUAUAUUCUGAUGAAAGGGACAAGAUUAAGUAAGGGGACAAUAUUCUCUAUUGGACCUACAAAUGGGGGGAAAGAUAUAUAUAUAUAUAUAUAUAUUCUUAUUUGUGGAUUGGGCAUCACGUGUAACUAAUAUAAAAGGAGAAAAUUUAGCAUGGUUUUAACAUAUAUAAGAAGAGAAAAUUAAUUGUUCAAACAAAUUAGAAGCAAAUUCUUUCAUAUCUUUCUUUAUUUUUCCGCUUACUUUCUUAGCAUCCAAACAAGUUAAAGUUAAAACGCUGUUGAGCCAACAAUAUGCAGGCAUCAAUAAGCAUAGUAGUUUUGUAUAUGUAUUCUAUACGAUAUUCUGGGGAUGUCAAUUGUAGAACAUUUUGUGGUAACUUUUUUACAUUAAUUAAUGUUUGAAGAACUUGUUAAAAAGAAAAUGGUAAUUUUAUUAUUUUGAAAGACAAAAAAAAAUAAAAAUAAAAGAGUGAAAGUGGCGUUACCUCAUGGUCAUUAGAGACUUGUUGCAAUGAUAGCUCAAAAUUAAAAAUUUGUGAAGAAUUAGUAGACAACGACGAUACUAUAUUUAUAUAGUCACCAACAUGUUGAUUUUUGUUUAAUGUUUGAUCGAUAGAAACUUUUGUCGUCGUCGUCGCCGUUGUUGAAUUCAUGCUUAGAAUACCACAAGAGAAGAAGAAGGGAUGAAAGGGAAGAGAAGAAGAGAGAAGUAGUGGAUAGCAAAUAUGAUAUGCUAGCUACACACAGGCCUUAGAGAGUUUUUUUUUUAAUAUUUAUUGUAUUUUUGUUUUUGUUAUUGGUUUGUCAUAUGCUUCCAAGGCAGCAAUGUGUUACAUCAUAAAUUGCACCUUUUAGGGGAGGUGGUAAAAAACAUGAGAGGAAUGCAUUCUAGCGCAUACAUGCAGAAAGAGUUUCCAAAUUUUCAAAAGUUUGUUAUUUCUUCCACCUUUUUUUUGCUUAAAAUAAAUUUUAAUUGUAUUUUGCAUUAACUUAGAGAAAAAAAAAAUCAAGUUCUAUGCAUAAACGCAUACAUUGAUUAGAAAAUGAGUUUUAUGGACACAAAGGGACAAUAUAAGAGAUUCUUUUUGUUUAUUAGAAGUAACAUAACUAGUUAGUGUAACAUGUAAUUAUAAGCUACCAAGAAUUUGCACUGAUGAUAAUUAACGGUAUAGAUUUUGAGCUAUGAAUGUCUUGUGGCUAGUUUAAUUGGAUUUUCGAGUUUUCAGCAGAUCUAUUUUAAUGAUUAUUAAAUUAUUUUCACUUCUUAUGCUUUAAUAAAAAAAAUUCAAUAUUUUUUGCUGUAUUCUAUAUUUUAAAACUUAAUUUUUAAUUCUUUAUAUUGCAAACCAAACUGAGUCAAAUAGAGUAUGCUCGAAUUUUUCCAAUGCCUUCAAGAAGAAUUCAUUUUAUUUUUAUAUAUUAAUUUAACACAUGUAAACCGGGCCGUUGGAUUGCACAUAAAGCAAAUGAUCAAACCGUUACAAGACCGGCCCAGGCCCACCGACUCUAUUUUCUUUCAUUUGACCAUUAAAAAGCUUUUGGCCACCCCCACCAAAUAAAUAAGCUCUUGUUCUCUUUUGUUUCCCUCUCAAAGGAAAAUAUCUGAUCACCGGAUAAUGAUUCCGGUGACACAAAAGAUCGAAACACCCCCCUAAAUUCCCUAAAUUUACAAUAAUACCCCACCAUGGAUGAUUCCGUUGAAAUGCCGCCUUACGAUGAAAGGCCUAAAAAGGGUUUUAACUUCACCUCCAUGCGCUUGAUCUUAACCCUCGUUUUCCCAAUUUUAACUUGCUUUUUGUUGGCAUUUUUUAUUGGAAUCGUAGCUGUUUUAUUCGGCGAAUCAUCAGUUUCCAGUUCCAUUUUUGUCCCUUCCUAGUGCAAAAUAGUGUCCAGCAGUAAGCUUUUUUUAACAUUUUCAAUUUUUUUUCCAUUUAUGAAGUCCAAAAAUUUUAUUAAUUUUGAUUUUUUUGAAUGAUUUUGCAGGUGUUGAUAUAAGGUCAUCAAAAGUUCGUGAACUUGGGGUGUUGAAUUAUAAGGCGAAGCGUGCGUUUUAUCCAUUUGAAGCAAUUAAAUUUCGCUGUCGGUAUGAUUACUAUUGGGCUUCUAUCUUCAAGGUAUUCAUACAUUUUCCCCUGUACUAUAAGCUUCUUAGUGGCGGUCUUGUGAGCGGAAGUGAGCGGUGUGGCUGACAGCUUCUUGAAAAUUAUGAACAGAGCAUGUUAGACUUUUGUUGACCAAAUUCAAAAGCCAAAUGGCACAACUCAGAAGCUUUUGAAUUGAAUAACUUACUAGAAAGCUCCAAUUUUUUGUUGGCUACAGUAAAAGGAUGUUGUUUUAUUCUUCUUAUACUUUACGCUUGCAUCAGCUUAAAUCACUUCUUAAACGCUUUGCUUUAACUCUACCGCUUCAUACUGUUCUAUAUAUGUAUCGGGUAUGCGGUUGUAGUUCAUUGCUGAGACUACGUGUUUGUUUGACGUGGUAGUUACGUUCCGAGUCUGUUAAACAUUCGGUGAUUAAAGUAUUAUCAGUUAUUUCAAAGGGGCAAAUAAGAUUAGCUACAACACACCCACUAGUUUUAUAAAAUUCGAAUAAGAUGGAAUAAAAUAAAAAAAUAAAUAAGUAAAUUGACUUUUAAUUUUUGUGGUUGAAUAUAUUUUGUAUUCUCUCAGGGCACUGCUGUAAUUGUUCCUUAAAUGUCAGUCACACCCACAUGUUACAGACACAAGAAAUGAAAUCUAAGAUCACCUGUUUAAUUAAAGAAUCACUCAUAAAAAAAUUUUGCCAUUUUGAUUUGAGGAUCCACAUUUUGAACAACCAACUUAUCUUCAUCAAGAACAGAUCAUGGCCUUUGAGUAGAAAAAUUAUUUUUGGACAAACUAUUUUUAUUAAUAGAAGAAUUUCUCAAGGGACUAUUAAAAUUACUAAUGAAAAUGUCAGACACACCCACGUACCAUCGACACAAUUGACUAUGAGGAUCCAUGUUUUGAACUGCCACUUAAUGUUAAUCAAGAACAGAGUAUGGCUUGUGAGAAGAAAAAUUUCUGAUUUUGGCCUGGAACAAAAAGAAAUUAAAUUGAAGGAGAAUCUGGUACUUUCUCAUUAAGAAAGGCAGACGGGGCAUACUAUGGUACCAUACAAUACGAAAAGUCUCCGUUCUCUGGCUUUUAAACUCUAAAGGGGGCAAUAUUCCCCAAUUACCCCGUGAAAAUUCUGAUUACGACAUUAUUUAUUGCUUGAUACAUAAGUAAAAGUAGUGACAAAAUUAGGAAAAAUAUGACUCAUAAGUAAUUACUAGGCAGGGCUCUUGAGAGCAACAUUGUACUAGGCUUUAUAUGCAUACAUGGUGUGGUACAUAGAGCACGUUGAAUUCCACACUAUAACAUAAACCCAGAAAGACAAGUAAUAUCUCAACAUAUAUAAAGACAAAAAGAAGAUAAAAUGAUACAGAACAAAGAAUUUCUAAGAGACAGCAACAUACAAUAGACUGAAGCCAGUUGAUCUGCUCAUUGAUUGCAGCCUUAAACUUGCAAAUGUUUACUGUAGCCUGGUGCUCAAAGAAGUGAAAAUGAUGCAAACCUUGAUUCCCUAUUUACUUCCAUUUACCAUCAAACAUUCUAUUCAUAAGAAAAAAAAUGUUUAGAUAUCUUGCCGUAAAUAUAGCCAUUUGAUUGUUUUAAUAAAGCCACACACAACCAUUCAUAUUGAUCCACAUUGCCACAUAGCCUGAUUUAAGCAUACAACAGCUGAAUGUAUACCUGACUCCUAACCUUAUCAAUACAUUGGCGACAACUUAAGAAGAAAACUAUUUCUCCAUCUCUUUUUUGAAAUUUCACAAUAAAACAGCACAAUGUAAGAGCUGCAAUGAAAAUGGACCGUCUGGAACUAUGGCGGAAGCUUCAACUAGUGUAGUGAUUUGACCUUCUUAUUAACCUGGCAAGAUCAAACACUGCCCUUGAUCUUGAACAGAUCAAUACGAUACGCACAACUUAUGAUUGAAUCCAGAAACCAUCAAAUCUUUAGCAAGAAUAAUUAAUCAGAAUCAAGAAACAAGUUUAAUGAAUAUAAACCUAUAAUUGGAACAAACACAGCCAAAGAACCCAAGAAUGACACAACGUACACCAAGGGAGAAGCUUUCCAGUGAGAUUAUAUUGAUGAUCAAAGAAGAAUCUUUUUACAAAGGUAACAAAAGUGAUUUCAGAGAAUAAGCUAUGACCCUCUCUCUUUUCAAUCUCUGUCUAGUUUGUUAACAGUGAUGACCCCAAUCUGCUUCGUUAGCCAGGUUCAUAACUGCGUCAGUGACAAACUAGCAAACCUAGAUUGAGCAGACUAACGACACGUGCAUAACGGCUUUAACGAACUUGGUUAAAGAACUGCUCACAUGUUCGUCACGCGUGUUGCUUAAAUGAUAGCCAAAACGACUUCAACCAGAUGCCGUUUUGAAGCUUAUGAAUUAUAAGUGAAAACACGUGCUUGUCUCGUGACAUUUAAAUGCAACAACAAGCCCAAAACACUGUCGUUUCACUAUGUUGAGUUUGCCAUCUCCAAGCUUCACAACUAGCAGCGAACAAGAUGAUAAUUUAAUUGACAUGGAGAGCUUUUAUAUCACUUUUACAACAUUCUAUAUAAUUGUGAUAUUGGGAAUCGUCGGUGCUGUAUAUGUGAACCCUCAUUGGCGACACUGGUGGUUUUAUCUUUGUUAAAAUAUGGAUGACUUUUCGUUACUAUUUUGUUGUACAUAACCUUAUUCCUACGAGAUUUAAUCAUUGAAAUUAUGUUAGUUUCAUUAGAAGGCUGAGUGGUUAGUGCUGCUACCCUCCAAUUUGGAGGGCAGUAGUUUGAACCCCCACAAGCGCAAUGUGGGGGUAUUUCCUUCUUUAAUUACAUUGUAUAAUUGAGUAAAGGUAAUUUUCUCUCUUACCCAAGUGUGAGUGGAGUAGACAUCCCUCGAUGGUUAAAACCUGGGCAGAGCUUCAUAAGUAUUGAUGUAAGUUGGUCCCAGUAAUAGUCUGAUUUGUAAAUAUCAGUUAUAGUCUCAUGUUUCCUUCCUUAAUUAUAUUGUAUAAUUAAGUAAAGGUACUCUUUUCCCCUACCCAAGUGUGAGUGGAGUAAAUAUCCAUCGAAUAUUAGUGAGGGUUAAAAUCUGGGCAAAGCUCCAUAAGUAUUGAUGUAAGUUGAUCCCAGUAAUAGUAUGAUUUGUAAAUAUCAGUUAUAGUCUCAUGUAAUAUGAGUUGUAAUUUGAGCAAUAGUUUCAUGUAAUUAAAAAAAAUGUUACUUUCAUUACAUUUUUCUUCGUUAAAAUUCUCAAGUAUCAAUUAUGUUUGCUUAAGAAAUAAAAUUUUGUCAUUAAAGUUGUAGUAGUAUUUCUAAGCAUCUCACAUUUUCAAUGAUUUUUCAUAAAUCAAUUAAUAUGUCGUACCAAUAUCAUGUUUAGUUUUUCAGACUAAAUAAUCAAGAAAGCAAACAAAUUCACAGUUUAGAGGGGUAAACUAGCUUUUAGAUUUUAGAACUAGGCUAGCUACCUCACCAAAUUCCAGUUUGUACAGUGAACUACAAGAUUGAGAAAAUAAUGUAUUUAUAGUUUAAUUGAAUCAUGACAAACAAUGUAGUCAUAGCUCAAUCGGACAUGAUCACGGAGAGGCAUAUUCUUUUCAAGUUAAUUUGAUCCAUUUAUAAGAAAUGAAGUGGAUCGAAGUUAAAAGUUCAAAUAAAAAAUCCUUGUUCUUGAGUUUUACGACGUCGUUACUCCUUCAAGAGGCUGAUUAUGCAAGUGAAUGGAGAAACAUAAUGCAUUUAUAAUUUUUUUAAUAAUUAUAAAAAUAAUUAACCAUAACAAAUCCCUUGCGUAAAUAAUAAUCAUUAUUUAAAAGGUCCAAAGAUGGUUAGUGCACAAUCAAAUUUUAAGCCCCUACCUCCUCGGCCCAAGAUUCAAACUUAGAUGAUAAGCCAAAUAAAAUUAUUUGAAAAUCAUUCAAUCAAGUUCCGGGGCAAAAAUACAAGAUCCUUAUUUACAUGAUAUAUAUGAAUUAAUGUAAUUUAUUUGAAUUGUCCAAAUUCAUUAGAGAUAAAACUAUAAAAUAUACCAAAAAAGUUAGAAGGAAGGCUGUGUUGGGAUAUUUUACAAACUAUAGGGAUCUGGUGAGAUUUUGAGCCAAACUGUAGGGAGUUGAAGGCAUUUGCCCAAUAUGUUUAGACGUACACUAACCGUUAUUUGAUCUUGUUGUUGGUCCCGGAUGAGCUGUAGUCUUAUUUUAAUUUUAUUUAAACUCACCAUAAGAUUCGCGGAGCUCCUAACUAACUUAAAUGACUCUGCAGAGCAUGUCAACACAUACCAUGUUUAACCGUUUUAUUUGUAGAAGAAUUUAUGAUUUCCCAUUAGCAUUAUUAUUGAAGUGGGGCAGGUCAAAUCUCAAUUGCUUGAAAAUUUUAUUUAUUAUUAUUAGUCUUGAAGUGGGGUGGGUAACGGUUCGCUCAAUUCGAGGGGAAUCAAAUAUAUCAUCCAAGGUAGAAUUGUGGAAAAUUAAAGCAAAAUAAGAAAUAUGGAAAGACAAGAAGAAAGUUAAGGCAUGAAAGACAUAUACAGUUGAAAUUGAUAAUCAUGUUUCUAUUUUGUUAACUAAUCAAAUGGAAAGCUGAACUGUAAACAAACAUUAAAACGUGUGGACCAAGCUCGCUGUCCUACAAGUCUACAAUAAUAAUUGAGUACUUUGAUUCAUCCUUCUAUGAAUUUCUACCCAUAUUGACUCCACCGAAAUUUCCACAAAAUAAAAUUAAAAAAAAAAACUGAAUUUCCACAAAAUACAAAACCCGUUGAACUUAAUUUUUGGUCAUGUGAACUAAGAUGUAAAUUAUAAAAAAAAGUAUAAAAUUAAAAAAGAUGAGAUUUCUAAAAUGUGUGGAAAGUGAUUCAUGAUUCACUGAAAUUACUUACCCCAGAUAUAAAGGUAAACCUAUCUAAUUUCAUUAAAAAUAGUUGAAAAACAUUAACUAAUAGAAAGCUACGGAAAUUAACCCCCCACAAAAAUGACUUUUUAUAGAAGAAUUUAUGUUUUUUAAAAUAUGUUAUCAAAGUGUAUUUGAUCAAAUCUGAAUUGCUUAGUAUGGUUAGGAUUUUGUGAACAUCACUAAAAAGUGAAAACUAUGAAUGAUAGGGGUGAUGCUUGCAAUAUGAAUAAAUAAUGGACUGAUUCAAUUUCUGAUUACAUUUAUAUAUUAUUGAUUAUUUAUGAAUUUUCAGACUUGUUAUGAUGUAUAACUAUGUGAUUUUGAAACUUGAAACCGUGGCAAACAUUGAAAGGAAUUAUAACUUGAAAGCAUGACUCACGGGGUAUGUCAUGAUUCACGUGCACAAAAAAGGUAGAAUUGUGGAAAUUUACAACCCAACGACAAGUACGGAAAGAAAGGAAGAAAAUUAAAAGACUUUGGGCCUAGCUGCGUGUAUAAAUUAUUAGAUUACUUUUUUUUUUAUAAGGGUAAUCAUCAAUUUACUCCAUAAAAAUCUUUAAUUCAAUUAAAAUUUAUGGUAUUUUAUAUAUUAAAAAUUCUAAAAUAAUUAUGUAUUCACUUGAAUAUAGUUUUAGUUAUAAAUGUUAAAAUAUUGUGGUAUUUAAUAUAUUAUUUAUUUGACAUUCAAAUUUAAUAAGGAUACAAAUGUAAAAGUAUAUAUUUUUCAGCUUUUUAAGUUGAAAAAAACAAACAACUUAAUACUUAUUUUUUGAGAUUCAGACAAAAAAAUAAACAUAUUAUUCAGAUUCAGACAUUCAGAUCUAUUCAGAAUUCUCACUAAUUCAGAUCUAUUCAGAUUUCAGAUAAAAAAAAAAAAAACAAAACGCCACCUAAGUAUAGUUAGGAUUGUGUGAACAUCACUGAAAACUAUGAUUGAUAGAAGUGAUCUUGGCAAUAUGAAUAAAUAAUUAACUGAAUCAAUUGAUUUAUAUAUUAAUGAUUGUUUAUGAAUUUGCGGACUUGUUGCGAUAUAAUAAUAGCAUAUGAUUUUGAAACUUGAAACAGUGGUAAAUAUUGAAAGGAAUUAAUUUGAAAGCAUGAUCCGUGGGGAAUGUGAUGAAUCGUGUUUACAAAAAAGGUAGAAUUGUGGAAAUUUAUAAUAGAACGAUAAAUAUGGUAAAAAGGAAGAAAAUUGAAAGACUUGGGGCUUGGCCUGGGUGUAUUUUCUAACAGUCCAAUGGACAAAAUUAUAUUUGUAUACUUUCUUUUCAGGAAAAAGUUAUUCUCAUCCCUAGGUUUCAUGCAAUAGCUCAUUCCAUCCUUAUUUUUUAAAUAAUAGACCAAAACAUUCUUCCGUUAACUCACUGUUAGUUGAAUGUCGUUUGUUAGUUAUUCAUUAAGAGUAAAAAAUGAUUUUCUAUCAAAGAGAAAAUUAGAAAAAUAAAUAAAAGUUGACAUAUAACUAAAAAUGAUUUUAUCUAAUCCCACUAAAUAAGAAAUACCAAAAAAGAUGAAAAUUUUAUAUUUCAAGCAGUUCUUUUUUCACUUAUUUCUAUUUUGGCGGUAUGAAAGCCCUAUAAACCCUAGAUCUAAGUACCAAAAAUAUUGCAAUUUUCUUAUUCAUAUAAGUAUACUCUCUAAUUGCACUAUAAAAUGACUUGAAUUGAAUUGAAGAUAAAGAAUAUAUUCAGCACAUACAAAGCACAUAAAAAUUGGUGGCAUUUUUGAGUUUUUCUUCCAAUGAUUUAAAUAUAUUAUUUUAAUUACAGUUUGUUCCUUAUGACAAUUAUUAAAUGGCUAUAUCAAACUAUAUCAUCGUUGAUUUCAUUUAAAAAAAAAAGUUAAUGAAUUUUGCAUACUUUGUAGUGUUAUUUAAUUGUGUAAAAAAAUUAUUUUAAUAUAGUUUGUAUCACUUUAAUGAAAAAUUCUAUUUUGCCCUCAAUGAAUUACUAGUUAACAGUUUUACACUAACGGUGAAUUAACAUAAGGAUAUUUUAGGCUAUUGUUUGAAAAGGAGGGAUAAAAUGGGCUAUUACAUUAAACUCUAAGGAUGAAAAAUGCUUUUUCCCCUUUCUUAUCAAUCAACUAACUGAUAAAAGUCAAAACUCAUAUUUUUUUUUCCUUGUUUCAAUCCCCUCUCAAUCAAAAAAGUUUCAUUGUCUAAGCAAUGAGGAAUAUGGCUAGAAAGAUUGUUAUUAGAAAGAUUUAUCAAUAGUAAUUGGUUCACAAUUGAACCGUUUUAGAUUAUUGUGAGUCAAUAUAGGUCCUGUUUGGAAUUGAAGUGUUGCAGCUCUUAAGUUAUAGAUGCUUUGGAAAAAAAACUAAAAUUAUGAAAUAAGAGUUAAUAAUAUAUAAUAAAUAUAAAUUUUAAAUAAUAAUUGUGACAAAAUUAUUAAAAAUAUAAUAGAUUUUUGAUAAUACAAGUAAAAAAAUCAUAACAACAUAGCUUGCAAGCUACAACAGUUAGUGUUUAACAAAUACUUUAAUACUGUGGCUUUUAAGUUACAGCUGUUCAAUACCUCAAUUCCAAACGCACCUAUAAAAUGGCUUGCUUCAAAAGUCUAUCAACCCAACUUGGAAUGCUCUCAUUCAAGUGGCUAUAACUAAGAUAAAACUUCGCUAAGGAAGAGUAAUUAAAAAAUGUAACUUUAACAUGUCCAUAUAGCAUUUUUGUUUACAAGUGAAUUUGUGUGAUAGAGAGAGGAUGUAAGCAAGAUAGUAAAGUCCUAAAUAUAUUAUUGUGUAUAAUGUCUAAAAUUUAAAGAGAAUCAAGCUGAUAAAACUCCAUUGAAAUUAGACCUUCAAGAAUACGGUUCUUGGGCAUUAUAAAAUGUUGUAAUGUUGAGAGAUUACCCAACCAUUAUGGAAUCCUACCAAGAUGAUUGUUACCACUAAGAUACAAUCCUUCUAGUGAACAACAAUCAGAUAAAUUUUUUGGGGAUCUCUCUUACAAAGUGAUUACCAUCCAAUCGCAAUUUUGAAUGAAAAUAAAUUUUUUUUAUUGGGAGUUUAACCUUAACAUUAAAUUUAGACAAUGAAUUUUAACUUUCUACAGUUAUUAAGCAGAUUACGGACAUUUGAGGAAUUUGAAAACAUUUCAUCCAUCGAAAGUUAAAAUUAGAGAUGGAAGAUAGGUGCUACAGCUAAUGGGAACAUUACUUCCUGUCCCUCAUCACACUUUAUUUUGGGUCUAAUAAUUUUACGGUAGCAUUGACCACUGCUCAAGGUAAGUAAAACUUACAAAUGUGUGGCAAAAUAAAUAAUUAAGUACAUAAACUGUUAACCAAUUUUCUUGAUAUAUACAGCUAAAGUAGUUGUAUAUUAGUGUCCUGAAACAUGUUUAUUAUGAUAGACACCUCCACCGUACCUCAAACAAAUCUGUCAUUAUUAGUGUCCUGAAACAUGUUUCGGCCGUCAAAGUCAUGAGAGGGUUGAUGACGCUACUACGUAUGAUGACACACCAGCCGACAGUGUAGUAACAGCUCAAAAACAAAAUCUACCAAAAUCAACGGAAGUUAAUAAAAAAAUAUUUUAUUAAUAAAAAAACUUAUUAUUUGUGGAGAUAUGUGUAUUUGAGUCUGUGGACUGAAAUGGAAAAUAUGAAGAAGUUCAGAGUCGUUGUGCAGAUUGACUUCAGUUGAGCGGGUCUAAUAGAUAUUUUAUGCUGACGUGGCACGAAUUAGUUAUAAUCUGUUAUAACGAUUCCAGAAAUAUCGGUAUAAAUAGAAGUUGAUGAGCAGUGCCUGUUGUACGAUCCUUUUCUUCUUCAGCAGUUCGUCAAUUUGCAUAGAAUCUGUUUCACUUAUGUUUGAUUAGUUGUUGAUCGAUAACGAGAGUAAAUUUUUCCUUCAAAUCUUGCUGGUUCGUGCCCCUGUUUCAGUUUUGGGUUUUUUUUUUUUUUUAGUUCUGGUUUCUUAAUUCAAUUGAAUUUCUUGGUGCUUAAUUCAUCAAGAUUCAGUGGAAUUGACUUGAAAAGGACUCAAUAGACUCAACAUUAUUUAACGACACUCGGACCGUGGGGUACCGUAAUCAUAAUAUUAAAAGAUUUAAAAUUUUAUGCAUUUAUUAAUUGUUAUAAUCUAAAAAAAAAUUAAUUAAUUCAGGUCAAUCUGAGUUGGUGCAUCUGCAGAGCCUUUUUUUUUUUUCCCCUUAUUGACCAUAACUUUCGACUUAUUAAUAGUUAUAUCAAAGGGUGUGGGUGUUUUACCUCAUCAUGUCUUCAAGCGGAAGAUGAAGACUAUGCAAGUGAAUACAGUGCAUUUCAACAUAGCAUAUUUAACCGUUUUAACAGUUAUUUGGACCGUCUUCAGAGCUAACAUCAACAUACUCAUUCAUAUGCUUAAUAAUGAACGAAUAGUCAUGGAUCGAUGUUUUGCAGCAAGAGCAACUCGACACAAUCUGGAUUCAACCUCCUCCUUUCUAACAGGGUGAUACGCCGCGGAGGUCGUCAAGGAUUCCAAAGCCUAGCAACAAGUAUGCUGGGUACAUUUGAAUUAUGCAUGGAUGCUUGGAAGUCGAACGGUCACAUGGCUCAAGACUUAUGCAUACGUUACAUGCAACAUGCAGCACGUUGGAAGAAUGGUCAUUGGAGCAGUCUACAUGGAUCAUGGGGGGGAUUCGGUCAACAUGGGAUCACUUGCUGAUUUAAUGGAGAUUUAUCAUUUGGUUUAAUUCAUUUUCGGUUGUUUAGUUAAGCUAAAAGAAUAAGUUAAGUUGUUAGCUUAGGACCUGCCUACAAUCUCGAGUGAUAGUUAGAUUGUUUGGCUAAGUUGUUUUAAGUAUAAAUAAGCUCCAACGGACUUGAAUAAAGGGCAUUGACUAUUAUCCAAAAAUCAAAUAUCUUGUGGUCUUAUUUCUCACCCUAAGUAGAAAUAUAUUCAACCACUUACGCUUUGACUGGGACCCCUAUCAGUGGUAUCAGAGCGAGGUUACUAUGUCAACCAACAAGGAACGCAUAGAGCGUGUGGAAGCCGAGAUCGGAAGCUUGCAAGAUGGAAUGAAGCGUAUGGAACUAGGGCUUACUGACAGAUUGCACCGCCUAGAAGAAACAAUGAGCAAACUGGUAGAUUCACUUCCAACUUCAAAAGGGAUGCCAAGUCACAACAAUUCUGAUCACGUUGGAUCCUCACAGCCUAGCCGUGGAGAUAGUGAAGGGAGCCGCCAUCAGCUAGCAUCAAGACUUACCAAACUGGAGUGUCCACGAUAUUCCGGCGACGACCCAACGGAGUGGUAUAAUAGGAUCAUGCAAUUUUUCGAGUACCAGAAAGCAACCAAUGAACAGAAAGUCUCCUUAGCUUCUUUUCACCUCGAAGGAGAGGCCAACCAAUGGUGGCAGUAGAUGCGACGAACUUAUCAAGAAGACGAAAAAAUAGUAACGUGGGAAAUUUUUGUGGAGGAGCUUUGGGCACGGUUUGGCCCUACUGAGUGCGAAGAUUAUGAUGAGGCGUUGUCCAGGGUUAAGCAGACAGGGUCACUACGUGAUUAUCAGAGGGAAUUCGAAAGGCUUGGGAACUGGGUACGAGGCUGGACGCAAAAGGCCUUGGUCGGGACCUUUAUGGGAGGAUUGAAGCCGGCAAUCUCAGAGGAAAUUCGGAUGUUUCGGCCCAAAACUUUAAAAGAAGCUAUAAGCCUCGCACGUAUGAAGGAUGAUCAAUUAACGCGACAAAGGAAGUUGCUACGACCACAGUACCUCAACCGUACACCACCAACACCAACAAACAAUACCCGUGCCCAACCAACGAGACCCAUCAAACGGCUGACUUGGGACGAAAUGCAGCGGCAUCGAGUAAUGGGACUUUGCUUCAAUUGCAACGAUCGGUUUACAGCAGGUCAUAAGUGCACCCAACCUCAGCUAUUGCUCCUUGAAAGUGAGACAAUGAAUGAUGAAACUACAUAUGAGGGAAUUCCUGAAGUCUUAUGAACAAAACCUGACACUAAAGAGCCUACCGAUCCAAAAAUCACUUUCUAUGCCCUCACUGGAUGGGCAGCCCCAAGAACCAUGCGGGUCACGGCAACGGUAGGACCAUAUGAGAUUAUGGUUCUGAUCGAUAGCGGUUCAACUCACAAUUUCAUCAGCUCCCGAAUGGCCAACAUGUUACGGCUGCCAAUCAUUCCCACAGCAGGAUUUUUGGUGCGAGUGGCAAACGGAGAAACGCUAUCGUGCAAGGGAAAAUUCGAACGGGUUCAGGUAUUAUUACAAGAAGUUCCAUUCACUUUGACUCUUUAUUCACUUCCAAUUACAGGGUUGGAUAUGGUGCUUGGAGUCUAGUGGCUUGAGAUGCUAGGCUCAGUGGUUUGCAAUUGGAAACAACUUACCAUGGAUUUCACUUGGGAGAACAAAAGUUGCCGGUUACAAGUCAUCGGGCCUCAAUCAAUCCAAACAGCAUCCUUGACCGAAAUUACCAAAGAGCUGAGACAAGGGCAGUCCGGUUUUGCUAUUUGUUUCCAUGUGAAUGUAGAAGACUCUCUCAACACAACAACUCCAGAUAUGCAAGACUUGUUAAAGGAAUACAACACUUUAUUUCAAAAGCCAACAAAACUGCCACCUAGACGAGAAAUCGACCAUAACAUCACAUUGAAAGAGGGAACUGAGCCAGUCAACGUACGGCCAUACCGUUAUGCCUAUUUCCAGAAAGCCGAAAUUAAAAAACAAGUCCAGGAGAUGCUGAAUUCGGGACUCAUUCGGCCUAGUACCAGCCCUUUUUCAUCACCAGUACUACUUGUCAAAAAAAAAGAUGGAAGUUGGCGAUUUUGCACCGACUAUCGGUCUCUCAAUAACGCCACUGUUAAAGACCGAUUUCCAAUCCCUACAGUCGAUGACAUGCUGGACGAGUUACAUGGAGCAGCAUACUUCACUAAAUUGGACCUAAGGGCCGGAUACCAUCAGGUACGUGUAAACCCAGCCGAUAUCCACAAAACGGCUUUUCGUACAUACAAUGGACAUUACGAAUACUUAGUAAUGCCGUUUGGCUUAUGCAAUGCACCAUCGACAUUCCAGGCCAUCAUGAACUCUAUCUUCCGUCCCUAUCUCAGGAAAUUUAUCCUUGUUUUCUUUGACGAUAUAUUGAUAUACAGUCCCUCUUGGUGUAGCCACCUUACUCAUGUUAAGCAGGCAAUGGAGGUUCUUAAACAACAUCAAUUUUUUCUUAAAGCAAGCAAGUGCACUUUUGGCCAACAAGAACUCGAGUACCUUGGCCACAUAAUUACCAGCCAAGGGGUAAAAGUAGAUGAGACAAAAAUUGCGGCCAUGGUCUCCUGGCCUCAACCGAAGAACAUCUCAGAGUUACGGGGAUUCCUUGGCCUUACAGGUUACUAUAGAAAGUUCGUCCAAGGAUAUGGAGUUUUAGCUCGGCCACUCACGAAUCUUCUAAAAAAAGGACAGUUUGAAUGGAAUGCAGAAGCGGACAAAGCUUUUAUCAAUUUAAAAAAGGCAAUGACAAGUACACCCACAUUAGCCAUGCCUAAUUUUAAUGAAACUUUUAUUAUUGUGACAGAUGCAUCCGGUGACGGCAUCGGCGCAAUACUCCAGCAACAAGGGCAUCCCAUCGCAUUUAUGAGUCGUGCCUUGGGAGUCACAAAAAAAUCUUAGUCCACAUACGCAAAAGAGAUGUUGGCGAUUAUAGAAGCUAUCCGUGUGUGGCGACCUUAUCUGGUGGGACGAAAGUUUAUCAUCCAAACCGAUCAACGCAGCCUUAAGUACCUUUUGGAACAAAAAAUAACGACACCCGAAUAGCAACAGUGGCUGGCCAAAUUGAUGGGGAUUGAAUAUGAAAUCCAAUAUAGGCCCGGCCGUGAGAAUGUUGCCGCCGACGCCCUUUCACGACGACCUGACAGUUCUGCUCUUAACAGUUUAUUUGUGGCGCAGGUAUCUAUUUGGAAUGAAAUAAAAACGGCUGCCCAAGAUGAUGAUUACAUGCAGCAAAUUACACAUCAGGCUCUGACUCAACCUACUGGCCCUUAUUUCAUGCGUAACGGGCUAAUUUUCUUCAAGGGCCGAGUUGUAGUUCCUCUUCGACUCCGUCAAUCUUUAAUUUUUUAAGCCCAUGACACUAAGAUGGGAGGUCAUUCAUGAGUUCUACGUACUUACAAACGUUUGAAACAACAAUUCUAUUGGCCUUCAAUGUUUCAAACGGUUCAUGACUAUGUAGGUAAAUGCGAGAUUUGUCAAAAAACGAAAGCAUCAACCCUUAAGCCUGCGGGUCUCCUCCAGCCCUUGCCAAUUCCUUGCCAAGUGUGGGAUGAUAUCACGCUCGACUUCAUUGAAGGGCUGCCAAACUCACACGGUAAAAAUUCUAUUCUAGUGGUGGUGGAUCGGCUCAGCAAGAGUGCACACUUUAUGGCCUUGACUCACCCAUUCACAGCAAAAACAGUGGCUGAGAAGUUUAUUGAUGGAGUGGUAAAAUUACAUGGCAUGCCGAAAUCAAUAAUCAGUGACCGAGACCCUAUUUUUAUUAGCAAGUUUUGGCAGGAGUUUUUUCAUAUGUCCGGUACACAACUCAAUAUGAGUUCUGCGUACCAUCCGCAAACCGACGGUCAAACGGAAGUUAUUAAUAGAUGUCUUGAACAAUACCUGCGAAGCUUUGUUCACCAAUGGCAGAAGCAAUGGAACUCUUACCUACCUUGGGCAGAAUACUGGUACAACACAACGUACCAUGAGUCCACAAGCAUGACUCCUUUUUUGGCUUUGUAUGGGCGACAUCCACUGGUAGUACCAAUGUAUCAUGUGGAAUCUUCUCCAGUGCACAAGGUAGAUCAAGCUUUGUUGUCUAGGGAUGAGCUGCUGCGACAAUUAAAACAGAAUUUGAAAAUGGCAACCAAUCGCAUGAAACAAUUUGCGGAUACAAAAACGCGCGACGUGGAGUUUAAGGAGGGUGACAUGGUAUUCCUAAGACUUCCACCGUAUAGGCAGACUACUGUAUUCCGUCGUGCUCAUCAGAAGUUGACCAGCAAAUACUCUGGGCCAUAUCCAAUUCUGCGAAGAGUGGGACAAGUGGCUUAUGAGCUUAAACUACCGACGGGAUCUCGAGUGCAUCCGGUAUUUCAUGUGUCCUUACUCAAAAAAUACGUUGGUGAGAUGCCUCAAUUCAGUGCAGAUCUUCCAUAUGUCAAUGACGACGGAGUACUCGUUUUAGAACCGGACAAAAUUAUUGAUGUUCGUUGGCUUAAAAGAGGUGGCAAGUUGGUGGAACAAAGUCUUGUCCGUUGGAAACGCCUUCCACAUGAGGACGCAACAUGGGAAGAUUCAGAGUUCCUGGCAAAGCAAUUCCCUCACCUGACCCUUGAGGACAAGGGUCCUCUUCGUGGAGGCGGUAUUGAUACACCGCGGAGGUCGUCAAGGAUUCCAAAGCCUAGCAACAAGUAUGCUGGGUACAUUUGAAUUAUGCAUGGAUGCUUGGAAGUCGAACGGUCACAUGGCUCAAGACUUAUACGUUACAUGCAACAUGCAGCACCUUGGAAGAAUGGUCGUUGGAGCAGUCUACAUGGAUCAUGGGGGGGAUUCGGUCAACAUGGGAUCACUUGCUGAUUUAAUGGAGAUUUAUCAUUUGGUUUAAUUCAUUUUCGGUUGUUUAGUUAAGCUAAAAGAAUAAGUCAAGUUGUUAGCUUAGGACCUGCCUACAAUCUCGAGUGAUAGUUAGAUUGUUUGGCUAAGUUGUUUUAAGUAUAAAUAAGCUCCAACGGACUUGAAUAAAGGGUAUUGACUAUUAUCCAAAAAUCAAAUAUCUUGUGGUCUUAUUUCUCACCCUAAGUAGAAAUAUAUUCAAUCACUUACGCUUUGACUGGGACCCCUAUCACAGGGGAUUUCGAUUUGAGUUACUUUGUGCUCAAGCAAAUUCACAUCAUAGUUUUGAUUCUUUAGAUAUGAAUUCAUCACAUUACAUAUAUCAGAUUAAGUGUAACAAAAUUUUUAAUUUACUGCGAAAAGAAUAUGCACUAAACAAUGAUUUCAAGACGAUUUGACUACCAAAAGCAGCUGUCAGAGUGCACUAAAAAUUUCUGUAGGAUAUUUUGUAGCUGUUUAAUAUGUUAUGAUGGGCAUAUAAUUCUCAAAUUUUGAUGCCUCUCAGCGAAAAAUAUAUCAAAGUUUAGAUUAUGUGUUCGAGCUUUAAUAAAUGGUCGGAAAAAAAGCUGCUGUCAGAGUGCACUGAGUGAAUAAUAAUAACGACAAUAAUAAUAAACUAAAAAACAGAAUUAAUUACUAUUGAAUGGUCGGAAAAAAAUUUGAAAACGUGUGAACUCCAAUAAUCACCCCACAAAUUCAGUGGCGAAUUUUGGAGAGGGCAAGGCCGGGCUUCUCAGAAAAAAAUUUAUUUAGUUACAAAAUUAUCUUUAUUGAAACCUAUAUAAAUUUUUUUUUAUAUUAAUUAGUUAUGUUACCUCUUCAAUUAUCAUCAAAUUUUUGUCUGUUCAUCAUUUGGUGAAUAAAUGUGUGUCUAAAUAAUUUCAAAUAACAUUUAGAACAAAUAUUUUGAGAGGUAAAGUUUAUUUUGUCUCCCAUUAUUAGGUGCAUCUAUAAUUUCUUAUUUACAAAAUUAUAUUGUACGAUAAAAAUUUAUUGAAUUAGGGGGAAAAAAAAAGUUCAGCUCACUCAAAAACAAAAAAUGGUAUUAACUUCGCCACCGCACAAAUCUAGAAUAAUAAUUAUUCCUUAUCAUGCUGGGGAUCCUUUACUUUCUAGCCGUAUUGACAGCACCAGGUAAAGCUUUGUAAAAUAAUAAGUUACUCAUUAGUGGUUUUUAAUCUUUUUAAUUCUUUUUACCGCACACCUGAUCAAGAAUUUUAUUUUGUUAACUAAUCAAUUGCAAAGCAUAUAUAAGUGUUGAACGGUACGCAAGAUUGGAAAAAAAAAUCUUAAAAAACGUGUGGAUUCGGGUGGCCACACCAGAAAUCUAUUACAAUAAUUAGCUUUGAUGCUGGGAAUCUUUUAAUUUCUGGCCGUAUUGAAAUUUUUAAAAUAACAAGUUCCCCUUCUCGUUUUUUUUUUUAUAAAUAUAUAAGCUUAUAACAAUUUUAGAAUAAUGACUCAUUUGUAGAAGAAUUUAUGAUUUCCCAUUAAUAUUAAUAUUGAAGUGGGGUGGGUCAAAUCUCAAUUGCUUGAAGAAUUUAUUUAUUAUUAUUAAUAUUAUUAGUAUUGAAGUGGGGUAGGGAACGGACCAGCAGUUCACUCAAUUCGUGGCGAAUUAAAUAUUACCAUCCAAGGUAGGAUUGUGGAAAAUUAAAGCAAAAUGACAAGUAUGGAAAGGAAGGCUGAAAGUAAGGCAUGACGAAAGGCUUUGAGAAGGCUGAAGACUUACCAAAGAAGUCAACUGAAAACUAGCUGGGGCCUGAGUGUAUAAAUUGUUAGAUGCGUUUGUUAUAAAUAACAUAGAGCCCUUUUGUUAUUUAUAGUUAUAGAGAAAGAGAGAAUGUGUGUCUUUUAAGAGUUAGAGAUAUAGCUAGAAUGGGCGGCUCAAAAUCCAAAAUGGUGACAAUGUUAGUUCUCGUAUUGGUAAUAUUUUGGGUGGGGGGGGGGGGGGGGGGGGGGGGGGGUUGUGAGGGAAGGAAGGUCCACAGGCCGAGUGGUACAACUACACCUUGGCCUUACUAGGAAUAUCGAUCUGGGAGAGUGGUAUCUGAAUGCUUCUCUAUUUACUUCCUUUCAACAACUUGGUAACAAAAUAGCCGGCUGCAUGCGUUGAGAAUGAAGGUCCUUCAUUUAAUUUAAUUUACUUAAUUUCUCCCUCCCAAUUAAUGUCUAAUGGAGCUCAUUCUUUGGUUUUACUUGCAGGUCUAGAAGCAGGUGUCAUCUAACAGCUGCUUUGAUAAUUUCCCACCCCUUCAUCUUUGAUGGAAAGAUGAAAUAAAAACAAAAUGGUGAAAAUGGUAUUGGUACCUGAGGCUAUGUAAUCUAAUUCAACAACUGCACCAUCAAAACGAUUACAUAAGUCCCAGAAGAAUCAAACAUUAGUUUGCAAAAUAUCAAUUGCUGGAGGUUAGAUUCUAACUUCCGCUCUUGAUUUUUAUGGGCAUGUUGUAUUGUACUUGCAUACGAAAAUCAUAUUUUAGUUUACUUACACUCAAUGCUUGGAUUAAAGUUUCAGGUGGGGAAAAUUGAAGGAGACUAAAAUGACUCAAAAAAAUAGUUGAAUGAGUGAGGGUUUUGUCUUCAUUUGAGGAGCUCUUUAUAAAUUUUAGGAUUUUUUUUCCCGAGAAAAUUUAUGCCAACUUAUUCUUUGCUUCUUUUCUGAAGGGACAAAUGCAACUGAAAGUGUAUUCUUGAAUUCUCCAGGAUAAGAGACAUAUGUUUAAUUAGAUUCUCGAGCCUUCAAAACAAUAUAAAAUUUUAUAUAUCUGAGCAUGAUGGUGUUUGACAUGACUUAAAAUUGUUUAAUUUACUCUCACGUACAAGAAUGCCUAGUUAUAUUGUCGCUCAGAGUCCGAGGUUAAUCCAUAAAGAAAUGAUUUAAUUUGUUUAUUUAAGAUUAUCCCAAAAAAUAAAAAUAAAAUUUAAAUAUAUGUAAUUUAAUUUGAAAAAAGUUAUGAAAUUAAAUUAUUUAGAGUCAUGGAUCCACUCUUAGUAAUAAAUACAAUUUAAUAAAUUCUUUUUAUUUUUAUUUUAUUGCCCAAAAGAUUAAUUAUAUAAAUUAUAAUUAUUUUUCCAUUAAUUUUAUUAUGGAUUAAGUACUUAAUGUGCCAAAACUUAACUUGUCUACAAUAUGUCAAAAUACCAUUUUACCAUACUUUAUGCUAAGAUAUUAAGAAUUCAUGUGCCAAACUCCCAUGUUUGUCUACAAUAAAUCCAAAUUUCAAAACAUAAAAUAUGGAUCAAAUUAAAUAAAAAAUAAUUUAAUUUAUAUAAUUAAAAAUAGAAUUUGAUUAAAUCAUAUUUUUCUACUUAGAGUUUUACCUCACCCUAACUAUUAGUAUUUAGCUAAACAUAUUUGAAAUAAAUGAAAUUAUUAAAAUUGAAAAAUACAUAAUUAAAAAAAUGGUAUUUGAAAAUUAGAAAUAAAACUAAUUUUAUUUAUUGAAAAUGUAUUACAAAGAGAGAUGAGAAGAAGAAUUUGAGGGAAAAGAAGAGAAGAAAAUGUGUGGAGAGGUGUGUGAAAUUAUAUUGUAAAGAUGUUACACAAACAAAUGAAUAAAAAAAAACUAAAUGAAAAUUACACAAAUUAAAAAGAAAAUGAAAAUUAAAUAAAAAAGAUAAAUGUGUAAGAAAAAAAUGCGCAAUAAAAAUAAAUAAACUGAAAAGUAAUUAACUAAAAUUAAAAUAACUAAAUAGGCGGUAAACAAAGUAAAUGCCAAAAAUAAAAUAAGUGCGAAAAUUAAAUUACAGAAAUUAAAAGAAGAAAGAAAGAAAAAAAUAAUUAUCUCAAAGUGUAAACUCUUUUUCUUUUUCUUUUCAAAUUUUAAAUAUUACCAGCCAAUUAAGUGAUUAAUUCAAAUUAUUAGGCUUUAAUAGUAAUUUUUAAAAUCAAUAUUCAGUUUAUUGAGUCCAAAUAAGGUCCAAAGAAGUUCAAGUUGUUGGUCUAAAAUUGAGAAUUUUGGGAAAUAUUGGCAACGGACCUAUUCAAAAAGCUCUAUAAUUUUGUGGUCAAACUGCAAUUAUGAGAAGAAUGAUCCAAAAAUUAGAAUUUUUGGGGUGAGUGAGAUUUAGAAAGAUUUUGUGGAUAUAACAUAAUUUAAGAAAGAAAAAGGAGGUAAAUGAAAAUUUACACAAAAAGUAUAAAAAGAAAGAAAAAAGAAAACAAAAUAAAUACCUCUCCCAGCAAUGGCGGUAAAAACUUAACACGACUUAAAAGCAUUUAAUUUACUCUAAAGUAUAAGAGUACCUAGUUAUAUUAUAUCGCGAGAAGUCCGAGAUCGAUCUACAGAAAAAUGAUUUAAUUUAUUUAUUUAAGUUUAUCUAAAAAAUAAAAAUAAAAUUAAAUACAUGCAAUUUAAUUUGAGAAAAACUAUGAAAUUGAAGUAGUUAGGAUUAUGGAUCUACUCCUAGUAAUAAAUGUAAUUUAAUAAAUUCUUUUUAUUUUUAUUUUAUUGACCAAAAGAUUACUUGUAUAAAUUACAAUUAUUUUCCCAUUAAUUUUAUUAUGGAUUAAGUACUUAAUGUGCCAAAGCUUAACUUGUCUACAAUAAGUCAAAAUACUAUUUUACCAUACUUUAUACUAAGAUAUUAACAAUUCAUUGUGCCAAACUCCCAUGUUUGUCUACAAUAAAUCAAAAUUUCAAAAUAUAAAAUAUAGAUAAAAUUAAAUAAAAAAUAAUUUAAUUUAUAUAAUUAAAAAUAGAAUUUGAUUAAAUCAUAUUUUUCUACUCAGAGUUUUACCUCACCCUAACUAUUAGUAUUUAGCUAAACCUAUUUGAAGUAAAUGAAAUUAUUAAAAUUGAAAAAUACAUAAUUAAAAAAAUAGUAUUUGAAAAUUAGAAAUAAAACUAAUUUUAUUUAUUGAAAAUAUACUACAAAAAGAGAUGAGAAGAAAAAGUUGAGGGGAAUGAAGAGAAAAUAAGGUGUGGAGAGGUGUGUUCCUCCCCCCACUUCUCUAUUUAUACUAAUACAUGAUUAAUCUAUACCACACAAAUAAAUAAAACUAAUUACAUCUUAGGCAUACAUUUGUCCCACUAACAAAAUAUAAACCUAAGUUAAUCCACUUAAGCACAUCCAACACAUUUCACUAACAAUUACCACACCUAACAUGAUAAAAACUUAUAAUUUCACAAUUACCACAUUUACUUUUACAACAAAAACCACGAAUCUUCUCGACAAUAACCUAAUUUCUCGGACUUUCGGAAUCUAAAAAUUUAAAUAAUAUUAAAUUUAUCUAAUAUAAUUAAAUGUAUUAAAUAAAAUAAUGUUUCAUUUUAUAUUUACCCUCCUUUUAUUAAAUUUACUAUAAUUAUAUUUAAUAAAAUAAAUAAUAUUAUAUAUUUAAAUAAUAUUAGUUAUAUUUAACUAAAUUAAAGCAAAAUGACAAGUAUGGAAAGGAAGGCUGAAAGGAAGGCAUGACAAAAGGCUUUGAGAAGGCUGAAGACUACCAAAGAAGUCAACUGAAAGCUAGCGGGGGCGUGAGUGUAUAAAUUGUUAGAUGUGUUUGUUAUAAAUAACAUAGAGCCCUUUUGUUAUUUAUAAUUAUAGAGAAAGAGAAUGUGUGUUUUUUAAUAGUUAGAGAUAUAGCUAGAAUGGGUGGCACAAAAUCCAAAAUGGUGACAAUGUUAGUUCUCGUAUUGAUAGGGGGGGGGGGAGAGGUCGAGUGAGGGAUGUUUGGAGCAUGAGAAAUUUGAUCUUUUGCGGCUGGAUGUUUGGAGCAUGAGAAAUUUGAUCUUUUGCGGCUUAAACAUUUCUUCAAUUCCCCUUAUACACUUCAAAACUGGGUAGGUGAACAAAGGGAAAGGGUUGAGUGCAGCAACUCCACAGGCCAAGUGGUACAACUACACCAUGGCCUUACUAGGAAUAUUGAUCUGGGAGAGUGGUAUCUGAAUGCUUCUCUAUUUACUUCCUUUCAACAAUUUGGUAACAAAAUAGCCGGCUGCAUGCGUUGAGAAUGAAGGUCCUUCAUUUAAUUUAAUUUACUUAAUUUCUCCCUCCCAAUUAAUGUCUAAUGGAGCUCAUUCUUUUGUUUUAUUUGCAGGUCUAGAAGCAGGUGUCAUCUAACAGUUGAUUUGAUAAUUUCCCACCCCUUCAUCUUUGAUGAAAAGAUGAAAUAAAAACAAAAUGGUGAAAAUGGUAUUGGUACCUGAGGCUAUGUAAUCUAAUUCAAAAACUGCACCAUCAAAACGAUUACAUAAGUCCCAGAAGAAUCAAACAUUAGUUUGCAAAAUAUCAAUUGCUGGAGGUUUGAUUCUAACUUCUGCUCUUCAUUUUUAUGGGCAUAUUGUGUUGUACUUGCAUCCGAAAAUCAUAUUUUAGUUUACUUACACUCAACGCUUGGAUUAAAGUUUUAGGGGGGGCAUUGAAGAAGACUAAAAUGACACAAAAAAAGAGUUGAGCGAGUGCGGGUUUUGUCUUCAUUUAAGGAGCUCUUUGUAAAUUUUAGGAUUUUUUUCCUAAGAAAAUUUAUGCCAACUCAUUCUUUGCUUCUUUUCUGAACGGACAGAUGCAACCGAAAGUAUAUUCUUGAAUUCUUUAGGAUGAGAGACAUACGUUUAGAUUCAUCGAGCCUUUAAAACAAUAUCAAAUUUUAGAUUGCUGAAAUUUUAUAUAUCUGAGUAUGAUGGUGUUCCAAUUAUAAGCUCCAGGGUGCAACUUCACUAAGGUUUAGAAUACCUUCCUAUAGAAUUGAGAAAUCUCCAUUGGCAUAAAUAUCCUUUGAAAAUAUUGCCAUCAGAUGUUGAAUUGGAGAACCUGAUUGAACUCAGCUUGCCUUGUAGUAAGGUUAAGCAAAUUUGGAAAAGAGAAAAGGUAUAAUGUAUUACUAUUACCAAAGUAUCUAUUUUUCUUUCUUUAAGUAUUUAUAAUGAAUAACUUUGAAAUUGAAUGAUGCUCAUUUAGUAUAGUUGUGUAUCUUUGGUUAUAGGAAGCUGUCAAGUUAAAAUCUAUAGAUCUUCACCACCCUCUGUAUCUCAAUAGGAUCCCAAAAAUACUAAAUCUUAAAAAAAUAAAUCUUUCAAAAUGUGAAAGCAUGCUUACGUUACCCGCGUAUAUCCACAAUUUCAACUAGCUCAGUAUGUUGUGUUUCAUGGGAUGCAAAAUUCAUUUUGUUUCUCAUGAAAGGAUUGACUUGUUCGGAUGUAUUAGGGUUAAUAAACCAACUAAUCCCAUAAUUUGUUGAUGUCGGGUCCUAACAAAUUACUGCAGUAUAUUGUAGAUCAAUACACUAUUUGAAAACGUAUUUGAUCCACACAGUGAAUGUUUGAGGGUGCAUUUCUCGCGAACCAGCCAUACCCUAAACGAGGAGCCGGUCUCCUUGUAAUUGAGCAGGCAGGUGAAGUCUGGUAGCAAAUAUCCAAGAGCAGGAAUUCUAUGCUCAAUCACAAGGACAUCCUCUUUUGGACUAUAAUUCGAACAAGGUUCCUGCUAGGAGCCGAGAGCCUUUCCUGCUGGAGAGCGGGGUCGGCAGGCCUAGUCUAUAACGGUUAGCGAGACGUGCACUCCUAUUCGAGAAUCUAGGCACGAAACCAACUCAGCUGCAACUACGACAUUCAGGCAUCCACUUCCGUAAGCUGAGGGAGGUGAUGGACGUGGAUCGUAGGGCGUCGGAUUUGUAAGACGGCUAUAAAACGGUAAUCAACGAAGGUAAAGGGGUUAGACACUUUUACACUAGAACUUAAGAAAUAAGACCAUUUACUAAAAAAGGAGAGAAACACUCAUAGGUGUUCCACUGCCUAAGAGAUCAUGAGAGAGCCACGAGAUCAGUGGCCGAGUUUCCCAAAAAGUAAACCUAAAUUUCUGACUUGAGCGUAGGAGGAUUUUUCCGGCGUGCUCUGACAAGUUUUUGUGUGCGCAUGAGUCUGCUAAGUCAUACAAGGCAUAGCUUUGCUCGGUUAGAAGAGUUACGUGAAGUAUCCUAGGUUGGUCGUGAGUUCGGGAGUUAAGGAGAGAUCCUGGUUGCAGACGAGCAGACACCAGAAUCUCGCAUCAACAGUGAAGAUGAUUCAAUAUUAAGCAUGUCAUAUAAUCUAGAAGUGGAUAUUGGACCAAUUUGAUGAUAAUGAAUUUCUUUCAAUCUCAAUCUUUUUCUUUUUAGCAACAUGACUAGUAAUUGUGCAAAUUUAAACUCUGAGAAUGAUUUCUCAAUCGGUUUCUAAAAUGAUGACCAUGCAUGUAUACGUGUGUGUGUGUAGAGAGAGAGAGAGAGAGAUCACACGUGUGUGAUUUCCUUUUGCCAAUAGGAUAUGCAGAGAGCUUGAUCUUACCCAAUAGCGAAACAAACUUCCUAAUAAGUGAAGGUAUAGUAUAAAUACUUAUACUUUCAUGUUAUUUUGUUCAUCGGUAGCUUGAUUAUUUUAUAUGCGUCUUCGAUUUUAAUUUUCUUUCCCUAUAAUCGCUAUUAUCUUUGAACUGGUCAUGAUUUGCCUAUUAGAUUUCUCAUGUUGUUUUGAGGUGCAAUGGAUUUUGAAUUUAGUGACGAGCAGUGGAAGCCAGAAGGCAAAUUAUGAAAAUGGAUAAAGAUCUAUAAUUAGCUGUUAUGGGAUGUCACAUAUCAUAUUGAUGGUAACAUUAUAUAUAUGUACAUAUAAUUAAUGGGGUUGGCUCACGAGCCCAUUAAUAAUCGUAUAUUAGCUUAUAUACUUCAAACAAUGUACUAUGAAGUAAUUUCACAAAUACUUGUUAGCUUAUGUGGAGCUUUAUUGAAUCAGUAGUUCACAGUUCAAUAAAAUGCAGGUUUGCUAUUUGAAGUACAUGGUCAUGGUGCGUACAUUCUUCAUAAGGCUAACUACUAAUUUAUCAUUGAAACUUGAAAAAUGUGAUAGAGAGAUGUAGAUAACAGCCGCAAAACACUGAGAUUGAAAAUCAGGGCUACUAAAUUCUAUUAAAAGCCCUUAAAAUAGACAGCGAUCAUCCUAAAAUAUUAAUUGCAAAGUUAUGCACUAAUAGAACUAUUGACUACUUAUCUUUAGCAGAAGGUAUAUUUUUAACUACAGCUUUCUGCUUUGUUCUAAGAACUAGGCAAAAGUGGUAUAUCUUCAAUCCAAUCAACAUAUAUACCACUUAUUUUCCCCUUCACUUCUGUCCAUUUUGAUUUGCACUUCAUAUCCUGCACUUGCUGCUUAGAAAUAGUCUUAGUCUGGACAUUGAAAGUAGAAAAAGUACUUGAAACAAUCAUUGGCACAGCCCGAGAUUCCAUUGAAUCGUGGACUCCAAGCUUUCAUAGUUCUAUAAAGAAAAUGACAAAACAUCAUACAACUGGCAUUCGGCUUUUAACAUUUGCACAACCUGAGCGCGUUAGCAAGCCCCUUAUUGCGUUCCCAUUGAAUAGACCUACUUCUGUUAUCCACAGAAGAUCCACCUCUCAAAAUGUUUAUCACCAGGCUAUUCUUAAACUGAGCCUAAACUGAGUAGAAACUUCCGCACAUCUCUCAGCAUUUACAUGAAGAAAGCGACAACUAUCCUCAUCUCUCAGCACAUCUCUCAGCAUUCUACAAAGUUGCAUUUCACUAAGCAAUCUAUCCUCUCCAUUCCUAGCAAAGUGACAUUGAUUCCCGUAUUUGUAAUCGCCUAACUUGGGUUUUGGGCAUAGCGUGGUCUUAAAAUUACCACCCAAUACUUUGUUCAGUGCCACUGGCAUCCACAAGCUCUAGCCUUGUUAGCUGAAUCAUAUUCAAUAGGACAGUGAGACAGCAUUUCACUGACAUAUUCAAUUUGACUACUUAUAUUGACGCAAAUAUUAGAAUUUGAAAUCACUUCUUUUAUUGGAAUAUUAUAUUAAAAUGACCCCAAAUGAAAGUUCUUGAAUGGAAAUGAUUUUUAUUUAAUUUUCCAACAGAUUCAAGAAAACCCAGAGAACAUUAAUUUACACAGUAAUAUGAUUAAGAGCUGAGAACGUACAUGUAGUAAAUGUCUAUCAAAAAACACCCAAGGGUUUCUUUAAAAUUAGAAACUAGUAAACAAAAAGAAAGAAUCAUUUUACAUUUUUAUCAACUUUGGGGUGAGUGAGGAGUGAGAAAUUGAAACCCUAAAGUAAUGACAACAGUAAGAUUCAGUAUGAAGUGAAACCCCAAUUUGAAAUGUAGGCAUGAGUUGCUGAGUCAGUAGAUGAAGCUGUAAAUAGGCAUUCGGUUUCCUUCUUUUCGGUUUGGAGGGCCAUGGAAUAGUGUAUUGGAGUGGGCUCCAAGUAAUAGCCUCUAUCACUGGAAUGACACAUCUAUAAAAUGUGAUACAUGGGGAAGGAUUGGACAUUAUAUUCUUAGAUUAGCGCCUUAUUUAGGGUGUAUAUUAAGCAGAUUAUAUAUUACAUGGAGAUGGAGUUUAUGAAAUAGAUUAAAAAGAAAAGGAAAUUUUGGUGCCUAAAGUUUGCCACUUGGAAUAUUUCGGUGUCUAAAAAUUCACUCACCACUUAUUUCAUGUUUGAUUAUAUGUUGAAAAGAUAUUAAAAUAGUAUAAUGCUAUUAAGGCUUAACGUAUAUUUUUUAUUAGUAGAGUGUAGAAUUUUUAAGAAAUAAAUUAUUAAAUUAUUAUAACUAACAUAUUAUUUUAAAGUUGUGUUAUGAAAAAAAUGAAAUAAAAAUGUACAGUAAAUAAGAAUAUUUUAAAACUUUUAUCUUUUUAAAAUUAUUUUUUAACAUAAGGUGAACUAUUUUUUUUUUAAAUCACAUAUUCUAGUUAAAAUCAAAUAUGUAUUUAUAUGAAGCUUGUAAAUUUUUUUUUUAGUACUGAUAUUUGGAUAUUACCAAUAAAAAAAAAGGUAAUGUGCAUGCUGAAUUAUUUUUGUAGCACACAAAAGGACAACACCGUUUAUGUUAUCAUACUAUCACUUCUGUUAUGAUAAUAUUUUUUUGUGGCCAAAUAUCUUCUUUUUUUUUUUAAGUAAAAGUGUGGACAAAAUGCAAAUCAGUUUUUAAUCCUCAAUCUCUCCCAAAAUAUAAAUUCGUAGGUACAUGGGUUGUUAAAACUAUAGCUGACAAAAAGUUACUAACAAAAACAGAAUGUCCAUUUUAUAACUUUCUUAAAAAACUUUCCUUAACUUUUUUAAAAAGUUACCAAUAAAAAGUUAUUUCUAAUUUUUAUUUUGUUAUAAUUUUUAUAACAAAAUUCGUAGUUCGUAGUUAACUAAACUCUUCUUAUUCCCUUUCUCAACUGCCAUACCCUAACCUUGUUCCCCACACUAAACCACGCUCAAUUAAGGCCAUCAGAUUCUCCCGGGCCCACAUUAAUCCAACUGCUCACAGAGACCGACAGCCUCUCUAUCUCCAUUUCAAGCUCCCUCUUCAACUGGCUUCUGCUACCGUCCUACUCUUUCUCGGCUUCGGAGUCCGUAUUUGCUCGGCCUGUCCCACGAAGCUCCCUCUCACUCCAAUUGUCGCCCCACAAGACCAAUUGCUUAAUCAAGACACCGAACAAGAAAAGGAUGAGAAGUUGAAACAAGAAUUUGAGAAUUGGAAAUAAAAAACGUACGCAUUGACCGUGCCUUUGAGAGUCGUUUCUCUUCAGAACUCAGUGCCUCAAUCUUGGGUUAAGGAUUUUAUGCGAAGUCAGGGAAAGAGAUUGAAGUUUCAGAUGAAUUUGUGUGCUAGCAUUGAUGGGAUCUUUAACAAUUUAUCUGUGCCCUUUAACAAAGUUAAGGCUAAGUCAGCUUCUUAUAUGGCUGCUGAUUUGGUUAGUGUUGGUGAUUCAUGGCUUAGUUUUGCCAUUAAAAAGAGAUUGAUUGAGCCAAUGGCUGGAGCUGAAGACCAAGAUUGGUUCAAAUGCUUAAGUCACAAAUGGAAGGUAACAUCUUUGUCUUUGAUCCUCGAGGUAAAAUAUGGGCGGCACCGUACAGGUGGGGCACAACGGUGAUAGCCUACAAGAAAAGUAAAUUUCGAAAGCAUAAUUUGGCUCCGAUUGAGGUAAUAAUUUUCUUUAAACUCAUUUAGUUUUAUAUCAAACAAAAUCAAGACUGCCUUUCUUUUCAAUAUUUUUUAUGAUAAUAUCUUUAGAAGCAUCUCAUUGACGGGUAACAAUGGCAUCCCUGAAAGAGUCUAUAAACUCAAUGAUAUUAUCUUCUACAAAUGGUUCAUUAAACUUUGUCGUUGUACUCAAAUGUACACUCAGAUCAAUGAGAAGCUAUGCUACGUUAGCAUGUAGUGAUGGCACUUAAUAAGUGAGUUGCUAGGAUGUGAACUAGAAAAAUUAAAUAUUGUCUCCUUGGGUAUGCUAGCUGGUAAGUCAGGGUUAAUAUCAGAGCUUAAGAUAGUAUAACCGUGAGAACCUAUUGACUGCCAAUUAAAAUAUCCAUUGAAAUGUCUAGGGAGUUAUGAAGGUGGAGGUAACUUCCAAUUUCUAAGGCCACAGAGUAGACAUCAUCCAGGAUCCUAAAAUAUCCAGUUAACCUCCUGCUCGAUGCGAUUAAUAAAUUUGGUCAAUGCCACUGAAACCUGCUAACUGACGUCACAAUGCGACAUGAGCACUUCAAAAUGGGACAGAUGGUCAGUAGCACUAAAUUUUUCUUGCCUAAGAUUGAGCAAUUGGUCUAACUACUAAUCCCUAUUGUAGGUUGAUCAUUAUUUUUUCAAUUAUGUUCAGUUUGACCCAAAAAGUUGCAGAAUCUUGAGCUGAAUAUUGUCACUGAACACUGUCAAUGUUGUUUAGCAUAGCCAACUAACUUGAUGUUAAAACAAACACACAGUGUGUCUCAUGUCUCACAAUUCAAAUUAUCAUCUGUAAUGAUGGAGAAUUUUUCCAAUGUAUGAAGUAUGCUUUGAUACGUGGGUUACCUUGGAGAAGAUAUCUCAAAAUAAAGAAUAUGGGGAGAAAACAGUUCAGUAGUUUAUUAUUCUGUAGUCAAGUUUUGUCUCGAAAAUGGUCAAAAUUUAAAUGAAUAAGGACAGGGAAUCUUCAUUCUUUUUUCCCUUUUUUAUACCAAGAUAUCUCUCAACCUUUAUAUAAUCCCCACUGGAUAUCUGCUUCUAAUAAUUAAAAUAAAAAUUUCACCGCUCUAACAAUAAAAAGUAACAUCUUUAAUCAAAUAAUUUACAGUUCCUCAUCACCUUAGUGUGAGACUAUCAGUACAUUCCAAAAACUUAAUAAAACUGGUUUGAUCCUGUUUAUUGAUGUUUAAAUGUUGUUCAUUGUGACAUGUAGAAAUGAUGAGGCGAAGUUUAUUUGGACAUCAAUUAGUAAGAUCUUGUUUGAAGUUGUUUUCUGAAAUGAACUGCCCAAUGGUAGUUUUUUGGGGGCAUUUGAUGGCUCUUUUUUUCCUCAUUUUCAACAUGUGCCUGCUUGGAACAGGAAGGAUUAGGCUGCAGAGUUGUUAUAUAUUUUUAGAUGCUCUGGUCAUUGCACAAUUUGUUCACACUGGAAAUUAGAAUGAGAAAUUUGUUGAUGCUGUUUUGAGAGAUCUGCAUUCUAUGCACAAUAACGUGAUUAAUGAAAAUGCAUUGUAGGACUGGAAAGAUCUGUGGCAGCCUGAGCUCGCAGGAAGAAUUUCAAUGGUUAAUUCUCCCCGAGAGGUUAUUGGUUCAGCUUUGAAGAAUAGGGGAGCAUCAUACAAUUCAAACGAUAUUGAUUUGCAAGUUGCUGGUGGGAAGAUUGCUGUUCAGCAGAAUCUGGCAUUACUGGCAAACCAAGUACUCUUACAGAAAUGAUAUCUGGUCAUUGCAUGUUAUUGCCUGACAACUGAUUUUGUUUGUACAAGUCUGCUUCUUCAUACAUAUGAAUGCAUAUGUUAGUGUUUUCUUCUCCUUUUCAUACAUAUAAAUGCAUAUGUUAGUGUUGUCUUUUCCUUUUCAUACAUAUUAAUACAUAUGUUGGUGUUCUCUCAUGAGAUGGAUGCAAUAGAGGCUUUUGCUCCUAAAUUUAGCUGAAGAAAUGGGAAGGGAUGUGAGAUUCUGUCUCAUUAAAUUAACAAAAACCCAAAACAAUGAAAAUCCAUAAUAAUGUGGUGUGGGUAAAUUGGCUCCAUUUGGUUCGUUUCCUUAAUGUGACUGCGCGAGCAAUAGAGACUAACAAAAUGAAGUGACAACAAGAAGUCAGUGUCCUUUGAUGGAUGCAUUUUUAGGCAGAAAUAGGUUUGUAAUUGACCAAAUUUGCCUGGCAUGCCAAUUUCAAAAAAAUUAAAUUAUGUGGUUAUUGGCUGUAAUGAAGGGGGAUAGUCGGUGCAAUCAGGUGGAUCCUGGAAAGUUCAACAAAGUUUGGUAUGGCGUAGUGAAAUUGGUUUGUGCAACUCAGGAGUCUUUCAGGUGAACGAUGAUAGGUUUUGAUUUAUGAAUAUUAUAAAUCUACUGUGCAUAUUAUUCUAGCAGAAUCAUCUAUAAGUUCUAGUUAUUGAAAUUGUAUACUUUGCCCGGUUUGAGUUAAGGGCACAUGUAAUAUGAAAGAUAGUUGUCGCAUCUUUUAGGUUACCUAACAUUUGAUCAAUCCUAUUAUGGGGGCUUCAAGAUGUCUAACAAUAUGUAGAAUGCCCAUGCUCCUCCCCAUUGUUUAUCUUAUACAAUAAUUUGUUUUAGAUGCUAAUAUCUUUGUCGAUACUGGUAACAAUAUUACAAUAUCUGCCUUUAUUGGGUUUUACAUAGGUUCGACUGUUUGACAGUACACACUAUCUGAAGGCAUUUGCAAUUGGAGAUGUAUGGGUUGCUGUUGGGUGGAGUAGUGAUGUUCUUCCUGCUGUCAAACGUAUGUCUAAGGUUUUAUGAGAAACGAAAGAUGAGUGUUUGUUUGAACAAAGUUGUUGCCAAUCUUGCAGAGUUCGAAAAGAAAGAUCACGGAGCGAAUGCCACCGAUUUCUUCAUCAUUUUAGCCUCCAUAGUUGAAGUUUCCUCAUUUGAAGCUGUUUAUGCAUACGCUUUUUCCCUGCUCUAGUACAGGAAAUUGAAGAAUUAACCAGAUGUGAUAUGCUGAAAGAGGGAAGUUUUCUUCCUUGAAUGUGGCCUUUGUGAUUUGUCUUGAAGGAAUAGGAUGAUCACUGGCAAAAACCCUAUCAAGGUAGAUUUUAUGAUGUUAACAUAUUAUUAAGCAUUUUGUUACAUCAGCAAUGAUGCUUUCAUAGCAUGAAAGUGUCUAAAUUUAACUGAAUGAUCUUGAUUAAUCAAUUAUGAGUUUUAAUCGAGUAAAAACUAAAUACAAUAAUCGUUGACAAAUACUGAAAUUGGGUAAAUAUGAUCUUGAUAUUGAGAAUCUGAAAACACAACCCACACAGGGAAUCACCCUUCGCGUGGGGAUGGAGAUGUUUACUGCAGCGAUAUUGCAUAUGUCCACUGCUCUUUGGGUUAUGGUGCGACUUGCGAUUUCAAGGUUUCCCUGAAACAAUGAAAAGAUUGACGUACCCUGCAAUGAAUGAAAGCGGCUGGACUAAUUCUGAUUACCUAAUUGACUCAGGAUCGGCUGGCAAUAAUGACAGUUUAUUAACAAUGCACAGUCCCGAGUACUUUCCAGGAUCAGAUAUUACGUGGUCUAAUGUUGAUAAUAAUAGAUUAUCAAAUGACAAAUCGUUGUUCUUGGGUGUUGAUUUCAGAAAUAAAAUACGUUCUGAGAGAUGCUGGUCUACUAUUGCAAGCCCCCAGAUUUAAGAAUCUUUUGAUGAUAAUUUACCACCUGUAACUGUGCCGGAAGAUUCACCUAGCACUGAAAAAGAUGAUAAUUUAAUUGAUAUGGACAGUUUCCAUAUCACUUUUAAAUCAUCUUAUGUAAUUGUGAUGUUAGGAAGCAUUAGUGAUCUACAUGUGAACUAUUAUUGGCGCCAUUUGUGGUUUUAUUUUAUUAAAAUAUGGAUGACUUCCCGUUACUAUUUCGUUGUAGACAAUCUUAUCAAUUAACAUAUAGUUUAAAAUCAUUAUGAUCUAUUAAUUUUCAUGAUAUUUAACUGAGUUAAAACUAAGUGCAUUCAAUAAAUCUUUCUUCCUUUAAAAAACUGUUGCGCUUUAAUUUUAGUGCUUAAUAUUUACAGAACUCUGGUACAGGGAAUUCGAAAUCAAACUAGUAACUACAGAUUAUCUAAUUGCAAGUUUUUGUCCAUAGUUGCAGAUUUGUAGUGAUUAUCUAAUUGACUGAGGUGACAACAAUUUUUUUUUUAAUUUUCAAUAGCAUAAUGUGGAAUUCAAUAAUUAAAUUCUCCUUUUUAAUUUGUUUCCAGUUAAAUUAUUAAUUACUUAAACUUUGUUUUAAGUCUUUAAUUUUAUGUCUUGGCCUAUAUGCAGGGUUGGAUUCUUGAGCGUGUUGGACACGACCAACAAUGAAAUUGACAGUAAACAAACAUUACAACACGUUGAGUGUCGACUCCAGUAGCUGCCCUACAAGUCUACAACUUUACAAACAAUAAUUGAGUACACACAUUUGAUUCUCGGGACCCUCCAAUGAAUUUCUAGCCCCGUUGACUCCGCCGACAAAAGUUUUGGAAAAUAAAAAAAAUUCAUAGAAUUCCACCAAAUACAAAACGCGUGGAAUUUAAUUUUCGGCCAUGUGGACCAAAACACAAUUUAAUGAAAAAAAAGAUAAGAUUUCUAAAAUGUGUAGAAAGUGAUCCAUAUUUUACUGAAACAACUUGUUAAAUUUUUCAAGGAUUUAGAAUAUUUGAUCAUAAAUUACGCCCAUGUUAAUUUUUCCGCUAUUGACUAUCAUUUUCUAGACUCACUGUCACCUUUCUUGAUGAACGGUACUUAGUCUCUCUUCUCCUCUUAUAAAAAUUAUAUUAAUUGAUUUCUUAUUAUAAUAAAUAGUCUUUAAGAACGUAUAGAUUUAUUGUUUUCGUGACCAAAUUAUGCCUGCUUAAGGUUGAGACUAUUAAUAAAAUUAAUAUUUAAUGUUUAUGUUAAAAGAUAUAAGAUUUUAUGCAUUCAUUAAUUGUUAUUAGCUAAAGGAUUAAUUAUUUUUUCAACCCAAUCAGUUGAUGCAUCUGCAAGAGUUUUUUCUUUUAUUUACCAUAAUUAUAUUCCGGGUACAAUAAAUUAUCUUUGGUGCUUGGAAAAUAUGACUUCUUACUUCAAGUUUGAUGUGUCUCUCUCCGUAAGCUUACUGGAAAUAUAUCCUCAUUUACUGUCAUUUAUCUAAUAUCAAAUGAAAGAUCUCACUUUUUCAAACUAUCACUUCCAAGUCUCAUUGUCACUUAGCCAUUCUUGGACCAUUCAAAACCAAUCUGUUGAAAUAAUCAAAUAUAUGCAAAAUUAGAGUCACGAUUGUUGGUCCCCCAAAUUCUAAUUAUAUAACUUCUAUAUAUCUCAUUGUCAGGUCACGAACUUGUUGGCACAUUUCCAAAUUCCUCUUCCAUCAGCUCUCACACGUUAAUUUUUAGGUUAUCUAAAUUUCAAGGAUUUAAAAUCUUUGAUCAUGGAUUACAUGUUUAAUUUUUCUGCCAUUGACUGUCAUAUUCUAGAUUUAAUGGUACCUUUCUUGAUCAAGCGUAAUUACUCUCUCGUCUCCUCUUAUAAAUUCCUCUUCCAUUAGCUGUUAGCCUAUAUGGCUAUAGAUAUUGAUUUUGAUGAUAACAAACCACAUGUGUUGAUUAAACAAAGAUUUAUGAAUUGUGCAUUUAUAAUAAGAAAAUGAUGUUAUGGAAUUAAAGUGUUUUUGGACUAAAGUGAAAGUAUUUUAAAACCUUUGAUAUUAUUUUAAAAUUUCAGAUUUGGACCUAUUUGAAAAUAUUUAAAUAUUUUGGGUCAUUCUAUAUUUUUACAUGGUUUGGGUGAAAUCAUAAUUUCAAUUUGAGUGUGUGAGACACUUGAGUGAAGAGGUUGGGAGAUAAUCUCUUUGUUGUAAGGGUUCAUUGACACAUUGAAGUCAAUUGUAAACGUUUGAAGCCUUAAAAAAACUUGGAUAGUGAAAUCCUCAAGUUUGAAUCGCUUGGAGGCGUGGACGUAAGCGGGGAUUGCCGAACUACGUAAAAAUUCGUGUGUUUGUUUCUCUUCUCUCUUGCUCAAUUGUUAUUGUGCUUUUAUUGAACUUAUUACUUUUGAAUUUAUUAAUGCAUUAAAUUGGAUUGUUAUGUGGCUUUGUUAGGAUAUUUUUUAAAAUACCAAUUCACCCCCCUCUUAGGUUGCACACUUGUAUUUCAUUAGCAUUACUAGGAAUUUGUUGAUCUCUAAGAUGCUAACUUGAGUGAAGAGUUUCCAAAUUGAUUGUUACAAAACAACAAAAAAACUAGACACACUUGAUCUGUCUAAUAAUUCUCUUUCGGUAAAAUUAAUUAAUUUUAGGGGAAUUUUCGGCCAACCUCUGUAAUUUCAAAGUGAUCAUUAAUUAAUUAAACGAUACAAAUAUCUAAAGUGAUUAGAUGUUUGCUGACAAUACAAGUUCAUGGCUUGAAAUUUGAUCUCUAUCGAUUGGUUUACAAAUGGACGCACUUGUGCCUUUGUGGCGAUAAUUAAACAGAGAUGUGAAGUUGUAAAGAUUUGACAAGUUCCCAUGAUUAGUAUUUUUUUUCAAAAACUUUUUUACAACAAAUUCAUCUCGCCCAAAAAUUAUAUUUUGCUAUCUAACAAUAAUUGAGCACUUGGCCGCAUUGACUCCACGUCUCCACCUACUUUCUAAGUAAAAACAUGGAAAUGUAAUCUCCACAAAAUGUCAAACGUGUGGAAUUUAAUUUUUGGCCUUGUGAACCAAAAUGCAAAUGAAAGAAAAAGAGAGAAAAAAACAAGGCCCAAAGACUACGAAAAGAUAUAAAAGUCUUUGGGCCUUUUUAUAACGGUGGAUUUUUUAAAAGGAAAAAAUAACAACACUUCUAUGGUUUGUUUUGAUAAUCACAUUUACAUAUACUCUCUAAUUUUUAAAAUGGACACAUAAAUCUUUUUUUUUUUUUUCUACAAACGUAUAUUAUUCGUAUUUUUUAUUAUUUUUAAUAUCAUAUUGUUAUUUUUUUUAGAAGAUAUUGUUAUUUAUUAUAAAUGUUUAAAGUAAAUUUUUAGGUUGAAAUAUAAUAAAAAGGUAUAAUCGUUCUCUUAUUAAACACCCAUACUUUUAAUUUCUAUCCAUUUGUCAUCUCAAUCUCUCUCAAUUAUUCUUUAUUGCUAGCUCAAAACGCGUUGCUGUUGCAAAUUAUAGCAAAAAGACAAAUAUGGAAAAGAAAAAAGGGAAGAAAAUUAAUGCAUGAAAGAUUUGGAGAAAACAACGAAGUAAGUCAACUAUAAUCUAGUUGGGUGUGUAAAUUGUUUGAUGCUUUAUAAGCAAAUAACAUAUAGAGACAGACAAUGUGUGUUCGUUUUUUCAUAGUUAAAGAUAUAGUUAGAAUGGGUGGUUCAAAAUCAAAAAUGGUGAUAAUGUUUGUUAUGUUAUUAAUAAUAUUUAAAAGUGGGUGGAGUGAGGGAUGUUUGGAUCACGAGAGAUUUGCUCUUUUGCGACUUAAACAUUUCUUCGAUGAUACUAGUAGUUAUCUUUACGAUUGGGGAGAUGGUGAGGGAGCUACUGAUUGUUGUCAGUGGAAAAGGGUUGAGUGCAGCAACACCACAGGUCGAGUGAUAGUGCUAGACCUUUCUAGCAUGUAUUGGGGAGAGUACAGCUGGUAUCUGAAUGCUUCUUUGUUUACUCCCUUCCAACAACUUGAGUCACUUGAUUUAACUGACAACAAAAUAGCCGGUUGUGUUGAGAAUGAAGGUGCUUCGUUUAAUUUAAUUAAUUUACUUUCUCCACCCUAAUUUAAGUUGAAUAUCAAGACCGAGCAAUUAUACACAUAUUCAUUUAGUCGACAAUUUUGACUUUUUUUUAAAUGAUUAAUUUUGAAAUUACACCAAUAUCUAUGAUCCUUUUUUUUUAUUUUACUUGCAGGUAUAGAGAGGCUAUCAAGAUUGAACAACUUGAAGAUGCUUAAUUUAAGUGAUAACUCGUUCAACAAUAGCAUUUUAUCAUCUCUAACUCAUCUUUCAUCAUUAAGAUCAUUAAAUUUAUUUUGGAAUAGAUUGGAAGGAAGUAUUGACGUUAAAGGUACAUAAUUAAAACUUCAUCCCUUCUCCAAGCUCUUUCAUUAACUUGCUAAAAUAAGAUUCAAGGCUUUGAAUUCAAAUUUUUUUAUGAUUAGUAUUAAAAAAAAACAGUUUUAAGCAAUUUAUAAAUACAAGUUUUAAUGUUUCUCAUAAUUUCAUCUUGUACUUUCAUAUGUCUUGAAUUUAAGAUUAAAAAAAAAAAACUCUAAUAGCGAACCAAACACCUCCACAACUAAUUAUUAUUAUUAUUAUCAUUUUUUUUUUAUUUGUGGUGAGGUUUGAAACAUUCAACUCAAUUUGUACUUAUUACAGAAUUUGAUUCUUUGAGAGAUUUAGAGGAGCUAGACAUUGGCGAGAACAAGAUUGACAAAUUUGUGGUCUCAAAAGGUACUAGAACGACUGCAAAAAAUGUAAACUUCUACAAAUUAGCUAGAUUCUUUGCCAUUUGGUUUAUUAUUUUGCAGGUUUGAGGAAGUUGAGGUAUCUCAGUUUAAGUGGUAUCAAACUCAAUCAUAGCAUAUUAUCUUCUCUGACUGUCUUUUCUUCGUUAAGAGAAUUAUAUCUAGAUGAUACGGGAUUCAAAGGAACAUUAGAUAUUCGAGGUAAGUCUAAGCCCUGCUUUCUCAUUUUAUAUAUGCCAGCUAGACUUGUGUAUCAUCGACAUAAUUUAAUAUUUAAUUUGAUUAGUCUGAAGGAAUUACAUGCUAAUUUAAACAUACUUUUAUUUACUCUGUCAAUCAAUUAAUUAAUUAAUUACUAUUUGGCUUGGUUUGGAUGAAUUCUCAUGAUGUUUUAAUUUCUUUAAAUUAAUUAAUUAAUUAACUCUGUUUUUAAGUCUUAAGUCUGGGCAUGUUUGCAGAAUUUGAUUCCUUCAACAACUUAGAAGUGUUGGACAUGAGUUACAACAAAAUCGACAAUCUUGUGGUUCCUCAAGGUAAACAAUUAAAAUAUUAUUCAAUUACAUUAAUAUAAUUCAUUUGGUUAGGGAAGGCCCAAAAGGUACAAAAAAAAUUAAAUAAAGAAACAGAGAAUUUGUAUUAUUUAAAAAACAGAAUGUAAUAAAGAUUUGAUUCUAGUUCUUUAAUCUUUAAAGCGAUUGAAAAAUAAUGUUGCUCUUUUCCCAAAGCAUAAAAUACGAAUUGAAUGCCAAUUAACUUAAUCAUUCAUUUCGUUUAGCUCUAAAUUUAGACAAUGAAUUUUUAUAUUAUUUCAAAAACAGGACGUAAUAGAAUUUAAAAAAAAAACAGAUUGUAAUAAAGAUUUGAUUCUAAUUUUUUAAUCUUUACUGCGAUUGAAAAAUGAUACAGCUCUUUUCCCAAAGCAUAAAAUACGAAUUGACUCCCAAUUAAAUUAAUCAUUUAUUCCAUUCAUCUCUUAAUUUAAAUAAUGAAUUUUGUUUUCUUAAAUCGUAUUCUAAUUACUAUUAAAAAACAGGUUACAGAGGUUUGAGGAAGUUGAAAAGCCUUUAUCUAUUGAGAGUUAGAAUUAGAGAUGGAAGCAAGUUGUUACAGUCAAUUGGAUCAUUCCCAUCCCUCAACACUCUUUACCUUUCGUCUAAUAAUUUGACGGAAACAGUGACAACUACUACUCAAGGUAAUUAAAAGGUACAAAUGUCGCCAAAUUUAUAAAUAAAUUGUUAAUUAAUUAAUUUUUCCGUAUUAUUAAUAAAGCUAAAUUCGUUGCUCCUUCCUUCUAAAUCUAAACAGAGUUGCACAAUUUCACCAACUUGGAAUAUUUGACAUUGGACGAUUCCUCUCUCCAUAUAAGCCUUCUGCAAAGCAUUGCAUCAAUAUUCCCUUCGUUAAAAAAUUUGUCGAUGAUUGGUUGUGAAGUCAAUGGCGUCCUACGUGGUCAAGGUAAAAGAAAAGUGUUAAUUGUGAACUCGCACAAUGGUGUCCUACGUGUUCAACAUUUUUAUUUAUUUAUUUUAUUGUUUAAUGUUUCUGCUAGGUUUUCCUCAUUUCAAGAGUUUGGAAUAUUUGAAUAUGGAUUUCACGCGCAUUGCACUCAACACCAACUUUCUUCAAAUCAUCAGUGAAUCGAUGCCUUCUCUUAAGUACUUAUCACUGUCAGAUUCUACUCUUGGCACUAACAGCAGCAGGAUUCUUGAUCGAGGUUAAUCAGAUGCUCCCACCCUCCCUUCUUAAUCUAUAAUAUUAAUUUUCAAUUCAAUAUUUAAUUACACAAACGAAUCACUUAUUAUAAAAGAAUAAUACGCAUUCAUUAAUUUUUAUGCUGUAUUAAUUGAUGAAUUUAAUAAAUUUUCAGGCCUCUGUUCGUUGGUGCAUCUGCAAGAGUUGCGCAUGGCUGAUAAUGAUUUAAGAGGUAGCUUGCCUUGGUGCUUGGCAAAUAUGACAUCCCUCCGAAUAUUAGAUGUUUCUUUCAAUCAACUUACUGGAAGCAUCUCCUCAUCUCCCCUCGUUCAUUUGACAUCCAUUGAAGAGCUGAGGCUUUCAGACAAUCAUUUUCGGAUCCCAAUUUCACUUGAACCACUUUUCAAUCACUCAAGACUCAAGAUUUUCCAUGCUAAAAAUAACCAAAUGAAUGCAGAAAUAACUGAGUCACAUUCUUUGACCGCCCCAAACUUCCAAUUACAAUCUCUCUCAUUGUCUUCCAGUUAUGGAGAUGGUGUCACAUUCCCCAAAUUCCUUUACCAUCAACAUGACCUGGAGUAUGUUCGUCUCUCACAUAUAAAGAUGAAUGGAGAAUUUCCAAAUUGGUUGUUGGAAAACAACACAAAAUUAGCAACUCUUUUUUUGGUUAAUGAUUCUCUUGCAGGACCUUUUUGGUUGCCAAUUCAUUCACACAAGCGGUUAGGAAUAUUGGAUAUAUCCAACAACAACAUCCGAGGCCACAUUCCAGUAGAAAUUGGAGAUGUUUUACCAAGUUUAUACGUUUUCAACAUUUCCAUGAAUGCUUUAGAUGGUAGCAUUCCCUCUUCAUUUGGUAAUAUGAAAUUCCUCCAAUUGCUGGACUUAUCCAACAAUCAAUUGACUGGUGAAAUCCCCGAGCACUUGGCCGUCGGUUGCGUCAACUUGCAGUUUCUCAUGUUAUCAAACAACAGCCUAAAAGGUCACAUGUUCUCUUGAAAUUUUAACCUGGCCAAUUUGAUGUGGUUACAAUUGGAGGGCAAUCACUUCGUAGGAGAGAUCCCACAAAGUUUGUCUAAAUGCUCCUCCUUAGAAGGAUUGUAUCUUACCAAUAAUAGUCUCUCGGGUAACAUUCCAGGAUGGUUGGGUAAUCUCACAUGGUUAAUACAUAUUAUAAUGCCCGAGAAUCAUCUUGAAGGUCCUAUUCCAGUGGAGUUUUGUCAACUUUAUUCGCUUCAGAUUUUGGACAUUUCAGACAACAACAUAUCUGGAAGUUUGCCAUCCUGUUUCCAUCCUCUCUCUAUCGAACAAGUUCAUCUUUCAAAAAAUAUGUUACAUAGACAGCUAAAAAGAGGUACAUUCUUUAAUUGCUCUUCCCUUGUGACAUUAGAUCUUAGUUAUAACCUCUUGAAUGGCAGCAUUCCGGAUUGGAUUGGUGAGCUUUCUCAGUUAAGCCACCUUAUCUUAGGUCACAAUAAUCUUGAAGGUGAAGUGCCAGUUCAAUUGUGCGAAUUGAACCAACUACAAUUGUUAGAUCUUUCUAAUAAUAGUCUUCACGGUUCUAUUCCUCCAUGCUUUGAUAACACAACACUUUAUGAAAGUUACAACAACAGUUCUAGUCUUGAUGAGAAAUUUGAAAUAUCUUUUUUCAUCGAAGGCCCUCAGGGAGAUGUAGAAAAGUGAAUCCGUGAAAAAUUUGAGUUCACAACAAAGAAUAUUGCGUACAUUUACCAAGGAAAAGUGCUUAGCCUCCUAUCAGGACUUUAUCUUUCUUGCAAUAAGCUAAUCGGUCAUAUUCCUCCUCAAAUUGGAAAUUUGACAAGGAUUCAAACAUUGAAUCUAUCAUAUAACAACUUGACAGGAUUGAUCCCAUCAACAUUUUCAAACUUGAAGCAUAUCGAAAGUUUGGAUCUUUCCUACAAUAAAUUAAAUGGGAAAAUCCCUCAUCAACUUGUGGAGUUAAAGACAUUGGAGGUUUUUAGUGUGGCAUACAAUAACUUAUCGGGCGAAAUUCUAGAAUGGACUGCACAAUUUGCAACAUUUAACAAGAGUAGCUAUGAGGGAAAUACUUUUCUUUGUGGAUUGCCAUUGCCCAUUUGCAGAUCACCAGCAACUAUGUCGGAGGCUUCAAUUGGCAAUGAACGAGAUGAUAAUUUAAUUGACAUGGAUAGUUUCUUUAUCACAUUUACAACAUCGUACGUAAUUGUGAUAUUCGCAAUUGUUAUUAUUUUAUAUGUAAAUUCUUAUUGGCGACGUAGAUGGUUUUACUUUGUUGAAAUGUGGAUAACUACAUGUUACUAUUUUGUUGUAGACAAUCUUAUUCCAACAAGAUUUUGUCAUUGAAAUUAUUUAGUAGUUUAAUUACGAUUCUUUAAGUACUAAUCAAGUUUGUAUAGGAAAUAAUUUUUUAUUAAAAUUGUAGUAGUAUUUAGCAUUAUAUAGCUUCCAACUUCCAAGCACUUCACAUUUGUCUCUACACUUACAAAACUGAGUGAUCAUGUUUUGCAGAUCUGGAUUUGGAGCAGGAUGGAUCCAAACCCAUAUCUGUCCACCAUAACUUAUAGCUUCCCUAUACUGUGCAGCAUACUUAAAUAAGAGAACCAUCUCCAAUGUUAAAAGCAUUCACUCUAUAACAUUCAUUUAGAAACUAUAUUCAGAAUAAUUUUAUAAUUAAACACAAGAAAUGAAACACCUAGAUACACUUGAUCGCCUAUUUUACUCUAAAAAAUAACGAUUAUGGUGCUAUCAUCAUCUUCUUCACUAGCAACAUUAACACCAAAUCGAUGGACCCAUACAUUUCAUCAAGAAAGGUAUAUAUCCAAUAAAGUUGAAGCCUAACAAAAAAAUCAGGAAGAUUAAUGCCUCACCACAACAAGGGGCAUAACAACAUCAAAGUAGAGAUUAAACAGUAUUCUCAAAGCUAAAACUCUCAAAUCCACCCACCAGAAUUUCAUAUCUCCUCAACAAUUUUAAGAACUAAAGAUAAUUAGGAUUUAACAUUAGUUUUUUAUAUAUUAGUUUCAUAAUUUACAAAUCAAUGAAGAUGAAGAUUAUGCGAAUAAAUUCAAAUUAUACCAUACAUUCUCUAGAUGUUACCAAAAAUUUCUAAGUCAAUCCCACAUAUUUCAUAAUUUUAAGACUAGAAAAUUCACUAGUUAGAAGUUUCAUUACCUUCAAGUGGAAGAUGAAGAACAUUAUGCAAGUGAUUCAGAUUAUAUCAUACAUACUCCAAAUGCAACUAGAAAUUAACAAGUUCAUGUGCACAUAUUUCAUAACAUUAUGAUUGAAAAGUUUCACAAAGAGAAAUUCUAAAUUCAAUCUCUUGCAUGAAGGCAGUUUGAUUGAUUUGAGUUACUUUAUGAUCAAGCUACUAAUAUAACAUUCAAGUCAGGGAGAAAGUAAAUUAAAAAUGGGAAGAAAUAACAGUAAAAAUUUGUUGCUAAACAUGAUGUGUAUUUUUUUCAAGGCAAUUUGGAAACACAAUUGUUACUACAGAUAUUCUCCUCAACUUAGAGAUAAAUACAAAUAUUAAAAUGCACAUGAUCGCACAUAUUACUUGGAGCUUAGUAAGAUUUCAUUAAAAGAAGCAAUCAAACCACUUAUCAAUUGUCGCAGUCAUUCUAUAAACUAAAAUAGCAAAUAUAAUAUAAGAAAAAGAACAUAUAGAUACUUGGCAAGAGUUCAUUAAGAAGUCACAUCACAUUCGGGUGAGGAGUUUGCUUCUGAUAUCUUGCUAGCUGGGGCUUUUUCUCGUCUUUCUAUGUAUGCCGAGGGAAACCAACCAGCUUGGCCCUUGCAUUCACCUUCCAACCAUCCAGUACGAGCCACCUUGAGAAGUUAUAACUAAAACGGUGAAUUAAACAAAAGUUGACCGUUCAAAGACCUAAGGGGAAAACUAAUUCUUUUAUGUAGAAUGAGUGAACUAGUUGUGAUCACUGGAAUAACAACAUAACUAUGGAAGCAUAACAAGAUAUAAAUUCACAUGUCUAUAAGGGUAAACUGGGUGGUUUAGAACUGAGCUAGCAACCCUACUAGAUUAUGAUUUGCAUUUCAAUGUAAAAGGGAAUAUAUGGUAGGAAGAAAGAAAACCAACCAUCAUUUGUUAACUCAUUGCUUUUCAAUCAAAAUUUUAAGAACAAAAUGCCAUGUGCUUUGAAUAUCAAAUAAGUAUAAGCAUUAUUUCUAAAUUCCACAUAUCAUAAGUUGUUAGAAGGAUAAGUUAAUAGCAUAGUAGAAAAAUCUAUGUGUCAGUAUUUAGAGGGGAAAGUACCUGGCGAACCACAACAUAAUCAUCAAUUAAAAGACUUAGCUCUCCAUUUGCUUGAGCAUCAAAUGGAUGUAUAACCUGCAAGAUAAUGGGAUAAAUAGAACUUAAAAAAAGCAUAACAAAAGCAGCAACAGUAGCAGCAGCGUUCAUUGUAACCACUAUGAUCAUGGCCAACAAAGAUAUAUUAGAAACAAAAUUCCAUUUUUACUACGACAUUAAUAUGUACUAUACGAUAUCAUGACGAUUGGGUUACUAAGAGCUAUCAAAGUCUAAUAAGUUAUGUAUAACUUUUGUAGUUAUUUAAAUUAUGGAUCAGAUUUUAAAUUUGAAAUUUUGACUGCUCUCCACAAAACAUGGCCUGUGCACAAAAAAGUCAUAGAUAAUGAGGAUUACAAGUGUCCGACAUCUUUUGAGUGAUGGAUUUAACAUGAGAGCUUAUGGUCAGUCAAUUUCCUCUGCCUAGCAAUAUAAGCUUUCUCGGCCAGAUUUAUCAUCAAAUACAUAGAUUGCCCCCAAGUCACAUCCAUAUAAACAUAAUUUUUCUAGGUAAACCAAGUAAGGAGAAUCAUAAUUCGGACAUAAUCAUAAAAAGGCCCAUCUAACUUAAGAGAAAAUCUUAAAAAGAGGGAUGCUGAGCUAUCAGUCUUGUAUCUAUAAGCAAUAUCAAGACUUUACAUCACCUGCUACAUCGUGAGUGGUUACACAACUUUUAGUGGUUUGUCUUUCUUUGGCAUGCCUAACUCAGCUUUGAUGUUGCUGAGAUAUUGAUAGUAGAGAGCAGAAGCCUUACUUUCGCUAUAAAUUAGACGUCAUUCUGAUUAAUAUGCGUUUGCAAAUCAGCUCUGUUUGAAUCAGUAUUCUGAUAGACACAUGAGGCAUUUACAUCCAUUUCCAAAGUCACAUGUUGCGGGGAGGACUCAUUUGAUUGCUCCUAUACGAUCAUCUAAUUCAAGUAGCAAGGGUUGGAAGAGAAUAAAAAGUCACAAUUAUUCUUUUGCAUAAGUGAGACGAAAAUGGUAAAUGCAAUAUUAUUAGCAGUAAAUAAGAAGAGAACGCUCCAAGGAAUAGAUAGAUGCAGACAAGCAAGUUAAAAUGCAUAGUCCCAAACCUCCGCAUACAACUUCUCUAAAAUAGCAAUAACGUGUUGAUGAUAUAUUUUCUCAGCAUCUACCUGCAAAGGCCCGAGACCGGGAAAACAACAAUAAAACCACUAGCUGAAGGAGAAAGCAAAGAAAAAAAUACACUUGACAUAAAUCUUGACAAGAAGCACAAUUUAAGACAUAACAAACCCCAAUCAUAUUAUUUUUGCUAGUCACACGCUAGUCUGUGCUAGUGAUGUAAGAAGUCACAAGGUCUCUUCAACAUUUGAACCAAUAAAAUUAUUAAGUCAUGGAUGUCACUAGCAAUGAUUUUAAUAUAAAACAUUAAAUAUUUCAGAGUUGUAACUUUAAAAUGGAUUCUUUUAUUCAAUACCAUAGAACUAAGUUUCCUUAUGAGAAGAUAGUAGUUUCGAUAAUAUUUUACAUAUAAUUUUUGCGAUACCUUCGUCUCGCACUACCAGUGAUACCCUCACUCUUNNNNNNNNNNNNNNNNNNNNNNNNNNNNNNNNNNNNNNNNNNNNNNNNNNNNNNNNNNNNNNNNNNNNNNNNNNNNNNNNNNNNNNNNNNNNNNNNNNNNUGUUGAAAUUUAUCUAAGUUCAAAAGUAAUGCAGAGUGGGUUUCUAAACUCCAUUCCACUAGCUACUUCCUUUAAGAAAAAUUCCACAUCAUUGGUUUGAAUUUUAACUGGUGGCAUAGGAUCAUAUGUCUUAAGCUUGAACUUCAUUGUGAUUUCGAAUUCCGAAGUAUUUAUAUCAAUAACUUGAGCUAUCUUCUCCACCAAUUCGGCAUAUGUUGUCGAUCGUGGUAUCAUUAUCCCUUUAGCCUUGGAACCUUUGAAUUUAUACUCGUCAUUUUGCUCAAUCCAUUCACCAUUGAAGAGAAUAAGCACACGUACCAAAACCAUAUAUGAUGAUACAAUAAAAACAAUAAUAUCAAAUUUCAUAUACAAGUAACUACACGACCUACACAACUACAUUACUUACAUGACCUACAUGACCUACAUGACUAUAUUACUUACAUGACCUACACGAAUUAUACGACUUACACGACUAUAUUACUUACACGACUUACAUGACUAACUAUAUGACAUACACAGUAUCAAAAGGAAUGCACGACGCGAAACAUUUUCGCCAUAAAUAAGUUAUAAACAACCUAUAUUGCAUAUAUUUCUAUAUAUAAGAAAAAAUGGUGAAAAUAAAACAUUAUAAUGUGAAGAAAAUUUCUAAAUUUUCCUAAAAAUAAAAAAACUUAAAACCCAACAACAUUAACAUACCUUAUUGGGUUGUUUAAUAAGUAAUGCACAUUAUUUCAGUUAAAAAAAAGUGGGUGUUAAAGAAAUGAAUACAUAAUCAUAUUUGUGUAAGAAGUUAUGAGAGAUUUUGAGAGAUUCUAGGAGAUUUUGAGAGAAUUUCGGCAGCAAGAAGAGAUUUGGGUGUUAAAGAAAUAUGAAGACAAGGAAGUUGAGUGAAUUUGAUUCAUUCAUUAAGGGCAUUUUAGACUUUACUCACAUUUGUUAGGGUAUCCAUGAAAACAAAAAAGGAAAGGGGUAUUUAAAUAAUUUUAAAACUAUUAAAGGGUAUUUAAUUAAAAACCCUAGGAGAAGAUGAUAGUGGAAGUAUGCAGUGUGGCUGCCAGGUACUUGGAUUGUAUUAUCGGGUAAGGUAAUAGUAGAGAAUUAUAAGUUUGAACAGAGCAUGUUGGACUUUUGUUGACCAAAUUCAAAAGCCCAAUGGCACGACCCAGAAGCUUUUGAAUAGAAAAACUUGCUAGAAAGCAUCAGUUUAAAUCACUACUUAAACGCUGCACCGCUUUGUACUGUUUUAGGUAUGUAGCGGUUGUGCAGUUGUAAUUCACGGCUGACGCUACGUGUUUGUUUGUACUGUUCUAUUCAGUGAUAGAGUAUUAUUAGUUAGGCCAAAACUAUGUUGCAACAGUGGUACAGUACCACUGUUGCUUUCAUAGCUGGACCCUAUUAGUUAUUUCAAAGGGAUAAAUAAGAUUGGUUACAACAAAUCUACUAUUUUUAUAAAAUUCAAGUAAUAUAGAAUAAAAUAAAAAAAUAAAUACAAAAUUGACUUUUAUUUUUUAUGGUUGACUAUAUUUUGUGUUCUCUUCGGGCACUGCUACAAUUGUUCCCCAUAUAUCAAUUACACCACAUACUAUCGACACAAGAAAUGAAAUCUAAUAUCACCUGUUUAGUUAAAAAAUCACUCAUGAAAAAAGUUUACCAUUUUGAUUUGAGGAUCCAUAUUUUGAACUGCAAGCUAAUGUUCAUCAAGAAUCACUGAUGGCCGUUGAGUAGAAAAAUUAUUUUUGGACAAAUUAUUUUUGUUGAUAGAAGAAUUUCUUUAGGGACUACUAAAUUAUUAAUAAAAAUGUCGAACACACCCACAUAUCAUCGACACAAUUGAUUUUGAGGAUCCAUGCUUUGAAUUGCCGCCUAAUGUUCAUCAAGAAUAGAGUAUGGCUUGUGAGUAGAAAAUUUUCUUAUUUUGGCCCAAAAUAAAAAGAAAUUAAAUUGGAUGAGAAUCUGCCACUUUCUCAUGAAGAAAGGCAUACGAAGCAUACCAUGAUACCAUACAAUAUAAGGAGCCGCCGUUCUUUGGUUUUUCAAACUUUGAAGGGGCCAAUAUUGCCAAAUUCCCCCUUGAAAAUUCUGACUACGACAUUAUUCAUCGCUUGAUGCAAUCAAAGUAGUGACAAAGUUAGGAAAAAUAUGAGCCCUAAGUAAUUGCUAGGCAGGGUUCCUGAGAGCAAAAUUGUCCUAAGCAUUAUAUGCAUACAUGGUGCGGUACAUAGAGCACGUUGAAUUCCCCACUAUAACACAAAUCCAGAAAGAGAAGUAAUAACUCAACUGAUAUAAAGACAAAAAGAAGAUAAAAUGAUAUAGAAAAAAGAAUUUCAAAGAGACAGCAACAUACGAUAGGCUGAAGCCACUUGAUCUACUCAUUGAUUGCAGCCUUAAACUUGCAAAUAGUUACUGUAUGCUAGUGCUCUAAGAAGUGAAAAUGAUGCAAGCCCUGAUUCCCUUUUGACUUCCAUUUACUGUCAAACAUUCUAGUAAUACAAAAAAUUGUUUAGAUAUCUUGCUAUAAAUAUAGUUGUUUGACUGUCAUAAUAAAGUCACAAAUAACCAUUCAUAUUGAUCUACUGUCACACAGCAUGCUUUAUGCAUACAACAGCUGUAUGUAUACCAACUCCUAACCUUAUCAAUGCAUUUGGCAAAAACUUAAGAAGAAAACUAUUUCUCCAUCUCUUUUUUGAAAUUUCACAAUAACCAGCACAAUGUGAAAGCUAUGUUCUAACCUUAUGAUAAAUGCUCCAGACUCCAAAAGGAUUUUAUAUAUGAGUUUUUGUUGCAGCAGAUAUAUUGACUUAUCAAGUAUGAAUCAUUUUCUGGAUGAACUAUCUUUAGAUAAAAGAAUAUUAGAACCACUGUAGAAUAUCUUUACGCUGCUGGUUCUAACAAGAAUCUGCUUGUGGCAACAAUUGCUAGAUCCACAAUUCCCCAACUUGAAAUACAUAGUUGCACACCAUGAGAUAGUGCUACGAUCUACUGAGAUCUAACUUAUAUGGUACUUUAAGCUACUAAUGUUUGCAUAUUUCUACAUGUUAAAUUAACACUAUCAUCUAUAAUCACUCCAAAACAACAAAUGAUAAGCAGCUUUUGGCCACUUAUUACUAGCAUCCACAAUUAUAAUAAGAGAUCAUGGGUUUACUUGUUGCACCUACUUAAUUAUCUGCAGUUGACAUCCUGACGCAAGGUUUAAAUAGUGACUGCUUAGAACCCUUGUAGUUGGAUCUUGACCUCUCCCAUUGUAGCCAAGAUUGGUUACUCUGGUAAUGAAUCAACACUCUCCUGCUCAGGGCCAUGAAGAUCUGAAAGCUCAGCACUAGUGGAGAACUUCAUCAAUCUCUUCUUCUCAGCAUACUUGAGACAAGGCUGCAUUACGAGACCAAUCACCACAGCACCAACGCUUAAAGCUACAACUUUUAAAGAAGAAAGAGCCAACACAACACAACACAAAUCAAUAUGGUUGGAGGAAUACACAUGAUAAUGGCUCUAACAGUGCCAGUGGGUAUCUUGUAGGGACGAGAUGCAGCAGGAUAUUGUAUCCUUAACCAUACAAAUGCUAUGAACUCCAUAAUCAUUCCAAAACAGUACAGGAAGUUCUCUGCAGCUACAAUAUCUCGAAAGCUCAGCCAUGAUAGCAAAACCACACCAGAUGCUGAGAAUAUGAUUCCAAUCAAAGGAGUCCCAUAACAAGACCUCUUAGCAAAAAACUCAGGUAGCAUUCCACGCUCAGCCAUCCCCAAAAGUUGGAAAGAGUCGCUGCUCAUCUCAGCCACAAACAUGCCCAUAUUGGACAUUGCUGCAACCCCCUGGAUGCACCAACUCAACCAAACUCCUCCAAGCACUUUAGCGAUACCUGAAAAGUAACCAUCGGUCCACAAGUCGCGAUCUAAUGGAAUAGCUCCAGUUCCAACUAGAAAGGGAAAGAAAUAUCCAAAAACGACCAAGAUCAAAGCAUAAAACAAAGCCUUUGGAAGAGUCUUCUUUGGGUUAUCCACCUCUCCAGCUAGUGUACUUAUUGAGUCCCAGUAGUUGAGAUUCCAAAACAGGGUGUUCAAAUACAAAUUCCAAUCCACUUCACCUAAAUUUAAUACAAGCCAUCUUGAAGGCUCUAACUUGGGAAGGGACACAAGUCCCAUAACCACAAAAGGAAGGAGUGAGAAAAUCCCUAAAAGAACAGCAGCCCAUCCCACAAUGGUUAGACCCCUAUAGUUCAUGAAAGUGAGAACAAAAGUCAAAGCUAACGCCGCAAAGGCUCUAGGUAACCCAUCGCCCAAAGCAGGGAUACCAGACUUCAAGUAAUCAAGAAACAGAACUGGGUAUAAAGCAUUAUCAGUAACCCCACUUAGCCAUUUCAUCCAAACUUGCUCAAAACCCCAAUAUGGGCCUAAGGCAGAUGAAACCCAAACCACAUAACCACAAUUUUCAGGAAACACGGUACCCAUCUCGGCAGUAAUUAAAGCUUCAGGGACACUCCAUAUAAUCGGAAACACCAAGAAACCAAGAAGUGCUAAAAGAGGACCAGCUGUCUUUACACUAUCCUCAACACCAAACGGCCCCCCAGAAACCUCAUAGAAUAUAAGGAAAAUAAGUGGCAAGAUUGAUACUUUUUUAGUGCCAUGGACUCUAGGAGAAGAUGGUUGGUCAUUGAUAUUAAAAUAUUCAACAGCAUCAGACUGCCCCAUUUCUACUGAAACUUGCCUAUUUACAGUGCUCCUCAAUUUCUGCAUCAAGUUUAAGCAUAACUAUCAAAAGGGUAUCCGCAUCUAAAUUAUGAAACAAAAUGAGCAUUUACUUAUUAAAAAAAAAAUCAAAAAACAGAAAUGGAUUUCACAGAACACAUGAACUUAAGUUCAACAUUAAACAGGCGCUUAAGAAAACAAAAGGGUCUGUUCGUAAAGCCAUCAGAUUGCAAGAUUGAACAACAUUAACGGAAUCAAUAGAAUGGAUGUAAAGAGAACUGAAAAGAAAAUAAAAUAAAAGAUGAAGAGAGAUAAAACGAACCAUCAAAUAAGUGCAUGCAGAGCAGAGAGGCAGAUACUAGUGAAGCUCCGUCAUGUUAGAGAGAGCCUAAAUCAAUCAGAGCUCACUGAGUUUCUUUUAAACCGACCGGCAAAUUUGGAGUAGCACAACAUAAUAUUUUUGCUUUUAUUUUUGGAACACUUUUGAAUGGAAUUUUUUGUUUUAAAAAAUGGCAAAGGAGAUUAGUAUUUCUAUCGUUAAAAUAAUAAUUUUCCUAACAUUAUUUUUUAUAUUUUUUAAUUUAUUUUUAUAAUAAUUUUUUAUUUAAAUAUUAAUAAAAAAUAAUUAAAUUAACAAUUUAAUCCUAAAAUAAAUAAACACGGUUUUGGGUUUUUUCUUUUGUUCGUUUAAUAUCAUCUGGUUCCCUGAUUUGUGACUAAUUAUCAACGGAAUCCCGUUAGUUUCUAAAUUGAAAUAAUAGAAGGUCAUGAGAUUAUUUACUCCAUUUAGCACUGCAGACUUAGAGUAUAUUGAAAAAGCUUUGUCAAAUAGUAGUAAUAGGGGCAUAAGAAAUAAAUUAUAGCUAUCACAAAUUCGUUAGGAGAAUUUCAAAUUUUUCCAUCAAUAAUGGCUAUGAAGCAAAAUUACUUUAGGUUAUAUUGCAACACUAAUACUUCAAAUCCUGACAAUAAAUUUGAAGAACUUGUUAAAAAGAAAAUGGUAAUGUUAUCAUUUUGAAAGACAAAAAAAAAAAGAGUGAAAGUGGCGUUACCUCAUGGUCAUUAGUGACUUGUUGCAAUGAUAGCUCAAAAUUAAAAAUUUGUGAAGAAUUAGUAGACAACGACGAUAUUAUAUUUAUACAGUCACCAACGUAUUGAUUUUUGUUUAAUGUUUGAUUGAUAGAAACUUUUGUCGUCGUCGCCGUUGUUGAAUUCGUGCUUAGAAUACCACAAGAGAAGAAAAAGGGAUGAAAGGGAAGAGAAGAAGAGAGAAGUGGUGGAUAGCAAAUAUGAUAUGCUAGCUACACACAGGCCUUAGAGAGUUUUUUUUUUUAAUAUUUAUUGUAUUUUUGUUUUUGUUAUUGGUUUGUCAUAUGCUUCCAAGGCAACAAUGCAUUACAUCAUAAAUUGCACCUUUUAGGGGAGGUGGUAAAAAACAUGAGAGCAAUGCAUUCUAGCGCAUACAUGCAGAAAGAGUUUCCAAAUUUUCAAAAGUUUCUUUAUUUCUUCCACCUUUUUUUGCUUAAAAUAAAUUUUAAUUGUAUUUUGCAUUAACUUAGAGAAAAAAAAAUCCAAUUCUAUGCAUAAACGCAUACAUUGAUUAGAAAAUGAGUUUUAUGGACACAAAGGGACAAUAUAAGAGAUUCUUUUUGUUUAUUAGAAGUAACAUAACUAGUUAGUGUAACAUGUAAUUAUAAGCUACCAAUAAUUUGCACUGAUGAUAAUUAACGGUACAGAUUUUGAGCUAUGAAUGUCUUGUGGCUAGUUUAAUUGGAUUUUUGAGUUUUCAGCAGAUCUAUUUUAAUGAUUAUUAAAUUAUUUUCACUUCUUAUGCCUUAAUAAAAAAAAUUCAAUAUUUUUUGCUGUAUUCUAUAUUUUAAAACUUAAUUUUUAGUUCUUUAUAUUGCAAACCAAACUGAGUCAAAUAGAGUAUGCUCUUCAAAUAAUUUUUCCAUUGCCUUCAAGAAGAAUUCAUUUUAUUUUUAUAUAUUAAUUCAACACUUGUAAACCGGGCCGUCAGAUUGCACAUAAAGCAAAUGAUCAAACCGUUACAAGACCGGCCCAGGCCCACUGACUCUAUUUUCUUUAAUUUGACCAUUAAAAAGCUUUUGGCCACCCCCACCAAAUAAAUAAGCUCUUGUUCUCUUUUGUAGGGGUGGGCAAAAAAACCGUAGUCUUAAAAAAACCGAACCGAACCGACGGUUUUUUCUAAUUCGGUUUGGUUUUUAUUUUUUUAAAAAACCGAAAUAUACCAUUUGUAAAAAAAAACCGAAAUGUCGGUUUGGUAUUCGGUUCACUUAGCUGAACCGAAAAACUGAACCGAAAAACCGAAUUAUUUUUUGAUUUUAUUCAAAUCAAACAUGUGUUAAUUUUUAACUGAUUGUGCAAGAUAACUAACAUAAACUUGCAUACACACAAUCAUGAGUAUAUAUAUGUAAGUGUUACAAUUUCGUAAAUCUUUAUUUCCCCCAAAAUAAACCCUAAAGCUAAAAUCAAAGAUUCAAAAUCGAAACCAAAUCCAAAUCACCCACCCCAAUCCACUGCAAUCACAGCCGACGCUGCUCACCGGCGAUAGUGUCACCGUGCAACACGCUGCUCACCGCGAAAGCUGCAGCUUCUUUUCACCGUGGGACAGCUUCAACUCACAGGCCUGAGGCCACCACGCGACAGCUUUGCUCUGCUCACCUGAUUGGAGUGGAAAUUCGAUGGUUUUGAAUGGUUUAUAUAUGCAUGUGAGGUGUUCGGCGCAUAUAAUCAACUUAAUUGUGCAAGAUGGGUUGUCACAAGUGAGUCAAUCAAUAGCUAGUAUUCGAAAUGCGGUGAAAUAUGUUAGAUCAUCUCCGGCAAGAUUACAAAAGUUCAAAACAUGUGUUGAUAGGGAGAAAAUCUCACGUGGAGGGCUUAUGGUGUUAGACGUGCCGACUCGGUGGAAUUCAACAUAUUUGAUGUUAGAAAAAGCGGUAGCAUUUGAGAGGCUAAAGGAAGAUGAUGGCCAUUAUACAAACUGGUUUGAUGAGGAUGAGAGUGAAUAAAGGAGGGUGGGGCCACCGAUUGAUAAGGAUUGGGAAAAUGCAAAGAGGUUAGUCAAGUGUCUUUCGAUUUUUUAUCAUGUGACUUUAAAAUUCAGCAGCUCUUUAACAGUCACUUCCAAUAAUUUCUUGAAUGAAAUGUGGAAAGUUUAUAUUCAUUUGAAGUCACUGGUUGAUUUUGUUAACAUAUAUGUUUUCAUAAUGUUAAUUUUGAUGAUAACAAACAAGAUUAAGAAUGAUUAAUCUUUUAAGAUCAAAUUAUUUUUUAUAUAUUUUAAAUAAAUCAUUAUUUUCACAUUAUAAAUGUUUUAUAUUUAAUGGAAAAAUGAUUUUAUGAAAAAUGAUUGUUUAAAUACAUGAAAUGUUUGUCAUCAUCAAAAAGGGGGAGAUUGUUAACAUAUAUGUUUUCAUAAUGUUGAUUUUGAUGAUAACAAACAAGAUUAAGAAUGAUUAAUCUUUUAAAAUCAAAUUAUUUUUUAUACAUCUUAAAUAAAUCAUUAUUUUCACAUUUUAAAGGUUUUAUAUUUAAUGGAAAAAUAUUUUAUGAAAUUGAUUGUUUUUAUUCUUUUUAAAUAAAUCAUUAUUUUCACAUUAUAAAUGUUUCAUACUUAAUGGAAAAAUGAUUUUAUGAAAUUGGUUGUUUUUCAAAGUUUAUGGUUUAAUUGAAAGAAUUUUGAAAACUUUGAUAUAAACAAGUAUUGCUUGAAAUUUUGGUAAAGGACUUAUUUGAAAAGUGUCAUAGCAUCUUUGGGCGAAAUCAUAAUUUCAGAAAGUUUUGGGAUUAACGAAGAAUUAUUUAGAAAUUCUGAAAUUGGACUUAUUUGCAAAGUUUAAUAACGUUUUGGGCCAUACUACAGUUUUAUAAAGUUUUGGGGUCAAACUAUAAAUUUUGGGAAAUGUUUUACUGUAGCAGUUACUGUAGCAAGCGGCUUACCGGAUACUAAUAAACGGCAAGUCGGAUACGGGGUAGUAAGCACCAGAACGAAAGCGGCUAACCGGAUGUCCAUAAACGGCAAGCCGGUUACGACAAAAAAUGUGCAUAACGGCUAGUAACGGCUAGUUUUUGAGUUCAAACUAUAUAAACUCAAAACCAAUUCAUUUUUGGUAACUCAAGCAAGCAUAAACAAGUGCACACAACUUAUAUUGAGCUUCAAAUUCGAAAAUCUUCAUAGAUUAAAUCUUCAUUGGGCUAUCAUUUGUAAAUCCACUCUUAAAGAGAGUUUUUGUUGUAAUUUUCAUUUCUCAUCAAAUUGUGAGAGUACAAGUGUGAGAAACACUUGGAGUGAAGAGAUUGGAGAUAUAAUCUCUUGUUGUAAAGGUUCAUUGACACCUUGAAGUCAAUUGUAAUCGUUUGAAGCCUUGGAAAGGCUUGGAUAGUGAAAUCCUCAAGCCCGGUGUGCUUGGAGGCGUGGACGUAGGCGGGGAUUGCCAAACCACGUAAAAAUCCUUGAGUUUGCUUUCUCUUCCCUUACUCUUUAAUUAUUGUGCUUUGAUUGAAUUUAUUGUUUUCGAAUUUAUUAAGGCAUUAGAUUGCUUGUUGUGUGGAUUUGUUAGGAUAAUUUUUAAAAUUCCAAUUCACCCCCCCCUCUUGGGUUGCACACUCAUAUUUCAGAUUUUAAUGAUUUUUUGUUAAAUCAAAUGGGUUACAAGAUGGAGGAAAAAUUUGUCAAGUAUUGGGGUCAUUUUUUUGAAAAGGUUAACAUGUUGUUGAUUGUGGCAAAUGUGCUUGAUCCUCGCUGCAAACUUGACUUUGUUAUAUGGUGUUUUAGUAGCUUGUAUGAUAUUAGAAAGGUUGAUGAAUUGAGAGCUAAUAUUAAAGAGUUGUUGUUGAAGCUUCUUGAAAGCUAUGGUGGUGAGAGUAAUCCAAAUAGAGGUGAGAGAUGUACGGCUGUUCAUGAUGGUGCUAGUAGUAGUAUUGAGUUAUUUGAUCCUUUUACACAAUUUAAAAAGAUGAAAGAAAGUUCAAAUGAUGACAUUAGUGGAAAAAAUGAUGUUGAAAAGUACUUGUCAGAGACUUGUGAGAGUGCUAGUAAUCCCCAGUUUGAUAUUUUGACUUGGUGGAAAUUGAAUGGGCCUCGGUAUCUGAUUUUAUCUCAAAUUGCCAAAGAUGUUUUGGCAAUUCCGGUGUCUACUGUGGCUUCUGAAUCAGCAUUUAGUACAGGAGGGCGCAUUCUUGAUCCUUUUAGGAGUUCUUUAACUCAUAAAACAGUCGAGUCAUUAAUAUGCACUCAAAAUUGGCUUCGUUCAACUCUAUUAGGAGAGCGUACAAUACAACCAAGUCAGGAAGAAGCUGAAUUCUAUGAAUUAGUUGAAACAUGUAAUAUUGUAAUUUAUUAUGUUAUUUUUUUCUAUUUCACUUAUAACAUUUUGAAUAUUAGAAUUAAUUAUUUUAAUAUAAUUGUUUUAAUUUCUUGAAGAAUUUUUUAGGCCAAUGCAAUCUCAAGAACAACAGCAAGUAGCUGAGGAGUAAAUGACAAUUGAUUGAUGUUGCUUACCAGUAAGUUUUCUUUAUUUUUUUUAAACUAGCAUCUUAUUUAUAUAGAUUGUUUAUUUAAUUAUUUAUUGUUUAAAUUUUUUUUAUAGAUCCAAAUAUUGAGUUGGAAAAUGCCUAAAGUUGAUGUUGAUAUUGAUGAAGAUGGGAGAAUAUUGUUGGCAUUUGUUUGCAAUUUUUUUUUUAUUUUGUGUUGUAAGUUGUAAUUGUUGUUAUUUUUAUUUCUCUUUAUAACAUUAUGAUUAUGUUUAUAUAGAUGGAGUAUUGGAGUUUGGUUAUGUAUUUUGAAAUUUUAAUAUUUCAUAUUUUGGGAGUAUCUUAUUAAUAGUUAGUAAGAUAUUAGUGAUAAAAUGUGUUUUGAAUACUUUGUAUUUAUUGUUAAUAUUUGUAAUAAAAUUAGAAUAAAUUAAUUGUUAAAAAAAUUAUUACAUUCAUGAGGCCCAAUGGGCUAAAAAUUCAAAAUAGGCCCAAUAGGCCCAGAAUCGAAAAAACCGAACCGAACCGAACCGAUCCGAAAAGAACCGUUUGAGUUCGGUUCUUAUUGAGUUCGGUUCUUAUUCAGUUCUUUUGAUAAAAUAACUGAUUUAAAUCGGUUCUACUUAAUUUCGAUCCGAACCGAACCGUGCCCACCCUUACUCUUUUGUUCCCUCUCAAAGGAAAAUAUCUAAUCACCGGAUAAUGAUUCCGGUGACACAAAAGAUCGAAACACCCCCUAAAUUCCCUAAAUUUAUGAUAAUACCCCACCAUGGAUGAUUCCGUUGAAAUGCCGCCUUACGAUGAAAGGCCUAAAAAGGGUUUUAACUUCACCUCCAUGCGCUUGAUCUUAACCCUCGUUUUCCCAAUUUUAACUUGCUUUUUGUUGGCAUUUUUUAUUGGAAUCGUAGUUGUUUUAUUCGGCGAAUCAUCAGUUUCCAGUUCCAUUUUUGUCCCUUCCCAGUGCAAGAUAGUGUCCAACAGUAAGCUUUUUUUAACAUUUUCAAUUUUUUUUCCAUUUAUGAAGUCCAAAAAAUUUAUUAAUUUUGAUUUUUUUGAAUGAUUUUUCAGGUGUUGAUAUAAGGUCAUCAAAAGUUCGUAAACUUGGGGUGUUCAAUUAUAAGGCGAAGCGCGUGUUUUAUCCAUUUGAAGCAAGUAAAUUUCGCUGUCGGUAUGAUUACUAUUGGGCUUCUAUCUUCAAGGUAUUCAUACAUUUUCCCCUGUACUAUAAGCUUCUUAGUGGCGGUCUUGUGUGCGGAAGUGAACGGUGUGGCUGACAGCUUCUUGAAAAUUAUAAGUUUGAACAGAGCAUGUUAGAGCACCACCAAAAGGCUCUUUAAAUAAGAUUUUAUUAUUUAUUUGAAGAGCCACAUCAAUAUUGAAAACUUCAAAAGACACUUCAAUUAAAAUUCUUCAAAUAAGAAUUGAUUCUCUCUCUUCAAAUUUGGAGAGUUAAUUUAUUCCUCUUCAAUUUAUAUUUUAUUACUUUUCAUUGAAGAAAGAGAGAAGUGCUUUAAUUGCUAUUGACUUUUCCUUUAAAAAACUAAUUAUAUGAUUAAAACAAUAUUAACUUAUUUAUAUUUGAAGAGUCUUUUGGAGAAUAUCAUAUUUUUUCACCCUUCUAUUUGCCACAUAGGUAAACAAAUAGAUAUUUAAAGAGUAAAAUUUAUAGAGGCUUUUAGAGAUGCUCUUAGACUUUUGUUGACCAAAUUCGAAAGCCAAAUGGCACAGCUCAGAAGCUUUUGAAUUGAAUAACUUACUAGGAAGCUCCAAUUUUUUGUUGGCUACAGUAAAAGGAUGUUGUUUUAUUCUUCUUAUACUUUACGCUUGCAUCAGCUUAAAUCACUUCUUAAACGCUUUGCUUUAACUCCACUGCUUCGCUGGGGCGGAUUUACCUUGGAACAAGUGGGGACUUAAGUCCCCACUGAAAAAAAAAAAUUGUUUUAAUAAUUAAUUUGAUUUGCCAAAACUUCUCAAUAAAUUUUUCUUAAGCCCCCCAUAAUUUCUUUCAACAAACAAUUGAUCUAAAUGAGUUAUUUUCUGUCAGUUGUAUCCAAAUGAGUUCUCUGCAAUUGAUAUCAUGGCACUUAAAAUUCAACUUGAUACAUAUAUUUUGGAUAUGCGCACUAGUGCGAGACUAAAAGACAUAAGGUAUAUCCAUUGGUUUACUUGUUAAUAAUAUUAGCAUUGACUUUACCUGUUGCCACUGCUAGUGUAGAGAGAGUAUUUUCAGCCAUGAACAUUUUGAAGAAUUGAUUAUAAAGCUGUGAGUAAUGGAUGAAUGAUAGUUUAAUUAUUUACAUAGAAAAAUACUUAUUUAAUAAUAUUGAUAAUGAACUUGUAAUGCAACAUUAUUAAUGUAUGAAAACUUGAAAGGACAAUUGUAAACAUAUAUUGAAGUAUGAUAAAUCUUUCAAAUUUAUAUAUUUAUUACUUUUUAAAUUUUUUUAUAUUGCCGUUGAAUGAGCCCCCAGUCAAUCAAUAUGUUGUCUUCGCCCUACUUCGUACUCUUCUAUAUAUGUAUCGGGUAUGCAGUUUUAGUUAACAGCUGAGACUACGUGUUUGUUUGACGUGGUAGUUACGUUACGAGUCUGUUAAACAUUCAAUGAUUAAAGUAUUAUCAGUUAUUUCAAAGGGACAAAUAAGAUUAGCUACAACACACCCACUAGUUUUAUAAAAUUCGAAUGAGAUGGAAUAAAAUAAAAAAAUAAAUAAGUAAAUUGACUUUUAGUUUUAGUGGUUGAAUAUAUUUUGCAUUCUCUUAGGGCACUGCUGUAAUUAUUCCUUAAACGUCAGUCAUACCCACAUAUAAUAGACACAAGAAAUGAAAUCUAAAAUCACCUGUUUAGUUAAAGAAUCAUCAUGAAAAAAUUUUGCCAUUUUGAUUUGAGGAUCCACAUUUUGAACAACCAACUUAUGUUCAUCAAAAACGGAUCAUGGCCUGUGAGUAGAAAAAUUAUUUUUGGACAAAUUAUUUUUUUUAAUAGAAUAAUUUCUCAAGGGACUAUUAAAAUUACUAAUAAAAAUGUCAGACACACCCACGUACCAUCGACACAAUUGACUAUGAGGAUCCAUGUUUUGAACUGCCACAUAAUGUUCAUCAAGAAUAGAAUAUGGCUCGUGAAAAGAAAAUUUUCUGAUUUUGGCCUGGAACAAAAAAAAAUUAAAUUGAAGGAGAAUCUGCUACUUUCUCAUUAAGAAAGGCAGACAGGGUAUACUAUGGUACCAUACAAUAUAAAAAGUCUCCGUUCUCUGGCUUUUCAAACUCUGAAGGGGGCAAUAUUCCCCAAUUCCCCCUUGAAAAUUCUGAUUACGACAUUAUUCAUCACUUGAUACAUAAGUACAAGUAGUGACAAAAUUAGGAAAAAUAUGACUCAUAAGUAAUUACUAGGCAGGGCUCUUGAGAGCAACAUUGUACUAGGCUUUAUAUGCAAACAUGGUGUGGUACAUAGAGCACGUUGAAUUCCACACUAUAACACAAACCCAGAAAGACAAGUAAUAUCUCAACUGAUAUAAAGACAAAAAGAAGAUAAAAUGAUACAGAACAAAGAAUUUCUAAGAGAUAGCAACAUACAAUAGACUGAAGCCAGUUGAUCUGCUCAUUGAUUGCAGCCUUAAACUUGCAAAUGUUUACUGUAGCCUGGUGCUCUAAGAAGUGAAAAUGAUGCAAACCUUGAUUCCCUGUUUACUUCCAUUUACCAUCAAACAUUCUAUUCAUAAGAAAAAAAAUGUUUAGAUAUCUUGCCGUAAAUAUAGCCAUUUGAUUGUCUUAAUAAAGCCACACACAACCAUUCAUAUUGAUCCACAUUGCCACAUAGCCUGAUUUAAGCAUACAACACCUGAAUGUAUACUGACUCCUAACCUUAUCAAUACAUUGGCGACAACUUAAGAAGAAAACUAUUUCUCCAUCUCUUUUUUGAAAUUUCACAAUAAAAUAGCACAAUGUAAGAGCUGCAAUGAAAAUGGACCAUCUGGAACUAUGGCGGAAGCUUCAACUAGUGUAGUGAUUUGACCUUCUUAUUAACCUAGCGAGAUCAAACACUGCCCUUGAUCUUGAACAGAUCAAUACGAUACGCACAACUUAUGAUUGAAUCCAGAAACAAUCAAAUCUUUAGCAAGAAUAAUUAAUCAGAAUCAAGAAACAAGUUUAAUGAAUAUAAACCUAUAAUUGGAACAAACACAGCAAAAGAACCCAAGAAUGACACAACCAGCACCAAGGGAGAAGCUUUCCAGUGAGAUUAUAUUGAUGAUCAAAGAAGAAUCUUUUUACAAAGCUAACAAAAGAGAUUUCAGAGAAUAAGCUAUGACCCUCUCUCUUCUCAAUCUCUGUCUAGUUUGUUAACAGUGAUGACCCCAAUCUCCUUCGUUAGCCAGCUUCAUAACUGCGUCAGUGACAAACUAGCAAACCCAGAUUGAGCAGACUAACGACACGUGCAUAACGGCUUUAACGAACUUGGUUAAAGAACUGCUCACAUGUUCGUCACGCGUGUUGCUUAAAUGAUAGCCAAAACGACUUCAACCAGAUGCCGUUUUGAAGCUUAUGAAUUAUAAGUGAAAACACGUGCUUGUCUCGUGACAUUUAAAUGCAACAACAAGCCCAAAACACUGCCGGUCCACUAUGUUGAGUUUGCCAUCUCUAAGCUUCACAACUAGCAGCGGACAAGAUGAUAAUUUAAUUGACUUGGAGAGCUUUUAUAUCACUUUUACAACAUUCUAUAUAAUUGUGAUAUUGGGAAUCGUCGGUGUUGUAUAUGUGAACCCUCGUUGGCGACACUGGUGGUUUUAUCUUUAUUGAAAUAUGGAUGACUUUUCGUUACUAUUUUGUUGUACAUAACCUUAUUCUCAGGAGAUUUAAUCAUUGAAAUUAACAUGUUAGUUUCAUUAGAAGGCUGAGUGGUUAGGGCUGCUACCUUCCAACUUGGAGGGCAAUAGUUUGAACCCACAAGCGCAAUGUGGGGGUAUUUCAUUCUUUAAUUACAUUGUAUAAUUGAAUAAAGAUAAUAUUCUCUCUUACCCAAGUGUGAGUGGAGUAGACAUCCUUCGAAUAUUAGCGAGGGUUAAAACUUGGGCAGAGCUCAAUAAGUAUUGAUGUAAGUUGGUCCUAAUAAUAGUCUGAUUUGUAAAUAUCAGUUAUAGUCUCAUGUUUCCUUCCUUAAUUAUAUUGCAUAAUUAAGUAAAUGUACUCUUUUCUCUUACCCAAGUGUGAGUGGAGUAAACAUCUCUCGAAUAUUAGUGAGAGUUAAAAUCUGGGCAGAGCUCCAUAAGUAUUGAUGUAAUUUGAUCCCAAUAAUAGUAUGAUUUGUAAAUACCAGUUAUAGUAUCAUGUAAUAUGAGUUGUAAUUUGAGUAAUAAUUUCAUGUAAUUACAAAAAAAAAUGUUACUUUCAUUACUUUUUUCUUCGUUAAAAUUCUCAAGUAUCAAUUAUGUUUGCUUAAGAAAUAAAAUUUCAUUAUGAAAAUUGUAGCAGUAUUUCCGAGCACCUCACAUUUUCAAUGAUUUUUCAUAAAUCAAUUAAUCUGCCAUACCAAUAUCAGGUUUAGUUUUUCAGACUAAAUGAUCAAGAAAGCAAACAUACAAAUUCACAUUUUAGAGGGGUAAACUAGCUUUUAGAUUUUAGAACUAGGCUAGCUACCUCACCAAAUUCCAAUCUGUACAGUGAACUACAAGAUUAAGAAAAUAAUGUAUUUAUAGUUUAAUUGAAUCAUGAGAAAACAAUGUAGUCAUAGCUCAAUCGGACAUGAUCACGGAGAGGCAUAUUCUUUUCAAGUUAAUUUGAUCCAUUUAUAAGAAAUGAAGUGGAUUGAAGUUAAAAGUUCAAAUAACAAAUCCUUGUUCUUGAGUUUUACGACGUCGUUACUCCUUCAAGAGGCUGAUUAUGCGAGUGAAUGAGGAAACAGAAUGCAUUAUCCAAUUUCACUCAUAUAGAAAAUUAAUUUUUUAUAUAUACUAAUCAACACUAGAUUGAUUAUGUUUUGUAUGUUUAUAUGCUAAUCAACAAUAAAUUAUAGUAAAUGAAGAAAUGCUUCAAAAUUUUUUAAUUUAAUUUAGAAAAUCAAUUAUUAACAUUAAUAUUCCUAAUAAAAAUUAUUUUCCAUCGGUAUUCAAAAUUUUCACUUAUAGAAAAUGCGUUUUACGUGAAUACAAGUUAUUGUGUAAAUUUGAAUGAUAGCGAAAAAUAUUUUUUUUAAUAAUUGUAAAAAUAAUUAACCAUAACAAAUCGCUUGCGUAAAUAAUAAUCAUUAUUUAAAAGGUAGAAAGAUGGUUAGUGCACAAUCAAAUUUUAAGCCCCUACCUCCUCGGCCCAAUAUUCAAACUUAGAUGAUCAGCCAAAUAAAAUUAUUUGAAAAUCAUUCAAUCAGGUUCUCGGGGCAAAAAUACAAGAUCCUUAUUUGCAUGAUAUAUAUGAAUUAAUGUAAUUUAUUUGAAUUAUCCAAAUUCAUUAGAGAUAAAACUAUAAAAUAUACGAAAAAAGUUAGAAGGAAGGGUGUGUUGGGAUAUUUUACAAACUAUAGGAAUCUGGUGAGAUUUUGAGCCAAACUGUAGGGAGUUGAAGGCAUUUGCCCAAUAUGUUUAGCCGUACACUAACCGUUAUUUGAUCUUGUUGUUGGUCCCGGAUGAGCUAUAGUCUUAUUUUAAUUUUAUUUAAACUCACCAUAAGAUUCGCAGAGCUCCUAACUAACUUAAAUGACUCUGCAGAGCAUGUCAACACAUAGCAUGUUUAACCGUUUUAUUUGUAGAAGAAUUUAUGAUUUCCCAUUAGCAUUAUUAUUGAAGUGGGGCGGGUCAAAUCUCAAUUGCUUGAAAAUUUUAUUUAUUAUUAUUAAUUUUGAAGUGGGGUGGGUAACGGUUCGUUCAAUUCGAGGGAAUCAAAUAUAUCAUCCAAGGUAGAAUUGUGGAAAAUUAAAGCAAAAUAAGAAAUAUGGACAGAAAAGAAGAAAGUUAAUGCAUGAAAGACAUUUACAGUUGAAAUUGAUAAUCAUGUUUCUAUUUUGUUAACUAAUCAAAUGGAAAACUGAACUGUAAACAAACAUUAAAACGUGUGGACCAAGCUAGCUGCCCUACAAGUCUACAAUAAUAAUUGAGUACUUUGAUUCAUCCUUCUAUGAAUUUCUACCCAUAUUGACUCCUCCGAAAUUUCCACAAAAUAAAAAAAAAAAAAAAACUGAAUUUCCACAAAAUGCAAAACCCGUAGAACUUAAUUUUUGGUCAUGUGAACUAAGAUGUAAAUUAAAGAAAAAGUAUAAAAUUAAAAAAGAUAAAAUUUCUAAAAUGUGUGGAAGGUGAUUCAUAAUUCACUGAAAUUACUUGCCCCAGAUAUAUAGGUAAACCUAUCUAAUUUCAUUAAAAAUAGUUGGAAAAAAUUAACUAAUAGAAAGCUACGGAAAUUAACCCCCCACAAAAAUAACUUUUUAUAGAAGAAUUUAUGUUUUUUAAAAUAUGUUAUCAAAGUGUAUUUGAUCAAAUCUCAAUUGCUUAGUAUGCUUAGGAUUUUGUGAACAUCACUAAAAAGCGAAAGCUAUGAAUGAUAGGGGUGAUGCUUGCAAUAUGAAUAAAUAAUGGACUGAUUCAAUUGAUGAUUACAUUUAUAUAUUAUUGAUUAUUUAUGAAUUUUCAGACUUGUUACGAUGUAUAACUAUGUGAUUUUGAAACUUGAAACCGUGGCAAACAUUGAAAGGAAUUAUAACUUGAAAUCAUGACUCACGGGGUAUGUCAUGAUUCACGUGCACAAAAAAAGGUAGAAUUGUGGAAAUUUAUAACCCAACGACAAAUACGGAAAGAAAGGAAGAAAAUUAAAAGACUUCGGGCCUAGCCUGCGUGUAUUAAUUAUUAGAUUAUUUUUUUUUUAUAAGGGUAAUCAUCAAUUUACUCCAUAACAAUCUUUAAUUCAUUUCUUAAAACUAUCAAAACUUUAAUUUAUCUUUUAAACAUCGUUACCUCUUCAUUGGUUUUAAUAGUUCAAAGGGUAAAAUUAUGUUUGCAUAUUUUCUUGACCGCCAACUAAAUGAUAAAACUCAAAAUUCAAUCUUGUUAUCUUGUUUCAAUCCUCUAUCAAUCAAAUAAGAUUUCUAAAAUAUGUGGAAGAUAUUGCAUGAUUUCCUCAACCUACCUGGCCCGAACAUCAAGGUAAAUAUCUCUAAAAUAGUUUAUUAAAUCUCAGUUGCUAAGUAUAGUAAGGAUUGUGUGAACAUCAAUCAAAACUAUGAUUGAUAGAAGUGAUCUUUGCAAAAUGAAUAAAUAAUUAACUGAAUCAAUUGAUUUACAUAUUAAAGUUUAUGAAUUUUCGGACUUGUUGCGAUAUAAUAAUAGCAUAUGAUUUUGAAACUUGAAACAGUGGUAAAUAUUGAAAGGAAUUAAUUUGAAAGCAUGAUCCGUGGGGAAUGUGAUGAAUCGUGUUUACCAAAAAGGUAGAAUUGUGGAAAUUUAUAACAGAACGAUAAAUAUGGUAAAAAGGAAGAAAAUUGAAAGACUUGGGGCCUGGCCUGGGUGUAUUUUCUAACAGUCCAAUGGACAAAAUUAUAUUUGUAUACUUUCUUAACAGUCAACUGAUUGAUAAAAGUCAAAACUGGUCUCUUUUUUUUUUCCUUGUUUCAAUCCCCUCUCAAUCAAAAAUGUUUCCUUGUCUAAGCAAUGAGGAAUAUGGCUGAAAAGAUUGCUAUUAGAAAGAUUUAUCAAUUGUAAUUGGUUUAAAAUUGAAUAGACACUUCAUUUUUAAGAUUGUUAUGAGUCAAUAUAGGUCCUAUUUGGGAUUGAGUUCUUGUAAUUUUUAAGCUACAGCGGCUGUGGAAAAAAAAUUAUAAUUAUGAAAUAAGAGUUAAAAACAUGUAAUAAAUAUAAAUUUUAAAUAAUAGUUUUGACAAAAUUAUAAAAUAUAUAAUAUAUCUUUCAUAAUACAAGUAAAAGAUCAUAUCAACAUAGAUUGCAAGCCACAACAGUUAGUGUUUACCAAACAAUUUAGUGCUGUAACUUUCAAGUUACAGCUGCCCAAUCUCAAUUUCAAAUGCACUUAUAAAGUGACUUGCUUCAAAAGCCUAGCAACCCAAAUUGGAAUGCUUUCAUUCAAGUGGCUAUAACUAAGAUAUAACGUCCCUAAGGAAGAGUAAUUAAAAAAUGUACCUUCUUUAACAUGUCCGUAUGGCAUUUUUUUUUUAAGUGAAUUUGUGUGAUAGAGAGAGGAUGUCAGCAAGAUAGUAAACUCCUAAAUAUAUUAUUGUUUGUAAUGUCUAAAAUUUGAAGAGAAUCAAGCUAAUAAAACUCCAUUGAAAUUAGACCUUCAAGAGUACGGUUCUUGGGCAUUAUAAAAUGUUGUAAUGUCGAGAGAUUACCCAACCAUUAUGGAAUCCUACCAAGAUGAUUGUUACCACUAAGAUACAAUCCUUCUAGUGAACAACAAUCAGACAAAUUUUUUGGGGAUCUCUCUUACAAAGUGAUUACCAUCCAAUCGCAAUUUUGAAUGAAAAUAAAUUUUUUUUAUUGGGAGUUUGACCUUAACAUUAAAUUUAGACAAUGAAUUUUAACUUUCUUCAAUUAUUAAACAGUUUACAGACAUUUGACAAAUUUGAAAACACUUCAUCCAUAGAAAGUUAAAAUUAGAGAUGGAAGCUAGGUGCUACAGCUAAUGGGAACAUUAAUUCCUGUCCCUCAUCACACUUUAUUUUGGGUCUAAUAAUUUUACGGCAGCAUUGACCACUGCUCAAGGUAAGUAAAACUUACAAAUGUGUGGCAAAAUAAAUAAUUAAGUGCAUAAAUUGUUAGCUAAUUUUCUUGAUAUAUACAGCUAAAGUAGUCGUUCCCCUUUAAAAAAAAUGUUAAACAAUUUCGGCUGAGCCUGCUUGUGGUUUUGAUAAAAAGGAGGGGCUGGCUUCAAAUAUUUGAAUAGGCAUCUCCGCCGUACCUCAAACAAAUCUGUCAUUAUUUGUGCCAUGAAACAUGUUUCGGCCGUCGAAGUCACGAGAGGGUUGAUGACGCUACUACGUAUGAUGACACACCAGCCGACAGUGUAGUAACAGCUCAAAAACAAAAUCUACCAAAAUCAACGAAAGUUAAUAAAAAUUUAUUUUAUUAAUAAAAAUAAAUAAAUAAACUUAUUAUUUUUGGAGACGUGUGUAUUUGAGUCUGUGGACUGAAAUGGAAAAUAUGAAGAAGUUCAGAGUCGUUGUGCAGAUUGACUUCAGUUAAAUGGGUCUAGUAGAUAUUUUAUGCUGACGUGGCACGAAUUAGUUAUAAUCUGUUACAACGUUUCCAGAAACAUCAGUAUAAAUAGAAGCUGAUGAGCAGUGCCUGUUGUACGAUCCUUUUUCUUCGUCAGUUGUUCGUCAAUUUUCAUAGAAUCUGUUUCAUUGUGAUCUGUACAAAGUCUUCUGUAAAUCCACUUAUGUUUGAUUAGUUGUUGAUCACUAACGAAGUAAAUUUUUCCUUCAAAUCUUGCUGGUUCGUGCCCCUGUUUCAGUUCUGGAUUUUUCUUUUUCUUUUUUUAGUUCUGGUUUCUUAAUUCAAUUGAAUUUCUUGGUGCUUAAUUCAUCAAGAUUCAGUGGAAUCGACUUGAAAAGGAAAACAUUAUCCACCUGGAACGACUUCAAGUCCAAAGUAAAAGACAAGAGUGGCUCCCCGCAAUUUUCUUGUUUUCAGUAUAUUUUCUCUUUUUCUUUUUUAAAAUCUUUUGACGCAUGCAUAAUAUACCCUUGUUUAUUAUCUCUACUUUGCUCUGCUCAAGUCCAUUUUUUUCAAAUAUUAUUUUAAAUAAUAAAUUUAAUAAAAGUACAUUUGUGUAAUUAAGACUCUGCUAUUAUAUCACACAUACGCAUAUAAUAUAACUAAGCAUUUGUUAUUAUAGCAAAGAUCCAUAGCAUGAAAGUGAAUAAAUUUAACUAAAUGGUUAAUUAAUCAAUUAAGUUUCAUGAGCUUUAAUCGAGUUAAAACCAAGUACAAACAUCGUUAACAAAUACUGAAAUUGAGUAAAUUAAAAAAAUAAAAAAAAUUAAUUCAAGUAAUAUGUAGUUUUUACAUGUUGAUCAGCAGAAUACAACAUUAAAUUUUGUCAUUGACAAUAUUGCAUACCAGUCAUCUAAAGCAUUACCUCACGAGGUUUUAUGAGAAACGAAAGAUAAGUGUUUGCUCUGAACAAUUAAAGUUGCUGCUACCAACCUCCCCGAAGACCAAGAAGACGGAACAGGAAGCUAAUGCAUCAAUGUCUUCUUCAUUAUAGCUGCUGCGUAGUUAGGUGUAGUUUCCUCAUUUGAAGCUGUCUAUACAUAGGCUUUCCCCCUGCUUAUGUACAAAUAAAUGAACAGCCUUGAAGCUUUAUUAUUCGCAACAAAAGGGAUUACCAAUUGGAGAAGACUUUACAGAGUUCCUCUCACACACUCUCUCAAUUUCAUCUAGAAGUCCCUCCGAAAGCAUCUCCCAAAACAGUUAGUCAUCUUUUAUACUCUGUUUUCUAGAAACAGAGUCCUAACUAAAUUAAUUGACUGUACAGUGCAUUUCAACAUAGCAUAUUUAACCGUUUUAACAGUAAUUUUAACCGUCUUCUGAGUUAUCAUCAACAAAUUCAUUCAUAUUUCUCCAGUCUUACGGACGAUAUCAUAUGUUUAAUAAUGAAUGAAUAGUCUUGGAUCAGUGUUUUGCAGCAAAUUCACAUCAUAGUUUUGAUUCUUUAGAUAUGAAUUCAUCACAUUACCGAAAAGAAUAUGCGCUAAAAAAUGAUUCCAAGACUAUUUGACUACCAAAAGCUGCUGUCAGAGUGCACUGAAAUCUUGACUCCUCUCAGCGAAAAAUAUAUCAAAGUUUAGAUUAUGUGUUCGAGCUUUAAUAAAUGCCUGAGUUAAUAAUAAUAACAACAAUAAUAAUAAACUAAAAAGCAAAAUUACUAUUGAAUGAUCGGAAAAAAAAAAAUUUGAAAACGUGUGAACUCCAAUAACCACCCCACAAAUUUAGUGGCGAAUUUUGGAGAGGGCAAGGCCGGGCUUCUCAGAAAAAAAAUGACGAGUAGAAUUGUGGAAAAUUAAGCAAAAUGACAAGUAUGGAAAGGAAGGCUGAAAGUAAGGCAUGACGAAAGGCUUUGAGAAGGCUGAAGACUACCAAAGAAGACAACUGAAAGCUAGUUGGGGCCUGGGUGUAUAAAUUGUAGAUGUGUUUGUUAUAAAUAACAUAGAGCCCUUUUGUUAUUUAUAGUUAUAGAGAAAGAGAGAAUGUGUGUUUUUUAAUAGUUAGAGAUAUAGCUAGAAUGGGUGGUUCAAAAUCCAAAAUGGUGACAAUGUUAGUUCUCGUAUUAAUAAUAUUAGGGAGGGGGGGGGGGGGGGGUGUGGAGUGAGGGAUGUUUGGAGCAUGAGGAAUUUGCUCAUUUUCGGCUUAAACAUUUCUUCAAUUCCCCUUAUAGACUUCAAAACUGGGUAGGUGAACAAAGGGAAAGGGUUGAGUGCAGCAACUCCACAGGCCGAGUGGUACAACUACACCUUAGUCUUACUAGGAAUAUCGAUCUGGGAGUGUGGUAUCUGAAUGCUUCUCUAUUUACUCCCUUUCAACAACUUGGUAACAAAAUAGCCGGCUGCAUGCGUUGAGAAUGAAGGUCCUUCAUUUAAUUUAAUUUACUUAAUUUCUCCCUCCUAAUUAAUGUCUAUAACCAUUAGGAGGAACAAGGGAUUUUAUUAACUCAAAUAUAUCUAAUGGAGCUCAUUCUUUGGUUUUACUUGCAGGUAUAGAAGCAGGUGUCAUCUAACAGCUGCUUUGAUAAUUUCCCACCCCUUCAUCUUUGAUGGAAAGAUGAAAUAAAAACAAAAUGGUGAAAAUGGUAUUGGUACCUGAGGCUAUGUAAUCUAAUUCAAAAACUGCACCAUCAAAACGAUUACAUAAGUCCCAGAAGAAUCAAACGUUAGUUUGCAAAAUAUCAAUUGCUGGAGUUGUUUCGGUUGCACGUUAAUAUCAAUUCCGCUCUUGAUUUUUAUGGGCAUGUUGUAUUGUACUUGCAUACGAAAAUCAUAUUUUAGUUUACUUCACUCAACACUUGGAUUAAAGUUUUAGGUGGGGAAAAUUGAAGGAGACUAAAAUGACUCAAAAAAAUAGUUGAAUGAGUGAGGGUUUUGUCUUCAUUUAAGGAGCUCUUUAUAAAUUUUAGGAUUCUUUUUCCUGAGAAAAUUUAUGCCAACUCAUUCUUUGCUUCUUUUUUGAAGGGACACAUGCAACCGAAAGUAUAUUCUUGAAUUCUCCAGGAUAAGAGACAUACGUUUAGAUUCUGGAGCAUUUAAAACAAUGUCAAAUUUUAGAUUGCUGAAAUUUUAUAUAUCCGAGUAUGAUGGUAUUCCAAUUAUAAGCUCCAGGGUGCAACUUCACUGAGGUUUAGAAUGCCUUCCUAUAGAAUUGAGAAAUCUCCAUUGGCCUAAAUAUCUUUUGAAAAUACUGGCAUCAGAUUUUGAAUUGGAGAACCUGAUUGGACUCAGCUUGCCUUGUAGUAAGGUUAAGCAAAUUUGGAAAAGAGAAAAGGUAUAAUGUAUUACUAUUACCAAAGUAUCUAUUUUUCUUUCUUUAAGUAUUUAUAAUGAAUAACUUUGAAAUUCAAUGAUGCUCAUUUAGUAUAGUUAUGUAUCUUUGGUUAUAGGAAGCUGUCAAGUUAAAAUCUAUAGACCUUCACCACCCCUCUAUCUCAAUAGGAUCCCAGAAAUACUAAAUCUUAAAAAAAUAAAUCUUUCAAAUUGUGAAAGCAUGCUUACGUUACCCCCGUAUAUCCACAAUUUCAACUAGCUGAGUAUGUUGUGUUUCAGGGAUGCAAAAUUCAUUUUGUUUCUCAUGAAAGGAUUGACUUGUCCGGAUGUAUUAGGGUUAAUAAACCAACUAAUCCCAUAAUUUGUUGAUGUAGUAGAUUGUAGAUCAGUACACUAUUCGAAAAUGUAUUUGAUCCACACAGUGAAGUGGAUAUUGGACCAAUUUGAUGAUAAUGAUUUUCUUUCAAUCUCAAUCUUUUUUCCUUUUAGCAACAUGACUAGUCAUUGCGCAAAUUCAAACUCUGACAAUGAUUUCUCAAUCGGUUUCUAAGAUGAUGACCAUGCAUGUAUAUGUAUAUGCGUGUGUAUAUGUGUGUGUGUGUGUGUGUAGAGAGAGAGAGAGAGAUCACACGUGUGUGAUUUCCUUUUGCCAAUAGGAUAUGCAGAGAGCUUGAUCUUACCCAAUAGCGAAACAAACUUCCUAAUAAGUGAAGGUUAGUAUAAAUACUUACACUUUCAUGUUAUUUUGUUCAUCAGUAGCUUGAUUAUUUUAUAUGCGUCUUCGAUUUUAAUUUUCUUUCCCUAUAAUCACUAUUAUCUUUGAACUGGUCGUGAUUUGCGUAUAAGAUUUCUCAUGUUGUUUUGAGGUGCAAUGGAUUUUGAAUUUAGUGACGAGCGGUGGAAGCCAGAAGGCAGAUUAUGAAAAUGGAUAAAGAUCUAUAAUUAGCUGUUAUGGGAUGUCACAUAUCAUAUUGAUGGUAACAUUAUAUAUAUGUACAUAUAAUUAAUGGGGUUGGCUCACGAGCCCAUUAAUAAUCAUAUAUUAGCUUAAAUACUUCAAACAAUGUACCAUGAAGCAAUUUCACAAACACUUUUUAGCUUAUGUUGAGCUUUAUCAAUAAAAUGCAGGUUUGCUAUUUUACGUACAUGGUUAUGGUGUGUGCAUUCUUCAUAAGGCUAACUACUAAUUUAUCAAUGAAACUUGAAAAAUGUGACAGAGAGAUGUCGAUAACAGCCGCAAAACACUGAGAUCGAAAAUCAGGGCUACUAAAUACUAUUAAAAGCUCUUAAAAUAGACAGUGAUCAUCCUUAAUCGCAAAGUUAUGCACUAAUAGAACUAUUGACUACUUAUCUUUAGCAGAAGGUAUAUUUUUAACUACAGCUUUCUGCUUUGUUCUAAGAACUAGGCAAGUGGUAUAUCUUCAAUCCAAUCAACGCAUAUACCACUUAUCUUCCUCUUCACUUUUGUCUAUUUUGAUUUCCACUUUAUAUCCUGCACUUGCUGCUUAGAAAUAGUCUUAGUCUGGACAUUGAAAGUAGAAAAAGUACUUGAAACAAUCAUUGGCACAGCCCGAGAUUCCAUUGAAUCGUGGACUCCAAGCUUUCAUAGUUCUAUAAAGAAAAUGACAUAACUUUAUACAACUGGCAUUCUGCUUUUAACAUUUGAUCAACCUGAGCGAGUUAGCAAGCCUCUUGUCGCGUUCCCAUUGAAUAGACCUACUUCUGUUAUCCACAGAAGAUCCACCACUCAAAAUGUUUAUCACCAGGCUAUUCUUAAACUGAGCCUAAACUGAGUAGAAAUUUCCGCACAUCUCUCAACAUUUACAUGAAGAAAUCGACAACUAUCCUCAUCUCUCAGCACAUCUCUCAGCAUUCUACAAAGUUGCAUUUCACUAAGCAAUCUAUCCUCUCCAUUCCUAGCAAAGUGACAUUGAUUCAUGUAUUUGUAAUCGCCUAACUUGGGUUUUGGGCAUAGCGUGGUCUUAAAAUUACCACCCAAUACUUUGUUCAGUGCCACUGGCAUCCACAAGCUCUAGCCCUGUUAGCUGAAUCAUAUUCAAUGGGAGAGUGAGGCAGCAUUUCACUAACAUAUUCAAUUUGACUACUUAUAUUGAUGCAAAUAUUAGAAUUUGAAAUCACUUCUUUUCUUGGAAUAUUAUAUUAAAAUGACCCCAAAUGAAAGUUCUUUAAUGGAAAUUAUUUUUAUUUAAUUUUCCAACAGAUUCAAGAAAACCCAGAGAACACAAAAUUUACACAGUAAUAUGAUUAAGAGCUGAGAACAUACAUGUAGUAAAUGUCUAUCAAAAAACACCCAAGUGUUUCUUUAAAAUUAGAAACUAGUAAACAAAAAGAAAGAAUCAUUUUACAUUUUUAGCAACUUUGGGGUGAGUGAGUGAGUGAGUGAGUGAGAAAUUGAAACCCUAAAGUGAUGACAACAGUAAGAUUCAGUAUGAAGUGAAACCCCAAUUUGAAAUGUAGGCAUGAGUUGCUGAGUCAGUAGAUGAAGCUAUAAAUAGGCAUUCGGUUUCCUUCUUUUCGGUUUGGAGGGCCAUGGAAUAGUGUAUUGGAGUGGGCUCCAAGUAAUAGCCUCUAUCACUGGAACGACACAUCUGUAAAACGUGAUACAUGGGGAAGGAUUGGGCAUUAUAUUCUUAGAUUAGCGCCUUAUUUAGGGUGUAUAUUAAGCAAAUUAUAUAUUACAUGGAGAUGGAGUUUAUGAAAUAGAUUAAAAAGAAAAGGAAAUUUCGGUGUCUAAAGUUUGCUACUUGGAAUAUUUCGGUGUCUAAAAAUUCACUCACCACUUAUUUCAUGUUUGAUUAUAUGUUGAAAAGAUAUUAAAAUAGUAUAAUGCUAUUAAGGCUUAACGUAUAUUUUUUAUUAGUAGAGUGUAGAAUUUUUAAGAAAUAAAUUAUUAAAUUAUUAUAACUAACAUAUUAUUUUAAAGUUGUGUUAUGAAAAAAAUGAAAUAAAAAUGUACAAUAAAUAAGAAUAUUUUAAAACUUUUAUCUUUUUAAAAUUAGUUUUUAACAUAAGGUGAACUAUUUUUUUUUUUAAAUCACAUAUUCUAGUUAAAAUCAAAUAUGUAUUUAUAUGAAGCUUGUAAAUUUUUUUUUUUAGUACUGAUAUUUGAAUAUUAUCAAUAAAAAAAAGGGUAAUGUUCAUGCUGCAUUAUUUUUGUAGCACACAAAAGGACAACAAAGUUUAUGUUAUAAUACUAUCGCUUCUGUUAUGAUAAUAUUUUUUUGUGGCCAAAUAUCUUUUUUUUUUUUAAGUAAAAAAAAGUGGACAAAAUGCAAAUCAGUUUUUAAUCCUCAAUCUCUCCCAAAAUAUAAAUUCGUAGGUCCAUGGGUUGUUAAAACUAUAGCCGACAAAAAGUUACUAACAAAAACAGAAUGUCCAUUUUAUAACUUUCUUAAAAAACUUUCCUUAACUUUUUUAAAAAGUUACCAACAAAAAGUUAUUUCUAAUUUUUAUUUUGUUAUAAUUUUUAUAACAAAAUUCGUAGUUAACUAAACUCUUCUUAUUCCCUUUCUCAACUGCCAUACCCUAACCCGAGCAAAUUGCGUAGGAUAUACCUGUUUUCCCUCAAAAUACUUAAAAUAUACCUCCAUAUAUUAAAAUUGCUAGCUUUACACAUUUAUACUUAAAAAGAUCAGGGAAAAUACAAAAAUAACCUUAAUAAAAAUACUCAACUUAUUAAUAUGCUUAAUCGACUCAUUUAAUAUUCUUACUCGACUUUUUACCGGACCAUACACUCGACUUAGUUAAUAUGCUUACUCGACUUAUUUAAUAUUCUUACUCGACUUCUUACCCGACCAUAUACUCGAUUUAUUUAAUAUGUUUACUCGACUCAUUUAAUAUUCUUACUCGACUUCUUACCCGACCAUAUACUCGACUUAUUUAAUAUGCUUACUCGACUCAUGUAAUAUUCUUACUCGACUUCUUAUCCGACCAUAUACUCAACUUAUUUAAUAUGCUUACUCGACUCAUUUAAUAUUCUUACUCGACUUCUUACCGGACCAUAUACUCAACUUAUUUAAUAUGCUUACUCGACUCAUUUAAUAUUCUUACUCGACUUCUUACCGGACCAUAUACUCGACUUAUGUAAUAUGCUUACUCGACCCAUGUAAUAUUCUUACUCGACUUCUUACCCGACCAUAUACUCAACUUAUUUAAUAUGCUUACUCGACUCAUUUAAUAUUCUUACUCGACUUCUUACCCGACCAUAUACUCGACUUCUUUAAUAUGCUUACUCGACUCAUUUAAUAUUCUUACUCGACUCAUUUAAUAUUCUUACUCGACUUCGUACCCGACCAUAUACUCGACUUCUUUAAUAUGCUUACUCGACUCAUUUAAUUUUCCUACUCGACUUCUUACCCGACCAUAUACUCGACUUAUUUAAUAUGCUUACUCGAUUCAUUUAAUAUUCUUACUCGACUUCUUACCCGACCAUAUACUCGACUUACUUAUCUCUAAUUCUUACUCGACUAAAUUCUCGAUUUACCCGACUUCUUCCUGCACUGAUUCUUCAAUCACUCAUAACUUAAAUGUAGUCUUAAAUCCCUACAUUGAAAUAGUGUGUGUGUGCAAGCACAAAAAAUGAAUAAUGUACUACUAAAAUUCAUAAAUCAUUAGGAAGUACACUUAUAAGAAAAAUAGAGAAUGGUGAGAGAAGCCCAAAAAAGAGAAGCAAUGGGAGAAGAGAGAUGUGAAUUCUUAGUUUUUUUAAGGUUAUUUUUGACUUGUCCUAUCUUCAUAAGGUAUAUGUGUGUAAUAGGGUACAAAUUUGGCAUUUAAGGGUAAAUUGAGGGUAUUUAAAUAAAAAACCCCCUAACCCUGUUCCCCAUGUCCCCACUAAACCACGCUCAAUUAAGGCCAUCAGAUUCUCCCGGGCCCACAUUAAUCCAACUGCUCACAGAGACCGACAGCCUCUCUAUCUCCAUUUCAAGCUCCCUCUUCAACUGGCUUCUGCUACCGUCCUACUCUUUCUCGGCUUCGGAGUCCGUAUUUGCUCGGCCUGUCCCACGAAGCUCCCUCUCACUCCAAUUGUCGCCCCACAAGACCAAUUGCUUAAUCAAGACACCGAACAAGAAGAGGAUGAGAAGUUGAAACAAGAAUUUGAGAAUUGGAAAUCAAAAACGUUUGAGAGUCGUUUCUCUUCAGAACUCAGCGCCUCAAUCUUGGGUUAAGGAUUUUAGAAGUCAGGGAAAGAGAUUGAAGUUUCAGAUGAAUUUGUGUGCUAGCAUUGAUGGGAUCUUUAACAAUUUAUCUGUGCCCUUUAACAAAGUUAAGUCUAAGUCAGCUUCUUAUAUGGCUGCUGAUUUGGUUAGUGUUGGUGAUUCAUGGCUUAGUUUUGCCAUUAAAAAUAGAUUGAUUGAGCCAAUAGCUGGAGCUGAAGACCAAGAUUGGUUCAAAUGCUUAAGUCACAAAUGGAAGGUAACAUCUUUGUCUUUGAUCCUCGAGGUAAAAUAUGGGCGGCACCAUACAGGUGGGGCACAACGGUGAUAGCCUGCAAGAAAAUUAAAUUUCGAAAGCAUAAUUUGGCUCCGAUUGAGGUAAUAAUUUUCUUUAAACUCAUUUAGUUUUAUAUCAAACAAAAUCAAGAAUGCCUUUCUCUUCAAUAUUUUUUAUGAUAAUAUCUUUAGAAGCAUCUCAUUGACGGGUAACAAUGGCAUCCCUGAAAGAGUCUAUAAACUCAAUGAUAUUAUCUUCUACAAAUGGUUCAUUAAACUUUGUCGUUGUACUCAAAUGUACACUCAGAGCAAUGAGAAGCUAUGCCACUUUAGCAUGUAGUGAUGGCACUUAAUAAGUGAGUUGCUAGGAUGUGAACUAGAAAAAUUAAAUAUUGUCUCCUUGGGUAUGCUAGCUCGUAAGUCAGGGUUAAUAUCAGAGCUUAAGAUAGUAUAACCGUGAGAACCUAUUGACUGCCAAUUAAAAUAUCCAUUAAAAUGUCUAGGGAGUUAUGAAGGUGGAGGUAACUUCCGAUUUCUAGGGCCACAUGGUAGACAUCAUCCAGGAUUCUAGGAAAGUGCAGUUAACUUCCUGCUCGAUGCAAUUAAUAAAUUUGGUCAAUGCCACUGAAACCUGCUAACUGACAUCACAAUGUGACAUGAGCACUUCAAAAUGGGACAGACGGUCAGUAGCACUAAUUUUUUCUUGGCUAGGAUUGAGCAAUUGGUCUAACUACUAAUCCCCUAUUGUAGGUUGAUCAUUAUUUUUUAAAUUAUGUUCAGUUUGACCCAAAAAGUUGCAGAAUCUUGAGCAGAAUUUUGUCACUGAACACUGUCAAUGUCAUUUAGCAUAGCCCACUAACUUGAUGUUAAAACAAACACACAGUGUGUCUCAUGUCUCACAAUUCAAAUUAUCAUCUGUAAUGAUGGAGAAUUUUUCCAAUGUAUGAAGUAUGCUUUGAUAUGUGGGUUACCUUGGAGAAGAUAUCUCAAAAUAAAGAAUAUGGGGAGAAAACAGUUCAGUAGUUUAUUAUUCUGUAGUCAAGUUUUGUCUCGAAAAUGGUCAAAAUUUAAAUGAAUAAGGACAGGGGAUCUUCAUUCUUUUUUCCCUUUUUUAUACCAAGAUAUCUCUCAACCUUUAUAUAAUCCCCACUGGAUAUCUGCUUCUAAUAAUUAAAAUAAAAAUUUCACCGCUCUAACAAUAAAAAGUAACAUCUUUAGUCAAAUAAUUUACAGUUCCUCAUCAUCUUAGUGUGAGACUAUCAGUACAUUCCAAAAACAUAAUAAAACUGGUUUGAUCCUGUUUAUUGAUGUUUAAAUGUUGUUCAUUGUGACAUGUAGAAAUGAUGAGGCGAAGUUUAUUUGGACAUCAAUUAGUAAGAUCUUGUUUGAAGUUGUUUUCUGAAAUUUCUGAAAUGAACUGCCAAAUGGUAGUUUUUUUGGGGCAUUUGAUGGCUCUUUUUUUUCCCUCAUUUUCAACAUGUGCCUGCUUGGAACAGGAAGGAUUAGGCUGCAGAGUUGUUAUAUAUUUUGAGAUGCUCUGGUCAUUGCACAAUUUGUUCACACUGGAAAUUAGAAUGAGAAAUUUGUUGAUGCUGUUUUGAGAGAUCUGCAUUCUAUGCACAAUAACAUGAUUAAUGAAAAUGCAUUGUAAGACUGGAAAGAUCUGUGGCAGCCUGAGCUCGCAGGAAGAAUUUCAAUGGUUAAUUCUCCCCGAGAGGUUAUUGGUUCAGUUUUGAAGUAUAGGGUAGCAUCAUACAAUUCAAAUGAUAUUGAUUCGCAAGUUGCUGGUGGGAAGAUUGCUGUUCAGCAGAAUCUGGCAUUACUGGCAAACCAGGUACUCUUACAGAAAUGAUAUCUGCUCAUUGCAUGUUAUUGCCUGACAACUGAUUUUGUUUGUAAAAGUCUGCUUCUUCAUACAGAUGAAUGCAUAUGUUAGUGUUUUCUUCUCCUUUUCAUACAUAUAAAUGCAUAUGUUAGUGUUGUCUUUUCUUUUUCAUACAUAUUAAUACAUAUGUUGGUGUUCUCUCCUGAGAUGGAUGCAAUAAAGGCUUUUGCUCCUAAAUUUAGCUGAAGAAAUGGCAAGGGAUGUGAGAUUCUGUCUCAUUAAAUUAACAAAAACCCAAAGCAAUGAAAAUCCAUAAUAAUGUGGUGUGGGUAAAUUGGCUCCAUUUGGUUUGUUUCCUUAAUGUGAAUGCGCGAGCAAUAGAGACUAACAAAAUGAAGUGACAACAAGAAGUCAGUGUCCUUUGAUGGAUGCAAUUUUAGGCAGAAAUCAGUGUCCUUUGAUGGAUGCAUUUUUAGGCAGAAAUAUGUUUGUAAUUGACCAAAUUUGUCUGGCAUGCCAAUUUCAAAAAAAUUAAAUUAUGUGGUUAUUAGCUGUAAUGAAGGAGGAUAGUAGGUGCAAUCAUGUGGAUCCAGGAAAGUUCGACAAAGUUUUGGUAUGGCGUAGUGAAAUUGGUUUGUGCAACUCAGGAGCCUUUCAGGUGAACGAUGAUAGGUUUUGAUUUAUGAAUAUUAUAAAUCUACUGUGCAUAGUAUUCUAGUAGAAUCAUCUACAAGUUCUAGUUAUUGAAAUUGUAUACUUUGCCCGGUUUGAGUUAAGGGCACAUGUAAUAUGAAAGAUAGUUGUCGCAUCUUUUAGGUUACCUAACAUUUGAUCAAUCCUAUUAUGGGGGCUUCAAGAUGUCUAACAAUAUGUAGAAUGCCCAUGCUCCUCCCCAUUGUUUAUCUUCUACAAUAAUUUGUUUUAAAUGCUAAUAUCUUUGUCGAUACCGGUAACAAUAUUACAAUAUCUGCAUUUAUUGGGUUUUACAUAGGUUCGACUGUUUGACAGUACACACUAUCUGAAGGCAUUUGCAAUUGGAGAUGUAUGGGUUGCUGUUGGGUGGAUUAGUGAUGUUCUUCCUACUGUCAAACAUAUGUCUAAUGUUGCUGUUGUUGUUCCCAAGUCUGGUGCUAGCUGCCUGCCAUUCUACUUCGAUAUUCACAUUGUUAUCUCCUUCAUAUUAGCGAUCAGUAAACACGAUAAUGUGGCUAAUAAGUUCGUAUUCUCUUUAUAGGCAAUCCCUGCUGCCUCAAGACUUGAAACAAAACAAAUUGGAGGGCGAGUCAGAGGUCCAUCUCCAUUAAUCCAUCAAUGAAUAGAAUUCUGCUUGCAAACAGCGAGAUUUUUGCCUUGCAAGCAAGAGGUUAUCCCGGGUGCAUCUCCCUCUGCCCUUGAAAGUACUCUGGUUAAGUUGCCUGAAGAACUUCUGGAGGGUAAACCAAGUCUGGAUACUAACUUAAUUGCUGGAGUACUCCCGGCUGAAAUUCUGGCCAGAUGUGAGUUUUUGGAGCCAUUAUCUGAAGCUACUUUGUCAGAUUAUGAGUGGCUGGUUGUUAAUCUGCAAAAACCUGCUCCUGUCUUGAUGAAAAGGGUGCAACAUUACUUGUCAUCAUUAAUCUAAAGCUUUCUAGCAAGAGCUACACUGAAAAGUUAAUGGCGCUGCAUGCCAGUCAUUAUAAUGCUGUCAGGGCAAUUGGGUCAGGGCAAUUAGGUCUGAGCAUAACUUCAUUAGGAAAAGAGGCUUCAGCUACGUUAAAUAUUACAGGAUGUACUGAGAUGGCUGAAGUUCUGAAGGUUUUAUGAGAAGCGAAAGAUGAGUGUUUGUUUGAACAAAGUUGUUGCCAAUCUUGCAGAGUUCGGAAAGAAAGAUCACGGAGCGAAUGCCACCGAUUUCUUCAUCAUUUUAGCCUCCAUAGUUGAAGUUUCCUCAUUUGAAGCUGUUUAUGCAUACGCUUUUUCCCUGCUCUAGUACAGGAAAUUGAAGAAUUAACCAGAUGUGAUAUGCUGAAAGAGGGAAGUUUUCUUCCUUGAAUGUGGCCUUUGUGAUUUGUCUUGAAGGAAUAGGAUGAUCACUGGCAAGAACCCUAUCAAGGUAGAUUUUAUGGUGUUAACAUAUUAUUAGGCAUUUUGUUACAUCAUGAAAGUGUUUAAAUUUAACCGAAUGAUCUUGAUUGAUCAAUUAUGAGUUUUAAUCGAGUAAAAACUAAAUACAAUAAUCGUUAACAAAUAUUGAAAUUGGGUAAAUAUGAUCUUGAUAUUGAAGAAUUUGAAAUCACAACCCACACAGGAAAUCACCCUUCGCGUGGGGAUGGAGAUGUUUACUGCAGCGAUAUUGAAUAUGUCCACUGCUCUUUGGGUUAUGGUGCGACUUGCGAUUUCAAGGUUGCCAUGAAACAAUGGAAAAGAUUAACAUACCCUCCAAUGAAUGAAAACGGGUGGACUAAUUCGGAUUACCUAAUUGACUCAGGAUCAAGAUCGGCUGGCAAUAAUAACAGUUUAUUAACAAUGCACAGUCCGAGUACCUUUCCAGGAUCAGAUACGACGUGGUCUAAUGUUGAUAAUAAUAGUUUAUUAAAUGACAAAUCGUUGUUCUUGGGUGUUGAUUUCAGAAAUAAAAUACAUUCUGAGAGAUGCUGGUCUACUAUUGCAAGCCCCCAGAUUUAAGAAUAUUUUGAUGAUAAUUUAUCACCGGCAACUGUGCCGGAAGAUUCAAGUAGCACUGAAAAAGAUGAUAAUUUAAUUGAUAUGGACAGUUUCCAUAUCACUUUUAAAUCAUCUUAUGUAAUUGUAAUGUUAGGAAGCAUUAGUGAUCUAAAAGUGAACUAUUAUUGGUGUCAUUGGUGGUUUUAUCUUGUUAAAAUAUGGAUGAUAUUUUAUUGUAGACAAUCUUAUUCAAUUAACAUAUGGUUUAAAACCAUUAUGUUUUAUAUAAAUCAAUCUACUAAUUUUCAUGAUAUUUAACUGAGUUAAAAUCAAGUGCACUCAAUAAAUGUCUUUUCCUUUAAAAAAACAGCUACGCUUUGAUUUUAGUGCUUAAUAUUUCGUAACUACAAAUUAUAUAAUUGCGAGUUGCUGUCCAUAGCUGCUAAUUUGUAGUGAUUAUCUAAUUGCCUGAGGUGACAAUAAUUCUUUUAUCUUCAAUAGCACAAUGUGGAAUUCAAUAAUUAAAUUCUCCUAUUUAAUUUGUUUCAAGUUAAAUUAUUAAUUACUUAAACUCUGUUUUAAGUCUUUAAUUUUAUGUGUUUAUGCAGAAUUGGAUUCUUGAGCGUGUUGGACAUGACCAACAAUGAAAUUGACAGUAAACAAACAUUACAACGUGUGGACUCCGGUAAGCACCAAUGAAUUUCUAGCCCUGUUGACUCCGCCAACUAAAGUUUUGUAAAAUAAAAAAAUAAUACAUAGAAUUCCACCAAAUGCAAAACGCGUGAAAUUUAAUUUUCGGCCGUGUGGACCAAAACAUAAUUUAACGAAAAAGGAAAAAAAUAAUAAGAUUUUUAAAAUGUGUGGAAGGUAAUCCAUAUUUUACUGAAACGACUUAUUAAAUUUUUCAAGGAUUUAGAAUAUUUGAUCAUAAAUUACGUGCAUGUUAAUUUUUCCGCCAUUGACUAUCAUAUUCUAGACUUAAUGGUACCUUUCUUGAUGAAGGGUACUUAGUCUCUCUUCUCCUCUUAUAAAAAUUAUAUUAAUUGAUUUCUUGUUAUAGUUAAUAGACUUUAAGAACGGAUAGAUUUAUUGUUUUCAUGACCAAAUUAUGCAUGCCUAAGGUUGCAACUAUUAAUAAAAUUAAUAUUUAAUGUUUAUGUUAAAAGAUAUAAGUUUUUAUGCAUUCAUUAAUUGUUAUUAGCUAAAGGAUGAAUUAUUUUUUCCCAAUCAGUUGAUGCAUCUGCAAUAGUUUUUUUUUUCUUUUAUUGACCAUAAUUAUAUUCCGGGUGCAAUAAAUUGUCUUUGGUGCUUGGAAAAUAUGACAUCUCUCCGUCAACUUACUGGAAAUAUCUCCUCAUCUACUCGCAUUUAUCUAAUAUCAAUUGAAGAUCUCAUAUUUCCAAACUAUGACUUCCAAAUCUCAUUAUCAUUUGAGCAUUCAAAACUAAUCAAGUGUGGAAAUAAUCAAAUAUAUGCAAAAAUCGAGUCACAAUCUUUGGCCCCUCAAAAUUCUAAUUAUAUAACUUCUAUAUAUCUCAUACAUUUUCCAAAUUCCUCUUCCAUCAACAUCACUAGGAGUAUGUUCAUCUCUCACACAUUAACUUGAGUGAAGAGUUUCUAAAUUGAUUGUUAGAAAAUAAUACAAAAGCUAGACACGCUUGAUCUGUCUAAUAAUUCUCUUUCUGUAAAAUUAAUUAAUUUUAGGGGAAUUUAGCCAACCUCUGUAAUUUCAGAGUGAUCAUUAAUUAAUUAAACAAUACAAAUAUCUAAAGUGAUUAGAUGUUUGCUGACAAUACAAGUUCAUGGCUUGAAAUUUGAUCUCUAUCGAUUGACUUACAGAUGGACGUACUUGUGCCUUUCUGGUGAUAAUUGAACCAGAGAUGUGAAGCUGUAAGGAUUUGGCAGUAGUAAAUUGUUAUAAAGACAUAAUGACAAAUUCCCAUGAUUAUUAUUUUUUCCAAAAACUUUUUUACAACAAAUUCAUCUCGCCAAAAAUUUUAUUUUGCUAACUAACAAUAAUUGAGCACUUGACCGCAUUGACUCCACGUCUCCACCUACUUUCUAAGUAAAAACAUGGAAAUGUAAUCUCUACAAAAUGCCAAACGUGUGGAAUUUAAUUUUUGGCCUUGUGGACCAAAAUGCAAAUGAAAGAAAAAGAGAGAAAAAAACAAGGCCCAAAGACUUCUAAAAGAUGUAAAAGCUUUGGGCUUUUUUAUAAUGGUGGAUUUUUUAAAAGGAAAAAAUAACAACACUUCUAUGGUUUGUUUUGAUAAUCACAUUUACAUAUACUCUCUAAUUUUCAAAAUAGACACAUAAAUAUUUUUUUUCUACAAAUGUAUAUUAUUCAUAUUUUUUUAUUAUUUUUAAUAUCAUAUUAUUAUUUAUUAUAAAUGUUUAAAGUAAAUUUUUAGGUUGAAAUAUAAUAAAAGGGGAUAAUCGUUCUCCUAUUAAACACCCAUACUUUUAGUUUCUAUCCAUUUGUCAUCUCAAUCUCUCUCGAUUAUUCAUUCUUUCUAGCUCAAAACGCGUUGCUGUGGAAAAUUAUAGCAAAAAGACAAAUAUGGAAAAGAAAAAAGGGAAGAAAAUUAAUGCAUGAAAGACUUGGAGAAAACAACGAAGUAAGUCAACUAUAAUCUAGUUAGGUAUAUAAAUUGUUUGAUGCUUUAUAAGCAAAUAACAUAUAGAGACAGACAGUGUGUGUUCGUUUUUUCAUAGUUAAAGAUAUAGUUAGAAUGGGUGGUUCAAAAUCAAAAAUGGUGAUAAUGUUUGUUAUGUUAUUAAUAAUAUUUAAAAGUGGGUGGAGUGAGGGAUGUUUGGAUCACGAGAGAUUUGCUCUUUUGCGACUUAAACAUUUCUUCGAUGAUACUGGUAGUUAUCUUUACGACUGGGCCGAUGAUGAGGGAGCUACUGAUUGUUGUCAGUGGGAAAGGGUUGAGUGCAGCAACACCACAGGUCGAGUGACAGCGCUAGACCUUUCUGACACGUAUUCGGGAGAGUACGGCUGGUAUCUGAAUGCUUCUUUGUUUACUUCCUUUCAACAACUUGAGUCACUUGAUUUUAGUUUAAACAAAAUAGCCGGUUGUGAUGAGAAUGAAGGUACUUCGUUUAAUUUAAUUAAUUUACUUUCACUCUCCUAAUUUAAGUGGAAUAUUAAGACUGAGCAACUAUAUGCAUAUACAUUAGUUGACAAUUUUGACAUAUUUUUUGAAGUGAUUAAUUAAUUUUGAAAUUACACCAAUAUCUAUGAUCUUUUUUUUUUUUUUAAUUUUGCUUGCAGGUCUAGAGAGGUUAUCAAGAUUGAACAAUUUAAAGAUGCUUAAUUUAAGUUAUAACUGGUUCAACAAUAGUAUCUUAUCAUCUUUAACUCGUCUUUCAUCAUUAAGAUCAUUAAAAUUAUAUGCGAAUAAUUUGGAAGGAAGUAUUGAUGUUAAAGGUACAUAUUUAAAACUUCUCUCUUCCCCAAGCUCUUUCAUUAACCUGCUAAAAUAAGAUUCAAGGCUUUGAAUUCAAUUUUUUUAUGAUUAAUAUUUUAAAAAAAAGUUUUAAGCAAUUUAUAAAUACAAGUUUUAAUGUUUCUCAUAAUUUCAUCUUGUACUUUCAUAUGUCUUGAAUUUAAGAUUAAAAAAAAAACUCUAAUAGCGAACCAAACACCUCCACAACUUAUUAUUAUUAUUUUUUAAUUUGUGGUGAGGUUUGAAACAUUCAAGUCAAUUUGUACUUAUUACAGAAUUUGAUUCUUUGAGAGAUUUAGAGGAGCUAGACAUUGGAUGGAACAUGAUUGACAAAUUUGUGGUCUCAAAAGGUACUACAAAUACCAUAAAAAAAUGCCAACUUUUACAAAUAAGCUGGAUUCUUUGCCAUUUGGUUUAUUAUUUUACAGGUUUGAGUAAGUUGAAGUCUCUCGGUUUAGCUGGUAUCAAACUCAACCGUAGCAUCUUAUCUUCUCUGACUGUCUUUUCUUCGUUAAGAGAAUUACAUCUACGUGAUACCGGAUUCAAAGGAACAUUCGAUGUUCGAGGUAAGUCUAAGCCUUGCUUUCUCAUUUUAUAUAUGCCAGCUAGAUUUGUGUAUCAUUGACAUAAUUUAAUAUUUAAUUUGAUUCGUCUGAAGGAAUUACAUGCUAAUUUAAACAUACUUUUAUUUACUUUGUCAAUUAAUUAAUUAAUUAAUUACUAUUUGGCUUGGUUUGGAUGAAAUUCUCAUGAUGUUUUAAUUUCUUUAAAUUAAUUAAUUAAUUAACUUUGUUUUUAAGUCUUAAGUCUGGGCAUGUUUGCAGAAUUUGAUUCCUUCAAUAACUUAGAAGUGUUGGACCUGAGUUGGAACGAAAUCGACAAUCUUGUGGUUCCUCAAGGUAAACAAUUAAAAUGUUAUUUAAUUACAUUAUUUUAAUUCAUUUGAUCUGGGAAGGCCAAAAAGGUAAAAAAAAAAUUAAAUAAAGAAACAGAGAAUUUGUAUUAUUUAAAAAACAGAAUGUAAUAAAGAUUUGAUUCUAGUUCUUUAAUCUUUAAAGCGAUUGAAAAACAAUGUUGCUCUUUUCCCAAAGCAUAAAAUACGAAUUGAAUGCCGAUUAACUUAAUCAUUCAUUUUGUUUAGCUCUAAAUUUAGACAAUGAAUUUUUAUAUUAUUUCAAAAACAGGACGUAAUAGAAUUUUUUUUAAAAACAGAUUGUAAUAAAGAUUUGAUUCCAAUUCUUUAAUCUUUACAGUGAUUGAAAAACGAUACUGCUUCCCAAAGCACAAAAUACGAAUUGACUCCCAAUUAAAUUAAUAAUUUAUUUCGUUUAGGUCUAAAUUUAGAAAAAUGAAUUUUGAUUCUCUUCAAUCCUUUCCUAAUUAUUAUUAAUAAACAGGUUACAAAGGUUUGAGGAAGUUGAAAAGCCUUGAUCUAUCGGGAGUUGGAAUUAGAGAUGGAAGCAAGUUGUUACAGUCAAUGGGAUCAUUCCCAUCCCUCAACACUCUUCACCUUUUGUUGAAUAAUUUUAACAAUAUAGCGACAGCUACUCAAGGUAAGUAAAAGUUGGAGAUGUGACCAAAUUUAUAAAUAAGCUGUUAAUUAAUUAAUUAAUUAAUUUUUCCGUAUUAUUAAUUAAGCUAAAUUCCUUGCUCCUUCCUUCUAAAUCUAAACAGAGUUGCACACUUUCACCAACUUGGAAUAUUUGACAUUGGACCAUUCCUCCCUCCAUAUAAGCCUUCUGCAAAGCAUUGCGUCAAUAUUCCCUUCGUUAAAAGAUUUGUCGAUGUUUGAUUGCAAAGUCAACGGUCUUGUACGCGGUCAAGGUAAAAGAAAAGUGUCGAUUGUGAACUCACUCAGUGUUGUCCUACGUGUUCAACAUUUUUAUUUAUUUAUUUUAUUGUUUAAUGUUUCUGCUAGGUUUUCCUCAUUUCAAGAGUUUGGACCAUUUGGACAUGGUUUUCGCGCGCACUGCACUCAACACCAGCUUUCUUCAAAUCAUCCGUGAAUCAAUGCCUUCUCUUAAGUACUUAUCAAUGUCAGAUUCUACUCUUGGCACUAACAGCAGCAGGAUUCUUGAUCAAGGUUAAUAAUAUAAAUAUUUAAUUACACAAACGAAUCACUUAUUAUAAAAGAAUAAUACGCAUUCAUUAAUUUUUAUGUUGUAUUAAUUGAUGAAUUUAAUAAAAUUUCAGGCCUCUGUUCGUUGAUGCAUCUGCAAGAGUUGUACAUCGAUAAUAAUGAUUUGAGAGGUAGCUUGCCUUGGUGCUUGGCAAAUAUGACAUCCCUCCGAAUAUUAGAUGUUUCUUCCAAUCAACUUACUGGAAGCAUCUCCUCAUCUCCCCUCGUUCAUUUGACAUCCAUUGAAGAACUGAUGCUUUCAAACAAUCACUUCCAGAUCCCAAUUUCACUUGAACCACUUUUCAAUCACUCAAGACUCAAGAUUUUCGAUGCUGCGAACAACGAAAUAAAAGCUGAAAUAACUGAGUCACAUUCUUUGACCGCCCCAAACUUCCAAUUACAAGCUCUCUCAUUGUCUUCCGGUUAUGGAGAUGGUGUCACAUUCCCCAAAUUCCUUUACCAUCAACAUGACCUGGAGGAUGUUCGUCUCUCACACGUAAAUAUGGAUGGAGAAUUUCCAAACUGGUUGUUGGAAAACAACACAAAAUUGAGACAACUUUAUCUCGUCAAUGAUUCUCUUACAGGACCUUUCCGAUUGCCAAUCCAUUCACACAGAUGGUUAAGAUUCUUGGAUGUCUCCAACAACAACUUCCAAGGCCACAUUCCAGUGGAAAUUGGAGAUAUUUUACCAAGUUUAAUAUCCUUCAACAUUUCAAUGAAUGCUUUAGAUAGUAGCAUUCCCUCUUCAUUUGGUAAUAUGAAAUUCCUCCAAAUUCUGGACUUAUCCAACAAUCACUUGACUGGUGAAAUCCCCGAGCACUUGGCCGUGGGUUGCGUCAACUUGCAGGCUCUUGCAUUAUCAAACAACAACUUAAAAGGUCAUAUGUUCUCCAGAAACUUUAACCUGACAAACUUGAGAUCAUUACAAUUGGAAGGCAAUCACUCGUAGGUGAGAUCCCACAAAGUUUGUCUAAAUGCUCCUCACUAGAAGGAUUGUAUAUUAACAAUAAUAGUCUUUCGGGUAAGAUUCCACGAUGGUUGGGUAAUCUCACAUGGUUACAAUAUAUUAUAAUGCCCAAUAAUCAUCUUGAAGGCCUUAUUCCAGUGGAGUUUUGUCAGCUUGAUUCGCUUCAGAUUUUGGACAUUUCAGACAACAACAUAUCUGGAAGUUUACCAUCUUGUUUCCAUCCUCUCUCUAUUGAACAAGUUCAUCUUUCAAAAAAUAUGUUACAUGGACAGCUAAAAAGAGGUACAUUCUUUCAUUGCUCUUCCCUGGUGACAUUAGAUCUCAGCUAUAACCGUUUGAAUGGCAGCAUUCCGAAUUGGGUUGAUGGGCUUUCUUAGUUAAGCCACCUUAUCUUAGGUCACAAUAAUCUUGAAGGUGAAGUGCCAGUUCAAUUGUGCGAACUGAACCGAUUGCAAUUGUUAGAUCUUUCUAAUAAUAAUCUUCACGGUCCUAUUCCUCCUUGCUUUGAUAACACCACACUUCAUGAAAGUUACAGCAAUAGUUAUAGUCUUGAUGAGCAAUUUGAAAUAUUUGUUUCCAUCGAAGGCUCUUGGGGAUCGGUAGAAAAGUAAAUCCAUGAAAUUUUUGAGUUCACAAUAAAGAACAUUGCGUACAUUUACCAAGGAAAAGUUCUUAGCCUCCUAUCAGGACUUGAUCUUUCUUGCAACAAGCUAAUCGGUCAUAUUCCUCCUCAAAUUGGAAAUUUGACAAGGAUUCAAACAUUGAAUCUAUCACACAACAACUUGACAGGAUUGAUCCCAUCAACAUUUUCAAACUUGAAGCAUAUCGAAAGUUUGGAUCUUUCCUACAACAAAUUGAAUGGGAAAAUCCCUCAUCAACUUGUGGAGUUAAAGACAUUGGAGGUUUUCAGUGUGGCAUACAAUAACUUAUCAGGCGAAAUUCCAGAAUGGACAGCACAAUUUGCAACCUUCAAUGAGAGUAGCUAUGAGGGAAAUACUUUUCUUUGUGGAUUGCCAUUGCCAAUUUGUAGAUCACCAGCAACUAUGUCGGAGGCUUCAAUUGGCAAUGAACGAGAUGAUAAUUUAAUUGACAUAGACAGUUUCUUUAUCACAUUUACAACAUCGUACGUAGUUGUGAUAUUCGGAAUUGUUAUUGUUUUAUAUGUAAAUUCUUAUUGGCGACGUAAAUGGUUUUACUUUGUUGAAAUGUGGAUAACUUCAUGUUACUAUUUUGUUGUAGACAAUCUUAUUCCAACAAGAUUUUGUCAUUAAAAUUAAUUAGUAGUUUAAUUACGAUUCUUUAAGUUCUAAUCAAGUUUGCUUAGGAAAUAAAUUUAUUUUUAUUUUUUAUUAAAAUUGUAGUAGUAUUUAGCGUUACAUAGCUUCCAACUUCCAAGCACUUCACAUUUGUCUCUACACUUCCAAACCCAUAUCUAUCCACCAUAACUUAUACUUCCCUAUACUGUGCAGCCUACUUAAAUAAGAGAACCAUCUCCAAUGUUAAAACCAGCCACUCUAUAACAUUCAUUUAGAAACUAUAUUUAGAAUAGUUUUAUUAUCAUACACAAGAAAUGAAACACCUAGAUGCACUUGAUCGCCUAUUUUACUUUAAAAAACAAUAAUUAUCGUGCUAUCAUCAUCUUCUUCACUAGCAACAUUAACACCAAAUCCAGCGAUGGACCCAGACAUUUAAUCAAGAAAGGUAUAUAUAUAACAAAGUUGAAGCUUGACAAAAAAUUCAGGAAGAUUAAUGCCUCGGUAUAUAUAUAUAAUAAAGUUGAAGCUUGACAAAAAAUUCAGGAAGAUUAAUGCCUCGCCACAACAAGGGGCACAACAACAUCAAAGUAGAGAUGAAGCAAUAUUCUCAAAGCUAAAACUCUCAAAUCCACCCACCAGAAUUUCAUAUCUCCUCGACAAUUUUAAGAACUAAAGAUAAUUAGGAUUUAACAUUAGUUUUUUAUAUAUUAGUUUCAUAAUUUACAAAUCAAUGAAGAUGAAGAUUAUGCUAAUGAAUUCAAAUUAUACCAUACAUUCUAUAGAUGUUACCAAAAAUUUCUAAGUCAAUCCCACAUAUUUCAUAAUUUUAAGACUAGAAAAUUUCAUUAGUUAGAAGUUUCAUUACCUUCAAGUGGAAGAUGAAGAACAUUAUACAAGUGAUUCAGAUUAUAUCAUACAUACUCCAAAUGCAACUAGAAAUUAACAAGUUCAUGCGCACAGAUUUCAUAACAUUAUGAUUGGAAAGUUUCACAAAGAGAAAUUCUAAAUUCAAUCUCUUGCAUCAAGGUAGUUUGAUUGAUUUGAGUUACUUUCUGAUCAAGCUACUAAUAUAACAUUCAAGUUAGGGAGAAAGUAAAUUAAAACUGGGAAGAAAUAACAGUAAAAAUUUGUUGCUAAACAUGAUGUGUAUUUUUUUUAAGGCAAUUUGGAAACACAGUUGUUACUACAGAUAUUCUCCUCAACUUGGAGACAAAUACAAAUAUUAAAAUGCAUAUGAUCGCACAUACUACUUGGAGCUUAGUAAGAUUUCAUUAAAAGAAGCAAUCAAACCACUUAUCAAUUGUCGCAAUCGUUCUAUAAACUAAAAUAGCAAUAUAAUACAAGAAAAAGAACAUAUAGAUACUCGGCAAGAGUUCAUUAAGAAGUCGCAUCACAUUAGGGUGAGGAGUUUGCUUCUGAUAUCUUGCUAGCUGGGGCUUUUUCUUGUCUUUCUACGUAUGCCGAGGGAAACCAACCAGCUAGGCCCUUGCAUUCACCUUCCGACCAUCCAGUAGGAGCCACCUUGAGAAGUUAUAACUAAAACGGUGAAUUAAAAAAAAGUUGACAAUUCAAAGACCUAAGGGGAAAACUAAUUCUUUUACGUAGAGGAAGUGAACUAGUUGUGAUCACUGAAAUAAAAAAAUAACUAUGGAAGCAUAACAAGAUAUAAAUUCACAUGUCUAUAAGGGUAAACAGGGUGGUUUAGAACUGAGCUAGCAACCCUACUAUAUUCUGAUUUGCACUUCAAUGUAAAAGGGAAUAUAUGGUAGGAAGAAAAAAAACCAACCAUCAUUUGUUAACUUAUUGCUUUUCAAUCAAAAUUUUAAGAACAAAAUGCCAUGUGCUUUGAACAUCAAAUAAGUAUAAGCAUUAGUUCUAAAUUCCACAUAUUAUAAGUUGUUAGAAGGAUAAGUUAAUAGCAUAGUAGAAAAAUCUAUGUGUUGGUAUUUAGAGGGGAAAGUACCUGGCGAACCACAACAUAAUCAUCAAUUGAAAGACUUAGCUCUCCAUUUGCUUGAUCAUCAAAUGGAUGUAUAACCUGCAAGAUAAUGGGAUAAAUAGAACUUAAAAAAAGCAUAACAAAAGCAGCAACAGCAGCAGCAGCAUUCAUUGUAACCACUAUGAUCAUGGCCAACAAAGAUAUAUUAGAAACAAAAUUCCAUUUUUACUACGACUUUAAUAUGUACUAUACGAUAUCAUGACGAUUGGGUUAUCAAGUGCUAUCAAAGUCUAAUAAGUUCUGUAUAACUUUAUAUAGUUAUUUUAAUUAUGGAUCAAAUUUUAAAUUUGAAAUUUUGACUGCUCUCCACAAAAUAUGGCCUAUGCACAAGAAAGUCAUAGAUAAUGAGGAUUACAAGUGUCCGACAUCUUUUGAGUGAUGGAUUUAACAUGAGAGCUUAUGGUCAGUCAAUUUCCUCUGCCUAGCAAUAUAAGCUUUCUCGGCCAGAUUUAUCAUCAAAUACAUAGAUUGCCCCCAAGUCACAUCCAUAUAAACAUAGUUUUCUAGGUAAACCAAGUAAGGAGAAUCAUAAUUUAGACAUAAUCAUAAAAAGGCCCAUCUAACUUAAGAGAAAAUCUCAAAAAGAGGGAUGUUGAGCUAUCAGUCUUGUAUCUAUAAGCAAUAUCAAGACUUUACAUCACCUGCUACAUCGUGAGUGGCUACACAACUUUCAGUGGUUUGUCUUUCUUUGGCAUGCCUAACUCAGCUUUGAUGUUGCUGAGAUAUUGAUAGUAGAGACACAUGAUACUUCUAGCUCAUGCAUUUUAUCUAGCUCAUCCGACAACUAUUUCUUUUUUAAUUCAUUAGUGUUUGCUAAACCUCAUGCUCAAAAGUCCUGUUCUCCUAAACAAAGUUUCCUAAGAAUGACUUCCUCAACACAACAUUUGGACACUUUUAGAGCAAUUUUAUUUGGAGGAAAAGAAUUUUCAAGGUGUUAACUAAUAAAUUUUAAAAUAUAAUUACAAUUUGUCCUACGAUCAUAUGACAAUUUAUUUGGGAUGAAAGGAUACAGACAGACAUCUUCCACUUUCAAGACUAAUCACUACUUCCGUAGAUGUUGUGCAAUGAUACAAAUACUUGACCAGAUGGUAGUGAUGGUAGAAAAAAAUUUAUUGCUCCAAAAUUAAAAUAAGAAUGCAAUAUGUUAAGCAAAAGACUGUGCAACAUCAAAUUAAUUGAUGAGUUUGUAAUUCAGUAAAUUAACAACUUUCAUGGUAAAAUACAACAAGUUUCUUUUAAAAAAAAUAAAUCUUAAAAGACAGCAUUCAUUUUUGUGCGCAUGUUAUUUCUUAAGAUUUUUCAGGAGGAGGGCAAUAGAGGGACUUUCACCUAUGCAAGAGAGCAGAAGCCUUACUUUUGCUAUAAAGUAGACGUCAUUCUGAUUAAUAUGCGUUUGAAUCAGCUCCGUUUGCUAUAAAGUAGACGUCACACAUGAGGCAUUUACAUCCAUUUCCAAAGUCACAUGUUGCGAGGAGGACUCAUUUGAUUGCUCCUCUAGGAUCAUCUAAUGCAAGUAGUAAGGGUUGGAAGAAAAUAAAAAGUCACAAUUAUUCUUUUGCGUAAGUGAGACGAAAAUGAUAAAUGCAAUAUUAUCAGCAGUAAACAAGAAGAGAACGCUCCAAGGAAUAGAUAGAUGCAGACAAGCAAGUUAAAAUGCAUAGUCCCAAACCUCCGCAUACAACUUCUCUAAAAUAGCAAUAACGUGUUGAUGAUAUGUUUUCUCAGCAUCUACCUGCAAAGGCCCGAGACCAGGAAAACGGCAAUAAAACCACUAGCUAAAGGAGAAAGUAAAGAAAGAAAUACACUUGACAUAAAUCUUGACAAGAAGCACAGUUUAAACCCCAAUCAUAUUGUUUAGAACUACCAUUCGUUAUUGUAACAUUUCGAACAAGUGUUGACUUAAUUCAACAUUGUUGGAAAGAUAGGCUUUUAAAAGCGGAAGAAAGCCACUCAAACCAAAGUGAUUGUCCUUGUAUUGAUCAAGGGAUGUAAACAUAUUACAUUUGCAGGAUAAGUUUUAAUUAAUCACUCCCCUGAUUUAUUUGGGUUGCAGUUUAAUUUGUGAAUUUCGUUAUUGUAACAUUUCGAACAAGUGUUGACUUAAUUCAACAUUGAAAAAUUAUUCAAUAAAUUAUGCAAACAUUAAAAUAGAGGACAUAUUAAAAAGUUUCUAAUUACAAUGUUAAUAUUUCCUAUAUUUUAGCAUUUGCAUAUUUUAAUUUAUUUAAAAGCUACGUCGAUCAACUUUGGGCGUGAAGAUUUUAGCUUCUACGAGACUUGAUUGGAAUAUGCAUAAGGAAGAGUGUUAAAAUAUGAUGCAUCCAACGAAAGACAAACCACGUGUAGUCUUUUAAUUAAGCCAAAGUAGCAGCUCAAACAAAUGACACUUGGACCAACAUGCAAUCAUGAAGUGGCCGGAAAAAGGACAAAUGCAACUUUGGCUUAAAUAAAAAAUAACAUGUGACUUGACUUUUGCUGGACAUGCAUCAUGUUAUUACAAGACAACAGAAAUCAGUAUGAUAGUACUAAAAGUUGACAAUAACAUGAAGAUAAGAGGCAGAAUAUCAACACAUGCAUAGGCACACACAAGGAAGUAUUAACUUAUAUACCAUAGCAAAAAGUCUUUGAUAUGUCAUCUGUUGCUGCUGUGAUUCAACUGACAGCAUGGCAGUUGUCGCUUCUCUACCAAGAGCCAUUAUUGUAGAUUUAAGCUCGGUCAAUCUUGCUUCUGCAUUUCGAAGCUUCACAGCACUCUCUGCUGAUAUAUCAGAUUCCCUAAUCUUUGAUCGGCGCCUAAAUACUUCAGCUGCCUGGUGAAAAUAUUCAAUAUAAAUCUAACAUAAUUCUAAUCUUGCCUUAUACAUGCAUAUGUUAACUCAAAGCUUACCUGGGCUUCAACUUCAUGUCGAAGUUUGUCAUAACGAUGAGUCAGGUGUCGAGCAUCUUCCAAAGGUGCUCCGUUGAUUAACGCCCGUAGUGGCUCAGAUACCUACAUGUCCAAAAACCUGUAACAUAGUUAGAAAAAUGAAAAGAAAGAGCGAAACCUCAAUUAAAAAGUUCCUCCAACAUAAUCAUGGAAUUUGGGCCUACUUCAAGGACAUAUAUAAGGAUAAUUUAUGCAAUUUUGGGUCUUAGGAUGAUUGGCAUUAGGUUAGUGUUCUUCUCUUCUGUAUUUAAGGUUAAAAUAGAAAUAAACCUAUGAAAAUAUCUAAAUUAGGGCUGUAAGACUUCCACAUGCAUCCUUCAGUCUCAUGGAUUUGAUUUUACUAUAGAUGCAAGUGUCUUUAUCGAAAAUGCUUGGAGUCAAUUGAGAGAACUCACGGCCAAUAACUUGUCACACGCUAGUCUUUGCUAGUGAUGUAAGAAGUCACAAGGUCUCUUCAACAUUUGAACCCAUAAAAUUAUUAAGUCAUGGAUGUCACUAGCAAUGAUUUUAAUAUAAAACAUUAAAUAUUUCAGAGUUGUAACGUUAAAAUUCUUUUAUUCAAUAUCUUAGAACUAAGUUUCCUUAUGAGAAGAUAAUAGUUUCAGUAGUAAUUUACAUAUAAUUUUCUAUAUUUGAAUUAUUUUCUAGUUAGGGAUGAACUAACCUGAUCACCAAGAAUCCCAAGCAAAGUUUCCCUCUCAUUUUCCAUCAAAUCAUGUGAAGUGCCAAAUUGAAGAGCAGCUCUUGCAACGCAAGAAUUGUCACUUUGAUUCUCCGCUCCAUACUUGCAACAAUCUUCAGCCAACUUUCUCGCUACAAUAUUUGAAUACAAAAAUAUUGUGCACAAGAACUAGUCAAGAAAAAAAAAAUCAAAUAUUAUAACGAAUGCAAGAGCAAACAAACAACCUAUUUCCAUUUGUUUCAAGCUUACUGCAACAAGCCCUUCAAUGCCACGAACAAUAUUCCUCUGAAAAUGCUGCGCUACAGAGCAUAUAUUCCAAAUUAUUGUUCAGAUAAAACCAUAGAAACCAUCAUAAUUAUUCAACAUACAUUAAGCUCCGUUUGGUAAAUACUUGCAACUUCAGUCUAGAGAAUACAGUUCUAUAUAUGUAGCAGUCUAAAGGAGGAUGGUGCCUUAGCUGCCCUGGUGGAAUUGUAUAGAUUUUGAAGUUGUUGGUGACACUCAAUUUCAGCUUCAUCAACUGCCUGUACAAAUCAUAAAAAACUAAUGAAAAAAAUAAAUAAAAUCGAGAAAUUUCACUAAUUAAAAGUCUAAAUAUAAUUUUAAAAAAGAAAGAAACGCACUUGGUGCUGCUUGGCGACUUGUUCUCGGAGCUUGAUUGCCUGUUUCUUGAUAGCUUCCAUACUGUUUCUUUCAAAAAGCGGCGACGGCUCAGCUCAUGGAAGUUGGGGAAAAAAAAAAGUGUGAUCAAGAAAAUAAAAAGGCAUAUUAUUGUUGACAAAAUGUGAAAAUAAAAAAGAAAAAAGAAAAUUAUAAGUUUGAAAGGAGAAGAUGAUAGUGGAAGAGUGCGGCGUGGCUGCCAGCUACUUGGAUUGUAUUGUCGGGUAAGGUAAUUGUAGAAAAUUAUAAGUUUGAACAGAGCAUGUUAGACUUUUGUUGACCAAAUUCAAAAGGCAAAUGGUACGGCCCAGAAGCUUUGGAAUACAGUAACUUACAAGAAAGCUCCAUUUAUUCUUCUUAUACUUUACGCUUGCAUCAGCUUAAAUCACUUCUUAAUCGCUUGCUUUAACUGCGCCGCUUUGUACUGUUCUAUAUAUGUAGCAGUUAUGCGGAUGUAGUUCACGGCUGAGGGUACGUGUUUGUUUGACGUGGUAGUUACGUUACGACGUUACGAGAGUAUUAUUAGUUAUUUCACAGGGAUAAAUAAGAUUAGUCACAAUAAACCCACUAGUUUUAUAAAAUUCGAGUAAUAUAGAAUAAAAUAAAAAAUGAAUACAAAAUUGACUUUUAUUUUUUAUGGUUGACUAUAUUUUGUGUUCUCUUCUGGUACUACUACAAUUGUUCCCUGUAUAUCACUCAUACCCAUAUAUCAUUGACACAAGAAAUGAAAUCUAAUGUCAGAUGUUUAGUUAAAGAAUCACUUAUGAAAAAAUUUUACCAUUUUGAUUUGAGGAUCCCUAUUUUGAACUGCAAGCUAAUGUUCAUCAAGAACAGAGUAUGGCAGUUGAGUAGAAAAACUAUUUUUGGACAAAUUGUUUUUAUUGAUAGAAGAAUUUCUCAAGGGACUACUAAAAUUAUUAAAAAAAAAUGUCAAACACGCCCAUAUAUCAUCAACACAAUUGGUUUUGAGAAUCCAUACUUUAAACUGCCGCCUAAUAUUCAUCAAGAGCAGAGCAUGGCUUGUGAGUAGAAAAUUUUCUGAUUUUGGCCCCAAAUAAUCCAGCACUUUCUCAUGAAGAAAUGCAUACAAAGCAUACCAUGGUACCAUACAAUACAAGGAGUCUCCGUUCUCUAGUUUUUCAAACUCUAAAGGGGCCAAUACUCCCUAAUUCCCCCUCGAAAAUUCUGAUUAUGACAUUAUUCAUCCCUCGAUGCAAUCAAAGUAGUGACAAAGUUAGGAAAAAUAUGAGUCCUAAGUAAUUGCUAGGCAGGGCUCCUGUGAGCAAAAUUGUCCUAAGCAUUAUAUGCAUACAUGGUGUGGUACAUAAAGCACAAUGAAUUCCACACUAUAACACAAACCCAGAAAGAGAAGAAACAACUUAAUUGAUGUAAAGACAAAAAGAAGAUAAAAUGAUAUAGAAAAAAAAAUUCAAAGAGAUAGCAACAUACUAUAGACUGAAGCCACUUGAUCUGCUCAUUGAUUGCAGCCUUAAACUUGCAAAUAGUUACCGUAAGCUAGUGCUAUAAGAAGUGAAAAUGAUGCACACCCUGAUUCCCUUCGACUUCCAUUUACUGUCAAACAUUCUAUUAAUACAAAAAAAUUGUUCAAAUAUCUUGCCAUAAAUAUAGCCGUUUGACUGGCUUAAUAAAGUCACAAAUAACCAUUCAUAUUGAUCCACAGUGUCACACCGCCUGCUUUAUGCAUACAACAGCUGUAUGUAUACCAACUCCUAACCUUAUCAAUACAUUUGGCAAAAACUUAAGAAGAAAACUAUUUCUCCAUCUCUUUUUUGAAAUUUCACAAUAAACCAGCAUAUUGUAAACGUUAUGUUGUAACCUUAUGAUAAAUGCUCUAGACUCCAAAUGAAUUUUAUAUAUGAGGGUUUGUUGCAGCAGAUAUAUUGACUUAUCAAGUAUGAAUCAUUGUCUAGAAGAACUAUCUUUAGAUAAAAGAAUAUUAGAACCAUUCUAGAAUAUCUUUAGGUUGCUAGUUCUAACAGGAAUCUGCAUGUGGCAACAGUUGCCAGAUCCACAAUUCCCCAACUUGAAAUACAUAGUUGCACACCGUGAGAUAGUGCUGCAAUCUACUGAGAUCUAACUUAUAUGAUACUUUAAGCUACUAAUGUUUGCAUAUUUCUACAUGUUAAAUUGACACUACCAUCUAUAAUCACUCUAAAACGACAGAUGAUAAGCAGCUUUUGGCUACUUAUUACUAGCAUCCACAAUUAAUUUUUGUUCAGCAAUCAGCUUAUUUUAUAGAAAUUGAUUUAGUCAGCAACAAACACUAUAAUCCUUGAAAUUAGUUCUUGUUCUUUGUAAUUUUCUAUGAUUUUUCAUACAUCAAUUAAUCUGCAGUGCCAAGAUGAGGUUUGGUUUUUCAAACUAAAUAAUCAAGUAGCAAAAAUACAAAUUUAGAGAUUAGGGGGUGAACUAGCUAGGUGGUUUACAAAUAUUCCUAUUUGUAAGGUGAAUUAAUUGAAUCAUGAGAAAACAAUGUGACCAUAGCUCAAUAUGAGAUGAUUUCGGAGAGGCAUAUUGUUUUCAAGUGAAUUUGAUCCAUUAAGAGAUGAAGUGGAUUGAAGUGGAAAGUUUAAAUAACAAAUCCUUGUUCUUGAGUUUUACGACGUUGUUACUCCUUCAGGUGGCAGAUUAUGCAAGUGAAUUCAAAAACACAAUGCAUCAAUCACGGGGAUGCUACACCAAAAGACGGGAUCAUAGUCUAUGCAUUGAACAGUUACAGUUGCUGCUACCAAUUGACUCGGCAAAGAUCAAGAAGACUGAACGGGAAGUUAAUGCCAUCAAUGUCGUCUUCACUAUAGCUGCUGGGAAUGUAGGUGAACUUUCCUCAUUUGCGGCUGUCUAUACAUAGGCUUUUCCCCAGCUUAAGUACAAAUAAAUGAACCUGCUUUGAAGGCUUUAUUAUUGACCACAAUAAGGAUUACUAAUUGAAGAAGACUAUACGGAGUUAAUCCCACACUUUCGUUCUCUCAAUUUCUUUCAGAAGUGCCUCUGAAAAUAGCUGCCAAACCGUUAGUCAGCUUGUUAGACUCUGUUUUCUGGAAACAGAGCCCUAACUAACUGACUGUACAGAGUAAGUCAACAUAGCAUAUUUAAUCGUUUUAAUUGAAUUGUCUUCGUAGCGAUCAUCAACAAACUCAUCAUGAGAUUUUUGAAGCACCCAAGGACUAUCACUGGGUUUCUCUUCUGGUUGAUUAAUUAAUUAAUCAAAGAACGGUUGGAUACCCAAGGACAAUUAAAAUUAUUCGACUUCUGGAACUGGGAAUGAAGUGCAAUGAUGGAGCAAAAUUUACAAUGUCUCCGGUUUCUCCUACCAUCGGACUUUUGCAGUGAGAACAUAUAACAAAAAGGCCUUCAUCAAAAUUUGUAGACUCCGGGUAUGGAUUGGAUCGAUUUUUUUGUUUGAUAUUGAAGAACCUCUUUACUAUCGCGAUAUAGAUUAUGUGCAAGGAGUUGUCUACUGUUCUUUGCCUUGUGCUAUGAUCGGUGCUCUUGAGGCUGCCCUGAAACACAGGAAAAUACUUCGAUAUCCUCCGUUCGAUGAUGCAAAGAACCGGUUAAUGUAUGAUUACCUAAUUGACUCAGGAUCAGGUAACAACAACAACAAUUUAUUAAUAUCACAAACGAAGAAGAUCGCGGAGAGGGAGAUGUAUGCCUAUACUGUUUACAGGUUUGAUCCAUUGGGGAUGAAGUGGUCUCAAGUCGAAAGUGAUUUAUUAAACAACAAAUCAUUGUUCUUGGGUUAUACCUCAUGAUGUCAUCAAGUGGAAGAUUAAGAUUAUGCAAGACGAAGAUCGUUUGAUAUUGAAGAAUUUGAACAGAAAGCCCAUAGAAAGUACUUAAAAAAGCAUAUUCUUGUUGGGGUAGAAUAUUGAGAAAGGAGUUGUCUACUGUGUGUUGCGUGAUUAUGCUAUGAUCUGUGCUUUGAACAUUGCCCUGAAAACAGUGGAAAAUACUUCAUAUCCUCGACAUGAUGAUAAAAAAUUGGUUACCGAUUACGUAACUGACUCAGGUGACAACAAUCCAUUAAUAGCACAAUUUGAGGUGAUGCCGUUUAGGUAUAUGGUUAACAGGUUUGAUUCAUCAAUGAUGAAGUGGGCUUAAAUUAAAAGAUCAUAUAAUAAGUCGUUCUUCUUGGGCAUAUCGUCAUUACUACUUCAAGUGAUCAAAGAUGAAGAUGAAGAUGAAAAUUGUGCAAGUGAGUUCAAGAAUACCAUACAUCGUUACUUGGGAUACUUCUUCAAAUAUGGAUGGGGUCAUAAUUUACUCCCACGAAUUUCAACCCAAUUUUAUGAUUGGAGUGUCCCACCAUGACUCAGAAAAAUUUUGAUUCAACCUCCUCCACCAAUGGAUUUUGAUUAGUCACUUUGUGAUCAAGCAACUUAAUUAAACUCAGAGAGUCAGAGUUCGAUUUUGCUGGCACCGCAUUUUCUUUAAAAUGUGGCCAUGUAAGGAGAGCGGCACAUAAUGUCACUUCCUUAUCAAGCACUUUAAAGAGGGAUUUUAGAAGAAGAUACAACUGCAAUUGUUUUCGUAUGUAUAUAUAUAAACAACAGCACACAUUCAGUUCAUAAAAGAAAUUUUUGCUAACCAUGAUAUGUGGUAGUGCUUUUUAGGCAAUUUAGAAACAGAGUUGUUCAACUUACAGCAGGUAUUCUCCUCAAGUUCGACGUAAAUACAAAUAUUAAUUAGAAUCCAUAUUAUAAUGACACACAUAACUUGCUUCAAAAUUAUCAGAAAUUAAAAUUGCUGAUUCAUAAUGCAGAUAACUUGGAUGAAUUGAUGUUAAAGGAAAAAUCACAGGCAUAACUUGGAGAGCAAUUGCGACAGCAGCCAAGUAUAUAUUUUUAUUUGAGAGUUGAGAAGAAUAUAUUUAAUGAAGCUUGAUAACAUUUGAUGGGAUAGCAAGUAAGGGUAAAUAAGAUAUUUUUAUUUGUUAUUUAUUUGAAUUAUAUCUAUUUUGUUCAAGUUAAAAUACUAAAUAUAAAUUGGAGGUAGACAUUUUAACAGAUCAUCUAAGCUCUCAAAUCUGAAAUUUUGUGUAGAUUUAAAUUCAUAAUUUUAGUUAAUUUUCAUUCAUUCAUAUAAACAAAUUUAUGAGAUUUUUCUUUUCAGCAUGUUAUAUUUUGAAACUUUCAAUGUAUUAUUCUAGCUUUAUUUAAACAAUUAAUUUAUUUAAUUUUGAAUUUGAUCAGUAGUAAAAUUAUUUUUAUAUCAAAUUUUUUUUAUUUAAAUAGUUCGUGGAUUGGACAAAAUUAAAAAAUUUUAAUCUACAAAAUGGUGGAUUAGAUAUGAAUUGGGUUAAAUCCACAUUCGAUUUGCAGUCGUAUGAAUUUGAUUUGGAUUGAAUUUCAUCAAUCCAUGGAUUAGAUUGGAUUGAAAAUUUAUUAUCCGCAAAAUCGUGGAUCGAAUAUGGACUGAUGUCCAAUCAGCAAAAUCCGAUCCCCGAACACGCCUCUAUCAAAAUUUUCAAGAAUAUGUUUUAUCUUACAAAUUUUUUUUUAAAGUCAUAAUCUAAUGGCAGCCCAAUUUUAUAAAGUCACACACAACCAUUCUUAUUAAAUUAGAAAGAUCAAACACUGCACUGGAUCUUGAACAGAUCAACACAAGUUGCACAACUUGCGAUUGAAUCCGGCCUGAAACAAUCAACUCUUUAGCAAGAACAAUUAAUCAGAGUCAAGAAACAAGUUUAAUGAAUAUAAACCUAUAAUUGAAACAAACAUAGCAAAGAAAAAAAAUACAGAUUUUACACGGUUCAGUUGUACCUAGGAUGGCACAACCUACACCACGAGAGAAGCUUUCUGGUGAGAUUUUAUUGAUGAUCAAAGAAGAAUCUUUUGACAAAGCUAAUAAUAGAGAUUUCAGAGAAUAAGCUAUAACCUCUCUCCCUCUUCAAUCUCUCUCUAUUUUGUUCCCAUUGAUGACCCCAAUCUGCUUAGUUAGCCAGCUUUAUAGCUGCAUCAGUAACAAACCAGCAAACCCAGAUUGAGCAGAUUGACGACACGUGGAUAACGGCUUUAACGAACCUGGUUAAGAACUGCUCACAUGUUCGUCACGCGUACUGCUUAAAUGAUGGCCAAAACGACUUCAAACAAAUGUCGUUUUGAGGCUUAUGAAUUACAAGUGAUAACACGAGAUUGUCUCAUGACUUUUAAAUGCAACAACGUGCCCAAAACGCUGUCGUUUUACUCUGUUGAGUUUGAUUCAUUACUAAGCUUUACGACUGGCAAUGGAGAAGAUGAUAAUUUAAUUGAUAUGGACAGUUUUUAUAUCACUUUUACAAAAUCCUAUGCAAUUGUAAUAUUGGGAAUUAUUGAUGUUUUAUAUGUGAAUCCUCAUUGGCAAAAACUAGUGGUUUUAUCUUUGUUGAAAUGUAGAUUACCUCUCGUUACUAUUUUAUUAUAAACAUAUAGUUUCGUAAGUGAAACUAUAUAUUUAUAAUAAAANNNNNNNNNNNNNNNNNNNNNNNNNNNNNNNNNNNNNNNNNNNNNNNNNNNNNNNNNNNNNNNNNNNNNNNNNNNNNNNNNNNNNNNNNNNNNNNNNNNNCAUUUCUGCCUCAUUAAGAUUCUCAAAUACCAGUCAGGUUUGCUUAAGAAAUAAAAUUUUUCCAUUAAAAUUGCAGUAGUAUUUCCAAGCAUAUCGCAUUUUCUAUGAUUUUUCAUAAAUUAAUUAAUCUGCGGUGCCAAUAUCAGAUUUAGUUUUUCAAACUAAAUAAUCAAGAAAGCAAACAUACAAAUAUACAGUUUAGAGGGGUAAACUAGGCAGGUGGUUUAGAUUUUAGAACUAAGGCAGCUACCUCACUAAAUUCCGAUUCGUACAGUGAACUGCAAGAAAUUGAGAAAACAAUGUAUUUAUAAUUUAAUAGAAUCAUAACAGAUGAAGUGGAAUGAAGUUGAAAGUUUAAAUAACAAAUCCUUGUUCUUGAGUUUUUACGACGUCGUUACUCCUUCAAGUGGCAGAUUAUGCAAGUGAAUGCAGAAACACAAUGCAUCUUCCGCGGGAUGAUACAUCAAAAGGCGGGAUUUGUUUAUGCCUUCAGAUUAGCAAUUUCACUCAUAUAGAAAAUUAAUUUUUUAUAUAUACUAAUCAACACUAAAUUGAUUAUGUGUUGUAUGUUUAUAUGCUAAUCAACACGAAAUUAUAUUGAAUUAUUAACAUUCAUAUUCCUAAUAAAAAUUAUUUUCCAUUAGUAUUCAAAAUUUUCACUUAUAGAAAAUGCAUUUUACGUGAAUACUAGUUAUUGUGUAAAUUUGAAUGAUAGCAAAAAAUAAACCUAUUUGAAAACUGUAAGGGUGUGUUGGGAUAUUUUACAACUGUCGGAAUCUGGUAGGAUAUUGCACCAUUUGCCCAAUAUUUUUAGACGUACUCUAACCGGUAUUCAAGAUAAGUAAAAUUUACAAGCGUGGCAAAAUAAAAAAAAUUAAAUUCGUAAUUUGUAAACGAAUUUUCCUGACAUGUAUAGUAGAUGAAGUUGUUGACCCUUUCUUUGGAUUAUUUCAGCUCUGGUUGUUGGUCACCGAUGAGCCGAAGUCUUAUUUUAAUUCUAUUUAAACUCAUCAUAAGAUUCGUGGAGCACCUAACUAACUUAACUGACUGUGCAGAGCAUCUCAACAUGGCAAAUUUAACCAUCAUUCAAGUGAUGGGUUUAAUAAGACUGCUUUUGUUCUACCAAGUUCCUCCGCCUCUAAGCAGAAUUACUAUUGAAGGGCCAAAUGGAAAAUGAAAACGUGUGAACUCCAACAACCACCCCACAAAUUCAAUGACGAUGCUCGGAGAGGGUUAGGUUGGGCCUCUGAGAAAAAAAAAAAUUAUUUAGUUAAAAAGUUACCCUUAUUGAAACCUGUAUAAAAAUUUUAUAUUAAUUAGUUAUGUUGCCUCUUCAACUAUGAUCAAAUUUUUAUCUGAGCUCAUCAUUUAAUGAGUAAACAUGUAUUUUAAUGAUCUCAAUUAAUAUUUAGAACAAAUAUUUUAAGAAGUAAAGCUCAUUAUAUCCCCCAUUAUUAUGUAUCUCUGUAAUGUAUUGAAUUAGAAGAAAAAAAAAAUUCAACUCACUCAAAAAAAAAAAAAUGCUGGUAGCUUCGUAAUAAUUACUGUCUUGACUGCACCAGAUAAAGUUUUGUAAAAGAAUUCUGAUAUUUACCCCGGGUCAAACCCCGAAAAUAACUUAAACGGUGUCGUUUUGAUUUUUUUUUUUUUUAUACUCCAAAACGUUCUUACCAUUUCCGUUUCACUUACCAUUUAAUGCUCACAACUCAAAUAAAAAGCCCAGAAACUAGAAUCAAACUUUACAGAAACUAGAAUGCCCAGAAACGUUGUAUAGCAGGAACGUAUGUAAAGAGAGUAAACAAGAGGGAUUAAACAGAACAUACGUUUUCUUCACUUAUUAUUAGCAACAAACACCCUACACAACACACAUUUAAUGCUCACAACUCAAAUAAAAAGCCCAGAAACUAGAAUCAAACUUUACAGAAACUAGAAUCAAACAAUACACAUUUCAUUUCUUCAAGGUUAGGGAGAGACUCAGGGGAGUGAUUAAUUAACAAAAAUAAGAAUAAUAAUACCAACAUUUGUACAGGUCAAAUAAGAAUAAUAAUACUCAACCUAAUACCCAGUAUAUACAAACAAAUGCCCAGGCCAUCGUUCCUAUUUUGCCAUAACCUAAAGAGGAAAAAGCGAAGCACUACCUCAGGCUGUGAACUUUGCCGCUUCGUGAGUUUAAUUUCCCGAACAAGUUUCGGCUACCAGCGUUACCAGUGUUGACGGUGACCGUGGCUGUCAGCGUUGACGGUGACCGUUGGUGGAUCCCGAAUGCCUGGACCUUGGUCGAGGAAGGAAAGUAACGAAUUUUUUGAACAAACGAAGAAACGAAGCACCGAAGAGAUUUACGGUCAAACGGAACAAGACCAACUUGCUCUUCUAUCUAUGGCUUUCCCAGUUGAAACGAAGAAACGAAGAGGAAGAGGUUUAAUUCUUCUCAAAAUCGUCCAUCAGAAACGGCAACGUUUUGGAGUAUAAAAAAAGAAAAAAAAAUCAAAACGACGCCGUUUAAGUUAUUUUUCGAGUUUGACCCAGGACAAACAUCAUUUUCCUUUGUAAAAUAAUAAGUUCUCAUUAGUGGUUUUUAAUUUUUAAUUUUUUUUUCGGCACACCUGAUCAAGAAUUCUAUUUUGUUAACUAAUAAAUUGCAAAGCAUAAGUGUUGAACGGUACAAAAAAAUUUGAAAAAAAACACUUAAAACGUAGGGAAAUGAGAAAUAUAGAAAGAAAGGAAGAAAGUUAAGACAUGAAACUGAUCUGCCGUGAAAUUGAUAAUCAUGUUUCUAUUUCGUUAACUAAUCAAACGGAAAACUGGAACUGUAAACAAACAUUAACACGUGUGGACUCUGCUAGCUGCCCUACAAGUCUACAAUAAUAAUUGAGUACCUUUGAUUCAUCCUUCUACGAAUUUCUAGCUGUAUUGACCCCAACUGCUAAAGUUUUGUAAAAUUAAAAAAAUAAAAAAUAAAAACUGGAAUUUCAACAAAAUUCAAAACGUGAGAAAUUUAAUUUUUGGCCAUGUGGAACAAAAUGUAAAUUACGGAAAAAGUAUAAAUCUCAAUUGCUUAGUAUGGUUAGGUUUUGUGAGCAUCACUAGAAAGUGAAAACUAUGAAUGAUAGGGGUGAUGUUUGCAACAUGAAUAAACGAUGAACUGAAUCAAUUGAUGAUCGUAAUUAUAUAAUGAACAAAAUUUACAAAAUCAACAAAAGUUAAUAAAAAUUUAUUUUAAUAAUAAAAAAUAAUAAAACUUAUUAUUUAACGGCGCUCUAACCAUGGAGUGCCAUAAUCAUAUUCUUCUUUUAAGAAAAUUAUAACUUAUUUCAAAUAGCACCAUAACAUAAUUCUAGAUAUUUAAAAGAAAAGCAUUAUCCACCUGAAAUGACUUGAAGUCUAAAGAAAAAGAGAGAGUGGCUCCCCACAAUUUUCUUGUUUUCAGUAUAUUUUCUUUUUUUUUUCUUUUUAAAAUCUUUUGACGCAUACAUAAUCUACCCUUGUUCAUUAUCUCUAUUUUGCUCUGUUCAAGUCCCUUUUUUUCAAAUCUUAGUUUAAAUAAGAAAAUUGAAUAAAAGUACAUUUGUGUAAUUAAUUAGUAUCUGUUUUUUUUGGGGGGGGGGGGGGGGGGGGGGGGGGGGGAGGGGGAGGAUAUUUGGUGUAAUGUUUUGCUAUGUAAGACUCAGCUAUUAUUAAACAGUUCCUUAACCUGUUUCGCAGUUUAUUUGCUAUCUUUGUGGAUCUCAUAGGCGUUGCAGAAUUUAAUAAUUUUAUUCGUCAGAAGAAUAGGAUACUGACUUCAAUAAAUUUAAUUUAAACCAACUUUUAUUUACUCCAUCAAUUAAUUAAUGCCAUUUUGUUUUGAAAAAUUCAAUAAUUAAAUUCUCACGUUUUAUGUGUUUGAAGUUAAAUUAUUCAUUAACUAGAACUCUGUUCAAAAUUGACUGUCUUGUGGUUCCCAAAUGUAGUUGUAAUAUUGAAUGAAAGUAAAAACUUUCUAUGGCGAGUUUAAAUCUAAAUCUGAACAAUGAAUUUUGACUUUCUCAAUGCUAUUCUAAUUACAAAAAUUAUAUUGAUUGAUUUAUUGUUACAGUUACUACCCUUUGAAAAUGUAUGGAUUUAUUGUUUCCGUGACCAAAUUAUGCCUGCCUAACGCUGCAACUAUUAAAAAAACUAAUAUUUAAUGCAUGUGUUAAAAGAUUUAAAAUUUUAUGCAUUUAUUAAUUGUUAUAAUCUAAAAAAAUUAAUUAGUUCAGGACAAUCUGAGUUGGUGCAUCUGCAGAGCCUUUUUUUUUUCCCCCCUUAUUGACCAUAAUGAUCUAAGGGGUAUAAUACGACCUUGGUUCUUGGUAAAAAUUAAUUAGUUCAGGUCAAUCUUUUAUGCUCUGUUUUCUAGAAACAGAGUCCUAACUAAAUUGAUUGACUGUACAGUGCAUUUCAACAUAGCAUAUUUAACCGUUUUAACAGUUAUUUGAACCGUCUUCAGAGUUAACAUCAACAAACUCAUUCAUAUUGGUCCAAUCUUACGGCCGAUAUCAUAUUAUCAUAUGCUUAAUAAUGAACAAAUAGUCUUGGAUCAGUGUUUUGCAGCAAGAGCAACUCGACACAAUCUGGAUUCAACCUCCUCCUAUCUAACAGGGGAUUUCGAUUUGAGUUACUUUGUGCUCAAGCAAAUUCACAUCAUAGUUUUGAUUCUUUAGGUAUGAAUUCAUCACAUUACAUAUAUCAGAUUAAGUGUAACAAAAUUUUUAAUUUAUUGCGAAAAGAAUACGCGCUAAAAAAUUAUUUGACGACUAUUUGAUUACCAAAAGCUGCUGUUAGAGUGCACUAAAAAUCGCCAUUGGCAUAAAUAUUUUUUGAAAAUACUGCCAUUAGAUAUUUUUAUUAUUCAUACUUCAUUGCACAAGGCAGCACCUAGCUUCUAUUUCCAGCCCUAAUAAUGAUCCGCUGCUGGAAAAGAAUUUGUGCAGCAUGUACGCUCCUUGACCACAACAGCAAAGUUUAUUGAUGUUAUUUCAUAUUCUGCUGUGACUCAAAUAAAAAUUUACCAUGCCCUUUCGGCAUGGCUUGCCUUUCAGCAAAAAAAGAAAAAAAAAAAUCUUUCAAAUUGUGGAAGCAUGCUUACAUUAAUCAGCUCAGUAUGUUGUGUUUCAUGGGAUGCAAAAUUCUUUUUGUUUCUCAUGGAAGAAUUGACUUGUCUGGAUGUAUUAAUCUCAUAGAUUUUCCACAGAUUCGUGGGAAUAUAACAAAGCUAGACUUAAGUGAGACCCCAAUAGAAGAAGUUCCGUCAUCAAUAGAGUGCCUAGCUGAUCUUAAAACGUUGCGUUUGAGUAAUUGCAUGAGGCUGAAGAGGCUUUCCAUCAAGCAUUUGUAAAUUGAAAUCUCUUCUUGAGCUUUAUCUCUAUAACUGCUCAAACCUUGAAAGUUUUCAAGAAAUCAUGGAGAAAAUGGAACGUUUAAAGAUAUAAAUUUAAAAAGGACGGCCAAUUACAGAGCUGCAAUCUUGAUAGCCUUCGGGAUAACAUUAGAAAUUUAAAAUCUUUGAGGUACAUCUCUACUAAUGGAUCGGCCAUUAGUCCUCUGUCGCAGGUUCGAUUGUACUUAAAUAUCUAUCAUUUUCUCAAUGCAGAGGUUUGGUAUCAUUGCCUCCAAUAUUAUUUUCAGGUUUAGUUUAUCGAAUUUGUUACAGCUAAAUUUAAGGGACUCUGCUAUAAUGGAAAUUCCCCAAAAUAUUGUUUGUCAAUCCUCAUUGAAAAUUUUAAAUCUAAAGGCUUGUUUGUUAACUACUUGAAGUAUGUAAUUAAUGCUUUUUUUUGUGUAAUUUAUGUUUGAUUUUGAGAUAUUUACAUUUGAAUAAAAAAAAAAAACUUUUGUUACAUUUAUCUAAAUAAGAAAAAGGCUGAAUGAGAAGUAAAUAAUCUCCUUUUUUGUUUUAACUUAGAAAAACAUAAACGUUAACUAACUAUGUUUAAAAAAAAUUUUAUUUAUGAAAAGAAACCAAAUACUACUUAUAUUCAUAUAUCAAAAAAUGAAAAACAAACAUAUUAUUCAUACGUGCACGCACAAACUCAUUCAGACCUCAGCUACAUACAAAUCCAUUUAGAUUUCAAACAAAAAAAUAAAUACUUCCUAAGUGGGAAUAACUUUGAGAGUUGACUUGCAAAUGUCAAGCAACUUGCAGGGCUAGAAUAUCUUGACUUGAACGGUUGCAAUGAUUUCUCAUCAUUGAGAGUUUAUCAUUGUGCUUCAUCAUCAUCAUCAUCAUCAUUAUUAAUAAAAAGGUAAGCAAUUAAGAGUCAAAUUAAACCACUUGAAAAUCACUCAUCCACACUUUUGGGACAUCAUCUGCUCAUUAUUUUUAUUCCGUAUCUUCAUUGUUUUAUUUGGUAAUUAUUACCAUUAGUAAAUAAAGGGAUUAGUUGAUUAUUGUGAAGUAACUAAAUGGAGCUCACCCUUAAAUGUCGGCUUAUAUCAAGGAGGCGCCUUAGGGUUAAUAAAUCAACUAAUCCCAUAAUUUGUUGAUGUAGGGUCCUAACAAAUUAUUGCCGUAGAUCAGCACACAGCUCGAAAACAUAUUUGAUCCACACAGUGAAGAUGAUUCAAUAUUAAGCAUGUCAUAUAAUCUGGAGUUGGAUAUUGGACCAAUUUGAUGAUAAUGAGUUUCUUUCAAUCUCAAUCUUUAUCUUAUUCGCAACAUGACUAGCCAUUGCGUAAAUUCAAACUCUGAAAAUGAUAAGUUUGUGAUAAAGGAAUCUAUGAGUACAAUGGGAAAAUUACAUGAACUUAUGUUAUCAAUCAUUGUUUUUCCUUCUCGUGAUAGAAUUCAGUGCAACAUAAAACAUGAUAUAUUUGUACCUUACCAUGCCAUGUUGUGAACCUAGAAGCAAUGCAAAUUGCAAGGAACAUUAAGCUAUCCACUGUAUAUAACAAAUUCUUAUUAGCCCACAAUCUUGUGCCGCCACAUUGAUCAAGUAACACUAUUAUAUCAUUUCCAAAAUGGCAUAUAUAAUCUAAUGUUGAACAAACCAAAUUGGGAAUCAUCAUUCCUUACAUUAAGUUGACAUUCGUACCUGCUAGUCCAUGAGCAAAGUUGCAUAUAUUUCUACACAGGCCGCUCCCCUUAUCUCUCGGUUCCGACAGAGCUUUGUUUUCCCAUCACCAGCUUUGGAUUCAUUCGAUCACUGGUGCUCCGAGUUAGAACGGUCUACAAAGCUGCAUUUCGUUAGGCAAUCUAGUCUCUCCAUUCCUAGCAAAGUGACAUUGAUUCCCGUAUUUGUAAUUGCCUAAUUGGGGUUUUGGCAAUAGCCUGGCUUAAAAUUACCACCCAUUACUUUGUUCAAUGCCACUGGCAUCCUCUGAUUAGGAACAUUUUCACAAUUUUUGGUCCUGUUAGUCGAAUCACAUUCAACGGGAUAGUGAGGCAGUAUUUCACUAAAAGAUUCAAUUUGACUACUCAUAUUGAUGCACAUAUAAGAAUUUGAAAUCACUUUCUCUUGGAAUAUUUAAUGACCCUUGAUGAAAGUUCUUGAAUGGAAUUAUUUAAUUUGAUUUGAUUUCCAACAAAUUCAAGAAACCCCACAUAGUAGCUAAACAAAAAUCAACCAAUAAUACGCAAUGGGUUUCUUUCUUUUUGCCUUUGGAGGGCCAUGGAGAUCUGGAGUGGGCUGUAAGUAAUAGCCUUUAUCACUGGAAUGACAGAUUUGCAGAAGAUGAUACAUGGGGAAGGAUUGGGCGAGCAUAAAAAUGGGUUUACACUCUUGGAUUAGCGCCUCAUUUAGGUUGUAGGCUUGUAGCGAGAUAAAGAUAUUAAUUAAAGUUUUAUAAUCCCUGUUAUGAUUAAGGCUUCACUUAGUAUAGCAUAGAGCUUUUUGAGUUUUACCAGAAAAUUUUUUUAAAAUUAUUAUUUAUCGGAAAAAGGAGACUUACACUCCAUGGUCUAAGGAAAUAGUCACAAAGAUACUAAGUUUUCAAUAAAAGACACCAAUUUUUUUUUUUUUUUCAUAAUGCCCUUUGACUCCAUAAAUUUCUAAAAAAAUAACUCCAAAAUUUUAUAAUAAAUGAAAAUAUGGCAUUAAAAUAAAUGCAGUAAUAUAUACAUUUCAAAAUAAUUUUAAUAUUUAGAAAUAUUUUAAUAUUUUUCAAUCUAUUAAACCUAUUUUUAAGCUGUUGACCUAUUAAAGUAAUUCUUAAUAAUGAUAGAAACAUAAUAUUAAAAUAAAUUAAUUAAAAUUAAAAUUAAAAUUAAAAGUAUUUUGAAAUUAUAUAAAACUAAUUUUAAUAUUAUUAAUAGGUAGAUUUUUAAUUGUAAAAUCUAUUUAACAAAAGAUUUAUUCAAAAUCUUUAUGAUAUUACAAAUAUAUUGUUAAAAUAAAUAUAAUAAUUUAAAAUUUUAAUAUUAUUUUAAAUGUAAAAAAUAAUUUAAUAUUAUUAGUCUACUAGAUAGAUUAUGUUAUUUAUAUUAAAUUUGUUUUAAUUAAAAGUCUUUAAAGUUAAUUUUUUAAUUACUAUAGUGAAAGGGUAUUAUGGGCAAAAAAGUGUCUUGGUAUCCUUCUUUUAAAACUUGAGAGUUUUUGUGACUAUUUUCCUAAAUCUUAAAGGUAUAAGUGUCAUUAUCCCUUAUUUAUUUGGUUGUUUUGCUCUCGAGAGUUUUUAAAGCUCCAAAAUCUUUAAUCAGUACUUUUUUUUUUUAAGUAAAACUUUUAACAAAAAAUUAUUAUUCAUUUGAUUGUUUACGAGAGUUUUUAUUAGAAGUUAUAUAAAGUUCUUUAAUUUUUUUAUUGGUGCAGCUUUUUACAUGUAUAAUUUUUAUUUUUUAACAAAAAUUAAUUAAAUAAUAUUAGAAAUCCUAAUAUUUGAGUCCCAAUAUCAUAUAUCACUCAUUUUUUAGAUGACAGAUUUCAUAACUUAUAAAAUUAUUUAACUAACAUCCAAUUAGUGAAUGUUACUAUAGUGAAGACUCAAAUUGAAAUUUAAAUGUUGGGUUGCGUGACAUUUCUCUUAUUUGGUUGUUUAUGAGAGCUUUCUUGUACAAAAUAAUUUUUAUACAAAUUGAUAUAGUCUAAAUUCAUUAAUUAGAUUAAAAUACAAAAUAAUAAAAAUAAAUAAGUUUGUAUAAGAAUAAUUCAUUCUUUAAUCCAUCUAAUUGAAUUAUCCUAUGUCUAUUUAUACUAAAUAAGUUUAUAUAAAAAUUUAUAGUUUUGUUUUUAGAUGUGCAACUAAAUUUUUAGUCUCUUAUUCCUCGUAAAAUUCAAAUCUGAGUGGCUCAUCAAAUAAAAUUAUUUGAAACCAUACGGUAUGGUAGCUGGAACCCUUGAAACCAUCGAGGUCAUGAAAUUUACCAGCCAAAAGAGUUUUAAAUGUCUAUUUUAUAAACUUUUAAAAAAAUUUUUAUUUACCAUUUUACCAUCCGUAGUAAAGGUGUCGCAUCGACAUUGAACAGAUCAACAUAUCAGUCAUUUCUCAUUCAGCCAUUAGGAAUUUACGUUUGGGGUAUUUUUGUAAUUAUAAGAAGGUAAACUAAUCGCAAAACUCGUUUGGCUUGCACUUGCUCGCCUGUGCUCUGUGACUCUGUGUAUGGUUAUGGCGUUAUCAUUAUCAUCUUCUCCACUCCUACUGACGCCAGACCUUAACAGUUCAGAUUCCCUUUCUCGACUGUCAUACCCUACGCCCCGUCUCCGUGUCUCCGAUAAACAGUGCUCAAUUAAGGCCAUCAGAUUAUCCCGGACCCACAUUGAUCCAACGGCUCACAAUGACCGACAUCCUCUCUAUCUCCAUUUCAAGCUCCCUCUUCAACUGGCUUCUGCUUCUGUCGUACUCUUUCUUGGAUUCGGAGUCCGUAUUUGCUCAGCCGGUCCCGCACAGCUCCCUCUCACUCCAAUUGUCACCCAACAAGACCAAUUGCUUAAUCAAGGCACAGACCAAGAAGAGGAUGAGAAGUUGAAACAAGAAUUUGAGAAUUGGAAAUCGAAAACGUACGCAUUAACCGUGCCUUAAAGGGUUGCUUCUCUUCAGAAUUCAGUGCCUCAAUCUUGGGUUAAGGAUUUUAUGCGAAGUCAAGGAAAGAGAUUGAAGUUUCAGAUGAAUUUGUGUGCUAGCAUUGAUGGGAUCGUUAACAAUUUAUCUGUGCCCUUUAACAAAGUUAAGGCUAAGUCAGCUUCUUAUAUGGCUGCUGAUUUGGUUAGUAUUGGUGAUUCAUGGCUCAGCUUUGCGAUUAAAAAGAGAUUGAUUGAGCCAAUAGCUGGAGCUGAAGACCAAGAUUGGUUCAAAUGCUUAAGUCACAAAUGGAAGGUAACAUCUUUAUCUUUGACCCGAUAAUUUUUAUUGUCUUACAUUGAAAUUUGGUAAUGUAAUUUGUUCUCUAUCUGUAUUACCCUUUUUAGUCGUUUUAUUUAUUUGUUUGUUUGUUUAUUUGCUUUUAUUUGCACUAACGAAGUCUCGGGUAUAUCUACCCAGGAAUGAUGCAGGAGAAAUUGAUCCUCGAGGUGAAAUAUGGGCGGCACCAUACAGGUGGGGCACAAUGGUGAUAGCCUACAAGAAAAGUAAAUUUCGAAAGCAUAAUUUGGCUCCGAUUGAGGUAAUAACUGUCUUUAAACUCAUUUAGUUUUAUAUCAAACAAAAUCAAGGCUGCCUUUCUCUUCAAUAUUUUUUAUGAUAAUAUCUUUAGAAGCAUCUCAUUGACGGGUAAUAAUGGUGUCCCUGAAAGAGUCUAUAAACUCAAUGAUAUUAUCUUCUACAAAUGGAUCAUUAAACUUCUUUUUUGUAGUCAAAUGUACACUAAGAACAAUGAGAAGCUAUGCCACUGUAGCACGUAGUGAUGGCACUUAAUAAGUGAGUUGCUAGGAUGUGAACAAGAAAAAUUAAAUAUUGUCUCCUUGGGUAUGCUAGCUCGUAAGUCAGGGUUAAUAUUAGAGCUUAAGAUACUAUAACCAUGCGAAACUAUUGACUGCCAAUUAAAAUAUCCAUUAAAAUGUCUAGGGAGUUAUGAAGGUAGAGUUAUCUUCCAAUUUCUAAGGCCACAUAGUAGACAUCAUCCAGGAUCCUAGGAAAGUGCGGUUGAUCUCCUGCUUGAUGCAGUUAAUAAAUUUGGUCAAUGCGACUGAAACCUGCUAACUGACGUCGCAAUGCGACAUGAGCACUUCAAAAUGGGAUAGACAGUAGCACUAAAUUUUUCUUGCCUAAGAUUGAGCAAUUGGUCUAAAUACUAACCCCUAUUGUAAGUUGAUCAUUAUUUUUUCAAUUAUGUUCAUUUUGACCCAAAAGUUACACAAUCUUGAUCUGAAUAUUGUCACUGAACACUGUCAAUGUCGUUUAGCAUUGGCAACUAACUCGAGUUUAGUAAAACAAACAUACACACUGUCUCAUGUCUCACAAUUCAAAUUAUCAUCUGUACUGAUGGAGAAUUUUUCUGAUGUAUGAAGUAUGCUUUGAUAUGUAGGUUAAGCUUGGAGAAGAUAUCUCAAAAUAAAGAAUAUGGGGAGUGAAUGGGAAGAAUCUGUAGUCAAGUUUUGUCUCAAAAAUGGUCAAAAUUUAAAUGAAUGGACGGGGGAUCUUCAUUCUUUUUUCACUUCUUUAUACCGAGAUAUCUCUCAACCUUUAUAUAAUUCCCACUGGAUAUCUGCUUCUAAUAAUUAAAAUAAAAAUUUCAACCACACCAAUAAAUAAUCAUCUUAGAGUGAGACUAUCAGUACAACCCAAAAACAUAAUAAAACUGGUUUGGUUCUUUUUGUUGAUGUCUAAAUGUUGUUCAUUGUGACAUGUAGAAAUGAUGAGGUGAAGUUUCUUUGGUCAUCAAAUAGUAAGAUCUUGUUUGAAGUUAUUUUCUGAAAUGAACAGUCAAAUGGUAGUUUUUUUGGGCCAUUCGAUGGCUCUUUUCUUCCUCAUUUUAAACUUGUGCCUGCUUGGAACGGGAUGGAUUAGGCUGCAGAGUUAUAUAUUUUGACAUGCUCUGGUCAUUACACAAUUUGUUCAUACUGGAAAUUAGGAUGAGAAAUUUGUUGCUGCUGUUUUGAGAGAUCUGCAUUCUAUGCACAAACAUGAUUAAUGAAAAUGGAUUGUAGGACUGGAAAGAUCUGUGGCAGCCUGAGCUCGCAGGAAGGAUUUCAAUGGUUAAUUCUCCCCGAGAGGUUAUUGGUUCAGUUUUGAAGUAUAUGGGAGCAUCAUACAAUUCAGACGAUAUUGAUUCACAAGUUGCUGGUGGGAAGAUUGCUGUUCAGCAGAAUCUGGCAUUACUGGUAAACCAGGUACUCUUAAAGAAAUGAUAUCUGGUCAUUGCAUGUUAUUGCCUGACAACUGAUUUUGUUUGUAAAAGUCGGCUUCUUCAUACAUAUGAAUGCAUAUGUUAGUGUUUUCUUCUCCUUUUCAUACAUAUGAAUGCAUAUGUUAGUGUUGUCUUUUCCUUUUCAUACAUAUUAAUACAUAUGUAGAUUUCUUCAUCAUUGUAGCCUCCAUAGUUGAAGUUUCCUCAUUUGAAGCUGUUUAUGCAUAUGCUUUUUCCCUUCUCAAGUACAGGAAAUUGAAGAAUUAACCAGAUGUGAUAUGCUGAAAGAGUGAAGUUUUCUCCCUUGAAUGUGGCCUUGUGAUUUGUCUUGAAGGAAUAGGAUGAUCACUGGCAAGAACCCUAUCAAGGUAGAUUUUAUGGUGUUAACAUAUUUUUAAGCAUUUUGUUACAUCAGCAAUGAUGCUUUCAUAGCAUGAAAGUGUUU